rnacentral:lncRNA from 1 species
CAUCCCAUCCCUGAAAGCUGCGAUCCCCGAUCAACAGCUCUUCUAACUUCUUCAACCUUCCAAUCAAAUUCACAGGGAUCCUUCUUAGCCUUUCACAACCUGUCACAUCCAACAACCUUAACUCCUUGAGCUCUCCUAUUUCAUCAGGUAAUUCUUCAAUGGAUAAGCACCGUCUAAGACCAAGAAUCUUAAGUCUCUGCAGCUUUCUCAACCCAAUGAGGUCCUUGCAUCCACACCUGAUCAACACCAACGAUUGAAGUUUCGUUGAGAGUUCAAGUGAUUGCAAUGACAAGCACCCUCCCUUCAGAGACAAAACUUCAAUUUCUGUCAUCCCUUCAAAAAACCUCUGAGGAACAUUCAAACCAGAAUCCACUUCCAAUAAUAGAACUUUGAGCUGUGGGCAUACCAAUCCUUCAGGAAGUUCUGCUAGUUUAUUGCCCAUUAACGAAAUUGUUGUACAACCUUCAAAGCUUUUACCCGUCCAUUGCCAAUUCUCUAACCCUAAGCCAGCCUUGACCAUGAAUCCAUAUUCUUUUGAUGCUAUCUGAAUAGCAACAUCACGAACAAGGUCAUGCAUUUUCACAUGUUCUUCAGUUUCAGAGCCCAACAGCAUGCAACAAUCUUUGAGGUUUUCGAUUGCCACAGAAACUCGUUUCCUUGCAUCUUCAAUGGGCUCCGCAUCUUGAUGUAACCCAUAGCCAACUGCAUAUCUCGUCAAGUCCUCGAUUGGAAUGUCAUAAUCUUCUGGAAAUAAACAGCAUAGCACGAAACAUGACUUGGUUUCCUCGUACUUCAAAUAAUCAUAGCUCAACUUAAGACAUGUGUAAGCAUUAUUUUGUUCAUCAAUUUGUUCCAUGCGCACAAAUUGAGAUUCUUUGAGCUGUUUAGACGCUACUUCCCACUGAACUCGUGAUUUACCUCUUAGAGCCCUUCCCACUGUCACAAGUGCUAUAGGCAAGCCUUGGCAUUCUCUCGCAACCUCCCUUGCCACUGUGUUCAAGGUAGAGUCCCCAUCACGUAAACCUGCAUUGAUACUGAAUAAAUCCCACGCUUCAUCUUCAGGUAAGACUCUUAAAUGCACUUUUUGCUGGCACUCCAUAGAAAAACAUAUGCCUUGAACACGUGUUGUUAGAAGAAUUUUACAACCCCUGUGAUCAUCACCAAAUGGGAUCCCUAUCUCUUUCAAGUCAAUAUGUUUCCAAACAUCAUCCAGGGUUAUAAGCAUCUUCUCCACUUUCUUCAGUCUCUGCCGUAAUCGAUCUGCUCUCCCUUCUUUACUGUUUUCUUCAAUUUUCAAACCUAACAUAUCUGCCAUUCGGUUCUGAAUGUCUAUGACAUUUGGAUUCUGCGACACCGUAGCCAUCAAAACUUCAUCAAAAAGCUGCGACUCUCUGGCUAUCGUGCCUACUCUUUUCACCAGGGUGGUUUUACCCACCCCUCCCAUGCCGUACAGUCCGAUCAUAUUGGCGUUGUCAUCUUUGCGAGCUUUCAUAAUCUGUUCCAAAGCUUCUUUUGAAGAUUCUGAGGGCGUGAAUUCCUUUGAUGGAAGAAAUUCUAUGGGCUGAGGAGGAAAUUUGUGGGCCACUUUUGUAAACUUUGUUUCUGAAAGUCUCCGACUCCUUGGCCAGUGCCUUGCUUAACUUGAAUUGUCGAAUGCAGUUUGGACACCAAGUGAAGCAUUUGCCAUUUUUUCCUAUUUCUUUUUCCAAGGGCUUCGCACCUUCAAUUUUGCUGUUUGCAUCUUCCAUCCACUUUUUGACACCUUUCUUAAUUUCUUCAGCAUUCCUUUCAGCAGCUUCGACUUCUUUUUGCAGACCAUCUAGUGCUAAAGCAAGGUUCUCCUUUUGUUCUUUGAAUUCUUCAACAAAAUUGUUGAAACAGAACAUGUAACGGAACUGCCUUCCUACUGGUUCCACCAUGAGUUCUGCUAUCUUAGAUAUAAUGGAUCCACCCACACUUUCGAGAGCCAUUUUCCACCAGUCUGAAAAUCAGAGAAAUGAGGAUACAGGACGUGAGAGUGAGUCACUACAAGUAAAACAGGCGCAGAGAGAAUGGGAAUAGGAAUUCCAUUACCGUAAUUUGGGAAAAUAUGCGCGGAAAGCACUGGUACUGAGAGCUCAAUGAAAUAGCGGGAGGAAGAAAAGGAGAAGGCCUUUAGCUCUGUAUGGAAUCCAGCUUCAAAAGCAACAAGGCAAGGUAUAAGGAUUCUAACUGACACUUGUGAGUUAAAGCAGUAAUUCCCAUUAAAAAUGCAUUUUGAUGACAUAAUUAAGAUCAUAUUGAGACAGUGGCAAACAAAAAAUAAAUGUAUAAAAGUACUCACCUAGCAAAGAAAGAAACGAAUGAAAGGUUCAGGAUAAUCACUUAGCUCGCUUCCAACAACAAAUAUAAUUAAUUAAUCUAAGCUAUGAUCGGUCAAAGUUUUUUUUAGUUUUAUUCUUUUUUUAAAAAAAAAAAAACAGGAAAAAACUUGCAAAGAAAUAGAAUUACUGGAAUGAACACAAUAAAAGAUGAAACUCAAGCAAUUAAAAAUAAAUUAUCUAUGAUGAUCAUGUCUGUGUCACACUCAAUGAGGUAAUCACUAUUACAAUAUUAAAUAAAUAAAUAAAAGCUAAAAGAACUAGGUUUUUGGUGGCAUCCAGAGUGCGGUUACUUUCUUCAUCCUUCUUUUGUGGUUUUAUUUUAUUUCAGUCCUUCAAAUCUUUUUCUUUUGCUAUUUCAUCGAGUUGCUUUGCUCUUGAGUUGAUGUGCUUGCCCUAGAAUAUGCAUUAUGCUAGGGAUUACAAUUACAUUACAUAAGAAAUUAUACUUACAGAUUAUAAUUAAAAUUUUCAGUUUUUUUUAAACAAAUUUAUGAGAAAGUACCAAUAUUACAACGUGAGUAAAUGAUAGGAGAAUUUUAAAUCUUUUUGUGACAUGGUGACCAGCUGAUCCAAGUAACCAAUAGAUUAUCGCCACUUGUUCAACCUGAUCUGCACUUUAAGAUAGGGGUAGUCAUAACUAUUCCUCGUUUUGUUUGAGGAAAAAUAAUUUUUUUAAAAAUAAAUUUUAAAUUUUUCUAUAUUUAUUUGCUAUUAAAAAAAUUAAUCAAUAAAAAAUAUUUUUUAGUAAAAAAAAUUAGUUUUAUUUUUUAAAAAGUAUUUUUCUUUUAUUUUAGGCGGAAAAUACUUUCCAGAAAUUGUGAAAAAUUUAGAAAUAUCAUAUUAUUUGUUGAUUAUAACAAAUUGGAUCCUCAAACUUUUAAUUGCUAUAUAUUUUGUUUUGAAUAUUUUUGUUUUCAAUUUCAUCUGUUAUAAUUUGAUUUUAUAUUAAAUUUGAUCCUUAUUUUUAUGAUUGUUAUUUGUUUUUCUCUUUUUAUUUUUUUAAUUGAAAUUUUUUAUUUAUCAAAUUUGAUCAUCAUUCUUUUGAUUGUUAUUUAUUCUAUUUGAAAUAAUUUAUGAAUAGAGGGAGAGGUUGUUGGAGGCAGAAAAGGAAAGACUACGAUACUAUUUUUCUCUAUAUUUUGAGUUUUAGUUGUUAACAGCCAUGCUCGUUUGAUUUUAUUUUAUUUUUAUUUAUUUUUUUCAUGCUCUUGCAGAUAAGGCAGGAAAGGAGGACCUGAAAUCACGACAGCGAAUAAGGAGAGAAAUAGCGUGUUUGUUUUUUAUUUUUGAAAUUAUUUUUUUAUAAAAUUAUUUUUUUAUUCUAAAUUAAUUUUUUGUAUUUUUAAAUUGAUAUUAAAAAUAAUUUAAAAAAUAAAAAAAUAUAUUAUUUUAAUAUAUUUUUAAAAUAAAAAAUAUUUUUAAAAACAACUACUUAUUCAAUCACUUAAAAUAAAAACCUUAAAAUCACGGCAUGAUAAAAGGAGGAAGAAAGGAAUGGGACAAAGGAGGAAGAAAAUAAGGUCACGUAUAAAAUAGAAGAUGAAAAUUAGUAUGAAAAAGAGGCUAUUUGUUUUUUUAAUGUGUCAGAGUGGUUUUUAUAAUUAUAUUUAAUUUAUAAAAAUAUUAAAUUAAUAUAUUUUUAAAUAUUUCUUGUUAUUAUUAUAUAUAUAUAUAUAAUAUUCUAAUAUUUUUUUAAAUAAAAAAUUAUUUUAAAAAAAUAUGUGUCACAAUACUAAAUUAUAGUACAAAUUAAAAUAUAAAAGAGUUUUCUAUUACUAUUUACCAAGACUUAUUUUGUUGUGGAUGUGGAUAUUAAUAGUGAAUUUUUUUAAAAUUUUCAAUUUGAUAUUUGAAUUUUUUUUUUUCAUAAUCGAAUCUCUUUAUGCCCAAAUUAAAACUCAAUUGCAUUUUGUUUUUUAAGUAUAAGAGUUGAAUUCAAAGAUAGAUGACUGAAAUGAAAAACUUGGUAAAAAUAUGCGGCGACAUUGUAAUUGUUUGCAAAGUUCAUUUUAGUCCCUUAUCUUUUUGAGCUACUAAGUAACAUGUCCCUAUAAUUUCUCAACAUUACAUUUUAUCCAGAAUCUCAGAUUAUGCUCUACGGACUAAACUAAAUUUUUCAUAAAUUGAGAGACCAAACUGAAAUUUAUCAUUUUCAAUCUUAAACCUAGAAUUUUCACAUAUCACCUACUGAUAUAACAAGAUUUCUAACUCAAAUUCACCAUUUAAACAAACCAUAACUCAAAAUCAUCAUUUUUACUUAAAGUCUUUCAAAAUCAACUAAAUAACUCAUUAUUCAUAACAAUCAACACAUAAUAUUCAAAUCAAUUCAUCAAUCAAACCCAAAACACAAUCUUCAAAACUCUAAUAUUCAACAAAACAGAAAAUUAAAGCUAAGAAAAACACAUUUAUACACAUCAAAGCGUAAAUAUUCUUACAUUUUAAUUUAUUUUCUCUAACUCUCUUAUCCUUUUGUUUAUCUUUUUCUCUUUUCUCUUUUUCUUCUUUCACUCUCACGGUUUUUUCUCUAAGAAUUCAAAUCUUUCUCUUUUUUAUUCUAUUUAUAUUUAUGAACUCUUUGUUCAAUUACUACAAUAUCGUUCAUUCAUUUAUACCUACUUUUAAGCCUCCAAGAGUUUUGUUGUUUUUUUCUAUUCUCUUUUAUUUCCAAAUCAUCACAAUAAAAUUGUUUUCUUUUUAUUAAGCUGCUAAUUUAUGCAGCUUUAGCUCUUGUUCUCUCUUCUUGUCUUGCUAUUCUGAUUUUAUCUUUUUCUUUACAUGAUAUAAGAGCAGGUUCUUACCUCUUGAAGUCUGCUGGAUAAACCUAUCAGCAGAAGAUCCUGAAGCGAUCCCAAAUCACAGCUUCAAUCCCCACCACAACCAAUCUCCUCUUUCCCGUAGUCUGUCGUCCUCAAUUGGGAAAUGAUCUCAAAAAAUCACUUGAUGCAACAAGUAGGGUAGAGAAAUAUAAGACUUCAACAAAGAAUCAAACUCAAAAAAAUAAAAGUAAUUGUCUAUGAGAAGCAUUUCUGUGUCACACACUCAAGUAAUAUGAUUGACCUAUUACAUUAUACAAAUUAACAAUAAUAAUAAUAAUAAUAAUAAUAAUAAUAAUAAAAGAACUAGGUUUUUGAUGGCAUCCAGAGUGCUGUUACUUUCAAACAAAGAGGCUUGUGCAUGCGGUGUUAUGCUGUUCGUGUAGGCUAAGAUCUCCUAUGAAUACAUUUGUAAAAUCAUACAAUUGUAUUCUUUUUAUUAAGCUGCUAAUUUAUGCAGCUUUAGCUCAUAUUCUCUCUUCUUGUUUAGCAAUUCUGAUCUGAUCCUUUUCUUUGCAUGAUAUAAGAGCAGGUUCUUACCUCAUGAAGUCUGCUGGAUGAACCUAUCAGCAGAAAAUCCUGAAUCAAUCCCAAAUCACAGCUUCAAUCCCCACCACAAUUACCAAUCUCCUCUUUCCUGUAGUCUUUCGUCCUCAAUUGGAAAAUGAUCCAAAAUCAACAACCAGUUCGGAGAUAGUCUGUGUGAAAAUAAACGGCUGAGAGAUGAAAUGUGAAGGUUAUGGUGAGAAAUUAGAUGACAAACUUACUUUGUCCUACUAAUGCUUUUGCUUUCAUUGUUUCAACAAGUAAAAGAGACAUAAGCAUAAUCAUAAGAAUCCUGUUUUUUCUAUUUUUUUCACCUAUUUAUACAUCAAAAAAUGGCAGUUUUUCUUGUCCUUUCUUUUUAAAAUCUUAUGCCUUGGGUGAGGAAAUUAGUGGAGCAUAAGACGUUUUAAAAGACAACAAAAAGAAGCAAUGUCUCAUCUUUUGAUAUGGUGGUCUUCCAUGAUCAGUUUGUUGAUGAAGAUAUCGAAAGAUUCGAGUCUCCGUUCUAGCUCAGGUUGGAAGCUAGGCCGAAGGCUAAGCUUCUUUUAAUUAUGAAUUGUUUAUGCAAAGGAAACCCAGAAGCUUGAACAAACAGAAAUGCCUUGUUGAUUUCUCUGCUACUACUCAUUAUUUCCAAUAUUAUUCCAUUAUCUUACCCGAAAGCAAUUAUACAAGAAAUUUCAUUAUCCUGCCCCAAAGGCAAUUUAUUACAAGGACUUCCUUUAACCUCCUUGAAGGCAAUUUAUUUGAUGAAAAUUCCUUUAAUCCACCUCAAAGACAAUUUAUCUUAGGGAAUUCCAACGACCCAGGCAAUUUAUUUGCUGAAAUUCCUUUAACCUCCUUGAAGGCAAUCAAGAUUUUAAAUUAAAAACCAUCUAGGUGGUGGCCCAGUGGUAAGAACCUGGGACCAAGAGGUUUGCUCAUCUGCAUAAUUAAAUAGUACUGUUACUGUAAACUACUAGGAAAUUCAUGCGUAGAGCCAAAAUGUUAACAAUAGCACAACGACCCAGGCAAUUUAUUUGCUGAAAUUCCUUUAACCUCCUUGAAGGCAAUCAAGAUUUUAAAUUAAAAAGCCAAAAAUGAACGCAUCUACUCUUGCAAGAAUGGACUCAAAAGGUCAGCUAAUCCGCAUAAUUAAAUAGUACUGUUACUGUAAACUACUAGGAAAUUCAUGCGUAGAGCCAAAAUGUUAACAAUAGCAUUGAUUCGGUCAGGGGCUCUGGUGUAUAGAGAGGACCUUGCCGUUAGAAACUAUGAACCCACUAUUUAUUAAUCCAUUUCUAUUUAGUACUAUUUACUAUUUAUUUAUUUUUAUUUACUAUAUUUCUGUAUGUGAUACCUAAGUACCAAUAAAAUUUGAGAUUCCUUCAAUUUUUUAGGUGCAUGUACAAAAUCAAUUCAAGAGUGUGUAUCCUUAACUAUAUAUCAGGCUAACCUUUACAGGCUGAGCUAGCAAUCGAUAAUUAAUUUUUAAUGAAUUCAUUUUUUAUUUAAAAUAAGGAAAAGGACAUUGUUACACCUUAACUAUUAUAAUUGUUACACCUUACCAAAGGGUUAAUUUAGAAAAAAAUUAUCAACUUACAGGUCACUGGCCGAGGUCAACUUAUGAUUAAGUAGAUCAAUUUAAAUUAAUUAUUUUUAUUAAAAUGAUAAUGUUUUGUUUUUUUUUUUCUUGAUAUUAAUUUGGCUAAUUUUUAUCAAAUCAAAUCACUAAAAACUUAAUCAAAUUAAAUUUCAUCAAAUCAAUAAUAUUUGAUGUAGUUGAAUUUUAUAUAUAUAUAUAAAUAUUUGAAAAUAAUUUAAAAAUGAUGUUUUCAUUAAUACCCAUUCUCAAUGUUUUUUUUGCCUUAUUUAGCUUUUUUUUCAAUUAGUUUUAAUUUUAUUAGCUUGGUUUAGUUUUUUAAGAGGUUAAUAUGAUUUAUUUGUAAUUUGUUUUAUAUAUUUCAGAUAUAUUAAGUAUUUUUUUUAUGUGUGUGUCAAUUUCUUUUAUAUAUUUAUUUUAGUAAAUAAAUUUAUUAAAUAUAACCAGAGAAAUGACUUUUUUAAUCUAUAUUUGUUUCUUAAUUUCUUAAUUUUUCCACCUGCUUUUUUAACUAUUGAUAAUGACUUUUUAUUAUUAUUAUUAUUCACACAAUAUAGUGCUGACACCCGCAGGUUGAGACUUGAGUAAACGAAAAUGAAAUAUUUUGGGUGUCUAUCUCCUAGUUAUGGUAUUAUUAAUAUUUGAGGGUUUUGAUUUGGAAUAAUUAGUGAAGAUUUAAUUAGAACUUAGCCAUGUACUUUAUUAAAAUUAAUUAUUUAGUCCUUAAAGUGUCAUGGAUAAUUAAAAAGUCUAUUAACUAGUGUUGACCACCCUCCAUUUACUAUGUUUUUCUCUAAAAAAUGCCUUCCUUCCUAAUGAAAUUUCCGCAACUGCAUCAGAUGUUUAUUCCCGUUCAAAUGCUCGCAACAGGGAAAGCAUAUGAUAAAGAGAAUGGAACAAGAUUCUUGUCUAUGGAGGGAAUCAAUGCUUCAACUUGCCUUGUGAUUUGCUUUAAUAAGAUUUUUUUUUAUAUAAAAAACAACUUUUAAAUUAUAAUUAAAAGUAAAAUAUCAUAAAUUUAUUUUAUAUUAAAAACCGAAUUCAUUAAACAUAACCAGGGUUGUUUAUUUUUUGUAAUGACUUUGUUUUUUAUUUAUUUAUAUAAUAAUUCAUGAUUUAUUUAAUUCGAUGCGUGCAUAAGUUUUUUAAUUUAUAUUUAGAAUUUUUCUUAAUGUAAAAAAAACAUGUUCAUAAAUUUUUAUUUUUAUGAUUUCAGUUUGAUUCUUAUUUUUAUGAUUUUUUAUGUUUUUUCCUUAUCCUUUUAUAAAAGUUUUUUUGUUUAUAAUUUCACCCUUCAAUUCAAUAUGAUGGAGUAAUUUUUUUUUUCAUUUUUUGCUUUAUAUUGUUGCCUCUCUCCUUUUGGGAAUAUUGUUGCCUCUCUCCUUUUUUUUUUUUUUUUUUCAUUUUAUCAGCUUUUGCAUGUGGAAUAUUGAGUCUUCUAUUUUUUAUCCACAGAAUUGAAUCCUUUAUAUAUUCUUAAAACUAGAUUUGAAUUCUAAUGAAGGAAUAAUAAAGAUUGUUGCAUGUACAAAUUCUCCUUCAAAAAAAUAUAAUAAAGUAUCAUGGAUUUAAGUAUAACUUAGCCCUGUAAUUUAUUAAAAUUAAUUAUUUAGUACGUCCUUAAAGUAUCAUGGAUAAUUAAAAAGUCUAUUAACUAGUGUUGACCACCCUCCAUUAAUUAUAUUUUUCUCUAAAAAAUGCCUUCCUUCCUAAUGAAAUUUCUCCAACUGCGUACUUUUCUUUUCCUUAUUCUAAUUUUUAAGAAAGAAGAAAAAACAUAUUAAUUGGAAAAGAACUAAACAAUAUGUAACUUUAAAAAUAUAAGAAUUAAACAUAUAGUUAUUGAAACUAUGGGAUUAAUUAAUUAUUGUUAUCAAAUUAUAGAGAAUAAAUUAUAAUUGAAUAAGUGUUUGUGUGGAGGAGUGUUUGCAAAUACCAUGGGAGAUGCGAUUUGUAUUAUUAAUUUAGUUGUUGGUAUAAUAGUCCAAAUAUUGUGACGACCAUUUUAUAGAAAUGAGCACAAUGUUUUUAGAAUAUUUAUAAAAAUUGACUUAAACCAAUCAAAAAAAUGAUUUUUGAGUUUGUUAAACAAUUUUAAUAAAAAUAAUAAAAAUAUAAAAUAGAAUUGAAUUGGUUGGAUAUGACCCAAACUAAAUUAAAUAAAAAAACUUAACCAAGCUAUAUUUCAAUGAUCUUGGUAUGGAUUUGUUUUUAUAAAAAAAACAUGUUCAUCCUUUUUUAAACUUCUUGUGGCCUGUUCAUUCAUACUUUAUUAAUAUUUAAAUUAUUUUUUUAUAUUUUUUAAAUUUGUUUUAAUGUUAUGAUAUUUUUUAAUUUUGUUUUGAUUGAUACAUAAAAAUAUUGUUUUUAUUGAUUAAAUUUUAUUUGGAAUUAUUGUUGAUAUUACAAAGACUUAUUUAUUCCUAUUCAGUUGAUAAUGACUACUUAGAUUUUGUAAAAAGAGUUACUUUCUUUAAUAGCCAAUUGAAUGAUUUUUUAUGAGAAAAAUAAAACAUCUUUUGAUGUGAAAAAAAGACACCAUGCACCGUCGUGUGAUACGAUGCUUUUUUUCUUGUGGCAUGUUUUUGAUGCUUUUGAUACGAUGUUCUUCCAGGAAUUUUUUAUCUUUUUAUUAGGCGGUCUAAGAUGCACAGUCGUGUGUGUGUCUAUAUAUAUAUAUAUAUAUAUAUAUAUAUAUGUAUGUAUAUAUAUAUAUAAGUCAUCGAUGCAUGUUUUUAUUUGGUAUUCAAUUCAAUUUCAUAAACAUUACUUUACUCUCUAAUUAAAUUGCUGCAACUAUAUAUAUUAUACCCUUAACCAGACUAUUAGUUUACCAUUCCUGACUAGCUAUCGUAUCCUUUUGGCAAGAAUCAUUGCCAAUUACUUUAUUCGUAGUAUGUAAGAGUCAUUAUCCAACCAUUUUCAAUUCCAUUUCAAAUCACUUUCUUUGAUAAAUUAGUUUAUAAAAUAUUUUUACAAAAACUCCAUACCAUACAUCUAAACAUCACAUAUGUUCAAAUUAAUUUGAACAUAGCAAGUGUUAUAUCUUCUUUUAAAGAUUGUAAAGGACAAAUAUACAAUUACAUUUUCCUUUUUGGGUCUCAAUUACAUUUGCAUUUACAUAUUGUUCACCUAGUAAUUUCUUUUAUAAAAUUUAUAAUAAACUCAAAAAAAUAAAUAGUACGAGAAACAAAGUUGAUAGACCCAACCGAGAACAUGCUCACGAGUUUAAAUAUCUUAAUUUUAGUUUGUAGAACAUAAAGAGAAAUAGAAUUGAUCCAUUAUUUUGUUUGCAGAACAUAAAUGAGAAAGCAACGUCAAUAUAUAAACUUAAUUAAUAAAUAUAUAGUUGGUUUUGUUUUACAAUAAAGAAUUAUUUUGUUCUAUAAAAGAGUAAUUGAAUUUUAUAAAUAAAAACACGAAAUUAUUUAUUUCCAUGCAAGAUGAAGUCAAGAUUCACCACUUAUUUGUGUGAGGCAAAAUAAUAAUAAUAAUAAUAUUAUUAUUAUUAUUAUUGUUAUUGUUAUUGAAUAAGAUGAAGUCAAGAUUCACCACUUAUUUCCAUGCAAGAUGAAGUCAAAUUUCAAAGUUCCCUUUACAAAUCGGUUGGAUAUGGCCCAAACUAUAUUAUACCCUUAACCAGACUAUUAGUUUACCAUUCCUGACUAGCUAUUGUAUCCUUUUGGCAAGAAUCAUUGCCAAUUACUUUAUUCGUAGUAUGUAAGAGUCAUUAUCCAACCAUUUGGUAUUCAAUUUCACGUUCUUUGAUAAAUUAGUUUAUAAAAUAUUUUUACAAAAACUCCAUACCAUACAUCUAAACAUCACAUAUGUUCAAAUUAAUUUGAACAUAGAUAGCAAGUGUUAUAUCUUCUUUUAAAGAUUGUAAAUGACAAAUAUACAAUUACAUUUUCCUUUUUGGGUCUCAAUUACAUUUGCAUUUUCAUAUUGUUCACCUAGUAAUUUAUUUUAUAAAAUUUAUAAUAAACUCAAAAAAAUAAAUAGUACGAGAAACAAAAACAAGAAACAAAAUUGAUAGACACAACCGAGAACAUGCUCACAAGUUUAAAUAUCUUAAUUUUAGUUUGCAGAACAUAAAGAGAAAUAGAAUUGAAUAUGAUGAUGAUGAUUUCUUUUUUCAUUUUCAGGAGACCUAUAAUAGCCGGUUGAGGGAGAGAUAUGGGGACGAUCCUUUGACCCUCCGGAUUUCGAUCCGGAUUUGUGGAUGGAGGUCGGAUCGUUCGGUGGACUCGAUAAAAAUCGGCUGUACGGGCUCUCCAACACUACGACCGAGAACUUGCGGUCGGCCCGUAGUGUCUCAACUGUUGGGAGCUCCAAAUCAGUAUCGAGCACCCAAUCUGAGGAUAUCAUGACCUUGAAACAACACACAGCUAAUCUCACCGAGAAAUACGAGCAACUCUUGGCAAAUUAUGAUCAACUCCGCCAAAUUGUCAUGAACAUGACUUCACAGAGUGGUGCUACAUGUCCGCCCCCUUUUUGGCCGUAUAACAACCAGCCUCCUCCUCCUCCUCCUCCAACUCCGCCAUUGUGCUAAUUUAAUAUUUUUUUGAAACACAUUCAAUUUGUAAUGAAUAUUAUUUAACACUAUUUUUUUGUUCUUAAUGUUUAAUAAAAUUUUAUUUGCAUAAUUGGUUUUUUUACUAUUAAUUUAUAUAAUUUUAUGUUAUUUAUUCUAAAUCAUUUUUAAUUUUUUUAAAAUACCCACCGAGGGAUUUACCGACGGAAUGUAUCACCGACGAAUUUACAGACGGAUAACGUUCGUCGGCCUUUCACCGAUAGCUAAAAAAUAUUUACUAUAUAUGCCACUAUCACCGACGGAAUAAAUUCGUUGGUAAGGUUCCAGCGGGAAGUUUUUUUUUUGGCGUGCAAUUUCCGUUUGUAAAACCAUCGAUAAUAUUUUUUUUACCGACAACCUUAGCGACGGAAUGCGGUAUUACCGACAAACAUUAUGCCGACGGACGUUUUUCGUUGGCGAUUUAGUCGGUAAAAAAAUUACUGACAAACUCUGAAUCUCAUACCGACGGAAUAUGUCCGUCGGUAAAACUGUGAAAUCUUGUAGUGAUUUAGAUUUGGGUUGGUUUUUUAUUUUUAAAUCAAUUAAAUGUUUAUUUAAGAUCAUGAAUGGACUUAUUGAGGUACCUUUUACCUAUAGCUCACUUUGAUACCCCCUCCGAUAUAUCUAACUCUUCAAUAAAGGAGCAAUUUUUCAUUACAUUCAGCACAAUAUUUAUUUCUCUAACAUGUAUGAAGAUGGCACGAGUUAAAAUGAUUGUGUAAAUUAAUUUACAAUAACGAGGCCUUCGUAUAUAGUAAUUUAUCCCAGACAAGAUGACUAAAGUACUCAAAAGAUUCAAGUAGACGUUGUUUUAACACCUUGAAGGAUUCUGAAAUUCUGCCUUGCUCGAACGCGCACAAAAUUUGCCUUUUCUUUUAUUCCUAAUCGGAUUCGUAUGCAUGCAAAAUUAAAUCACCUUGAAAACUCUUAAUCUCUAUCUCGGCUUUUAAAUAUAUAAUUUAUAGCCAUUGUAAAUUCACAAAAAAAUAUUGAUUUUUUUUUUAAUCUCUUGGGUUAUAAUAACCAUAUCUAUCCGGUGUUGUUUAUUGAAAUAUUUUUCAGUUAUUUUGGAUGAGUAUAAAAUGAAUUCAUAGUUUUUGAACUACAAAACCUAAGUUUUAUCUUGCAAACACCCCCAAAAACUUUUAGUAUUCUCAAAAACUCAAUUUUCAAUCAUAAAAUACCUUCUAAUUAGCCUAAAUGUGAAAAUCAAACCUAAUAAAAAAAAUUAUGGGUCUAAUAUACUUUUUCUAGCACGGUUAAAUGACAAGAUCAUUUUAAUCGAACUUCUUUUUUCAAGAUGAAUCUAUUAAUAUUAAAAUCGGAUUUUUUAGAUCAAAAUAUAAUCAGUCAAAUCCUUUUUUUUCUCCAUUUUCUGACCACAUUCUCUCCCUCCUCUCAAUAUUCAAUAACUUAAAAUAUAAUAAAAAUGAAUUUUUAAGAUUGAAUCAUAAAAAUUUAAAGCUAUAGAAUUAAAUAAAUCUGAAAAACAAAAACUUCAAGAACCAUAUUAAAUUUUUCUGCAACUUCUAAAAGGAUUGCAUUAUAGGAGAAUAGUUUAAUGCAUGAUAACUUGAGUCUUGCUACACAAUAAAAUUUGUUACAGUAAGAAUAACAAAUGUUUUAAUUUAGAAUAUAACUAGUUAGGUGCUCACACUACAUCGCGGGUUCACAUUUUAUUUUCAUAAAAAAUAUCAUAAAAAUUUAUAAUACAAAUAAUAAUAUUUUUUCAAUAUUAAUAAUCAUAUUUUUUCAAAUUUAUUAAUAAUAUUUAUAACACAAAUAAUAAUUUUUUUAUUAUAAUUGUAUUAAUUAUAAUAAAAAUAAAAUAUUUAUAACAUAAAUGAUAAUAUUUUUAAUAGUAAUACUAUUAAUUAUAAUAAAAAUAAUAAUAUUUAUAGCACAAAUGACACUAUUUUUAAUAUUAAUACUUUAAAUUAUAAAAAAUAUAUAUAUUUAAAAUACAAAUAAUUAUAUUUAGAAACCUAAAACCUAAGAACCUUGGGUUUUGAUAAAGGAUCCAAUAGAAUUAGGUUCUGACGCAAGACCCUUUAAGCUUGGGUCUUGAUACGGGACUCAAGACAAUCGGGUCCUGACACAGGACCCGAUUCGAAAGGUAAAAAUAUAAAUUAUUGUUCUUAUUAUCAUUAUUAUCAAUAAUAAAUUUGACAUAAAAUAUUAUUACCACCAAAGAAAAACUAUAUAGUUGAUUUGAAGGAUAAAAUUAAUAUUAAUAAUAAUAAUAAUAAUAAUAAUUAUUAUUAUUAUUAUUAUUAUUAUUAUUAUUAUUAUUAUAUGUGCUAUAGAUAUUAUUAUUUUUAUUAUAAUUGAAGGUAUUAAUAUUAAAAAUAAUAUUAUUUGUGUUAUAAGUAUUAAUAUUUCUAUUAUAGUUCAAAGUAUUAUUAUUUAUGGUAAAAAUAUUAUUAUUUUUAUUAUCAUUGAAGGUAUUAAUAUUAAAAACAGUAUUAUUUAUGGUAUAAAUAUUAUUAUUUAACUUGUCUGCCUAAAUGUUUAUAUUUUUGAGUCUUUAAAAAACAAUUGUGGUUUUUCUUCGAUAGUAAUAAUAGUUUUUUUUAAUUUAUUGAUGAUGAUGAUGAUGAUAAUUUUUAAUUUUACCUUUCAAAAUAAAAUUUAUGGUUGUUUUUCAAUAUUACUAAUAUUUGUUUUUCAAAUUUAUUUAUUAUUUUAUUAAUAAUAUUAAUUAUAAUUAAAAUAAUAAUAUUUAUAAGACAAAUAAUAAUAUUUUUAUUAUAAUAAAAAUAAUAAUAUUUAUAACACAAAUGAUAAUAUUUGUAAAUUCACAAAACAAUAUUGAUUUUUUUUUAAUCUCUAGGGUUAUAAUAACAAUAUCUAUCCGGUGUUGUUUAUUGAAAUAUUUUUCAGUUAUUUUGGAUGAGUAUAAAAUCAAGUCAUAGUUUUUGAACUACAAAACCUAAGUUUUAUCUUGCCCCAAAAACUUUUAGUAUUCUCAAAAACUCAAUUUUCAAUCAUAAAACACAUUCUAAUUAGUCUGAAAGGUGAAAAUCAAACUUAAUAAAAAAAAUUAUAAGUCUAAUAUACUUUUUUUAGCAUGGUUAAAUGACAAGAUUAUUUUCAUCGAACUUCUAUUUUCAAGACGAAUAUUAAUAUUAAAAUCAGUUUUUUUAGAAGGGAAUAUGAUUAGUCAAAUCCUUUUUUUUUCUUCAUUUUCUGACCACAUUCUCUCUCUCCUCUCAAUAUUCAAUAACUAAAAAUAUAAUAAAAAUAAAGUUUUAAGAUUGAAUCAUAAAAAUUUAUAGGAUUAAAUAAAUCUGAAAAACAAAAACUUCAAGGACCAUAUUAAAUUUUUCUGCAUCUUCUUAAAGGAUUGCAUUAUAGGAGAAAAGUUUAAUGCAUGAUAACUUGAGUCUUGCUACACAAUAAAAUUUGUUACAGUAAGAAUAACAAAUGUUUUAAUUUAGAAUAUAAAUAGUGGGUUCACUUUUUUAUAUAUAUAUAAAACAUAUCAUACAAAUAAUAAUAUUUUUUCAAUAUUAAUAAUAAUAUUUUUUCAAUAUUAAUAAUAAUAUUUUUUCAAAUUUAGUAAUUAUUUUAUUAAUAAUAUUUAUAACACAAUUGAUAAUAUUUUUAAUAUUACUACUAUUAAUUAUAAUAAAAAUAAUUAUAUUUAUAGCACAAAUGACACUAUUUUUAAUAUUAAUACUUUAAAUUAUAAUAAAAAUAAUUAUAUUUAAAAUACAAAUAAUUAUAUUUAGAAACCUAAAACCCAAGAACCUUGGGUCUUGAUGAAGGACCCAAUAGAAUUGGGUUCUGACGCAAGACCCUUUAAGCUUGGGUCCUGAUACUAGACUUAAGACAAUCGGGUCCUGACGCAGGAACCAAUUCAAAAACGGAUAAUUCCAACUCUGGCGUUGGUAACUAUUACGUAGCUAUAAAAUAAAUUUAGAUCAAUAUUUUUUUAUUCCUAACUUUAAAGCUAUUGAAUAAAAAAAUAAACUAAAUUCAUCUUAUUACGCAUUCACAUAUUUUUUAUUUCUUAUGUAGUUAAAUAAAAAAACAAAAAAAACAAUUAAAUCAGUGUUUUUAUUCAUGACUCUAGCGUCAGUGAAUAAACAAAAAAAAUAUUAUUUUUUCAUACAUGCACAUAUUUUUUUUUGCUAAAUAAAAUAAAAUAUAACGAAUAAAAAUAAUAUAAAUUUAAACCAGUAUUUUAUUCCCGACUCUGGCGUUGGUAAAUAAAUCAGUAAAUUUAUAUUAUUUUUAUUCAUGAAUACACAUAUUUUUUUAUUUUUUUAUUUUUUAUUUUUUUGGGGCUGGGCCCAGCUCAGCCCACAUGGGCUGGGCUAGCCCAGCCGGCCCAGCCCGGUCACUGGCCCAAGCCAGUGACCCGGCUGGGUCACAGCACGCAUGAACUAGUUUCAUGCGUGCAUGGCGCUGCGCGAAGGUAAUUAAUUACCUUCGCACACUGCUAAAUGCACUGAACUUUCGAAAGUUAAAAAACGAAGAAAACAGAGGAAGCUUACCUUGUUGCAGGUUGCUUCGCCGGAGUGUCAGCGUGUCGGGCGACGAUCAGUGGUGGCGUCCGUCAACAGUAAGCUAUAAUUCCUCCUUCGACCUCUGCCUUACUGCCCUCUGUUUCCUCUGCCCUCGUCUGAAAAAUUAUUCAUGUGCUCUGUUUUUCAAAUUCUCUCUACUCUCUCUCGGUUUGUUUCUGUUUUCGUUGUUUUAAGGCCGGUAUUGGUGAGGGAAAGGUUCACUUCUGGUAUGGGGUUCUAAAAAAAACUUAAAAAUUCGGCUGGUAUCUUUGUGUUUCUCUCUUGGGGUUUCGUUCGUCCCUCUCUCUCUCUAGCCAACCCCUGUUCUUCGGUGCUCCUCGGUUUAUAUAGAGCUCGGGCGGUAGGCUGAGGGUCGACCACCAUUAAGGCGCCCCUAACUGAAGCCAACGGACGACGAUUACUGCUGCAACGUUCUCCCUCCUUUACUGUAGAAAACGGUCACUGGCUUAAAGGAGAAGAAGAUGAACAGCGUCUUCAAAACGACGCCGUUUGGGAUAUGAGAUGGCCAUUUGCGUUUUGACCCGUGAAGUUUCGCAACUUUUAUAAUUAAGCCCCUGGUUUAAACUGUAAUUUCUCCUGCAUUUCGGCGCCUUUUACAAGUUAGUCCUUGGACUUUAAUCUGUUGCAAUCGUGCCCUAAUUAACCCCAAACUUUGCUAUUUCUUCAAUUAAGUCCCUAAGUUCAUUAAUUUAAUUCAAUCCAAGUCCAAUUAAGUCUCAAAACUUAUCAAUUAUCCAAUUAAGCCCCUGAUUGGAUUAAUUAAAUUAAUUCCAAGAUUAAAUAAGUCUCAAAACGUAUCAAUUUUCCAAUUAAACCCUUGAUUGGAUGAAUUAAAUUAAUUUCAAGCUUACUUAAGUCUCAAAACUUAUCAAUUCUUCAAUUAAAUCCUUGAUUGGAUUUAAUUAAAUUAAUUCCAAGUUUAAUUAAGUCUUAAAACUUAUCAAUUCUCUAAUUAAACCCUUGAUUUGAUUAAUUAAACAAGUAAAAAAUUUAAUUUAAAUCUUUAAACUUCCAAUCAUGUUACCCUUAACCCAAAUUUUAAUUCAUUCUUCAUUUAUUUCAUUUUUAUUAUUUAUUUUUCAUCAUCAUUAUUAUAUUUUUUUUCAUUAUUUUUCUUUUUAUCAUUUUCCAGUAAAUAAAAUAAUAAUAAUAAUUAAAAUAAAAUGGUCAAAAAUUGGGUUAUGACAACAUCUAUGGAAAUUCAAUCAUUUAAAAAAAUUCGGCAGCACCUCCCCUGUACUGAAGACUACCCACAAUUUAUAAACCUGCAAUCUUUACAAUAACCACAAUCCAAUUGACUCCAGCAACAUAAUAUAUACAACCUAACAUCUAUGAAAAUUCAAUCAUUUAAAAAAAUUCGACAGCACCUCCUAUAUAUUAGAGACUAUCUACAGUUUUCAUACCUACAAAUAUUAAUAAUUACACAAAUAUUGCAAAAUCAACUCUAUACAACCUAACAUAUAUAUACAACCUAACAUCUAUAGAAAUUCAACAUCUAUAUUUUUUCAACUAACAUCAAUAGAAAUUCAUAAAUAACAAUUAAAAUUAAUCAAAAUAAUAAACAACAUAACAAACAAUAAUAUCCUAAAAUUAAGAUAAACUAAUUAAACUUAAUUCUAUAUUUCAAUUAACAUUUUAAAUAUAAAUUCAACAACAAUAAUUAUUGCAAAACAAACAAUAAUAUCCUAAAAUUAAGAUAAACUAAUUAAAUUUAAUUCUAUAUUUCAAUUAAUAUUUUAAACAUAAAUUCAAUAACAACAAUUAUUGCAAAACAAACAAUAAUAUCCUAAAAUUAAGAUAAACUAAUUAAAUUUAAUUCUAUAUUUCAAUUAACAUUUUAAACAUAAAUUCUUAAAAUCUAUUGUUUUUUUUCAAUAUUAAUAAUAUUUUUUUUUCAAAUUUAUUUAUUAUUUUAUUAAUAAUAUUAAUUAUAAUUAAAAUAAUAAUAUUUAUAAGACAAAUAAUAAUAUUUUUAUUAUAAUAAAAAUAAUAAUAUUUAUAACACAAAUUAUAAUAUUUUUAAUAUUAAUACCUACAAUAAUAAUAAAAUAAUAAUAUUUAUAAGACAAAUUAUAUUAUUUUUCAUAUUAAUACUUUUAAUUAUAAUAAAAAUAAUAAUAUUUAAAAUACAAAUAAUUAUAUUUAGAAAGCUAAGACCCAAGAAGGAUCCAAUAGAAUUGGGUCCUGACGCAAGACCUAUUAAGUUUGGGUCCUGACGCCGGACCUAAGACAAUCGGGUUCUGAUGCUGGAUUCAAGAGAAUUUGGUCCUGACGCAUGACCCAUUACCCUUAGGUCCUAACACAGGACCCAAGCGAAUUGGGUCCUGACGCAGGACCCAUUAGAGUUGGGGUCCUAGGGCAGGAUUUAAGAGCAUUGAGUUCUAACGCAAACCAAUUACCAUUGGAUCCUAGUGCACGACCCAAGUGAAUUGUGUCCUGAGACAGGACCUAUUAGACUUGGACCCUUAGGCAGGAGCCAAGAGCAUUGGGUCCUGGCGCAUUUGAAAUAAAAUAUUAUUACCACCAAAGAAAAACCAUAUAGUUGAUUUGAAGGAUAAAAUUAAAAAUUAAAAUAGUAUUAUUUGUGUUAUAAAUAUUAAUAUUUUUAUUAUAGUUCAAAGUAUUAAUAUAAAAAAUAUUAUUAUUUGUGUUACGAAGAUUAUUAUUUUUAUUAUCAUUGAAAGUAUUAAUAUUAAAAAUAAUAUUAUUUGUGGUAUGAAUAUUAUUAUUUGCGGUACAAAUAUUUUUAUUUUUAUUAUAAUUGAAAGUAUUAAUAUUCAAAAUAGUAUUAUUUGUGUUCUAAAUAUUAUUAUUUUUAUUAUAAUUCAAAGUAUUAAUAUAAAAAAUGCUCUUAUUUGGGGUAUAAAUAUUAUUAUUUUUAUUAUAAUUGAACUAAUAAUAUUUAGAAUAUAAAUUAUAAUAUGUUUGAUAUUAAUACUUUCAACUAUAAUAAAAAUAAUAAUAUUUAUACCCCAAAUAAUUAUAUUUAGAAACUUAAGACCCAAUAACCUAGGGUCUUGAUGCAGAACCCAUCAGCCUUGGAUCCCGACGCCGGACCACAGAGCAUUGGUCCUGUUGCAGGAUCUAAGAGUACUGGGUCUGGACGCAGGACCCAAGAGAACUGGUCCUGAUGCAGGACCCAUGAGCCUUAGGUCCCGACGCCGGACCACAGAGCACUGGUCCUGUUGCAGGAUCCAAGAGUACUGGGUCCGGACGCAGGACCCAAGAGAACUGGUCCUGAUGCAGGACCCAUGAGCCUUGGGUCUUGACGGGGACCCAAGAGAAUUGGAUCCUGACGCUGGACCCAUGAGCUUUGGGUCUCACUAGGGUUCGCGCUGACCCAGCACACAAGCAGGGAAGCCCGAGCGUAAGGUGUCCCCAUGUGGCGCGCGGGUCUGGCUCAGCGCCUAGGGCUUGCCAGCCCUAGCGCCAGGUGUUCGCAUCCCAAGGCUUGUAGCCCCACCAAAACUGGAACUGACCAUUUUCUCCCCAACCAUCCCUUCAAUGCCAAAUAUAUCCCAGUGAGAAGACAACCCCACCCCUCCCCUGCUGUCCUUGCAAAUCUAUGUGGCAAGGGCAACUUUGUCAUUACACUACUUUAAUCCACAAUAUUUUGUAUCUAGAUAAAUAGUAACAAGGGCACUGAACCUUUUUAGUAUAACAAGGAGAUUUCAAGAAGUAGUUAAAUUUAGGUUAUAUUAGAUACGACUUUUGUAAAUUGAUUUAAUUUAUUUUUUACUUUUGAUUUUAAUUUAUUUUGAAGUAUGUUAGUUAGAAUAGCUACCAGAUUAGGCAUGUAACUUAUGAAAGGGUUUGCAAGCAGAAAACAAUUAGAAAUCAGAGGAAGAUUUAGAGGAUAUAAUAUUUAGGAUCUCUAGCAAAAGCCAGCAAGGUAUCUGCUCGAAAAAACCAUUCAACAUGAGAUUGCUCUGCUAGGAAAACAUGAUAUCAGUAUCAAACUUUUGAACAAUUAGUACAGCAUCAAGUCUCAGUCAUCUUGAAAUAUAUCGACAUCAGCAUACAAAAACAUUUAUUCUGCAUUGCCAGGCCCAUUUCCAAAACCACAUAAGCAUAUGCAAUAGAAACAGAGCAUCAAACUGACAGAGAAAACAUAGUGAUGCAGCAAAUACCCAAGUCGUAGAGCCAUUAAUUUGAGCAGAAAGGAGAAUGAAAGUCCACACAUUCUUCUUCUUUCCACCCAUUAUCUCGGGUCCACUCUCUAUUAGUGCUUGAAUCCUCAGCUACUUCAGAUACCUGUAAACCAAUUCAAGCAUGGCAUACAUAUUUUAACUUCUAAAUCUUAUUAUUGAGCGAAACAAGAAACAAACACACAAAAAGAGAAGCAACAAAUCAAGACAACUCAGCAGCACCUCUGAUUGAGCUCUUAUUGAACCAUUUGGUGUAGUAGCAAAUUUUGUGAUCAGCUUUGGGCAUUCAAACACCUUCAACUUCUCUAAAUGAGGGAAUAAGAAAUCAUAACAUCCGAGACUGAAGCAUACAAUACUUGAUAAUUGUUCUAGCAACAGCACCUGCAGAUUCGGGAGCUCCAUCACCUUCUCAACAUUGACAGGUAAAGCAUUCUCUUCCUGUCCAAAUACUCCCAAUAAUUGAGAAGCUUCUCUUACUUUCAGUAUUUGGAGAUUUGGGAGACCUGAAGCCAUGCCUACUGGGAAGAGACAUUUCAACUUGUUGCAUUUUCUGACAUCAAUUUCACAUAAAUUGGGGAAGCAUAAAGAUUGAAGAUGAUCUCCUGGCACUAUCUGAUCCUUUCCAUCAUCAUUAUCCCUAGCAAUGAUUUGCUCUAAUUCCUCACAACUUUCUAUGUUUAGAAAAUUCAGUUGAACUAGACUAGCAAUCAUGCUGUCUGAGAAUACAUGUGUUAGUCUCUUACACUCAUACACCACCAAAGUAGUCAAAUUGCUCAGCACGAGACCCUUCCACAAACACCUCAUGUCAGGCACAAGCAGGGAGCCCAAGCGCAAUGUUUUCAAACUUGUUAACUCCUACAUCAAAAGACAACAAUGGCACUAAUUUGUUAGAUAUAAUUCCUAGUAUGUUUUGGUAAAUAGAUGAAUCAGUUAUCAACAAAAGGAUACAAGUAGACAUGGCAAAAGGGCAUUGGAAUAUGAAAUCAUAAGUUGCAAGACUGAAAUAGACAACUCAAUAUUAGCAAAUGGAGGUUUAUCGUCCUAUCCAAAUACUUUCAUUAAUUGGGGGAAGAGCCUCAAUUUCACUCAAACUGGGAAAGCAUAAAUCAAGGUAGGAUUUCAUUACAAUAAUUAAUUUCUUACUUCUUAAGCCCUGCGUCAAGAGACAGGGAAUGAUACAGUUAGACAACUCCUUUUAAAUUUAGUGGAUGGCUAAAGGAUUUAUCUCCACUUAUAAAUUACUUCAGUUUUAGAAAUUUGGAGGAAGAAACACAGUGUAUUGAAGUUGACAAUUUAAAAUAAAAAGCAAAAAAAUUAUUGGAGAAAUAUAAAGGACGCACUUGAAGCUUUGCCAACAAAUUACCCAAUUCUUCAUGGCCAUCAAUGAUUAGACAUUGCAAAGAAGGCAAUUGGGCAGCAAAAUUCUUAGGGCCAAAAAAGCUGAAAUUUGAUCUGGAAGAAAGAGACAAUUUUCUUAGUCGAGGGAACUUGAUGAUGCCAUCUGUGGUGAGUGCAUCUCCUUCUCCACUGUAAAAUAUUUGCUUUAAAUUAUGAGCAUAAAAAAUCCCCAUCUCUUCCAGGUUCAGAAGACUCGGAGACACAGAGACAGGGAAGACAUAUUCCAGUUUACCACACUCUUCUAUGAAGAUAGUUUUUAAUCUUGGGAAGCGAAGAGACUCUGAAAUUAUUUCCCUUUCAUCAUCCUUUUCUCUGAUAAUAUGCUUCAAUUCACCGCAAUAUCAUAUGUCAAGGGUUGCUAGCUUUGGCAGACUUUGAGCCAGGGAUGGUGUGAAGAUAAAUGUCAGUUUGUCGAGAGAAUUCAAAUUCAGAUGAACAAGAUUUUGGAGGCUGACAUGCCUAGUAGCCCCUUCCAUAUACAUCUGAGCUCAGGUAAGUCGAUCAGCAGUAACGUUGUUAAAGAUGACAGUAGCGACAGCUCCUUCUCCUCAUUGCUUUCUUCAUCCACCUCACCCAAUUCAAAUACCUCUUCCAAUGAUUUACAGCUCUCAAUAUCCACACUACUUAGAUUUUUCAAAGCUUGCAGCAAUUUUGCUGGAAAAGGAGUGCGAACAUCCCCACAAUCGUUCACUUCUACAAAUCUUAAUCUUUGUAAGAAGCCCUUUUGCUGUAUAAAUAUUAUAUUUUUUAAACCCUUCACUCUCAUAAAAACAAUUUAUAUGAUGCAUAAAUAGGAAAAAAAUUUUAUAAAGUACGUACUUGUAGCUGUGCCAACCAAUUACCCAAUUCUUUGCGGCCAUGAAUGGUUAGUUUUUGCAAAGAAGGCAAUUGGACAGCAAAAUUCCGUGGACCUAAAAAGCUGUAAUUUGAUCCGAGCCGAAGAGACAAUUCUUUUAGUUGAGGGAACUUGAUGAUGUCAUCUCUGGUAAGUGCAUCUCCUUCUCCACCGUAAAAUAUUUGCUUUAAAUUGUCAGCAUAAUAAAUCGUCAUCUGUUCCAGGUUCGGAAGACUUGGAGACACAGAGACUGGGAAGACAUAUUCCAGUUUACCACAUCCUGAUACAAGGAGAGUUUUUAAUUUUGGGAAGCCUGGAGACUCUGGAAUUAUCUCCCUUUCACCAUCCUGUUCUCUGAUAAUAUGCUUCAAUUCACCGCAUUUUUCUAUCUCAAGUGUUUCUAGCUGUGGUAGACUUUGAGCGAGGGACGGUGUGAAGAUAAAUGUCAGUUUGUCGAGAGACCAAACCUUCAGAUGAGCAAGACUUUGGAGGCUGACAUGUCUGGUGGCCCCCUUCCAUAUGCAUUUGAGCUCAGGUAACCCUUGCAGCUCUAACAUUGUUAAAGAUGAUAGCAGCGGCAUCUCUUUCUCCUCAUUGCUUUCUUCAUCAACCUCACCCAAUUCAAAUACCUCUUCCAAUGAUUUGCAGCUGUCAAUAAUCACCUUCUUUAGAUGUUUCAAAGCUUGCCGCAAUUUUGCUGGAAACAGAGUGCAAAUAUCCCCACAACGCUGCACUUGUACGAAUUCUAAUCUCUGUAAGAAGCCCUUUUGGAGCUCAUGGCCAUGGUUGGUCAUGUGAUCAGAGUGCAAUUCUAUAUUUUUUAAACCCUCUAAACUCGUAAAAAUAAUUUGGGACACCGUAGGAAACAACAGCUCAAAUGUCAUCACAUUUAAGGAUGUGGCGCUUGUACCAGCCAAAUUUAAUCUUGUCGAGGUUGGGUAUCCUCCUGCAUCAAACCGAUUCCCUAAUACUAUAUCAUAUUUGUGCAAGCUAGGAAAAACAAAAUCUCUGGGAAUGCAUUCCACCUUCGGUAUCCUUAAUGAUAAUACAGCUAACUGAGACAACGAAUUUAGUUCUUUUAGGCUUGCAUUCAUUCCUCCUGUGCUGUCACAUCCAACAACAUCCCAUUCCUCAAAGCUGCCAUCCCCGAUCAACAAUUCUUCUAACUUCUUCAACCUUCCAAUCAAAUUCACAGGAAUCCUACUGAGCCUUUCACAACCUGUCACAUCCAACAACCUUAACUCCUUGAGCUCUCCUAUUUCAUCAGGUAAUUCUUCAAUGGAUAAGCACCACAUAAGACCAAGAAUCUUAAGUCUCUGCAGCUUUCUCAACCAAAUGAGGUCCUUGCAUCCACACAUGAUCAACACCAAAGAUUGAAGUUUCGUUGAUAGUUCAAGUGAUUGCAAUGACAAACGCCCUCCGUUCAGAGACAAAACUUCAAUUUCUCUUAUCCCUUCAAAAAACCUCUGAGGAACAUUCAAACCAUAAUCCACUUCUAAUAAUAGAACUUUGAGCUUUGGACAUACCAAUCCUUCAGGAAGUUCUGCUAGUUUAUUGCCCAUUAACGAAAUUGUUGUACAACCUUCAAAGCUUGUAUUGCUCAUUGGCCACUUCUGCAACCCAAUGCCAGCCUUUACCAUGAAUCCAUAUUCUUCUGAUGAUGCUAUCUGAAUAGCAAAGUCAUGCAUUUUCACAUGUUCUCCAGUUUCAGUGCCCAACAGCAUGCAACAAUCUUUGAGGUUUUCGAUUGCCACAAAAACUCGUUUCCUUGCAUCUUCGAUGGGCUCCGCAUCUUGAUGUAACCCAUAGCCAACUGCAUAUCUCAUCAAGUCCUCGAUUGGAAUAUCAUAGUCUUCUGGAAAUAAACAGCAUAGCACGAAACAUGACUUGGUUUCCUCGAACUUCAAAUAAUCAUAGCUCAACUUAAGACAUGUAUAAGCAUUUUUUUGUUUGUCAAUUUGUUCCAUGCGCGGAAAUUGAGAGUCUUUGAGCUGUUUAGACGCUACUUCCCACUGAACUAGAGAUUUAUCUCUUAGAGCCCUUCCCACUGUCACAAGUGCUAUAGGCAAGCCAUGGCAUUCUCUCGCAACCUCCCUUGCCACUGUGUUCAAGGUAGAGUCCCCAUCACGUAAACCUGCAUUGAUUCUGAAUAAAGCCAAUGCUUCAUCUUCAGAUAAGACUCUUAAAAACACUUUUUGCUGGCACUCCAUAGAAGAACAUAUGUGUUCAAAACGUGUUGUUAGAAGAAUUUUACAACCCCUGUGAUCAUCACCAAAUGGGAUCCCUAUCUCUUUCAAGUCAAUAUCUUCCCAAACAUCAUCUAGGAUUAUAAGCAUCUUCUCCACUUCCUUCAGUCUAUGCCUUAAUCGAUCUGCUCUCCCUUCUCUACUCUUUUCUUUAAUAUCCAGACGUAACUUAUCUGCCAUUCGAUCCUGGAUGUCUGUGACAUUUGGAUUCUGGGACACCGUAGCCAUCAAAACUUCAGGAAAAAGCUGCAACUCUUUGGCUCUCCUGCCUACUUCUUUCACCAGGGUGGUUUUACCCACUCCUCCCAUGCCGUACAGUCCGAUCAUAUUGACACUGUCAUCUUUGAGAGCUUUCAUAAUCUGUUCCAAAGCUUCUUUUGAUGAUUCUGAGGGCGUGAAUUCCUUUGAUGGAAGAAAUUCUAUGGGCUGAAGAUGAGCUUUGUGGGACACCGUUUUAAACUUUUCGCUAAUUUCUUCAAGUUUUCUGAGAGUCUCCGACUUAUUGGCCAGUGCCUUGCUUAACUUGAAUUGUCGCAUGCAGUUUGGACACCAAGUAAAGCAUUUGCCAUUUUUUCCUAUUUCAUUUUCCAAAGGCUUCACACCUUCAAUCUCGUUGUUUGCAUCUUCCAGCCACUUUUUGACAACUUUUUCAAUUUCUUCAGCAUUCGUUUUAGCAUCUUCGACAAUAUUUUGCAGACGUUCUUUUGCCGAAUACAGAUUCUCCUUUCGUUCUUUGAAUUCUUCAACAAAAUUGUUGAAACAGAACAUGUAACGGAACUGCCUUCCUACUGGUUCCACCAUGAGUUCUGCUAUCUUAGAUAUAAUGGAUCCACCCACACUUUCGAUAGCCAUUUUCCACCACUCUGAAAAUCAGAGAAAUAAGGAUACAGAACGCGAGAGUGAGUCACUACAAGUAAAAGAGGCACAGAGAAUGAGAAAAGGAAUUUUAUUACCUUAUUUUGGGAAAAUAUGUGCGAAAAGCACUGGUACUGAUUGCUCAAUGAAAUAGCGGGAGGAAGAAAAGGAGAAGGCCUUUAGCUCUGUAUGGAAUCCAGCUUCAAAAGCAACAAGGCAAGGUAUGAUCUAAGACGAAUGAAAGGUUCAGGAUAAUCACUUAGACGCCUCCAUGGGUGAUACCAGCUCGCUUCCAACAACAAAUGUAAUUAAUCUAAGCUAUGAGCGGUCAAUGUUUUUUUUAGUUUAGUUUUGUUUUUUUUCUUAAAAAACAGAUCAACAAGGGAAAAAACUUGCAAAGAAGUACAAUUACUGGAACGAACUCAACAAAGGAUCAAACUCAAGCAAUUAAAAGUAAUUGUCUCAUCUCUGUGUCACACACUCAAAGAAUUUCAUUACCUUAUUUUGGGAAAAUAUGUGCGAAAAGCACUGGUACUGAUUGCUCAAAGAAAUAGAGAAGGCCUUUAGCUCUGUAUGGAAUCCAGCUUCAAAAGCGACAAGGCAAGGUAUAAGCAUUUUGAUGACAUAAUUAAGAUAACAUGCGUAGUAAUAUAAAGAAAAUGACAAACAAAUAAAAAAAAAUAAUGUGUACAAGCAAGAAACGAAUGAAAGGUUCAGGAUAAUCACUUAGACGCCAUGGAUGAUACCAGCUCGCUUCCAGUAACACAUAUAUUUAACCUAAGCUAUGAUCGGUCAAAAAAAUAUUUAGGUUUCUUUUUUUUAUAUAUAAAAAAAUACAGAUCAACAAGGGGAAAAAAAAAAGAAAAGACUUGCAAAGAAGUAGAAUUACUGGAAUGAACUCAACGAAGGAUCAAACUCAAGCAAUUAAAAGUAAUUGUCUCAUCUCUGUGUCACACACUAAAGGAAGGAGAGAAAAGAAGGGGAUGGGAUCACGGCAAGAAAGAAGGAGAAAGAAAGGAAUGAGACAAAGAAGGAAGAAAGUAAGGUCACGUAGGGGCCAGUCUUGUAGAAAGUUUGAGAAUUAGAAUGAAAAAGAGGAUAAUAAAGUAGUUCACUUGUCAGAAUCAAAACACAUAAACAUAGGACAAAAACAGGGAGAGAGGCUAUUUGUGUUUUUUAACUGUGUUAGAGUGUAUUUUAUAAUUAUAUUUAAUUUAUAGAAAUAUUAAAUUAAAAGUUUUUAAUAUUUUUUGAUAUUUUUUAAAAAUAUAAAAUAUUAUUUUAAUAUAUUUUGAAAUAAAAAACAUUUCACAAUACCAAAUUAUAGUAUAAAUUUAAAGAGAAAUUGAUUUUCUUGUUCAUUAAUGUUUACUCAGACUCAUUUUACUAUGAAUAUUAAUUAUGGGUUUAUUGAAAAUUUUCAAUUUGAUACUUAAGUUUUUUUUCUAUAAUUGAGCCCUUUUGAGCUCAUUUGCAUAUUUUUUUAAGGAUAAGGGUUAAAAUGAAAGAUAGAGAACUAAAAUGAAAAACUAGGCUAAAAUAGGUGGCGGCUCUAUAAUUUGUUUGCAAAGUUCAUUUUAGUCCUCUAUCUUUUUAAACUAUUAAGUAACCAGUUCUUAUAAUUUUUAAACAUUGCAUUUUGGUAUAAAAUUUUAUUUUCCUCCUUUUUUUAGUUUUUUUUUUUUAGAGGAAAGAGAGAGGGUCGCCAGAUUUCAUCUUAGAGAGAAAACGUUGUAGUUGGGGAAGAUUUUGGCCCCUAAAACAUAUGUUGCUUGAUUUUUAAUUGAGUCUAAGUGGUUUUUAUAAUUAUAUUUAAUUUAUAAAAAUGUUAAAUUAAUAUAUUUUUAGUGUUUUUUUGUGAUUUAAAAAAAUAUAAAAUUAUUUUAUUAUGUUUUUAAUAAAAAAUAUUUUUAAAAAGCAUGUGUCCCAAUACCGAAUUAUUAUAAUUAUAAUAUAAACUAAAAGACACAGUCUUUUAGUUUGGCCUUUGACUUAUAGCACCGUGAAUUAGAACAACGUUAUCAUGUCCUAACCAUAGUUAUUAAACCCGAUCCAGAGGUUGACCUGGCCAAGGUGCCGGGUCCUGAGUUUCAUGGGUCAACCCGGAAAAAAAAAUAAAAAUUAAAGUUUUAAUAUUUUAUAUGAAAAAUUAAGAAAAAAUACAUGUAAAUAUAUGCUAUACAUAUUGUAAAUAAUGAAAUUUAAAAGAAUAUUUUAAAAAGUUUUUUUAUCUCACAUUAAAAAGAUAUUAUGUUAGGCUUUUAAGUUGAAAUAUUUAAACCAAAAAAGUUUUUUAUCUCACAUUGAAAAAAAUAUAACUUUUUUCUUGGAAACAUAGAGUAUAUAUAUUAUAAUACUAAUGGGUUUUAAAUCCCACAUUGAAAAAACAUAGUUUUUUUCUUGUGAACAUAACAUAGUUUUUUUCUUGUGAACAUAGAAUAUAUAUACUAAUGGGUUUCAAAUCCCACAUUGAAAAAAGAUAACUUUUUUCUUGGGAAUAUAGAGUAUAUUUACUAUAAUACUAAUGGGUUUUAAAUCCCACAUUAAAAAGAUACUAUGUUAUCCUUUUAAGUUGAAGUAUUUAAACUAAAAGGUUUUUUUAUCCCACAUUGAAAAAACAUAACUUUUUUUUUUGAAACAUAAUAUAUACUAAUGGGUUUAAAAUCUCACAUUUGAAAAAAAAACACCGGGUCUCGCCCCGGUUGACCCGCCAGGUCGAUCAAGUUUGGUCAGGUCAUUGCAUCGGCCGGUCUUUUGACAAACAUGGACCGGUUCAGCCCCCAGGUCAACCCGCCAGUCCGUUCAGGUUUAAUAACUAUAGUCCUAACUGACACGAUCAAAGAGUUGAUGUCUUAUCCCAAGUGCAAGAGUGUCAAAGUAAUAAAUAACCCGUCAAGACCGGGGUCGAACCACAAGGAGGUGAAUUAUAUAAAUUAUAAUAAUAAUAAUAAUAAUAAUAAUAAGAACAACAACAACAAUGAUGAUGAUGAUGAACAACAACAGGACUUUGAGAUGUAAGAUAAAUGUGAAGAUUAAAUAAUGAUAAAAACAAAUGUCAAGGUUAGAGGAUCCACUAAUAGUAUUAGAGAUAAGUAAAGUAUAAACUCUUUAUAAAUUAUCAACACGAUCAUAUCAAUCAUCUUAUUUACGUAACACCAUAUUUGUCGCACGUCAGAAAAUUCGUGCGGCAUCGGCUUGCAAUUUUAUCGUUGUUAUGCGUUGAUUUAGGGUCUUAGGAGUCGCCACCUAGUAAUUUAUAGAAGGCUACUAGGAAACCGGAUGAACUGGUCUUGUCAGAGAUUCACGAGUAAGAGACUGGUUGUGGUUAGAGAAGGUAUUAGCACCCCUAACACACCCUACCUGAGGUAAGCUGCUUCGUGGACUUGAUGUGUUAAAGAAGUUUUAAAAAUUCUGUUCUUUCAUUGAAUUUUAGAAAUACGACUUCCAUGUAAGUUCAUAAUUCUUUAUCCGUGAGCAAAUCAAAAUAUUAAAUUCUUCUUUAAUCUUUGCAAUUUUAUCAUAAAUAAAAAAAAAAACAUCCAUAACAAAAAAUAUAAACACACACAUACACCUUCACUGUAUUUUUUCUCUUUUCUUUUCUUUUCUUUUUGUUUUUACAUCCACAAUACAAAAUACAAUUUCAAAAGAACAAACUAAACCAAAAUUACAAUAAUAACCCCAAAACAAUCUGGAAUUUACAGGGAACACCUUCUGCAUCACCAGAACAGUGUCAGGCAGACUUCUGGAGCUGCAAGAACAGUGGUCGCACGUCUCCUCCACUCGCCACCGUGGCUGGUGGCGCGUGGGUUCACGCGCCGCCGCUGACAAUGCCCGAAAAUGGGCGGAUCUGCCCUGCUUUCUUCUUCCCUUCCCUUCUCUGCUGGCUGUGAGAACCACCGUUACCUGCAAAGGGGGAAAAAUAAACACAAUGCAAAGCUUCCGAUCCUCUCCUUUUUUAGAUCUACUAUCUUCUGUCUUCUCUUUCGGGUUUUCUGUUCUUCCCUUCUUCAGGUGGCAGGUCUGCCGGCUUCUUCUCCCCUUCCCCUCUGCAUCAGCGGUGGCUAGUGAGGAUGGAGACUGGCUGCUGUGGUCGGGUCUGUUCGUUGACCCGGAGAGGGAGGCCGAUGGGUCGGCUGAGAGAGGAGAGGAGGUGUUCCCGGGCGUGGAUGCUGCUGGAUGCUCUUCACUCCUGUUGGUGGCAGCAAUGGUUGGCCUUGCUGCUGUUGUCCGGCUGUCACUGGAGGCUGGUUGAUGGAGACCUGUGAGAUGGCCGGGGAGGGAGGCCGAUGGAAGGGAACAGUUGGGAUGGAGAGGGACGGCACUGCUGCUGUUCAGCCGCUGCUGGGGCCGAAUGGAGGAGAGACCUGGCGAUGGAAAUGAGAGAGUGAGGGGAUCCUGUUCUGUCAAAGAGAGGGGCGAGUGAAAGGGAGAUGAGGGAAAUGCAGAGGAGGCUGCUCUGGCUUGGGAAAAGAAGUUGGAAAUGAGGGCUAUCUGUUGAUGACCGGGCUGUGGGAGAAGGAAGAAAAAUGAGUGCUAGUCUUGGGAGAUGUGGAAACGGUGGGUGUUGUCUGUGAAGGGGAGGCUGGUCUGGGUGUGUGGGGGCUGUGGCUGAGGGGAAGGAACGGUGAUCAAGGGGGAGGGGGCUGGACUAUGGCCGGCUGUCACUGGUUGAAGGAAGGCCUGUGGGAAAGCUGGAGAGGCAGAGAGGGAAGAAGAAACCGAAGGGAAAACUUGGGGAAAGGGGAGCAGCGGCUUGUGUGAAGGAAAAUGGAGUGGGCAGCUGUUGUAAAAAUGAAUGGGGUUUUGUGUUGUUGGCUGGCCAAGGAGAAGAAAAUGGGAGGAACGGCGUGGAGAGGAAAACCAAAAACAUGGGGGGCCUGUGUUGUUGGCUAGAAAAUGGGGGAGGGCUGGCGGCUUGGAGAAGAUGAGAUAGGUUUAGGGUUUCUCUUCCCCUCUUCUGAUGUUGUCAAAAUUCUCCCCUGUUUGAGUUGUGGACCAGUAUUUAUAGAUAAAAUGUUGCAUGGAUCUAAAAAUUGAUCCCUCAACUUUUUUUAUUUUUUUUGUAAAUUUGAUUUUUCUUAAUUUUUUUGUAUUUUUUGAAAACGAGCAAUAUCAACGUCGACUCAAUGAAGAAAAUCAAUGAUUUUAAAAAUAACGCGUUGAAAGUUGAACGCGUUCCAAAUGUCUUUGAAAAUUUAAAUUCUUUUGAGACGAUGCUAAAAAAGAUGCAAAUGUAUUAAAAAUGUAUUUUUUGGAUUUUCAAUGUUUUUCGCUAUUUUUGGAUUUUUUCUGAAAAUUUAUCAAAACAUGGGUCAAAAAUUGGGUAGCAACAGAUGCCCCCUCUUUACAAUGCUUACGAAGCAAAACUCCUCAAUGUUUUGCAUAGUAAGCUUUGUAAAGAAAAACUUGUCUUUCUGUCACUCAAUAUCCACUCAUCUAAAGGCCUUGCUCUUUUUUUUUGUUCUCUCUUCCUUCUCUUUUCUUCCUCUUCUUUCUUCCUUUCUUUCUUUCUCUUUUUUUUUUUAUCUUGAGAUCCCAUCUGGCGAUCUCCUUUUCCAAAACCAAAGAAUAUGUGUAGCUCGGUCAACCUGAAAUCCCAUCUGGCGAUUUCCUUUAACCAAAGCUACAUGAGAUCCCAUCUGGCAACCUCAUUAAACCAAAACUAAAAAAAUGUGUGUGUAGUCUUAUUAUGACGGGUGACCUACCCAAAAUGAAAGAUGGUCUCAUUAUGACGGGUGACCUACCCAAAUACAAGAUGGUCUCAUUGUGAUGGGUGACCUACCCAAGUGGAAAAGGGAAAGAGUGGUCUCAUUUUUAUGGGUGACCUACCCAGGGGGAAGAAUGGCCUCAUUAUAAUGGGUGACCUACCCAAGUAAAAAAAUAAUGGAGAAUGAUCUCAUUCUAAUGGGUGACCUACCCAGAAAAAAUGGUAUCAUUGUGAUGGGUGACCUACCCAAGUGGAAAAGGGGAAGAGUGGUCUCAUUCUUAUGGGUGACCUACCCAGGGGGAAGAAUGACCUCAUUAUAAUGGGUGACCUACCUAAGUAAAAAAAUGGAGAAUGGUCUCAUUAUGACGGGUGACCUACCCAAAUACAAGAUGGUCUCAUUGUGAUGGGUGACCUACCCAAGUAGAAAAGGGGAAGAGUGGUCUCAUUCUUAUGGGUGACCUACCCAGGGGAAGAAUGGCCUCAUUAUAAUGGGUGACCUACCCAGAAAAAAAAAUGGAGAAUGGUCUCAUUCUAAUGGGUGACCUACCCAGAUGGAAGAUAGAAAAAAUAUGAAGUGGUCUCAUUGUAAUGGGUGACCUACCCAUAUGGAAGAUGAGAAAAAUGUGAAGUGGUCUCAUUAUUAUGGGUGACCUACCCAGGUGGAAGAUAGAAAAAAUGUGAAGUGGUCGCGUUAUAAUGGGUGACCUACCCAGGUGGAAGAUAGAAAAAAUGUGAAGUGGUCGCGUUAUAAUGGGUGACCUACCCAGGUGGAAGAUAGAAAAAAUGUGAAGUGGUCGCGUUAUAAUGGGUGACCUACCCAGGUGGAAUAUAGAAAAAAUGUGAAGUGGUCGCGUUAUAAUGGGUGACCUACCCAAGUGGAAAGAAUGUGAAGUGUGGUCUCAUUAUAAUGGAUGACCUACCCAGAUGGAAGAUAGAAAAAAUAUGAAGUGGUCGCGUUAUAAUGGGUGACCUACCCAAGUGGAAAGAAUGUGAAGUGUGGUCUCAUUAUAAUGGGUGACCUACCCAGAUGGAAGAUAGAAAAAAUAUGAAGUGGUCGCGUUAUAAUGGGUGACCUAUCCAAAGAAAAAGGAAAGAAUGUGAAAAACGGUCUCAUUAUGAUGGGUGACCUACCUAAAUGGAAAAAUGUGACUUACCUAGCAAAAAGACUUGGCAGGCGAAGUCCUGAUAGGAUAAGGCUGACAAACGGCGCUUCCUAAUUGCAAGGUUUACUUGAAGACUCCUCUUGAUGACGGGGUUAAUCUCCUCGUUUCUUUGAGAUUCUCCUACUGGCAGGGUUCAUCUCAUUCUCUUCUCGUUCCAGGAUCUAAACCGAUUCUUUGUCAUCAUCAACUCAAUGAUUCUUUCUUUGUCCACAACCUUGUUGAACUUCAUUGAGGAUCUUUCUGUAACAAAUCACAAGUAUGUGCAAUGCUUUGAGGUUAGAUGACAUGCAUGCAUCCUUACCUGAUGUGAAAUAUAGGUCCCCCCCUUUGAUGAUCCAUCGUCAUAGGGUGCCUUUGUUUGCUAACCAAAGCCUUCUUUGCUCUUCCCAUGUACUGACUCAUUCGUGUGCUAGCCAUCCACUCAAAUGUAAGUGCAGUGCCCAUCUCGGGCUGUCUACGACGAUUACUACUCUCAGUUGUUCUCAAUGUUGACCAUGCUUCCAAGCGUGGUGUUGCUCGAUUCAUCAUGAAGGAGUUGAACAAAUCAUCCAUCUCCUAGAUUCUCUCAAGAAUUGUCCUUUGAUUGGUUGUGCGUGUUUUGCCACUGCCGGUCAAGAGGUUUUCUAGUGUUUAACCUCAUUUUAGAUGGACUUGCCCCCAGUUGAAAUAACACUCUUCAAGUAUAUAUUAUCACCCGCCUUCUUGGAACUGCUAAGUCAUCCAGACAUGCCUCUCAUACUUUGCAGUAAAAGGCUAAUCAUUGUAAGCUCAAAGUUCUUCUCCAUAGAUUCCUCUCAGCUUGUCAAAUCAGAUCAGGAAAGGAAAUGCGUUGGCAUCAUCAAUGAUGUUCAUCACCCAUAUUCAUGCGGUGAAGUGUACAUUUGAGCUUCAAAGCAGAUGGUCCCACAGUCAGUCUUGGUGGGUGCAUCUUUCCAACAUUCAUUCAAAUGCAACUAUGCGAUAACAUCAUUCAAAAGUCAUAGCCAUGUUGGAGAUGAUAAACCAUGAUGAAGAUAUGAAAAUAUCCUUCAAAUGCAGCGUUGUUCAUCAAUUGCUGUUGAAGUUCACUAGAUCACAAACUGUCUUUGAACAAUAUUGCCCCCAGCAAUGAUUUGAAUGCUUGUUCAUCUGUCUAUAAUCAAGAAGUUUUUUUUUCUUUGUCAUUGCCAGAUGCUAAACAUAACUUCGAUGGACUUUGACGACUCAUCAUCUGAUUUUUUUUUUGCUUUGCCCUCAGCUGAUCUGAAUACUGCUUGUUUUCCUACCUAGGAUCCACUGUAUUGCCCCUAGGUGGUCAACUUUUCAAGGAGUGUCGAGAAAUGUUGAUGUCAUUCUUGUCAAGGAUUUUGCAAAUUCAAUCGAUGUUCUUCUUGUUUGACAAUCUUCCUUGUUCUGGAAUCAAAUCUCAUAUUUCAACGCUCAUGUCUAUUCAAAUCUAAUUGUUGAAAUGAAAUCAGAGAGAUGUCAAUUUUGAAAAGUAUUUUCUGGAAAUCAAGCUUGUUUGGUCAAAGAUCCAACACACGCUAUUCAAUGAAGUCCUUUAAUUGUCUUGUAUUUUGAAGACAGAAAUAACUCGUUGUAAGAUUAAAAUGACUUUUUUCGUGGUUCUUUGUGUCAAUUUUAAUCUUUGAUCUUAGGUAUAUCUUUUGAUGGCCUGCGAUGAGGUGACCUUCUGUGGAUUUCAAGAAACAAAAGGCUCAAGUCAAAACUUGAGGAUUCAUCAAGAAAGAUUGUUUUCUUUUUUAGCACCAAUUUUAUUAGCAUGCAUAAUAACAAGUAGCUUAAUCCAUGAAGUCACGACCCUUAUGGAAAAGCUCUUCAAGUUUUGAGAUCGUCAUUUAUCGGUUCAGAUUGCUUACUUGAUUAAAAAAAGGCUUUUUACAGCACGUAAUGCAUGCUAUGGUUCAUGGCUUAUGAAAGAAAGGAAAUUCACAGGCUCAAAAGGUGUUUGAGGGUUUUAAAGACCUAGGAUCAACAUCAAUUAUUCAUCAACUCCUUUUCUAUUGUUGUCUUUGUAGAGACGACAUAGAACCUUGUUAACCUCAAAGAUCAGACUUCUCUUAACAUAAGUCAUAAUGCAAAUCCACCUUUCCUUGAUGAAUAACCAACCUCAAUCAUCUGAUAACAUCAGAGGUUUUAUAAUGGAUAUCAAAAGUCACGUUUAUAGCUUAGUCUUUCUUCUGCUAUUGACUUUUGUUGUCUUUCCUUGAUGUCUUUCUUCUGCUAUUGACUUUUGUUGUCUUUCCUUGAUUGAAAUUUCUUUUGCCAAGACUUGAUAGACAUUCUCUUUCCUUUAUCUUUGACUUGCCUUUAAGUGAAGGCAAUUUCAACUUCUUUUUUUUUUUUUCAUAGCCUUCCUCAAAAUUUUCUUAUAUGCCCCCAGCCUAUGUGUUUUCUUUUAGCCCUCUCUCAAUCAUUGGACUUUUGUUCUAAGCCUUCCUUUUAUCCAUUAAUGUCUUCAAAAUAUCUCUCAUUGCCCCCAGUGUGGGGUGUGGUCCUAGUCAGGGUUUCUUUUUGAAAGAAAAUAUUUUACAAGGCUAAAAAAUGGGACUGCAAGGGAUAUAAUCUUUAGAAAGUGAAGGGAUAUCAAAGAUGACAUUUUCUCAUUUCAAGCAAGGUCGGUUAGAACCGAUAAAUUUUGACCUCAUCCAGUGUAAUGAUUGGGACUUGUAAGAAUAAUGAUUCACGAGUCCAUAACUAUCGAAUCCACUACAUGUCAUUAUGCAUACUGCUAAAACUUAGCUAUAUGAUGUUUUUUUCAGUUUCAGGAGGUAUGAGUUCAAAAUUGUUUGGUCACCUCAUGUCAUUUUCAAGAAUCAAGUCGUUUCUGCAAUCAAAAUAUUUUUAAUCUUCAGGAUUAAUUAAUCUUAAUCGUAUGUUCGAGCUUGAUCAAAAAUAUUUGUGUCAAAAUAGCCUUUGAAAGAAGCAUCGCUUGAUUUCAAAACAACAAGAAGACAAAGAGAAGACAUGUUUCGUUGAAGGGUGAGAUGUGAUCCCAAAACAAAAUGCAGAAUGCUAAAAUCCCAUAACAAAAAUGAUUGACAAUUUGACCCCUUCUUGGAUCACCUACUCUGGCGAUAUCUGUGUUUCACCGAGUCAAUUUCGAUCACUUGUCAUUCUGAGGAUGUUCUGGUGACAACAUGAUUGAUGACAUCAUCUUUCACAAACUCAGCUCGAUUCUUGAAACUCUUGUGUCUGUUCAACUGAAAUGGUUCACGAACCCUCCAUGAUAUUCACAUCUGGUUUGAAUUAUACCACGGUGGUUGCAUGCAAUUUGUCGAAGUCCGGGGCACUAAGUCUGGAAUCUGGCAGAUGCUAGUCGACAAACUUAAGUGGCAGAGGGAUGUCAAUCUUGGCAAAGACAUUUGAGCCAUUGAUGCUACAAUGAGACCUGGCUAAACCACAUAACUAUGGUUUUCCAUCUUCAGAGUCAUCUCCUUAUUCAACUCCCUUCACAGUUCUGAAAUCCACGGUAGAGCCUUCAAUCUUUCCCAUCUUGAUAGUUAGCUCUAUUCUUUUGGCAAUCCUCACAACAUCAUGUCAAUCUUCCAAUGUUGUUGCGGUUGUAUGAGAAUUGUUGGAACCCUCCACUAGCUAGGUAAUCUUGGCAGCAUACAGAAACAUGCAGUACCACCACUGCCGACGUGUGGAAUCACGCGUUGUCUCAACUGGAAGAGAACUUGAUGAAUCUAAAACUCCUUUGUCUCCUCUUUGAUUCCUCACUGACGGCGCAUCAAACAGACACCUGUAGAGGGAGUUCUGCUCCAUUGAAGUUUCAGUCUUAUUCCCGUUUUUCAGCCCACGUUUGUCUCUUCUCCCUACUUUUGUGUUUUAAUUCCAACACUGGUAGGAGAAAAUUGUAGACGAUCUGAAACUACUGCAUCCCUUCUUGGAUUCCUCACUUACAGAUCCACAAACAAAUCUCUAUAGAGAGAGCUCUGCCACAUAGAAGUUUGAUGUCUGCUUAUGUUUUUCAGACCAGGUAUGGCUUUUCAACCCACUACAGUGUCUUCGUACUGAAACUGGUGGCGUAAAUUUUCAUAUCUUCUGAAACUACUACAUCCCCUGUUCUGCUAGGAAAACAUGAUAUCAGUAUCUAACUUUUGAACAAAGAGUUCAGCAUCAAGUCUCAGUCAUCUUGAGAUUUGAAUGCCCAUAUAUAUUCACAUGCUCAUACAAUAACAUUUUUAAAAAUGCAUUAUGCAUUAGAAACAGAACAUCAAACAAAGAGUUCAGCAUCAAGUAGAACGCAUGAAAGUCCACACAUUAAACCAAAAGAAACACAAAUGGGCAAGCAAACAUACGCCCUUACUUCUGGAGGCUUGUACGAUAAUGACUACACACACAACAUUACAUUACUUCUAACUUCUUCAGCAAACACGUAGAUAGAUAAGUCGCAAUCUUCUAUGGUAAAUAAGACUGUUACAAUGUGAAGCCAAUUUGUAUCCCAUUGCCAAUGAAACAGUUGGAAUUAAUUACUUCCCACCCAUCUAAAACAUACUCGCAGCACCAUCCUUGAAAUCAUGUAACAGCUAACCAACCUUGCCUGAUGCAAACAUGAAGAACAAAGACAAUCCAUGAUUUAAUUCAACCAUUAAAAUUUGAAGGUAAAGGAGAGGAUAAAUAAUCUUCAGCUAUGUCACCUGGUUUGGGCAAGAAAGAAUUAUUAGACUAGCAAUCAUCAUCAUCAUCAUCUUCUUCUUCUUCUUCUUCUAUUUCUUUCCACCCAUUAUUUCUGGUCCACUGUCUAUUAAUGCUUGAAUAUUCAGCUACUUCAGAUACCUGUAAACCAAUUCAAGCAAGGCAUGCUCAUUUUAACUUGUAAAUCUUAUUAUUGAGCCAAACAAGAAACAAACACACUAAAAGAGAGGCAAGAAAUCGAGUCAAAUCAGCAGCACCUCUGAUUGAGCACUCAUUGAACCAUCUGGUGUACUAGCAAAUUUUGUGGUCAGCUUUGGACAUUGAUGGACCGUCAACUCCUCCAAACGAGGGAAUAAGAAAUAAUCACACCAUCCGAAACUAAAACGGACAAUACUUGAUAAUUGUUCUAGCGACAACUCCUUUAGAUUAGGAAGCACUAUCUCCUUCUCAACGUUGAUAGGUGAAGCUUGACCAUCCUGCCCAGGAGACUCUGGAAUUAUUUCCCUUUCACCAUCCUCUUCUCUGAUAAUAUGCUUCAAUUGACCGCAUUUACGUAUGUAAAGUAUUUCUAGCUGUGGUAGACUUCGAGCGAGGGACGGUGUGAAGAUAAAUGUCAGUUUGUCGAGAGAAUACAAAUCCAGAAUAUUUAGACUUUGGAGGCUGACAUGUCCGGUGGGCCAUAUGCAUUUGAGGUCAGGUAAAAUUUGCAGCUCUAACUCUGUUAAAGAUGACAGCAGCGGCAUCUCCUUCUCCUCAGUGCUUCCUUCAUCAGGCUCACCUAAUUCAAAUACCUCUUCCAGUGAUUUGCAGCACUCAAUUUUCACAGUGCUUAGAUUUUUCAGGGCUCGCAGCAAUUUUGCUGGAAACGGAGCACGAACAUCCCCACAAUCCCUCACUCGUACAAAUUCUAAUCUUUGUACGGAGCCGUUUUGCUGUUCAUGGGCGGCCAUCUGAUCAGAGAACAAUAUUAUAUUUUUUCACUCUCAUAAAAACAAUUUAUACGAUGUAUAAAUAGGAGAAAAAAAUAGAAAAAAGAGGAUUAAAUACUUUUUAGAGAUUACAUAUUAUUGUUUUAGUUUUGUUCUUAAUUAGAGAUAAGUUGAAUAAUAAUUAGAUGUUUGUGAAAAAAAGGUUAAUACAACUCCUAAUAAUUAGUUUCAUGUAAAAAAUAAAAAUAAAAAUAGUAACUAAGAUUUUUAUUUUAGUUAUAAAGUUAAUAAAUUUUUAAAGAUAUUUUAAUUGACUUCAAAAUUUUCAACACAAAAUUUAUGCUCUUAUAUAUUAAUGAUUUUUUUUGUGAAGUUAUUUGAUGUAAUUUGGUCUAAUUUUUAUCCAGAUAGAUUACCUCCAAAGUACCCUUCCAUAUACACCUCGUGUCAGGCACGGAGUCCAAGCUUAAUGUUUUCAAAUUUGUGAACCCCUGCAUCAAAAGAAAUUUUGUGCACUUUGGAAUUGUCCAUAUAAAACUUCAGCCAAAAACUUAUCAACAAAAGGAUAGAAGUAGACAUGGCAAUACGGCAUGGGAAUAUGAAAUCAUAAGUUUUUGAAGAUAUUUUAAUUGAAUUAAAUAUUUGAACACAAAAUAAGCUAAUAUGAUUUCUAUGAUUAAUUGUUGGCAUUAAGUUUCUUAUAUUUAUAUAUGCUUAGAUAAAACAAAAAAAUAAGCAGUGACGAAGAAAGAAUAAAUCUAACAGAUAAUAUAAAAGCUGCAGGACUGAAACGAACAACUCAAUAUUAGCAGAUGGAGGUUUAUCUUCCUCUUCAAAUACUUCCAUUAAUUGGGGGAAGAGCCUCAAUUUCACUCAAACUUGGAAAGCGUAAAGAUUGAAAAAUCUGGAUAUCAUUUCAUUACAAUAAUUAAUUUCUUACUUCUUAAGCCCUCCAUCAAGAGACAGGGAAUGAUACAGUUAGACAACUCCUUUUCAAUUUAAUGGAUGGCUAAAGGAUUCAUCUCCACUUAUCAAUUACUUCAGUUUCAGAAAUUUAAAGGAAGAAAUCAACAUGUAUUGAAGUUGACAAUUUAAAUUAAAAAGGAAAAAAAAAAAUUGGAGGAAUAUAAAGGACGUACCUGGAGCUGUGCAAAGAAAUUUUCCAAUUCUUUGUGGCCAUAGAUGGUUAGACUUUUCAAAGAAGGCAAUUGUGCAGCAAAAUUCUUUGGACCAAAAAAGCUGUAAUUUGAUCUGGAAGAAAGAUCCAAUUCACUUAGUUGAGGGAACUUGAUGAUGCCAUCUGUGGUGAGUGUAUCUCCUUCUCCACUAUAAAACAUUUGCUUUAAAUUGUCAGCAUCAGAAAUCGUCAUCUUUUCCAGGUUUAGAAGGCUUGGAUACACAGAGACAGGGAGGACAUAUUCCAGUUUACCACACUCUUUUAUGAUAAUUGUUUUUAAUAUUGGAAAGUAAGGAGACUCUUGAAUUAUCUCCCUUUCAUCAUCCUUUUCUCUGAUAAUAUGCUUCAAUUCACCGCAUUUACUUAUGCGAAGGCUUUCUAGCUUUGACAGACUGUAAGCAAGGGACGGUGUGAAGAUAAAUGUCAGUUUGUCGAGAUAAUUCAAAUCCAGAUGAGCAAGACUUUGGAAGCUGACAUUUCUGGUGGGCCCCUUCCAUAUGCAUUUGAGCUCAGGUAACCGGUACAGAUUUAACUCUGUUAAAGAUGGCAGAAGCGGCAGCUCCUUCUCCUCACUGCUUCCUUCAUCAGGCAGCUCACCUAAUUCAAAUACCUCUUCCAAUGAUUUGCAGUCCUUAAUUUCCACCUUCCUUAGAUUUUUCAGAUCUGGCAGCAAUUUUGCUGGAAACGGAGCCCCACAAUCGACCACGUGUACAGAUUCUAAUCUUUGUAAGAAGCCGUUUUGCUGUCCAUGGGCGGCCAUCUUAUCAGAGAACAAUAUUAUAUUUUUUCACUCUUGUAAAAACAAUUUAUAUGAUGUAUAAAUAGGAGAAAAACAUAGAAAAAACAGGAUUAAAUACUUCUUAGAGAUUACAUAUUAUUGUUUCAGUUUUUUUUUCUUAAUUAGAGAUAAGUUGAAUAAUAAUUAGAUUUUGGAGAAAAAAAGGUUAAUAACUCCUAAUAAUUAGUUUCAUGUAAAAAAUAAAAAUAAAAAUUGUAACCAAUAUUUUUAUUUUAGUUAUAAAGUUAAUAAAAUUUUAAAGAUAUUUUAAUUGAAUUAAAUAUUUGAACACAAAAUAAGCUAAUAUGAUUUCUAUGAUUAAUUGUUGGUAUUAAGUUUCUUAUAUUUAUAUAUGUUUAGAUAAAACAAAAAAAUAAGCAGUGACGAAGAAAGAAUAAAUCUAACAGAUAAUAUAAAUUACGUAAACCAUGAGGCAGUUAAAUCUAACAGAUAAUAUAUUUCAAAUGAGGCAGUUAAAUCUAACAGAUAAUAUGUUCUUCCAUAUGAUUAAUUUUUAAUAAGGCAGACAACAAUGAGGCAGUUAAGUUUCUUAUAUUUAUAUAUGUUUACAUAAAAAAAUAAAAAUAAGCAUUUAUCAAUUACUUUACUUUUAGAAAUUGGGAGGAAGAAAGAACAAAUUAUCGCAAUUGACAAUUUAAAUUAAGUGGAGAAAUAUAAAUUACGUACUUGUAGCUGUGCCAACCAAUUACCCACUUCUUCGUGGCCUUCAAUGGUUAAUUCUUGCAAAGGCAAUUGAGCAUCAAAAUUCCUUGGACCUAAAAAGCUGUAAUUUGAUCUGAGCACAAGAGACAAUUUUCUUAGUUGAGGGAACUUGAUGAUGCCAUCUCUGUUAUGAGACAAAGAGACUGGGAAGACAUAUUCCAGUUUACCACAGUAAGCUACAUGGAGAGUUUCUAAUUCUGGGAAGCAAGGAGACUGUGGAAUUAUUUCCCUUUCACCAUCCUCUUCUCUGAUAAUAUGCUUCAAUUCACGGCAAGCAAUUAUGGAAAGUCUAUCUAGCUUUGGCAGACUGUAAGCAAGGGACGGUGUGAAGAUAAAUGUCAGUUUGUCGAGAGCAUACAACUCCAGAUUAAUAAGACUUUGGAGGUUGACAUGUCUGGUGGGCCCCUUCCAUAUGCAUUUUAGCUCAGGUAAUAUUUUCAGCUUUAACUCUGUUAAAGAUGACAGCAGCGGCAUCUCCUUCUCCUCACUGCUUCCUUCAUCAGCCUCACCCAAUUCAAAUACCUCUUUCAAUGAUUUACAGCUGUCAACAAUCACCUCCUUUAGAUUUUUAAAACCUUGCCGCAAUCUUGCUGGAAACAGAGCGAAAACACCCCCACAAUCCCUCACUUUUACAGAUUCUAAUUUAUGUAAAAACAAUUGCUCAAAUGUCUUCGCAUUUAAGGAUGUACCAACCAAAACUAAGGAGGUUGGGUAUCGAUCCCAAAACCUUAUUUCAUAUUCAUUAGCAUACCCUAAUAUUAUAUGAUAUUUGCGCAAGCUGACUGGAAAAACAAAAUCUCUGGGAAUGCAUUCAACCUUCGGUAUCCUCAAUGAUAAUACGGCUAACUGAGACAACGAAUUUAGUUCUUUUAGGCUUGCAUUCAUUCCUCCUGUGCUGUCACAUCCAACAACAUCCCAUCCAUCAAAUCUGCAACCCCCGAUCAACAGCUCUUCUAACUUCUUCAACCUUCCAAUCAAAUUCACAGGGAUCCUUCUUAGCCUGUAACAACCUGUCACAUCCAACAACCUUAACUCCUUGAGCUCUCCUAUUUCAUCAGGUAAUUCUUCAAUGGAUGAGCACCACAUAAGACCAAGUAUCUUAAGUCUCUGCAGCUUUCUCAACCAAAUGAGGUCCUUGCAAUUACACGAGAUCAACACCAACGAUUGAAGUUUCGUUGAGAGUUCAAGUGAUUGCAAUGACAAACACCCUCCCUUCAGAGACAAAACUUUAAUUUCUUUCAUCCCUUCAAAGAACCUCUGAGGAACAUUCAAACGAUUAUCCAGUUCUAAUAAUAGAACUUUGAGCUGUGGACAUACCAAUCCUUCAGGAAGUUCUGCUAGUUGAUUGCCCAUUAACGAAAUUGUUGUACAACCUUCAAAGCUUGUAUCGCUCAUUGGCCACUUCUCUAACCGUAAGCCAGCCUUUACCAUGAAUCCAUAUUCUUCUGAUGCUAUGUGAAUAGCAACAUCACGAACAAGGUCAUGCAUUUUCACAUGUUCUUCAGUUUCAGAGCCCAACACCAUGCAACAAUCUUUGAGGUUUUCGAUUGCCACAGAAACACGUUUCCUUGCAUCUUCAAUGGGCUCCGUGUCGUGAUGUAACCCAUAGUCAACUGCAUAUCUCGUCAAGUCCUGGAUUGGAAUGUCAUAGUCUUCUGGAAAUAAACAGCAUAGCACGAAACAUGACUUGGUUUCCUUGAGCUGCAAAUAAUCAUAGCUCAACUUAAGACAUGUAUAAGCAUUAUUUUUUUCGUCAAUUUGUUCCAUGCAAGCAAAUUUAGAUUCUUUGAGCUGUCUACACGCGAAUUCCCACUGAAGUGCAGAUUGAUCUCUUAGAGCCCUUCCCACUGUCACAAGUGCUAUGGGCAAGCCUUGACAUUCUCUCGCAACCUCCCUUGCCACUGUGUUCAAGGUAGGGUGCCCAUCAAGUAAAUCUGCAUUGAUUCUGAAUAAAUCCCAUGCUUCUUUUUCAGGUAAUUCUCUUAAGAACACCUUUUGCUGGCAUUUCAUAGAAGAACAUACAUUUGUACGACGUGUUGUUAGAAGUAUUUUACAACCCCUGUGAUCAUCACCAAAUGGGAUCCCUAUCUCUUUCAAGUCAAUAUCUUUCCAAACAUCAUCUAGGAUAAUAAGCAUCUUCUCCACUUGCUUCAGUCUCUUCCGUAAUAGAUCUGCUCUCCCUGGAUUAGUAUUCUUUUCUUUAAUAUUCAUCAGUUCUAACUUAUCUGCCAUUAGGUGCUGAAUGUCUUUGACAAUUGGAUUCUGCGACACCGUAGCAAUCAAAACUUCAUCAAAAAGCUGCGACUCUCUGGCUAUCGUGCCUACUUCUUUCACCAGGGUGGUUUUGCCCACCCCUCCCAUGCCGUACAGUCCGAUCAUAUUGACAUUGUCAUCUUUGAGAGCUUCCAUAAUCUGUUUGAAAGCUUCUUCUGACGAUUUUGAGGGCGUGAAUUCCUUUGAUGGAAGAAAUUCUAUGGGCUCAGGAUGAGCUCUGUGGGACACUUUUGUAGACUUUUUUUCUAAAAGUUCUCUGAAAGUCUCCGACUUCUUGGCCAGUGCCUUGCUUAACUUGAAUUGUCGCAUGCAGUUUGGACACCAAGUGAAGCAUUUGCCAUUUUUUCCUAUUUCAUUUUCCAAGGGUUUCGCAUCUUCAAUUUCGUUGUUUGCAUCUCCCAGCCACUUUUUGACAUCUUCGUAAAUUUCUUCAGCAUUCCUGUCAGCAGCUUUGACAUCGUCUUGCAGACGUUCUUUUUCCGAAACCAGCUGCUCCUUCUUUUGUUUGAAUUCCUUAACAAAAUCGUUGAAACAGAACAUGUAACGCAACUGCCUUCCUACUGGUUCCACCAUGAGUUCUGCAAUCUUAGAUAUAAUGGAUCCACCCACACUUUCGAUAGCCAUUUUCCACCGACCUGAAAAUCAGAGAAAUAAGGAUACACAGAACGUGAGAGUGAGUCACUACAAGUAAAACAGGCGCAGAGAGAAUGGGAAUAGGAAUUUCAUUACCUUAACUUGAGAAAAUAUGUGCGAAAAGCACUGGUACUGAUUGCUCAAUGAAAUGGAGAAGGCCUUUAGCUCUGUAUGGAAUCCAGCUUCAAAAGCAACAAGGCAAGGUAUAAGGAUUCUACUGACACUUGUGAGUUAAAGCAGUAAUUCCCAUUAAAAAUGCAUUUUGAUGACAUAAUUAAGAUCAUAUAGAGACAGUGACAAACAAAAAAGAAAGAAACGAGUGAAAGGUCCAGGAUAAUCACUCAGCCCGCUUCCAACCACAAAUAUAAUUAACUAAUCUAAGCUAUGAUCGGUCAAAGUCAAAGUUUUUUUUAGUUUUAUUCUUUUUUUAAAUAAAAAAAACAGGAAAAGACUUGCAAAGAAAUAGAAUUACUGGAAUGAACACAAUAAAGGAUGAAGCUCAAGCAAUUAAAAAUAAAUUAUCUAUGAUGAUCAUCUGUUUGUCACACUCAAUGAAGUAACAUGAUUGACCUUUUACAAUAUUAAAUAAAUAAAUAAAUAAAAGCUAAAAGAACUAGGUUUUUGGUGGCAUCCAGAUUGCGGUUACUUUCUUCAUCCUUCUUUUGUGGUUUUAUUUUAUUUCAGUCCUUCAAAUCUUUUUCUUUUGCUAUUUCAUCGAGUUGCUUUGCUCGAGUUGAUGUGCUUGCCCUAGAAUAUGCAUCAUGCUAGGGAUUACAAUUACAUUACAUAAGAAAUUAUACUUACAGAUUAUAAUUAAAAAUUUCAGUUUUUUUUUAAAAACAAAUUUAUGAGAGAGUACCAAUUUACAACGUGAGUAAAUGAAAGGAGAAUUUUAAAUCUUUUUGUGACAUGGUGACCAGCUGAUCCAAGUAACCAAUAGAUUAUCACCACUUGUUCAACCUAUCUGCACAUUAAGAUAGGGGUAGUCAUAACUAUGACUAGGAGUGAGCAAAAAAACCGAAAAACCGAUUUAACCAAGAAAACCAGAAAAAAAUUAACCGAAAAAACCGAACCGGUAAAAAAAACCGAUUGAACUGGUUAAAAUAUUUAGGAAAAUGUCCGGUUCGGCUUCCGGUUUUGGUGUGCCUAAACCAGCCAACCCGAACCGAACCGAACCGGUUCGGUUUAGGAAUGAAAAAAAAAUAUAAACCAAGCGGGUCGCCUCCUCCCAUUACUUUCCCUUUCAACAACCCUAGCAGACCAUUUAUUUGUUUUCCCUUUCACACAGCCGCCCCCUCCCCUCCAACCCUUUCAAUCUUCAUUCACACUUCACAGACAUAGCCGCCCCCUUCAAUCACCCCUACUCCCAUUAACAGCCGCUCCCUCCCAUUAACAGCCGCCUCCUCUUCACCAGUCAACGAGCUUAGGCUAUUCUCGGACAACCAUUCUUCGAAUCUCGAAAGAAACCGCCGUGCGUGUGAGGUGGCGAAACUGUUACCGCUUCUAGAUCUUCUUCAAUCUAUUGCUUCUAUCAAAGCCGAUUACAUCGCUCAGGUAAUCUUGUCAUGUAAUUACAUAUUUAAUUAAUUAUUGCUUGUUGAUUUUAUAUUGUUUCUAUUUUUCAAUUUUGAUGUGUUAAUUAUUUUGAACAAUGUAAAAAUAAAGGUGGACGAAAGAACACAAUUUGGAAAGGAAAUUGGAAUCGUUGUCCCUGUCUCAGAUUCUCAAAAGACAAUCAAUCGCAAACAGUAUGUCCUCCAUUUUUUUUUCUUCUUUUCUUUCUCACUGGUAGAUUGGAAUUUGAAACUGCCAACAAAAGUUUGUAUUCGAAGUUAGCUUUUUGAAAAUUGACCCUAUUAUAUAUUUACUGUGGCUUAAGCUUUGAGAUAUUGCAUGAUUAUGAAUUAGUUUAUAUGAGUUGAAACUUGAAACAUAGUCUGACAAGGAUGGAUUAACCAAUUGCUGGGAAAAUAGUUUUCAAAUCUCUUUGAAAAAUGUCUGAUGCUGCGACAUAAGUCACAUAACAGACUCGAUUUGAAGGGAAUCUUUGAGAUAUUGCAUGAUUAUGAAUUGGUUUAUAGAAAUUUGCUGGAUUGAUUUUUUUUCUUUUUCUUUUUUAAAAGGGAAUUUAAUUAAAAUACAUUUUUUUCAUCUACUUUUUAAGUUUAAAUCUUAGAAUUAAUAUCCAAAAAAUUUCACCUUUGCUCGCUAAAAUAUAAUUUUAAUCUUAACAAAAAACUAUAUCUUAAAAUUGACUGUGUUGCUAUCCAACUAAGAAAUUGACUCAAGUGGCUUAGUGAUAUAUAGUGGGGACAUUCUAUUUUAGACAUGCAGCUUGUUGCCUUGUUCUACUUUAUUCUAUAAUCUAUUUGAGAAAAAUGUUGUUUAUUUCUUCUAGACACUUUAGUCUUCCAAAUUUCAGUUGUAACCAGCAAGCAUAGAGGUUAUGAUAGAGGUUAUGUAUUGGGAAGAUGAACUAUCUUUUUAUUUGCAGUGGCUGUGAAACUCUCUUUCUGUGUGUCUCUGUCUCGUGUGCGUGUGUAUAUAUGCACCUGUAAUUCUUGCUUCUCUCCAGUUCCUUUCGUUUGCAAGUUACUGUUGCUAGAGUAGGUGCAACUAGUUCUUUCCUCUACAAGUCGGGUUUGGUAAGAUUGAUUAUAAAGAAAAAGGUAUUGGUAAUGCACAAUUUGAUUUUAGUGUUGAUGUUAAGUGUGGCUUGUUUUAUGAUGGAUAAUUAUGUUGACAAUAUUGGGCUUCAUGAAUGAUGAUGCCAGUUUAUUUAUGGUCUUAAUAAGCUAUAUUACUGCUGGAUUUGUGCUCUUUAUUUAUAUGGCAAAUUCUUAUUCAAAUCUUUGAUAUUUAUCGCUAAUGAAACUUCAAUCUUGCCUCAAGUUGUCGACCAAGUCAAAAUUCCUCCUACAAGUAUACAAUAUUGUUUUAUUAUAAUGUUAUAAUGUUAUCGCUAAUGAAACUUCAAUCUUGCCUCAGGUGCUCUUUAUUAUUAUAUUGAUAUUAAAAAUAAUUUUAAAAAAUAAAAAAAAUAUUAUUUUAAAAUAUUUUUAAAAUAAAAAAUAUUUUAAAAAACAACUAUUUAUUCAAGGACUUAAAAUAAAAACCUUAAAAUCACGGCAUGAUAAAAGGAGGAAGAAAGGAAUGGGACAAAGAAGGAAGAAAAUAAGGUCAUGUAGGGGGCCAGUCUUGUAUAAAAUAGAAGAUGAAAAUUAGUAUGAAAAAGAGGCUAUUUGUUUUUUUACUGUGUCAGAGUGGUUUUUAUAAUUAUAUUCAAUUUAUUAAAAUAUUAAAUUAAUAUAUUUUUAAAUGUUUCUUGUUAUUAUAUAUAUAUAUAUAUAUAUAUAUAUAUAUAUAUAUAUAUAUAUAUAUUCUAAUAUGUUUUUAAAUAAAAAAUUAUUUUAAAAAAAUAUGUGUCACAAUACUAAAUUAUAGUAUAAAUUAAAAUAUAAAAGAGUUCUCUGUUUAUUACUAUUUACCGAGACUUAUUUUAUUGUAGAUAUUAAUAGUGAAUUUUUUUAAAAUUUUUAAUUUGGUAUUUGAAUUAUUUUUUUUUCAUAAUUAAAUAUCUUUAUACCCAAAUUAAAACUCAAUUGCAUUUUGUUUUUUAAGAAUAAGAGUUGAAUUCAAAGAUAAAUGCCUGUAAUGAAAAACUCUGUAAAAAUAUGCGGCAACAUUGUAAUUGUUUGCAAAGUUCAUUUUAGUCCCUUAUCUUUUUGAGCUACUAAGUAACAUGUCCCUAUAAUUUCUCAACAUUACAUUUUAUCCAGAAUCUCGGAUUAUGCUUUAGGGACUAAACUGAAUUUUUUAUAAAUUGAGAGACCAAACUGAAAUUUUAUCAUCUUCAAUCUCAAAUCUAAAAUUUUCACAUAUCACCUACUGAUAUAACAAGAUUUCUAACUCAAAUUCACCAUUUAAACAAACCAUAACUCAAAAUCAUCAUUUUUACUUAAAAUCUUUCAAAAUCAACUAAAUAACUCAUUAUUCAUAACAAUCAAUACAUAAUAUUCAAAUCAAUUCAUCAAUCAAACCCAAAACACAAUAUUCAAAACCCUCAUAUUCAACAAAACAAAAAAUUAAAGCUAAGAAAAACACAUUUAUACACAUCAAAGCGUAAAUAUUCUUAUCUUUUAAUUUAUUUUCUCUAACUAUCUUAUCCUUUCUUUAUCUUUUCCUCUUUUCUCUUUUUCUUCUUUCACUCUCACGGUUUUUUCUCUAAGAAUUCAAAUCUCUCUUUUUUUUUUCUAUUUAUAUUUAUGAACUAUUUGUUCAAUUACUACAAUACCGUUCAUUUAUUUAUACCUACUUCUAAGCCUCCAUGAGUUUUGUUGUCUUUUUCUAUUCUCUUUUAUUUCCAAAUCAUCACAAUAAAAUUGUUUUCUUUUUAUUUAGCUGCUAAUUUAUGCAGCUUUAGCUCUUGUUCUCUUUUCAUGUUUAGCAACUCUGAUCUGUUCCUUUCUUUACAUGAUAUAAGAGCAGGUUCUUACCUCUUGAAGUCUGCUGGAUAAACCUAUCAGCAGAAGAUCCUGAAGCGAUCCCAAAUCACAGCUUCAAUCCCCACCACAACCAAUCUCCUCUUUCCCGUAGUCUGUCGUCCUCAAUUGGGAAAUGAUCUCAAAAAAUCACUUGAUGCAACAAGUAGGGUAGAGAAAUAUAAGACUUCAACAAAGAAUCAAACUCAAAAAAAUAAAAGUAAUUGUCUAUGAGAAGCAUUUCUGUGUCACACACUCAAGUAAUAUGAUUGACCUAUUACAUUAUACAAAAUAAUAAUAAUAAUAAUAAUAAUAAUAAUAAUAAUAAUAAUAAUAAUAAUAAAAGAACUAGGUUUUUGAUGGCAUCCAGAGUGCUGUUACUUUCAAACAAAGAGGCUUGUGCAUGCGGUGUUACGCUGUUCAUGUAGGCUAAGAUAUCCUAUGAAUACAAUUGUAAAAUCAUACAAUUGUAUUCUUUUUAUUAAGCUGCUAAUUUAUGCAGCUUUAGCUCAUGUUCUCUCUUCUUGUCUUGCUAUUCUGAUUUUAUCUUUUUCUUUGCAUGAUAUAAGAGCAGGUUCUUACCUCUUGAAGUCUGCUUCAAUCCCCGUAGUCUUCCGUCCUCAAUUGGGAAAUGAUCCAAAAUCAACAACCGGUUCGGAGAUAGUUUGAGUGAAAAGAAACGGCUGAAAGAUGAAAUGUGAAGGUUAUGGUGAGAAAUUAGAUGACAAACUUACUUUGUCCUCCUAAUGCUUUUGCUUUCAUUGUUUCGAAAGUAAAAGAGACAUAAACAUAAUCAGUGUGUUUUCUGUUUAGCAAUAGCUAGAAAGGUAUCUGCUUAAAAAGACCAUUGAACAAGGGAUGACCCAUUCAGCAAGGGAUUCUGCUAGGAAAACAUGAAAUUGUUCUUCUAUUUGAUAUUUGUUUCAAUCUUCUAAACAAAUAGUACAGCAUCAAGUCUCAGUCACCUAUUCACGAAAUUGUUGUAUUUCUAAUGACUAUGCUAAUAAAAAAGUUGAGCCAGCAUGACACAUGAAAUUCAAAAAUAACAAAAUAACAUGAGAAAAUAAAUAUUUAUAUUAUAAUUAUGCAUCUUAAAAAAUCACUUGAUGCAACAAAUAGGAUAGACUUCUAGGAAAUUCUUUCACUGUAAAAUGGCUGAAGGUUCUUUUAUGAACAUUUAUAUUAAAAAAUUGGGUCAAUUGAUCUUUGUUAUUUAACAUGAAUAAAGUGUUGAUUUAGUCUUGUAGUUAUUAUAUCAAAGUUUUUAUUAGUUUAUGCACGAUCCCUUAUUUUACUUGCUUUAUUUUUUUUAAACCCAGCUUAGUUUCAAUCUCGAAUCUAUCGGGUCCCACUACCAGAUAUUCGCUAAAUACCAACGGAUUUACCGACGAAAUAUUUUCUGUCGGUAUUUUGAGGUCGAAAUUACCGACGGCCACUUUCCGUCCGUAAUUCAGUCGGUAAAAACCGACAAAAACUUUUCCGUCCGUAAUUCAGUCGGUAAAUACCGAUGGAAAUUUUCCGUCGGCAUUUACCGACUGAAUUACGGACGGAAAAGUUUCUGAAUUUUAAAAAAGGCGGGUCGCUGACGUGGAGGUUUUGGCGGGUUUUUUUUUUCCGACGGAAUCACCAACGGAUUCAAAAACGACUGCCCGUACAGUGCCCGUAAAGUGAUGUGACCGGUUCACCGUUUAAAUUUCCGACGGACUCACCGAGGGAUUUGAAAUGGCAGAUCCGUACGGUGACAUGUCUAUGUUUCCGUCAGAAUCACCGGCAUAAUAACCGACGGAGUGUCCGUCGGUAAAACCGUCGGAAAAAGUUAAUAUAUGACAGCUCUGCCGACCCUCUCAUCCCCUAUUUCUCCUUCUUCUUCCUCAUCCCAACUCUCCCCAUCUGCAAACAACCAGCCCCCCCUCCCCCCUAAAAAAAAAAAAUCUUCCUCAUAUCAGCACAAGAAGUUAUAUUUCUUGAAGUUUUGUGGUCACGGCAUCCGCGCGUGUUCUGAUUUAUCGACGGAUUUUAUCAAUUUUUGUAAGUAAUUAUAUCUUUUUAAAUUUUAACAUUUAAUUAAAUGUCAAUUUUAUUGUUUUUUUAGUAUAUGUAUUUUGUUAGUAGAUGUACAUGUUUUAUUGUUAUUUCUCAAACAAACUUGUAGUAUAUGAAUGUAUAAUUUUGUACCUGUUAUGGUUUGUUUUAGAUUUUGUAAGAUUGUAUUUGUUUGUAAAUUAUUAUUUCUUUAUGGAAUUACCGAAUUACAUGUGCUAUUUUGAAAUAAUUAAUAGCUUGGUUAAUGGGCCCGUUUAAAGUUUUAUCAAUGGUAUUGUGGAGUGGUAAUUUCUGUAAAUUUAUAUUUUUUAAUUCGUAUGGACGUUGAUAAAUGAUAAUGAAUAUUUAAUAUUUAUGAGAAGUUGUGAUUGGUUUGUUGGAUAAUCUCGAGUUAAAGUAAUAUUUGUACAAGUUUAUUUACCUAACUUAGUUAAUUAAUACAUGAUGUCAUCAUAAUUUUAUAGAGGUUCGAUAUAAGUCAUGGAUGAUCGUUCAUGGAUGUAUCGAGAUUCACCCCAAGGAUUGCGGAGGAUGGAUUAUUGUAAUGGGGUUCAGGGUUUUAUUAAUUUCGUAACAUUUAUUCCCAGAAAUUUUACUGGAGGCGGUAUUAGGUGUCCAUGCAGGAAGUGUGAAAAUAAAAAGUAUUUGCAUCCAGAUGUUGUAAUGAUACAUCUUCUACACAAAGGGUUUAUGGAGAAUUACCAGUGUUGGUAUGCACAUGGAGAAGUAUUUGUUAGCGAGAGUGAGAGGAGAAUGGAAGAAACGGUGGUUGGGUCUACUUCUAGUGCUAGUAACGUGCAUGAAACGGCAAAUGACAACACUAAUCCUUACAGAAAUAUGGUUAUGGAUGCAAUGAGAAUGAAUCAAGGUAAUGGCAGUCAAUGUCCAAUCGUAGAAGAAGAACCUAAUGUAGAUGCAGCUAGGUUUUUUGAUUUGUUGAAAGAUUCUGACGAACCAUUAUGGGAUGGCUGCACGAACCACAGUAAAUUAUCGGCUGUAGCACAGGUGUUCACCAUCAAGUCAGAUCACGGGUUGAGUGAGGCCGGGUAUGACAAGAUUAUUGAAUGGGCAAGAAGCAUUUUACCUGAAGGGAACAGGCUGAAAGAGAACUUAUAUGCUGCGAAGUUCAUGAUGAAACCCCUCGGUUUAGGAUACCAGAAAAUUGACAUGUGCCCUAACUUCUGCAUGUUAUACUACCUUGAAAAUGCUGAGAUGACUGAGUGCAUGACAUGCGGGCAUUCCCGUUACAAACCUAGAACUGGCAGGGGAAAGACUCUAGUGGCAUAUAAAAAACUUAGAUACUUCCCGAUCACACCUAGACUGCAGAGGUUAUUCAUGUCACCAAGGACUGCUGAGCACAUGACAUGGCACCAAGCACACCAUGCGGUUGAUGGAGUGAUGGUUCAUCCUUCUGACGGCGAAGCGUGGAAACGCUUUAACAGUGUUCAUCCUCACUUUUCAGCUGAAUCAAGGAAUGUGCGUCUUGGGUUGUGUACAGACGGAUUCAACCCAUUUGGGUCAUUUGCUGCUCCUUAUUCUUGUUGGCCGGUCAUACUCACAGUUUAUAACUUGCCACCGGGAAUGUGUAUGAGGCCGGAGUUCAUGUUUUUAUCUAUUGUCAUACCCGGUCCAAGAAGCCCGGGGCGGAAUAUAGAUGUUUGUCUUCGACCGUUGAUUGAUGAGUUGACGCAGUUGUGGUCCUCCGGAGCUCUGACUUAUGAUAUAUCGAGGAAACAAAAUUUCCUUAUGAGGGCGGCAUUGAUGUGGACUAUCAAUGAUUUUCCAGCUUAUGGAAUGCUUUCUGGUUGGAGCACGCAUGGGAAACUCGCAUGUCCAUAUUGCAUGGAAAACAACAAGGCAUUCACGCUAGCAAAUGGAGGUAAAGCUUCUUUUUUUGACUGUCACCGUCGCUUCUUGCCACUUCAUCACAGGUACAGAAAGAACAGAAAAGAUUUCUUUGCUGGCAGAGUUGAAAAAGAUGUUGCAUCCCCGCGUCUUUCUGGUGAAGAAUUGCAUGAUGUUGUCUUAGAGUACGGUGACAUUGUGUUUGGCCUUCAAUCAGGAAAGCAAAAGUUUCCUGGUUUUGGUUUGACCCAUAAUUGGGUAAAGCGAAGUAUCUUUUUUGAGCUUCCUUAUUGGAAGACCAAUCUGCUUCGCCAUAACCUUGACGUCAUGCACAUCGAAAAGAACAUGUUUGAGAAUAUUUUCAACACCGUCAUGGAUGUGAAGGGGAAGACAAAGGACAACAUCAAGGCUAGAUUGGAUAUAGCUUUAUACUGUAACCGAAAAAAUAUGGAGUUGGUUUAUGAUGAGUCACGGGUCGCAAAACCAAAAGCAAGCUUCGUGUUAGAGAAAAACGCACAACUGCUAGUCUACAAAUGGCUUAAGAGUCUGCGUUUUCCGGAUGGACAUGCAUCGAACAUAUCAAGGUUGGUUAAUAUAGAGGACUGCAGAUUGUAUGGAAUGAAGAGUCAUGACUGCCACGUGUUUAUGCAAACACUCAUCACAUUAGCUUUUCGUGAUUUGUUGCCAAAGGGAAUAUGGGAUGCACUCACGGAGAUCAGUCAUUUCUUCAGAGAUAUAUGCUCCAGCAAGUUGAAUGUUGAUCACAUUGAGAGGCUUCAAACGAAUAUCGUCGAGACACUGUGCAAACUUGAGAUGAUAUUCCCUCCAUCAUUUUUUGACUCAAUGGAGCAUCUCCAUAUACAUCUAUCGUUCGAGGCAAAAGCUGGAGGACCGGUCCAAUAUAGAUGGAUGUACCCAUUCGAACGGUUAGAUAUUACAGUUGCAAUGUAAUUCAUAUAUAAAAGUAUUUUAUAUGUUUUUCUUAAUUGAAAAUACUUGAUUAAUAUUUCAGGUGCGGUCGCAGCUAGUUCGUCUAGCAGCGAGGAUGAUAUUUCCUUAGGUGCCUCUCAAGAAGAGGCACCUACACCACCUGCGCCGUCAACCGAUGCUGCCUCUUCCAGCGGUACUUCACAGCGCAGAGGCGGCGUGCCUUCGCAGCGGAAUCAAUUUACCCGCAAGUACGAGGCACAGUGGAAGGACGACCUUUCAAUGUAAGUUUGUUAAGGUUUUAGUUUUUUUUAAAAAAAAUUACAACAUAAUUUAUCAAGUAAUCACUAUUGAAUUUAUUUCAUUUAUUUUCAGGUUCACAAACAUUGAAGUCGCCCGAGUAAUAUCAUCGGCGUUUAAAUCGUCGAUGGAGAUUCCAUUGUUUCAAUGGAGUCAGAUAUCCAAGCAUCCUGAAUGGAUGCCUCAAAUCAAUGCAUGGUUUAACAGGUUUGAGGUUGGUAUUAAUUUAUAAUUUUCAGCUUAUUAAUAUAAUUGUAUUAUUUUUAUUUAAACUUGUUUAUUUAUACAAAGCACAAAUUCUGCUAGGACAUUGAGCAUAACGCUGUUGUGAGGAGGGUGUGGGAAAAUCACGCGGCAACUAGGUAAGAUCGAAAACAAUACAUGAUUUUUUUUAGACAAAAAUUUAUGUUUCGAAAUGUAAUUUUUGGUUGCGUGAAGCAGGUUGCGUGAUUUUUGGUAUGAAGCACAGAAAAAGGCAAAAAAAACCGCGAGGGAUAGGGGUUUCCAAGGCUGGAACGAUGUUGCGGUUUGGAGGGAUUUCAAACUGAUAUACAUCCCGGAAGAUAUAUGGCCGCACUAUCUUGAGCACGUGACGUCUGAGCAGUUCACACGACGCUCACAGUCCGGUGCUGGCAACCGGAAUCGACCAAUUCAUGGCGGGGUGAGAACUCACACUGGCAGCUCCGUUCCGUUUGCUGCACAUGCGAAACGGAUGGUAAGAUUAAUUUAAAUGAAAUAUAUCGUUAAAUUCAGUUGUUGUUAAUAUAUCUUUUUUCAUUAUAGGCUGCGUCUCUUGGACGUGAGCCGAGCCCGAUGGAGCUGUUUGUGGAGACGCACGUGCGGAGUCAAGACCGCCAGAAGGGGGCGCAACAGUUCGUUGAUAACCGUGCUCAGCAUUUCGUGGUAUGUUUGUUCAACCAUUUUAUUUUCUAAGUUAUUAUGUUUAUUGUAUUGAAUAUGAUGAUUACUUUUUUUAUUUUAUUUUCAGGAGACCUAUAAUAAUCGGUUGAGGGAGAGAUACGGGGACGAUACUUUGACCCAUCCGGAAUUCGAUCCGGAUUUGUGGAUGGAGGUUGGCUCGUCAGGUGGACCAGAUAAAAAUCGGGUUUACAGCCUCUCCAACACUACGGCCGACAACUUGCGGUCGACCCAUAGUGUUUCAACCGUUGGGAACUCCCAAUCAAUAGCGAGCUCCCAAUCUAAGGAGUUUGUGGCUUUGCAGCAACUCAACGAGAAAUACGACAACCUACAAGCGGAGUACGCACAACUCAAAGCAUCUCAUGCACAACAAAGAGCGGAGUCUGAGCAAUUCAAAGCGUCUCAAGCACAACAAAAAGCGGAGUAUGAAGCGGCUCAUGAACAGCAAAAAGCGGCUUAUGACCAGCUUUACGAAAUGAUUAUGAAAUUGUCAAAUAGCGGAACAUGUGCGCCUAAUCCUUUUUGGCCGUAUAACCACCAGCCUCCGCCCGGAUCUCCUCCUCCUCCUCAAGCUCCAUCAUCUUUAUAUUAAUUUGUAAUCAACAUUAUUUACCUUUAAAACUUCAUUUAUUAUUUUUCUUGAAACAUAUUCAGUUUGUAAUGAAUAUUAUUUAACUUUUUUUUUUUAUGUUUAAUAAAAAUUUUAUUUGCAUAAUUGGUUUGUAUAACAAUUAAUUUAUAUAGUUUUAUAUUAUAUAUCCUAAAUAAUUUUUUAAAAACAAAUUAAGAAAAAAACUAUUACCAAGGAUUUUACCGACGGAUGAAUUCGGUCGGUAUUUUAAACUUUCACCGACAAACUUACCGACGGAAUUAAUCCGUCGCCAUUUAACAGUAGCUUCCACCAGUACCGACGAAUUUACAGACGAAAAUAUUCCGUCGGUAUUUCAUACAUUCACCGACCGAUAUCACGACGGAUAUUUUCCGUCGGUAAUUUCAAUUUCACCGACGGAAUGAAAAUCCGUCGGUAUAUUUCAAGCGGGAAUCUUUUUUUUUUGGCGCGCACGUUCCGUCUGUAAAACCGUCGGUAAAUGAUUUUUUUGUUUUUCCGACUGAUAUACCGACGGAAUGAGGAAUCACCGACGAAGGUAAAGCCGACAGACGUAUUCCGUCGGUAAAAAAAUCACCGACGAACUUCUAAUCACACACCGACGGAAUUUUGCCGCCGGUAAAACUGUGAAAUCUUGUAGUGUCCUGGAUCGACCCAUAAAGCCAAACCAAGUUUUAAAACUAUGUUAUCUUAGCAAAUUUAAUUAUCCCAAUUCUUAAUUUUCAAUUGAAAAUGCUAAAGAAUUCCCCACUGGGAGCAAAUAAUAAUAUGUUAAGCAUGACAAAUUUUAUUUAAAUUAAAAAGCCAAAAAUGAACGCAUCUACUCUUGCAAGAAUGGACUCAAAAGUUCAGCUAGUCCGCAUAAUUAAAUAGUACUGUUACUGUAAACUACUAGGAAAUUCAUGGGUAGAGCCAAAAUGUUAACAAUAGCAUUGAUUCGGUCAGGGGCUCUGGUGUAUAGAGAGGACCUUGCCGUUAGAAACUAUGGAGCCCACUAUUUAUUAAUCCAUUUUUAUUUACUACUUAUUACUAUUUAAUUAUUUUUAUUUACUAUAUUUUUGUUUGUGAUACCCAGUACCAAUAAAAUUUGAGAUUCCUUCAAUUUUUUAGGUGCAUGCAAGUCUAAUGGCUUCAUGUACAAAAGCAAUUCAAGGGUGUGUAUCCUUAACUAUCAGGCUAACCUUUACAGGCUUCGCUAGCAAUCAAUAAUUAUUUUUUAAUGAAUUCAUUUUUUAUUUAAAAUAAGGAAAAGGACAUUGGUGAAUAAAUUGUUUCCUUCCUAUUAUAAUUGUUAGACCUUACCAAAGGGCUAAUUUAGAAAAAGAUUAUAACUUAUAGGUCACCAGGGCCGAGGUCAACUUGUAAUUAAGUAGAUCAAUUUAAAUUAAUUGUUUUUAUUUAAAUGAUAAUGUUUUGUUUUUUUUUCUUGAUAUUAAUUUGGCUAAUUUUUAUCAAAUCAAAUCACUAAAAACUUAACCAAAACAAAUUUCAUCAAAUCAAUAAUAUUUUAUGUAGUUGAAUUAAAAAUUCAAUUCAAUUCUAGCUCUGAACCCUGAUUAAGCAUACAGGUUUAAAAAAUAUGCAUCUCACUUGCAGCUGUGGUUUGCUGCGGGCAUUUGGUAAUUGGGAGAGGCUUUAGUUUCGUACCUGUUGAUCUGCUUCAUAUACACUUGGACCUCUUAUUUUAUUUUAUAUUGGUUGGAUCCAAACUUAAUCCAAUACAAAAUUAACAUAUUUAUUAUUUAUUUAAGAUAAAUGAUAUGGCUUUAACAUAUUAGCGUACACUUAAUAUGAUUAAAUUUAAUUUAAUUAAUUAACAUCUCACCGCAAUAAAUUUUACCAUUUGCAACCAUAAACAGUUGACACCUUAUUAAUAUAAUCAAUAUAGUAGAAAAAUUAUAGUGAUUUAAAACAAUUCAUUAAAAUGUUCGUAAAUGUUUUUAUUUUGUGAUGAUGGUUUUCGUGUUAUCUUUUAUGUAUUGUCGCUACCGUACAUGAACGCCUGACAUGAGGGUUAUUUGAAAUCAUUAUCUAGUUAUUUAGUUUAAGGUCACUAAGAAACCUAUAAAUACUAGUCUUGUUAGAGAUUUGAGAGUAAAUGACUAGUUGUGGCUAAAGAAUGUAUUAACACUCUUAAUGCACCCUACCCAAGUAAAUUAUUUUGUGAUUAAACGUGGUUUAGAGAUUUUGAUGAUUUUCUGAUAUAUCUAUAGUUUAGGAUUGGGAUUUGCUUGUAUGAAUAAAUUUGGUGUUUAAUAAUUUAUCAUGGAUUCUUGUACCCAGAUAAAUUCUUAGAAAAAAAAGUUCUUCAUAAUUUGUGUACGUAUUACGGUAAAAAUUACUCUCAAUAAAAAUUCAUGAAUAUUUAGAAUAACUUUGAGGAUUUUCUAAUCAACUUCAAUAUUUCAAAUAUCAGCCUCACUUAUAGGUAUAGCGUUUUAUAUCAAUAUUUUUAACCAUUAAUUCUCAUUAAUUAAAAAAUAGUGGUUUAUUAAAAUAUUGACCAAAUUCACAUGAAUUUAAUAAACUAGUUAUUAAAUUUUAAAAUGCAUAUACAUAUAUAAUAUUUUAAUUUGUUUUUAAAUAAAGAAUAUUUUUAAAAAGCAUGUGCCAUAAUACCAAAUUAUAGAAUAAAUUAAAAGAGAAAGGAGUUUUCUCUUCAUCACUAUUCACUUAUAUUCAUUUUACUAUGGAUAUUAAUAGUGAAUUUUUUGAAAAUUUCCAAUUUGGUACUCAAUUAUUUUUUUUUCACAAUUGAGCUCUUUUAAAUCCAAAUUAAAGCUUAAUUGCAUAUUUUUUCAAGGAUGAGGGUUGAAUUGAAAAACAUAGGACUGAAGUGAAAAACUCGAAUAAAAUAAGUUGUGGUUUUGCAAUUUGUUUGCAAGUUCAUUUUAGUCCCUAUAAUUUUUUAUCAUUGUAUUUUGAUACCAAACUUUAUUUUCUUCUGUUUUUAGUUUUUUUGUGUAAGAGAGAGAGAGAGAGGAUCACCAUAUUUUGUUUUAGAGAGAAAAAGUUAUUUUUAAGGAUUGUGACCACCAAAACAAUUGAUUUUUGUGUUAAAUUGUUAUGUCUUAAUUCAACAAGGUUCCUUGAAUGUUUUCUAGGUGUUUUGGGUUAAAAUGGGUUGAAGACAGGUUUUAGGUUAUAAUUAGGUUUUUUACCAAAUUGAUCAAAUUUUUUUAAAAAAAAAAACAAAUCAAGAAGAGAAAAAGACUUGUAAAAAAGUAGAAUUACUGAAGGAAGCUCAACAAAGAAUCAAACUCAUGCAAUUAAAAAUAAUUGUCUAUGAUGACCAUCUCUGUAUCACACAUUCAGGAAAUAUGAUUGACCUAUAACAAUAUUAAAAAAAACAAAAAAAAAAUAAGCUAAUAGAUGGUCGCCACGUGUUCAACUUUAUCUAACCUUAGCAAAGGAUAGAAAGUGGGAGAGAGAGAGAGAGGUUAAAAGGAUUAAGAAAAAGAAAAAAGGAAAGGCAGAAACGGAAGAAGACAUUGAAAGAAAGAAAAAAACGAUAAGUUAUUUAACGUCUUUUUAGGGGGGGAAAAAAAAGCUUGUAACACCGUGCAGACCAAACAGAAGAGACAUCUGUUUAUUUAAAGAAAAAAAAAAUAUAUAUAUAUAUAUAUAAAUACUCUCUCUUCCAAUUUCCUCUCCCAGCUGAAUUUCGGCGACCGCCCACACAACGAUAGCCUACACAACCACCAGCCAUGCCACCUUUCAAGACCCCAUCUCUCAACCUCAAAACCAAAAACAACUCUUUCUCCAUUUAUCCGAACCUCAUAACUCCAGGAAGGUGAAGGACUAAACCAUAGUGGCAAAAAUCUUAAAGGGUUCUAAAUUGUCUGUUACUUUCCCUUAAUUUUCUAGACAAGCAAAAGGAGCUAAACUUAUUCCCGACCAAAACGUCAAGAAUUUCAGUAGAACAAAAGAAGAGAUCAUUACUUGACCAAAAACAACUAGUCAGCACCCAAAGAAACCGAGUGAAUGAGAGAAAAUUAAAGAUUAAUAGCUAGAAAACAAUAAACAGAUCCAAGAAUUUUCUGUAUGGUUUCCAAGAAAAUGAAACGAAAUGAGCAGCACAACCCUCUUUCUCCUCCAAGAAAAGAAAGAAAAAGAAAGGAAAGAAACAAAGAAAGUCAAACUUGGCUCCUCUUUUAGUGUUAAAAAAAAAAAGAAGUUAGAGGAAGUGGGCUGCCUUUUUUCUGCUGUUCAUGUGGUGUUCUGCUGUUCACGCAGACUAAGAACUCCUACCAUCGUAAAAUCAUACAAUUAAAACACAACAAUAAUAAAGUAAUAAGCAGCUAAUUAUGUGCGAAAACAAGAGAAAUAAGGAUACAGAACGUGAGAGUGAGUCACUACAAGUAAAAGAGGCGCUGAGAGAAUGGGAAUAGGAAUUUCAUUACCUAAACUUGAGAAAAUUGUGCGAAAAGCACUGGUACUGAUUGCUCAAUGAAAUGGAGAAGGCCUUUAGCUCUGUAUGGAAUCCAGCUUCAAAAGCAACGAGGCAAGGUAUAAGCAUUUUGAUGACAUAAUUAAGAUACUAUGCGUCGUAAUAUAGAGACGGUGACAAAGAAUUAAAGAAAAAUAACGUGUACAAGUACUCACCAAGCAAAGAAAGAAACGAAUGAAAGGUUCGGGAUAAUCACUUAGACGCCUCCAUGGAUGAUACCAGCUCGCUUCCAACAACAAAUAUAAUUAACCUAAGCUAUGAUCGGUCAAUGUUUUUUUUAGUUUUCUUCUUUUUUAUAUAUAAAAAAAACAGAUCAUCAAGGGAAAAGACUUGCAAAGAAGUAGAAUUAAUGGAACGAACACAACAAAGGAUCAAACUCAAGCAAUUAAAAGUAAUUGUCUAUGAGUACCAUCUGUGUCACGCACUCAAGUGAGGAGAGAAAAGAAGGAGAAAGAAAGGAAAGGGACAAGGAAGGAAGAAAGUAAGGUCACGUAGGGGCCAGUCUUGUAGAAAUUUUGAAAAGUAGCAUGAAAAAGAGGAUAAUAGAGUAGUUGUCAGAAUCAAAACACAUCUAAACAGAGGACAAAAACAGGGAGGGAGGCUGUUUGUUUUUUUAACUGUGCCUGAGUGAUUUUUAUAAUUACAUUUAAUUUAAAAAAUAUUAAAUUAAUAUAUAUUUUUAAUAUUUCUCGUUAUUACAUAUAUAUAUAUAUAAUAUUUAAUAUAUUUUUAAUUAAAUUUUUUUUAAAAAAAGUAUGUGUCACAAUACAAAAUUAUAGUAUAAAUUAAAAGAAAAAGGAGUUUUAUGCUCAUUACUAUCCACUAGACUUGUAGAUAUUAAUAAUAAAGUUUUUGAAAGUUUUCGAUCUAGUAUUUGAAAUUUUUUUUUUUUUGCAUAAUUGAAUUUAUUUAAGCUUAAUUGCAUAUUUUUUAAAAGGAAAUAGGUUGAAUUGAGAAACAGAGAAACUCGGCAAAAAUAUGUGGUUAAAAUCAAUCCUUUUUAAAAAAAAAAAAAAAAAACUCCUUAGUUGUUAAGGAAAGAUUGGUAGUGUGAACAAAUCACCAAAGUCAGCAGCAAGGAAGUUCCAGGAAGUGGGCAGCCUGUUUCAGGGCUACCUGUUUUUGAGAAUUAUGGAAAGUUAUCCCUAACUCAAAAACGGCACCAAUUAUAAGUUCAUUAAAAAAAAUCUGGAACACAACAGAUGGAAAAAACUCGAAACAACUUGUAUAGAAUUUAGGCAAGAAGAAUGAGCCAAGAUUUCAAGUGCAAUGAAAUUUGUCUCACUUUGUUUUUUUAUUUAAUGAUACAAGAUAUACCGUCCUAUUUCAAGGGUAAAAUAGAAUGGAAUAGACAACCUUUAAAGGGAGCAUAUACCACAUAUGUGUAGCUGGAAUUCGAUAGCCUUUCUCCAAUGCUGACAUGUGCUUUACAUGCAUGCACCAACAUUUCACAUCGGCAAGUGAGGAUUUGGUAGCUCAUCUUAUUAAUAGUGUUGGUUAAUGACUUGUCAGACGCGUUUUGAGGUCAUGCGUGGUCAUCAAAAACAAAUUUGUGAGGGCGAUAAGGUCCAAAAUGGACAAUAUUUGACAAGUUGGAUCGGACUAUGACAUUUGGUAUCAAAGCUGGCCUCACUAACUAUCCAGUUGUGCUGAUGGGGUCAUUGAGCUCCUUAAGGGGGUGAAUUGUAAUAUCUCACAUCGAUGAAUGAGGAUUUAGAAGCUGACCUUAUUAGUAGUGCUGGUUGCUAACUUGUCAGAUGCGUUUUGGGGUCAUGCGUGAUCACAAAAAACAAAUUCGUGAGGAUGAUAAGGCCCAAAACGGACAAUAUUUGGCAGGUUGGGUCAGGCUGUGACAUAUUCGAUAAUAACUCUUCAAUUAAGUCCUAAAUCUCAUUUCAUCUUUUCAAUUUAAUCCCUAAUUUGACACCAACUCUUCAAUUAGACCCCAAAGCUCAUACCACUUGAGGAAAGCCCUCUUCUUUCAAUUUAGCCCCUCAUUUAUCUUUAAUUUAAUAUCGAAUUUUAUUCGAUCCAAGCCCAAAAUAGGCUCAAGCGAAGACAAAAUAAAGGAAGGAAAGAAAAUGAAUAAUUGCCCAACCAAGUUAACGUAUUCUGGUCUUUUCUCCAUGAUUCGGGUUGAACAUUUGACAUUUAUCCUUUUUUUAGAGGCUUUUCUCUAUGUUCGUUAUGACGCUGUACACGUGCGACAACCAUUAAAUCUAUAGUUAAUUUCAUUUUUUGAUAAAAGAUAAUGCCAUCAGUAUAGAAUGGUUACCAACUGUUAGUUUAAUAAGCCUUGUAUCCAAUCGGUUAGUUACACGAUAUAUUAUUAUAUUCAUGUAAAUACAUAUUUAUUAUUAAUAAAGGCUUAAUUUAACUUUAAUAUUCAUAUAAUAUUAGAUUAAUGAAUCUAGAGUGUCAUAACCCUUUUUGGGUUUUUCCCCAAAUUCAUUUUUUCUCUUCUAAAAAUUAAAAAAAUAUAUAUAUUUAGACUAAAAAAAAUAAUAACAGUGAGAAGGGGAUGCCAAAACGCCUGGAAAAUAACUAAAAAUUGGUUGAGGAGGUUUAAAAAUACAAGGAUUGAAAUUUGGCAGUAUAUCAUUGACUGAUGAGAGCCCGAUUGACAAAGAAAAUUCAAUUUGAGGAAGAAAUGUCUAAAAUCAGAUGUUUAUUGGACUCAAUUAAAUUUAUUAAAGGUUAAAUUGAGUUUAUAGAGGGUUUGAUUGCAAGAACAAUUGAUUUUGGAGUCAAUUUGGGCUUUAUUUGGAAGAAAUUAAAGUUCUGAGGUCAAAAUAUAAUUUUAAGGAGUUAAUUUGGUCAAAUCAGGGGCUUAAUUGCAUAAAUAUUGAAGUUUGAUGGCCAAUUAGGGACUGAAUUGAAGAAAUCUCAAACCAAGAACCAAACUGGAAAAGACACGUAAAUAGAGAGGCUGUAAUUAACCGAAUAAGGGGCUAAAUUAAAGAAAUUGGAAGUUUAUUUAUUAAUUAAGGGUCAAAUUGCAUACAUCAGAGACCAAGGACUAAAGUGAAAAAGGCGGCCAACUUCAGGGCCGACGAUUGAAUUUGACAGGGAUGCAAUUGAAUUGAUUUUUAAAAUCAAAAUAGCAAUUUAGGACUUGAUUGAAUAAAUCACAAAUUGAAGACUGAUUUGGACUUUGACACGAUUUUGCCGCCAUUUUCAUUUUGCUUAAUAUUGGUUUGUAUUUUAAUACUGUAAAAAUACAAAUCCGAUAUUAAAAUACUUGGUUUUUGUCAAAACAUAAAAUAUAUAUAUAUAUAUAUAUAUAUAUAUAUAUAUAUAUAUAUAUAUAUAUAUAUAUAUUUGUUUCAUGCAUACGUCCAAGUCUCUCAAAGAUAAAAAAAAAAAAAAAACCAUAUUGUAUUUUCAUACUACAAAGAAAACUUCAAAAAAAAAUAUGUUUUAACAUGCAUUUUGGCUUUAAUAACCAGUUUAUUAAAGUCACGAGAAUUUGGCAAAUAUUUAAAAAAUUUCAAAAAAAAUAUUUGUUUUUUUUAGUAUUAGGGAUUAUGAAUUUAUAUGUAAAAUGUAUUUUCAAUAUUAAAAGUGUUUUUCUUUUGAUGACAUAAAACAUUUAGGUGUUUACCUGAUAAGAUAAGAAUCUCUUUAUAGAGGAGGAUUUUUCUUAAACCAUAGAUAGACUGACAAUUAAAAACCACAACAAGACCUUAAAUUUUAUCAAACAACAAAACAAUGCAGCUUACAUUAGGUAGGGUGUAGUUGGGGUGCUAAUACCUCCCCUUUAUGCAACCAGUCUUCGUACCCGAUCUCUAAGACCAAUUAGGGUUCCUAGUGACCAAAAUACUAGGUGGAAACUCCCAUUCUAUUUUCCACUGAUAAAAGACAAGAAUUCCUUGUCUCCCCACAUUUACCAGAUAGAUAUACAUUUACUUGAGAGGGUGGACGUUUAUCGUGACACCGCACACAUGCGACAGAAUGGCGACUCCACAAGGUACCUUGUGGAUUAAUCUUUGUUUUUGUCUGAUUAUCGUGUUUUAUUGUUUGGUUUGUGUGUUAUUGUUAAUAUGCAUUUUCUCAUUUGCUCAUACGCUUUAAUUUUGUACAUAUUUGUUCAUGGAUUGUAUAAAAUUGUUUCAUGCAUCAUUCACAUUUUAUGAGAGUUUAUACUGAGAAAAACUUUAGGUUAAGUGGGGGACUAGUAGCUUACCUUACAAUUUUUAGUCGAGGUUUAAGUUUGUGUAAACCUCAACUCUUUGCUGAGUACUUAGAUUGAUAAUGAUUGGUACACAUGUCAUCUCAUUACCUAUUAAGCCCUUAUAUUGCCUUUACGAGGGUGAUCACUGGGACAACAAGAGACCCUUUUAAGACUAGGUAGAAAUGCACCCAUCAUGUAAUGGCCCAAAACCUAUCCUUAGAGUAUAAGCUCCCUAAUAUACAUGUACAUAUAUUUGCAUCCAUACAUACAUCAAUUCAUUGUAAAUAACAUACGUGCAUCAGAUUGAAAUAUAGGUCCCUAAAAAGUGUACAACACCCGACUUUGAGCAAGAAACAUAGAAGAUGGAGAGCGUGCUCACCGUGAUGCCUAUUUUCAAGAAGAGUUGGAGUCUCUGAAGACAAGCAUGGCUCGCCUUACUAGCUUACUCGAGCAAACACUGAGAAAUACCUCUGGUGAAGGCCCUUCUAACCGGCUAGUCACCGUCAAUUAGGCUUCAACUACAGUUUAGCCUGAAGAAAGAAUGAGUGAACAUGGUCAAGAGCCUUAAUAAAAUCCAACAUUUGUACAGUCAGCGACACUUGCAUUAGCCCCGACAGUCAUGAAGGUAUUUGCUAAUGAGUCCCAUAUGGCCAAUUCAUCUGAUAGCAUUGAUCAAGAUAAAAUACAGGCAUUGGAAGCCAGAAUCAAAGUCAUUGAAGGGGUAGACUUAUAUGACCCAGUUCGGGCAGCAAAGAUGUGUCUGGUCCCAAAUAUGGUUGUCUCGAAAAAGUUUCAUGUUUCGGAGUUCAUCAAAUAUAGUGGAAUACAAUGCCCCAUGACUCACCUCAAGUCUUACUGCAAUAAAAUGGCAGAGAUAGUACAUGAUGAAAAACUACUGAUGCAUUUUUUUAGAGAUAGUUUAAGUGGGGCAAUAUUGAGCUGGUACAUGAGAUUGGACAACACAAAAAUCUAGAGAUGGAAGGAUAUGGUGGUUGCUUUUGUCAAGCAGUACAAGUACAACAUGGACAUCACUCCCGACAGAAUCAACUUGUCCAAUAUAGAGAAAAAGGAUAAAGAAAGCAUAAGGGAAUACGUUUAAAGAUGGUGGGAAUCAGCUGCUCAAGUACAUCCCCAACUUCUGGACAAAAAGAUUGGCACUUUAUUUGCCGACACACUCAAGGCACCAUAAUGGGUAGUUUGGCCCAGCAAUUCACUAAUGCUGUGGUAGUGUGUGAACACAUAGAGCAAGGCGUCAAGAGUGGUAGAAUUUCUGCACCCAUUGAGAAUAGAGGUUUCGAAUGAAAAGAGGUUAACCAUAUUGAAGAUGGCUACAAGGGUAGGAAAAACUUAUCCCAAAACUACCAUACUUCAUCCCAAAUUGCCGACAUAAAAAAACCUGAGCCCCAAAACUUUCAAGCCAAAAGCCAAAUUAGAAAUUACCAAAGGGUCCAAGAACAACUACCUCCAUUACCGCUACCAUUAAAUGAGAUGUACCAGAAGUUAUUAAGCAUCAGACAUAUAGCUCCCGAACCUCUAGCACCUUUGCAACCCCCUUACCCCGGCUGGUAUAAGCCAGAGCUCACUUGCGAAUACCAUGCUAGUGUUGCUGGACAUGACAUUUAUAUUUGCAACACCUUUAAGAGAAAGCUUCUGCAAUUAAUUAAGGCAGGGUGGAUAGCAUUUGAAGACACUCUGAAUGUGAACACAAACCCUCUACCUAAUCAUGCUUAAAGCAGUGGAUUAGAAAUGCACUAGCAAUCGAAUGUUCGGGGAAUUUGAAAUCAUCAAUGGGCCAGGUAGGGUGCGAAAGGGUAGCAUAAAUUUUAAAGGACUCAAAUUCCAACCACAGUUGUUAUCCCCAUCAUCCCAAGAAUUAUUACAGGGAGGCUAGCCUAAAAGGAGAUUUACCAAAAUGAAAGGAUGAGGCCUGCCAUAUUAUUGCCUUUUGUUUAAUCAUGUUGGUUUCAACUAUUUCAGUCUUGUCGGUAAUUUAGCUCAUAAUGCCACAAGACUUUCUUUGUCAAAUAAGCCUUCUUGUUAAUAAGAUCAUGUAUUUUCCUGUGCUUAUAACAUGUUUUCCUUUUUCCAAAAUAUGCAUGAUCUCACAUGUUCAUAAGAAUUUUAGGAAUUCAAAGUUUGGUAUAAAAAUAAAAAUCAUAUUGGUGUUUGUCCAAAACAAAUAAAUUCUGGAAAUUCAAGUGAUUCCUUAGAAAGAUAAGUAUACACGUAGAAAACUUGAAAAAACAAAUAAACAAAUAAACACAUAAAAAAAAUCAUAAGGUGACUCCAAAGUUAAGUUUUAUUUGAAUAAAUAAUGAGAAAUCACUUUGCAUACUCGCAUGAAAGCAAGACGUAUCGAUCUUAAGUGCAUGUGUUUGAGAUGAGGAAAUGCCUUCUUUGAUAAUCGCUUCACGAGGCUAAAAUAUAUCCUUUGCAAUCCCUUUUUGAGUCUAGUAACAUUUUUUGAAAAUAACCUUGGCUAGGAUCACACUCAAACUAGGGUUAAGUGCGAGAGACACAGAAAAGACCUUGAUGAUUGAAGUGCCCAAGCAACACUGGGGGCAUAAAAGAAAAUUCUCAAUCAUCAAAGGUGCCCAAACAAAGCUAGGGGUAUGAAGAAAAAUCCAAAGGAUCCAAAAAUUUUAAGCAUACAAAAAAAAAACAAUUAAAUAAUGCUCAAAACCAAAUGAAGAAAAAAAAAAUAAAGAGAAAGAGCCCAACAUUGGGGGGCACGAUAAACCAUUUUGAAAAGACAUUCCAAAGACAAAAGGUCAGGAAACAAGCACUAGUGAUCCUUAGUCUUGAAAUCCCGUGAAAUACCUUUUGAGCCUACAAAUAUCCUUUUCUUCAUAACCAAGAACCCAAGCCUAUAUUACAUGCCUAAUCAAGCCCUUUCUGAUCAAAGACAAGCAAUCUGGAUCGGCAGACAAUGCUUUCUCAUACAACCCAAAUUAUUAUUCAUGUAAAUAAAAUAAAUGCUUUGAAGACUGGUUCUUUGUAACCCUCAAAUUAAAUCUUAAACCAUUUUUUACCAAACCCAAUGUCACUUCAUGUUUUUCACCAAAAGCAAAACGAAAGGUUUUCAUCACUUCUGAAAACCUCUUCAUAGGAAUCACUUGAAUUUCUUCAGAACAAGUUUGCUUUGAAUCGAUGUCAAAAUGAUUUCUGUGUUUGGAAUAGCUUUUAAAUUCCAACAUUUUUGCAUCAGAACAACUCCUUGUCAAAACUUCCUUUACAUAGCCUCAUUCCCAAACCCGAAUUAAAUACUUGGGGGCAUGAUCAAGUUGGGAGGCAAUAAAAAAUACAUGGUAGGGCAGACUUUAUAAUUCUUUUUCUAAGAAAAAUGUUGGGUAGAAUUGGCAACCCUUGAGAUAUAGGUUAGAGGGCAAAGAAGUAGGAUGAUAUGAAGCCUUUCUUAGAGGUCAAGAUCACAAGAUAUGACUCAAGUAAGCAAGAGCGAAAAAGUCAUCGAAAUUUACUACUUACACUCCAACUUUUGAGAAAAGAAAGACAUCAUGAAGAAAUGAGGACCUAUAUUUCUCAGGUAAGUAUACAUGCAUAUCAAUCAUAGUGCAUUACUUUCAACAUUGUCAGAUCGGUGUUUCACCAUCACCUUUUGGGUAGGACAUUUUAUAACCCUACCUCAUUUUGAGUGUGCCUUUGAGCCCUUAUUUUCUUUUCGAGUAAGUCUUUGAGCCCUCAUCUCAUUUUAAGUGCGCCUUUGAGCCCUUACUUCGUUGUCAAGAUGCGACUUUGAGCCUUUGCUUCCUUUGGAGUGCGCCUUUGAGCCCUCAUUUCCUUUUGAGUACGUCUUUGAGUCCUCAUCUCUUAGGUAGUGCAUUUUAUAACCCUACCUCAUUUUGAGUGCAUCUUUGAGCCCUUACUUCCUUUUGAGUGCGCCUUUGAGCCCUCACUUCAUUUCGAGGGUGGUAGUGUAUUUUCUAACCCUACCUCCUUUUGAGUGCGCCUUUGAGCCCUCACCAUCUUCCUGGAUAGGUCAUCCAUUACAAUGAUGCUAUUUUUACACUUGGGUAGGUCACCUAUUAUAAUGAGACCAAUCUUUCCUUUCCCACUUGGGUAGCUCACUCAAUACAAUGAGACUAAUUCUUCGUAUUUUUUUGCCUAGGUAAGUCCCUCAUUAUAAUGAGACCAUUCUUCCACCUGGGUAGGUCACCUAUUAUAAUGAGACCACUAUUUCCUUUUUUUUUCCCUUUGGGUAGGUCACCCAUUGCAAUGAGACCAUCCUUUUUUCUAGGUAGGUCACCUAUUAUAAUGAGACAACUCUUUUAUUUUUUUUUUCCCUUUGGAUAAGUCACUCAUUACAAUGAGAUCAUUUUUUUUCUAGGUAGGUCACCCAUUACAAUGAGAUCAUUUUCCAUGUUUUUUUUACCUGAGUAGGUCAUCCAUUACAAUGAGACCAUUCUUUUUUUUUCCACUUGGGUAGGUCAACCAUUACAAUGAGACUAUCAUUUUUCUGGGUAGGUCACCCAUUAUAAUGAGGCCAUUCUUCCACCUGGGUAGGUCACCCAUUACAAUGAGACCACUCUUUCUUUUUCCCCUUUGGUGACCACUAUCAUUUUUUUGGGUAGGUCACUCAUUACAAUGAAAUCAUUCUCCAUGUUUUUCCACUUGGACAGGUCACCCAUUACAAUUCGACCAUUUCAAAAAUCUUUGAAUUUCACCAGGAAAAAAAACCUUUCGACCAUUUAAGUUUGCUUUCUAGCCCUCAAAUGCUUUCCAAACAAUUCAUCAUAUGGUGAGUCCGUUAUCUUUUUUUUUCUUCUUUACAAAGCUUAUUAUCUAAAAUCUCUUACGAGACUUUCUAUCGUAAGUAUUGUAAAUAGAGGACAACUGUCAUAACCUAUUUUUGGAUUAUUCCCCAAAUUUAGUUUUUCUCUUCCAAAAAUAAUAUAUAUAUAUAUAUAUAUAUAUAUUCGGACUAAAAAAUAAACAACAAAAAAAAUAAACAAAAUAAUAACAGUGAGAAGGGGAUGCUAAAGUGCUCGGAAAAUAACUAAAAAUUAGUUGAGGAGGUUUAAAAAUACAAGAAUUGAAAUUUAACAGUAUAUCAUUGACUGAUGAGAGCCCGACUGACAAAGAAAAUUCAAUUUGAGGAAGAAAUGUAUAAAAUCAGAUGUUUAUUGGACUCAAUUAAAUUUAUUAAAGGUUAAAUUGAGUUUAUGAAGGAUUGGAUUGGAAGAAAAAUUGAUUUUGGAGUCAAUUUGGGCUUUAAUUAGAAGAAAUUAAAGUUCUGGGGUCAAAAUAUAAUUUUUGAGAGUUAACUUGAUCAAAUCAGGGGCAAAAUUGCAUAAAUAUUGAAGUUUGAUGGCCAAUUAGGAACUUAAUUGAAGAAAUAUGAAACUAAGGACCAAACUGGAAAAGGCGCGUAAAUAGAGGGCUGUAAUUAACUGAAUGAAGGGCUAAAUUAAAAAAAUUAAAAGUUUAUUGAUCAAUUAAGAGUCAAAUUGCAUUCGACCAAGAACUAAAAUGAAAAAUCAGCUAACUUCAGAACUGAUGAUUGAAUUUGACAGGAAAGCAAUUAAAUUAAUUUUUAAAAUUAAAAUUAUAAUUUAGAACUUGAUUGAAACACUUAAAAUAAAAAACUUAAAAUCACAGCAUGAUAAAAGAAGAAAGAAAGGAAUGGGAAAAGGAAGAAAGAAUAAAAAAAUCCCCUAAAAUCACGGCAUGAUAAAAGGAGAAAGAAAAGGAUGGGACAAAGAAGGAAGAAAGUAAGGUCGCGUAGGGGCCAGUAUUGAAGAAAAGCUAAAAGAACCAGGUAAUCCAAGGAACCAAUAGAUUAUCGCCACAUGUUCAACCUUAUAUUUAUUGUGACAUGGAGAUAAAGAUAAUCUCAAAAGCUAAUAGAUGGUCGCCACGUGUUCGACUUUAUCUACCCACUAGGAAAGGAAUCAAAGGAUAGAAAAGUGGGGGAGAGAAAGGUUAAAAAGGCUUUAAAAAAAAAAGAAAAGGAAAGACCCGGUUGAGAUAAGAGGGGGGACGUGGAAAUAGAAGGAGAAACGGAAGGAGACAUAGAAAGAUCGGAGGAGAGUAAGAAAAAAAUAUAUGAAUAUGUGAUGUCCAAUUUCUCAUAAAAAUUCUCUGUUUUUUUCUCUCUUUUAUUUGGAAUUUCUUUGGACACUUUAAUAAAAUAAUAACAAAAAAAUUAAAAUAUUGAUGAAAUUAAUAUUCAUUCAAACACAGAUUUACUGUGUACUAUGAUAUUAUUAUUUUUUUAAUUUUAAAAAACACGGCUUGGAUAAUAUUUCAAGUAGUGUCGUAAAAAAUAGCGUGUUUGUUUUUUAUUUUUUAAAUAAUUUUAAAUAAUAUUUUUUUAAUUUUUAUAUUGAUAUUAAAAAUAAUUUUUAAAAAAUAAAAAAUAUUAUUUUAAUAUAUUUUUAAAUAAAAAAUAUUUUAAAAAAACUACUUUAAAAACCUUAAAACCACGGCAUGAUAAAAGGAGAAAGAAAGGAAUAGGACAAAGGAAGAAAGUGAAAGGGAGAAAGGAAGAAAGUAAGGUCACGUAGGGGGGCCAGUAUUGUAGAAAAUAGGAGAUGAAAAAUUGGUAUGAAAAAGAGGAUGAUGGAGUGGUUGUCCAAAUCAUAGUGGUUUUUAUAAUUAUAUUUAUUUAUAGAAAUAUUAAAUUAAUAUAUUCUUAGUAUUUUAUAUGAUUAAAUUUUUUUGUUGAUUUAAAAAAUAUAUGCGUAUAAAAAAUUAUUUUAAUAUAUUUUUAAAUAAAAAAUAUUUUUAAAAGUAUGUAUCACAGUACCAAAUUAUAGUAUCAAUUAAAAGAAAAUAGGGUUUUAUGUUCAUUACCACUCACUUAUACUCAUUUAAUUCUUAUACUCAUUUAAUUGUGGACAAUAACAGUAUCUCAUUUGAAAACUUUCAAUUUUAUACUUAAAUUUUUUUCAUAAUUAAUCAUUUUUAAUUAAAAUUAGAGUUCAAAUGUAUAUUUUUUUUUAAGGAGGAGAGUUGAAUUAAAAAACAGGGACUGAAGUAAAAAAUUCAGCUAAAAUAGGUAGCGACUCUAUAAUUUAUUUACAAAAUUUAUUUUAGUUUCUCAUCUUUUCAAGUUAUUAAAUAAUAAGUCCGCAUAAUUUUCCAACAUUGCAUUUCAAAUUUUUUUUAUUAUUAAUACUUUUAAUAUAUUUUUUUGAAAAUAAUUUUAAAAACGGUGUUUUCAUUAAUAUUCCUUUUCUAUGAUUUGUUUUUUUGGCAUUAUGUAGUCUUUCUUCAAUUAUUUUUAAUUUUGUUGCUUUGUUUAAUUUUUUAAGAGGUUAAUAAUAUUUAUCUGUAAAUAUUUGUUAUAUAUUUCAGAUAGAUUAAGUAUUUAAUUUUCAUAAUAAUUUGAAUAUGUGUAGCGUUGCAUAGUUUUUCUUCCUUUUAUGAUAUUAAAAAAAAUUAUGUGUGUGUUGAUUUCUAUUAUCGAUUGAUUUUAGUAAAUAAAUUCAUUAAAUAUAACCAAAUAAAUGAUCCAUAUUGCAAUAUUAAAUACUUUAUCUAUAUUUGUUUCUUAAUUUUUCCACUUGCACUUUUAAUUAUCGGUAAUGACUUCAUUUUUUCAUUUAUUUACACAAUUGUUUGUGAUUUAUUUAAUUUGAUGCGUGUAUAAGUUUUUCGAUUUACAUUUAGAAUUUUUUUAAUGUAAAAAAACACGUUGAGAAAUUCUUAUUUUUAUGAUUUUAGUUUGAUCCUUAUUCUUAUAAUUUCUUAUUUUCUUUCUAACCCUUUUAUAAAACAAAAAAUUGUUUAUAAUUUCAUCCUUCAAUUGAACAUAAUGAUGUAUUUUUUUUAUUAUUUAUAUUCUUGUUUGUUAUUAUUGCUUUUUUUCUUUAUAUAAUUCAUAUAAAACCAGCUUAUUUAAUCGGCCAAGACUAAAUAAAUAAAUAAAAAGAUAUACUGUGUCUUCCCAUUUCCUCUCCCUGGUGAAUUUUGGCGACCACCCACACAAUGAUAGCCUAAACAACCACCAGCCAUGCCACUUUUCAAGACCCCAUCUCUCAAUCUCAAAACCAGAAACAACCCUUUCUCAUAAUUCCGGGAAAGUGAAGAACUAAACCAUAGUGGCAAAAAUCUUAAAGGGUCUAAAUUAUCUCUGUUACUUUCCCUCAAUUUUCUAGACAAGCAAAAGGAGCUAAACUUAUUCCCGACCAAAACGCCAAGAAUUUCAGUAGAACAAAAGAAGAGAUUGUUACUUGACCAUAAACAAUUAGUCCGCACCCAAACAAACUGAGUGAAUGAGAGAAAAAGACUAAUGGCUAGAAAACAAUCAACAGAUCCAAGAAUUUUCUGUAUGGUUUCCAAGAAAAUGAAACGAAACGAGCAGCACAACCCUCUUUCCCCUCUAAGAAAAGAAAGAAGAAGAAAAAGAAAAAGAAAAAGAAAGGAAAGAAACAAAGAAGUUCGAGGAAAGAAAAAGUAAGGAAGAUGAAACCAUAAACCUGCAAGUCCUACAAAUCAUAAACAUUGACUUUGAUUUUUCCUUUAUAAAACCAUAAACCUGCAAGUCCUACAACAUGAAGACUUAUCAGAUCCUAAUGAAAAGCUGUCAAAAUCCUAUCAGAAAUUAAGGAAGAUGACGUUACGUUAACUUCAAAUCUGAGGAUUAAUUGUAGCAGAUCUUAUAGGGUUCAGCUGAUUGCUUUACUUGUUUAAAUAAUUCUCUUGUAAGCCUAAUGGUUCACGUCUUCCAUCAUUGCAACCUUUUUUUCUGUGAUUGAAAAAUCUAUAAUAGGAACCUGCACUGCAUCCCUUCUAUGCUGUUGUUCUUUCUUCUUGUUUUGCUAUUUUGAUUUUAUCAUAUUUUCUAUGAUGAAAGUUGAAGAAAUUCUACUUCGAAACUCAAGACAAAGUCUCUCGAUCGGACUGCAUAUUAGUGGGUUGCUCAUUGGGAUUUCUAUAAACAACUGAUUCUAAUAUUGCAAAGCAACAUUACGAAAAACUGAAUAUUUCACACAUAGUCUAAUAAAAGUAGAUUCCAUUGUCAAUUCCUUAACAUUUUCCAAACAAAUCCAUGCUCCUCAUUUUAUACUUUCUUGAGGGUUUCUAUUCUCUUAUUACCAAUUUCAGUGAGUUUCAUAAUAAGCUGCUUAGAAAGAAGCUAUCUAGCAGGAGGGUGGGGCUACUCUUAGCCAAUGAAAACAGCUUCACAUGCUAUACAGCAACGUGAAAAAAAGAUUCUCAGCCUGUUCUCUCUUUAAUGAACACCCUCUUGGAUUCUCUAGCAUUAGCCAACAAGGUAUUUGCUUGGAAUUACUUCCACCUGAAAACAACAGUUAACCUAUUUAAUAUACUUAACUAAGUAUCUAUUUCAUAACCUUAUAUAUUUUUUUAAUUAAAUUAGUUAUUUUUUUCAAAAAUAAAAAAAGUAAACGGUUUUCCAAAAAUCUAAUUCACAAUAAAACAAAUAAUGAAACUUGAUAAUAAUUCAUUAAAUAACCAUCAAUUAUUCAUCAAACCAAUCUGAAAAAGCUCAUAUUAAAGCUAGGGACCAAUCUGGAAUUUUAUCAUAUUUUUAGGGGUCAAAUUAUAAUUUUAUCAAAUUAGAAGACCAAACUAAAAAUAUCAUAAAUUCAUGACUAUACUAGAAUUCUGCCCAUAAUUCAUCAUAAAUUCUGCCCAGAAUUUCAAAUUAUGCUCCAAGGACCACUAUAGAAUUUUAUCAAAUAUCUAGGGUUAAGUUGUAAUUUCAUCAAAUUGGAGGACCAAAGUGAAAAUAUCAUAAAUUCAUAACUAUACUGGAAUUCUGCCCAUAAUUUAACUUUAAUUCUGUCCAGAAUCUCGGAUUAUGCUCCAGGGACCAAUCUCUAAUUUUUCUAAAGUUCAAGGACUAAACUGUAAUUUUCACAAAUUGAGGGACCAAACUGAAACUUCAACCUCAAACCCAGAAUUUACACAGAUAACCUACUGAUAUAUCAAGAUUUCUAACUCAAAUUCACCAUUUAAAUAAAAUCAUAACUCAAAAUCAUUAUUUUUACCUAAAAUCUUUCAAAAUCAACUAAAUAAUUCAUUAUCCAUAACAAUCAACCCAUAAUUUUUCUGUAAUGUAAUUGUAAUUCCUAGCAUAAUGCAUAUCCGAGGGCAAGCACAACAACUCAAGAACAAAGAAACUCGAUGAAAUAGCAAAAGAAAAGGACUUGAAGGACUGAAAUAAAAUAAAACCAAAAAAUAGGGAUUAAAAAAGUAACCGCACUCUGGUUGCCAUAAAAAACAUAGUUCUUUUAAUAUUUUUUUUUUAACUAUUGUAAUAGGUCAAUCAUAUUACCCGAGUGUGUGACUCAGAGAUGAUCAUCAUAGAAAAUUACUUUUAAUUGCUUGAGUUUUAUCCUUAGAUGAAAAACUUACCUCGUCCUCCUAAUGCUUUUGCUUUCAUUGUUUCGAAAGUAAAAGAGACAUAAACAUAAUCAUUUCCUUCCUUUUACUUUCCACUUCUUUGUAAUGGAUUGCAAACGGGAUGGUGCUUAGUGAGGCCAGUUUUUCUUUUCCUUUCUAUUUAAAAUCUUAUGCCUAAUUGGGUGAGGAAAUUAGUGGAGCAUUAGACUUUUUAAAAGACAACAAAAGGAAGCAAUGUCUCAUCUUUUGAUAUGGUGGUCUUCCAUGAUCAGUUUGUUGAUGAAGAUAUCGAAAGAUUCGAGUCUCCGUUCUAGUUCAGGUUGGAUGCAAGGCCGAAAGCUAAGCUUCUUUUAAUUAUGAAUUGUUUAUGCAAAGGAAACCCAGAAGCUUGAACAAACAGAAAUGCCUUGUUGAUUUCUCUGCUACUACUCAUUAUUUCCAAUAUUAUUCCAUUAUCUUACCCGAAAGCAAUUAUACAAGAAAUUUCAUUAUCCUGCCCCAAAGGCAGUUUAUUGCAUGGACUUCCUUUAACCUAGCUCCUUGAAGGCAAUUUAUUUGAUGAAAAUUCCUUUAAUCCACCUCAAAGACAAUUUAUCUUAGGGAAUUCCAACAACCCUUAAGGCAUUUUAUCAAAGGGAAUUCCAAAAACAAUUUAUUUCUUGGACUCAGUAUUCUUUGAUACUAGUUAUUUAUAUAUAAUUUAACAACACUUAACCAUCUUACAUUUAAGAAGAAAUUCAAAAGUAAGGAUAACCCUUAUCUAGAGCUCCUGUGGUUCUUGCUCCCGAGAGAAUUGGCUCCACUCCGGACAAAUCUACUAUCAGAAACCCAAGUUUCAACCAAUCAAUAACAUCAACACCCAUUUUAUAUUAAUGCAAUAAGUUUUUCUUAACCAAUUUACUUGAUGCAAGUUCUUAUAAUAAAAGUGACAGUAUUCAAGGUGAAGACAAGCAGAAGGGCGUGAUAGAGUUUGACAAAGAUGAAGCUAGUUCCAAUAAAGGGAAACACUCUAUGCAGGCCAAACAACAGUGGAAAUUCUUAUAAUCCCACCAAUCAAGGAUUACAGGACCCUAGUCCUUCCCAAACCAAUUUGAACUCCCCGUAGAGAAAACAUCUCCAAACCCAUUUUGAAUCACCCACAACAAGCAUCUCCACAACCUGUUCUGAACCCCCCCACAACAAGCAUCUCUGCAACAUGAUUUUAUUUCCUUGUGUGACAGGGAGGUCAAAAUUGAAAGAUAUUACUAUUUUCAUUAAUUUUAUUAAAGCUUAAUUAUUAUUUUUUUUCCCUUUUCUUUUAAAAAUGUUAUCUCCUUGGUAAGGAAUCCUUGGUUCCCAACAGCAACUGUAGCAUAGUUAAAAAAAUAUCUAAACUCCACCGAAAGUAGUGGAGCCUUAGAAUUUUUAAAAGACAAAACGGGGACAAGUGAGAGACGAAGAAAAAGACAAAAGUAAUCCCAUCUAUUGAUGUGGUGAUCCAAGAUACACCAUAACAUGGUGUUCUUCCAUGAAGUCUAAGAUACACCGUCGUGUUGUUUCAUAUAUAUUUUUAUAUAUGAAAAUAAUAAAGCUACCGUUUAAAACAACUCUGAAAACAAAAUUUUUAAUAAUCCAUAAUUUUUAAGCAAACAUCACUUAUAAGCAAAUAAUUAAUGAUGGUUAGUUAAACUAAUUCAUUGUUAGGCGGAUAUAUAUUAAGGUUAAGAACCCUCUAUCUAACACUAAUAACUAAUCACUGAUAAUAUUUAUGCAAAACUUGUAGCUUAGGAUGAACUCUCAGAGAUGUGGGCGAGGCAACUCAAAGUAGAAGGGAAGGGGUAACCUCUGAUAACAGAGAAAAUUGUAGAGUAAAGCAGGACCGAAUUUUCUUAAAUUAACAACAGAAAUCUACAAUGAACAGUUCUCGAGAAGAAACUCAAGAAACGUAUAUAAAGCUACAUGAUGACAUAAUAGGAACCUGCAUUGCCUCCAUUCUAUGAUGAAAGUUCAAGAAAUUUUACGUCGAAACUCAAGACAAACUCUCUCAGACUACAUAUUAGUGGGAUUUCCAUGAACAACUGAUUCUAUUGCAAAGCAACAUUAGGAAAAAUUGAAUAUUUCACACAUAGUCUAAUAAAAGUAGAUUCCAUUGUCAAUUCCUCAACAUUUUCCAAACAAAUCCAUGCUCCUCAUUUUAUACUCUCUCUCUUAUUACCAACUUCAUUGAGUUUCAUAUAAGCAUAGUCAAUCACACAACUAAUAUGUGAAUUCACAAUUUCUUACCGAAAACAUUUUAUCAGUGCAAGUUAAUACAUAAUUUUACCUCUCCUCUUGGUGAAAACAUAAAGACACAACCACCGAGCAGAUCUCUGGUAAUGGUCUCUACAAAUUCCCUACAGUUCCUAUUGCCAACAAACUCCUCUUGCCAUUCCCUAACUGCAUUGAGCCAGCUAAUCUGGAUGAAAGAAAAGACUUCAGCCAUUCCCUAACCUUAAAGCAGACCCAACUUUGUAGCUCAUUACCAGUUAAGUAAAAGUUAUCAAUAGCUGUGUAAAUCAUUGAAACUGCCACAAAAGCCCCAAAUUAGUUAUGAAUUGGAUUCGAUAAGGGAAAGAGGGGAAGAGGGGAAAUGGGUAACGGAAAAUUAAAGAGAGAUGAAGAUCUGCGCAGGGCUACCUGUUUUGAGAAUUAUGGAUUUUUAUCCCUAACUCCAAAUUGCACCAAUUAUAAGUUCAUUAAAACAAAUCUGGAACAGAACAGAUGGAAAAAACUCGAAACAACUUGGCUAGAAUUUGGGCAAGAAAUUCAGAACGGCCAAGAUUUUAAGUGAGAUAAAAGUUAUCCCAUUUUGUUCUGUUUUUUUUUAAAAAAUUAAUAUGAGAUGUACUAUCCAUUUCAAGCGGAACAUAAUGGAAUGAACAACCUUGCAUCGAAGACCUAAUUUUAGUGAAACUCAAGUUUCUUGUGUCAAAGAAAAUGUUCUAAAAAAAUGUUUUAAGCAUUAACAAAAUCUAGUUGGCCUAGGCAAUCCACUAUUGUUGCUGUUACCGUUGGUGCAUACUCCAUUACACCAUUGACAUAGUGCAACUGUUUUUCUUUCUUUCUUUCUUUCUUUCUUUUAAAAAAAUCCAUGUUAUGUUUUUUAUUUGAAGCUUUUUUGUUAAUAUCUUUCGCAAUUGGCCUUGGUAUUUUGUUUCCAUUUUCUCUGUUUCCUUCUUCUGUAGUUAGAAAACAUCAUGUCUUUGGGUUUGCGCUUGAUACAGCAAAAUUAAGGACACAAUAAUCAAAGAACACAAAAUUUUAUAAGGGAAAGGGGUUGCAGUUGUGAACCUAAAAUUUACAAAUUUAUUUUCUCAAUAAUAAUAAUAAUAAUAAAGAAGUUUGCCUUCUUAAAAGGUUUACAAAACCUUAAAUAGGUUAGGAACCUUACCUCAACAAGGGAACAGAAAAAAAAUCCAAAAUUAUAAAUGAAACAAGCAUAAAAUCUGAAAUAAGCAAGAAAUGAAAAUAACAAAAAACUACCAAAAUCAGGGGCAUCAUUGAGAUUUUUAAUAUCUAAAGAUCUAAUGAUUUGUAUAAAAAUUUGAGCACAUUAAUCCAAUAAUCGAAAAAACAAUUAUGGCUCUUUUGAGCUGUUAUUCUAGUCUAGCACGAUCAAACAUUCUCUUGGGUUUAGACUUGUUCUAUUGGUUCAUAAAUGCAUUUACUAGGCCAUCAACAUUAAUUGUCUAAGGCAAAUUCUCAUCUAGUUGUGGUAGACUCACACCUGACUGCUUAUAAAAUUGGUUGGUUUUUUGUUUUCGAAGAGAUUUAAAAUUUGAUGCAAAUGAAAGCUAAAAACACAAUAAUUAAAGGGCACAAAAAAAAUUAUAAGCGAAAAAGACUGCAGAUGUGAACCCUCAAAUUCACAAGUUUAUUUUCUCUAAAAUAAUAAUAAUGAAAUUUGUCUUCUUAGGAGGUUUCCAAAGCCAUAAAAAUAUCAAGAAUCCUACCUUAACUUGGAAACAAAAACACAAACUCAAAAUUACAAAGGAAAAAAGCAUAAAAUCCAAAAUAAGCAAGAAAUUAAAAAAUAACAAAGAAAAUCACAAAAAACUACCAAAACUAGAGGGCUCAACAAGAUUUUUGAUAUCUAAAGAUUCAGCAGUCCACGCAAAAAAAUUUGCAUGGUCCAACGGUCGGAUAAGAAAUUGUGAUCAUUUUGAGCUAUUAUACACGACCAAAUCUUCUUUUGAUCCUAUACUUGUCCUAUUAGUCCAUAAAUGCAUUUUCAUAACCUAUCUUUUUUUUUUUUCUACUAUAGAUGGUGUUUGACCAUCAUCGUCAUAUGGUUUGACUUAGUUGUACCGGUUUUUAAUAAGAUGAACUUUAUAUAUUAUGGGUUUACAUUUACUAUUUUUUAAAAAUGUUCAUUAUCGUUUCGAUCUCUAUAAGUCCAUUGUUCACAACUGAAGUCCGUACCUGCAGCGGAUCACAGGCAAUGAAACUAUACAAACACACUAGAGACUCAAGAGUAAACAUGCUACUAUAGUUAGCAGGUAAGGGUCAGGUCAUUUGUUGUCUGGUUUCAAAUAGAGUUUCAACUCAUUUAAUAAAUAUAUAUACAUGGCUCAUAGUUGGAUUAUUUGUGUUUUUGUUAUUUGUUCUUCCCAGUAAUUGUACCAGAAGCUGCUCUCAUAUUUGAAGGAAUGCAAACAAUAUAUUGUUAAUAUGAAACUUAUGAUGCCUAGGAAAUUGCCAUUUUUCUCAUUUUUAAUUGGAAGAAAAAUCACAAGUAUGUUUCUGUUAGAAAUAACUUCUUAUUUCAAUCAGAAGUGUGUCACUAAAUUGAUUUAUAAGUAAGUUUUUAAAUUGUGGAUUAUAUCUUAAUUACAUUAUAUUUUUUUAUUAACAAAAGUUUAUUUGAGUUAUUUUUAUUAAAAAUACUUAUAAUUUAAAAUUAUUUUAAUUCUUUUUUAUCAUAAAUUAUUUAUUAAAAACAACUUAGAUUAUCGCUUGAAAUAAAAAAUUCUUAAUUCAAAAGUCAUUAAAAAAUUCUUAAUUUAAAGAAGCUAAUAAUCUAAAAGGAGGGUGGGGCUGCUUAGCCAAUGAAAACAGCUUCACAUAUGAAAACAGCUUCACAUACAACGCAACAACGUGACACAAAGUAGAAAAAAAAAGAAAAAGAAAAAUUUCUCAGUCUGUUUUCUCUUUACUGAACAACCUCUUUGAUUCUCUAGCAUCUGCUUGGAAAAACCAUUCAACAAGGGAUUCUGCUAGGAAAACAUGCAAUUGUUCUUCUAUCUGAUAUCAGUUUCAAAAUUCUAAACAAAUAAUGCAACAAGUCACAUUUAUUCCAGACCUCAAGCUGCAUUGCCUAUUUCAAAACCACAAAGAGAACAUCAAACAGAACAACAAAUACCCAGUCGUAGAGCCAUUAAUUUGAGCAUAAAGGAGAAAGAAAGUCCACGCAUUAAACAGUAGGCACACACAUGAGUAUACAUUAUGCCCUUGUUUUUGAAGAUUCAGACACUUCAAAAGAAAACUCACGCUCUUAUUUUUGGGAAGUUCUUGUAUGGUAAAUAAGACUGUUACAAUGUGAAGCCAAUUUGUAUCCCAUUGCCAGUGAAACAAUAGGAAUUACUUCCACCAAUCUAAAACAUAUUCGCAGCACCACAGCUCAAAGACAUGAAUCUCUGUGAAAUCACCUAAGGUCGAGUUGCUCAUGUAAUAGGCAACCAACCUGCCUAAUGCUAACAGAAGAACAAAGACCAUUCAUGCAUAUCCAUUACCUGUUUAGCAUGUUUUUCAAAUUCCAAUGCCAAACUAAUCAUCCUACCCAUCAUCAUCAUCACCACCAUCUCCCUUCACCACCUUCCUUCAUCUCCUUCACCACAUACCCACCCAUUAUUUCGGGUCCACGUUUUACAAGUGCUGAUUGGCGCAGAGCAACCAGUGCUUGAAUCCUCAGCUACUUCAGAUACCUGUAAUCCAAUCCAAGCAUGGCAUACACAUUUUGGCUUCUAAAUCUUAUUAUUGAGUGAAACAAGAAACAAACACACAAAAAGAGAAGCAAGAAAUUAAGACAAUUCAGCAGCACCUCUGAUGGAGCUCUUAUUGAACCAUUUGGUGUAGUAGCAAAUUUUGUGAUCAGCUUUGGGCAUUCAAACACCUCCAACUGCUCUAAAUGAGGGAAUAAGAAAUCAUAACAUCCGAGACUGAAGCAUACAAUACUUGAUAAUUGUUCUAGCAACAGCACCUGCAGAUUCGGGAGCUCCAUCACCUUCUCAACAUUGACAGGUAAAGCAUUCUCAUCCUGAAGCCAUGGCUACUGGGAAGAGACUCUUCAACAUGUUGCAUUUUCUGACAUCAAUUUCACAUAAAUUAGGGAAACAUACAGAUUGAAGAUGAUCUCCUGGGAAUAUCUGAUCCUUUCCAUCAUCAUUAUCCCUAGCAAUGAUUUGCUAUAAUUCCUCACAACUUUCUAUGUUUAGAAAAUUCAGUUGAACUAGACUAGCAAUCAUGCUGUCUGAGAAUACAUGUGUUAGUCUUUUACACUUAUUCACCACCGAAGUAGUUAAAUUGCUCAGCACGAGAACCUUCCACAAACACCACAUGCUUGUGUCAGGCAGGGACUUCAAUUUUAAUGUUUUCAAACUUGUUAAACUCCUAUGCAUGCUCCACUUAUCAAUUUUAAUGUUUUAGCUCUUCAUUCGUCUCUCCAUUUAAAGCUAUAAAAUAAAAUAAAAUAAAAAUAGCUAACAAUAUUACCCUUUUUUUUAUUGACAAAUGCUACUGUUUUUUUCUUUUUUUUUUUCUUUUUGUCAUUCUAAAUAGAGCAUUUGCCAAUAAAAAAAAAUUAAGGCCUGGAAAUGAUGUUUUGUGAUUGGCCCAUCAUUAAUUUUGUUAUCCAUGCACAGUAUAGACCGGCCCGGGAAUGAUGUUUAAACUGGGAAUAAUGAGUUUUCUAUGGGCUUUGGAGCAUUGUGUGACACUUAACAGUGUGCACUUCAGGCCCAUUUAAGAAGAGAAAAAAGGGACAGGGAUAAAGUCUGAAGUAACGGUCAGAAAAGAAACCGAUAAAUUAAUUAAAUUGAAAAAAUUAAAUUAUAAAAAAAAUUAAUUAAAUAAAUUAGAAUAUUUUUAAAAAAUUAGUUGAGUUUGAUUUUGAUUUCAUAAAUUUAAAAUUAAAAAACCGAACCAAAUAAAAAAACCCAUUAAAAAAUCCCAAAAUUACCAAAAAAACAACAUAAUUUUUAAUUUUAAAUAUAAAAUAAUCAAACCAAAUCGAAAUCGGUCAAUUGAUUGAGUUUCAGUUUUUAAUAUAAAAUAAUUAAACCAAACCAAAACAGGUCAAUUGGGUUUUAUUUUCUAAUAUAAAAUAAUCAAAUAAAAUUAAAAUUGAUCGGUUGGAAUCGGUUUUAAUUUUUUUAUAUAUUUUAUAAAAUUUGAAUUUAUUAUUUUUAUAAAUAAAAAAAAUAAUCACUCUCGGUCUAAAGUCAAGACAUUGUGGUAUAUGACAUCAUUGGCAGGGUACUAUUCUACCACUAGAUCACUGGCACUUGUUGGUAUCAACGUGUGGAAUAGCUAAUUAAAUAUAUAUAGUCAAAUAGGUAAUUGAAUAUAUAUAAUGACACGUAUAUUUCCUAGUCAAACGCAGGAGCAAAAAUUUCAAAAUAGCAGACAACGUUUUUGACAGAAGUCUUGUACCAUUACUUCUAUCUCGCUUUAUUCUCUUCUAUAUAUAUAUAUAUAUAUAUAUAUGGUGAAUUGACUAGAGCAUGCAUAUAAGACUUCUUCUAGUCAUGAUGGUCAGUGAGGUUUUUGGUUUUAAAAUCAACAACUCCACUUAAAUUUCUUAAACUUGAAGAAUAUGCGAAGACAAUGCAUUUUUAAUAUGCUAAUUAUUCCUUGUACAGAAACAAGAAGGGAUUCUCCUCUACAUUAUUGUCCCAAUAUAUCAAACAUUGAUAAAGAAAAAAUGCAAAUCAAAACCAAGGCUCCCUCCCCACUGUUUCGUUUUAUAUGCUCUUGGAUCUUGAUUAACUAAUGAAGGAAACAAUUUGAAAACAUUAAAAUUGUAUCAAGAGACAGGGAAUGACACAGUUAGACAACUCCUUUUCAAUUUAGUGGAUGGCUAAAGGAUUUAUCUCCACUUAUCAAUUACUUCAGUUUCAGAAAUUUGGAGGAAGAAAUCACAAUGUAUUGAAGUUGACAACCAGAAGCCCAAAAGAAAACAAUUUUGACGAAUACCCACCAAACAGUUGAAGUGCUGCUGUAACUGAGAUUUUUUAUUAUAUGUAUUUUUUGUGGUCCAAUGGAUAAAUAAUUUUUUUUUCUUUUAUUUUAUCAGCUUAAUUUUGCAUGUGGAAUAUUGAGUUUUCUGUUAUUUUUUCAGACACAGAAUUGAAUCCUUUAUAUAUUCUUAAAACCAAAUUUGAAUUCUAAGUUCCUAAAUGAAGGAAUAAUAAAGAUUGUUGCAACUUGCAUGUACAAAUUCUCCUUCAAAAAAUUAACAAAUAAUAAAGUCUCCUAUGUUAAUGAAGAUUUAAUUAUAACUUAGCCCUGUAAUUUCUUAAAAUUAAUUAUUUAGUCUUUUAAGUAUAAUGGAUGUCGCACCCGACAUCGCGGCGGCCCUAAAAAUAAUCCUCGAAUAUGAAAAAAGAACAGAUUUCUGGCAUCUUGCUCUUUUAGAAGAAAAAAAAUGUCUUAUUUGAGGAGUCGCCACCUAUUAUUAUGGUCACUAGGAACCCUAACUAGUCAACAGAGAUUCUAUGGCUCGGGAUUGGUUAUGUAAAAGGGAAGAUAUUAUCACCCUUUAAACGUUCUGCCUAAUGCAGAUUGCAUUGCUGGUUUUGUCUUAAAUUGCUAAAUGUUUAUUAGUUUAUGCUAUGAUAAUUUGUUUAUAAUAUUCCUGACUCUGGCGCCAAUGAAUAUUCGAGCUCGAAUAAUUCCAACUCUGGCGUUGGUAAAAAUUCGUUGCUACGAAAAAAAAUUAGAUCAAUAUUUUUUAUUCUCUACUCUAGCGCCAAUGAAUAAAUAAAUAAAAAUAAAUUUAUUUUUACGCAUGCACAUAUUUUUUUAUUUCUUAUGUAGUUAAAUAAAAAUUAAAUCAGUAUUUUUUAUUUCUGACUCUGGCGUAAGUGAAUAAAUCAAUAAAUUUUUCUAUUUUUUCUAUUUUUAUUUUUUUUUGUUUUGGGGGUUGGGCCCAGCUCAGCCCACAAGGGCUGGGCUGGACCCAGCUGACUCGAUUGGGUCACUGGUCUAGACCAGUGACCCGGCCGGGUGGCAAACGCACGCCUGCCCAAUGAAUUAUAAUUCACUUGCUACAGUAGCAAGUGAAUUAUAAUUCACUGCUACUGUAGCAGUGAAUUAAAAUGCAAAAGGGUAGAGAUGAGGGACGACUGACCUGGUGCAGCAAGGCGUAGCCGGAGACGAUGGCGCACUGUGCUGGACAAACGACGCUGCCUCCUCUUGUUCUUCCUCUCUUCUUCCUUCUCUUCCUCCUUUUCUUCCCUGGUUCGUCCCUGUAUUUCUUUCCUGGAGUGCCCUGUUUCUGGUGCAGUGGCUGCUGAAGAUGGAGCUCUGGAGUUGCUGCUUCUGGAGGCGACGAAAACGGUUGUGACGCUGGUGGUGACUCUUGUCUACUGCUUUCCUUGGUCUUCCUUAUGUGCUUCCUCUGCUCAGGACAUCAACGAUGGUGAUGAAGAUGUUAGGUGCUGCCGGUUGAAUGGAAGCUUGCUCCCCUGUUUCUGUUUUUCUGCAUUCGUCUUCCCUAGUUUUCCUUUCCUAAGCUGUGAUAAGAUAGGAUUUAGAGGAAGAAGAGAUAAUAAGAUAAAAGGUGAUUGUUUAUUGAUUGCAUGCCUUUCCUCUCGAAACAGUGAGCCUAAAUAGGCCAUUCAAUACAACUGUAAACUAAAUAAUAGGAACUCCAGUAGUGGAGAGCUGAAGACUAGGGAUUCUCUGACCCAUUCAAUUACUUAAUUAAACAAUGAAAUAAAUUAAACAAUGAAACAAACAAAACAUAAAGUAAUUCCACGUAGACUCUCUCCAUGCAGUAGUAGCAAGAGAUCCACGUGCCCAAUGCUCUUAUCAUUCCCUCUCCCUCCCUUGAAUUCUCCUUGUCCGCAAGGUUGAAUUGAGGAUAAGUUUUUGCAAAUCGCCACAAAUUUUCCCACGAAGAAUCUUCUGGCAAUGCCCCCUUCCAUUGCACCAAGAUUUCCGUUCGUGGCCUGUAUUUCCCCUUCUGGAUAACCCUUCUAUCAAGGAUUGCUUCUGGUUCUGGUAACACCACAACAUCUGACAUAAUUGGAGGAAGGGUGAUCACCGCGUCCUUGGCUAUAUCUCCCCACUGUUUCUUGAGUAAACUGACAUGGAAAACAUCAUGUAUGCGUGACCCUGUGGGAAGGUCUAAUUUGUAUGCCACUGGUCCAAUGCGAGCGAGAACCUUGAAGGGGCCAAAAAACCUGGGUGAUAACUUUAAGGAACUCCUGAAAGCUACCGUUUUUUGGCGGUAUGGUUGCAAUUUUAAGAACACAUAAUCUCCAACCUGAAAUGUGACUUCCCGACGAUGCAAAUCUGCCCGAGAUUUCAUGCGUCCCUGUGCAUCAAUUAAAUUCCGUCUGAGGUCCCGCAGGAUGACCUCUCUUGUGCGCAGCAUUUGAUCUACUGCUUGAAGCUUUGUAGUUCCUGGUAUAUAGGAGAUCAUAGAUGGAGGAGGGACCCCGUACACAGCUUCAAAUGGAGAAACCUUCGUUGUUGAUUGAAUGGCCGUGUUGUAACCAUAUUCAGCCCAAGCCAGCCAUUCCAUCCAUGCCUUUGGGUGGUCGCAAGUGAAACAGCGCAGGUACUGUUCCAAGGUCCGAUUAACCACUUCGGUUUGGCCGUCCGUUUGCGGAUGGUAACUGGAGCUGUAGUUAAGUGUCGUGCCAUGUAGCGUGAAUAAGGACUUCCAGAAGGAGCUGAUGAAGAUUUUAUCCCGAUCACUCACUAUAGAACGCGGCAUGCCAUGUAAUUUGACCACAAUAUUUAAGAAACACUUCGCAACCGUCACUGCAGUGUAGGGAUGUUUAAGUGGCAUAAAAUGGUUGUAUUUGGAGAGCCGAUCCACCACAACCAUGAUAACACUGUAACCUUGCGAAGAUGGUAAGCCCUCGAUAAAAUCCAUAGAUAUGUCCGUCCAAAUGAGCUGUGGGAUUGGGAGAGACUGAAGUAACCCCGCUGGCCUUAAAGUUUCAUGUUUACAACGCUGGCACACCUCACAUUCUCUAAUGAAGUUCUUGACAGAUGUUCGUAUGCCAGGCCAUAGAAAGCUGGAGGAGAUGCGGGUCAAGGUCUUUAAAUAGCCAAAAUGUCCACCUGCAGGGAAUGAAUGCCCAUCGGCCAAAACAGCAGGUAACAAAGAGGAUGUAGGACUCAAGUGUAUCCUCCCUUUCUGCAUCCAAACCCCAUCUCUUUGAACCAGUUUUAAAGUGGGAUUGGUGGCCACAGUGCUGUAAUAGGGCUGCUGCUGGACUUCUUGUUGUAGAGUUUCCCACCAGUCUGUAAUAGGAGCUGAUAUAGCGUGUAAUUGUGCUGCUGCCACGCGAGAGAGAGCAUCAGCUCCCUGAUUUUCCUUGCCCUUGCGAUACUGAAUGCUGUAAUCGAACCCCAUAAUCUUCGGCAGCCAACGGGCUUGAGAAGGGGUGGUAAGUCGUUGCUCGAGAAGGUACUUCAAGCUUUGAUGAUCGGUCUUGAUCACAAAGGUUCUGCCCAAUAAAUACGGCCGCCAUUUCCGCACUGCCUUCACUACUGCGAGCAUCUCCUUGUCAUACGUUGACAGUAAUCUAGACUUGCCCUUCAAGGCCUCACUGUAAUAAGCAAUUGGCUGAUUGUCUUGAGAUAAAAUUGCUCUCAACCAUCACCACACGCAUCACACUCCACUGCAAAUUGUUGUGCAAAGUUUGGAAGUCGCAGCACAGGUGGGGACGUGAGGGCUUGCUUCAGUUUAUUGAAAGCCAUGAGCGCCUCCUCAGACCAGCGAAACCCCUCCUUGGAUAGGAGCUGAUUUAAUGGUGCAGCUAUGACGCCAAAUCCUCUCACAAAUUUUCAGUAAUAUCCAGCCAAACCGAGAAACCCACGGACAUCCUUGGGAGUUGCUGGAAUUGGCCAAUUUUGGACGGCUUGGAUUUUGGCAGGGUCCACUGCUACUCCUUCGGCAGAAAUGAGGUGCCCCAAAUAACCCACGGUAAGCACUCCAAACUGGCAUUUUGAGAGCUUUACAUACAGCUGGUUGUCCGAGAGAAUACGCAGCACUUGACAGAGAUGUUGUAAGUGAUCCAUCCAAGACCUGCUAUACACCAAAAUAUCGUCAAAAAAUAACAAUAUAAAUCGCCGUAAAUGAGGGCGAAAGAGGUCAUUCAUGAGACUCUGAAAAGUUGCUGGGGCGUUUGUCAAUCCGAAUGGCAUGACCACAAACUCGUAGUGACCGUCAUGAGUGCGGAAUGCGGUUUUUGGAAUGUCUUCCGGCUGGACUCUAAUCUGGUGAUACCCGGAGCGCAAGUCCAGCUUUGAAAAGAACUUCGCGCCAUGUAAUUCAUCAAGCAACUCAUCAAUGACCGGAAUGGGAAACUUGUCUUUAAUUGUGAUUUCAUUGAGCGCCCGAUAAUCAACACAAAAUCGCCAAGACCUAUCAGCCUUUUUAAUCAACAAAACCAGAGAAGAAAAGGGGCUGCGACUGAGGCGAAUAACUCCAGAUUGUAGGAAUUCCUUGACCAGUUUUUCAAUCUUAUUUUUUUGAUAGUACGGGUACCUGUAAGGCCGGUUGUUGACUGGAGAUUUAUUGGACAUCAAGGGAAUUUGGUGGUCAUGGCUGCGCGUAGGUGGCAGCGUUGUAGGCUCCUGGAAAACAUGUGCAAAAUCUGAAAGGAUGAGAUUGAGGUCAGGUGACCACGCUGAGGCUGUCUUUGGCAUUGUCUCCGUUUCUAUAUGCACAAAAUACCCCACACCUGAUAAGUGGAUCAACUCCUUAUCACUUAGGGGAGCGAGUUCAGUGUUUGAUAGUCCUCUCAAUGUGUACGUCUGGCCUUCUUGUUUAAAUGACAUGAUGAGCUUUUUGUAAUCGGUCUUGAUGGGGCCUAAAGUCUCCAGCCAUUGCACUCCUAAUACGGCUUGGCAGGCUAUCACUGGAAGCACAAAGAAGUCUGCGCGAACAAUGAUUCCUUGAAUCGAUAAAGAAAGGCCUAAGCACCGCCCAGUACACUCAAUAAUCUCCUUGUUCCCAACUGUGACUUGGAUGGUUUUGCCGCGAAUAACAUGUAGUCCCAAUUUGGUUGCCGUGGACUGAUCAAUAAAAUUAUGGGUGCUUCCCCCAUCAAUGAGCACUGUCAUAGCCGUGUUUCCUGCUCUACCAAUGACACGGAAAGUCUGUGGGUGGUUUGUUCCCACCAGAGCAUGAAAUGAUAUCUCUGGAAUGUCUUCCUCAGGCGUCACAAUCUCCAUGUCCACAUCGUCUCCUUCCUCCUUCUGCUGCACAUCCACCAUCAUGAACAACUGAGGCCGUGAACAACGAUGCCCGGGAACAUAUCGCUCAUCACAAUAGAAACACAACCCUUUUUCACGUUUCUCCCUUGCCUCCUGACCUGUUAUCCGUCGAAUUGGUGCAGUUGGGUGAGUUGUUCAUUGAGCCGGGGCAGGACCCAAGAGUCCCAUGGUGUUUGUGUGUGGUUGUUUCGGCUGGAAUGAAGGUGUUGUCGAUGGUCUGACUGGAUUGUUGAAUUUCCUUUGGAAAUGAUUUCGUUCUUCAAUUAAAUGAGCCACACUAAUGGAUUCAGAGAGAGUUUUUGGUUGCUUAACUCGAACAUCCAAACGAAUUUCAUCUUUUAAUCCCGCAAUAAAACACCCUACCAGGAAAUUUUCUGGGAGGUCAUCAACCUUGUGAGACAGUUUCUCAAAGGCUUCUUGAUAUACAUUCACAGUCGUGGUUUGCUUAAGUCUGGACAAUGCUUCUGACGGAUCAUCAUACUCAGUUGGUCCAAAACGGUGGAGAAGGGCUGAGACAAACUCAUUCCAGAGUAAUUGUCCCUUGCUUUUCGUAUACCAACGAUACCACUGCAAGGCGACACUCGACAGAUGAAAUGACGCCAAUUGUACUUGUCGUGGAGCGUCAAUGUUCUGGAACUCAAAGUAUUGUUCUGCCUUAAAUAUCCAGCCAGUGGGAUCCUCCCCUUCUCCAGAAUAGGUUGGAAAAUUCAACUUGAGGGUAGUGUGGUUUCUGUCGGCAUUGAAGGUUGCAGACGACCUGUCGUGAGAAGUACUUCCCCCAGCAUAAGGAUUUACUUCCCUCUCACUGGAACGAUGGGAAUGGGCGAUCCUCAUCGCUUGUAGCUCUGUCAUGACUCCCUGAAGGGCGUCGUUGACUCGAUUGAAAUUGUGAUUCAAUUCGUCAAAAUUGGCGUCGUGUCAUCCGAGAGUUUCUGUGAUCUCAGCACGAAACUACGCAUUAGUUUUACCACGCGUGUCCAUGGAUUGAACAGCUCUAAUACCACUGAUAAGAUAGGAUUUAGAGGAAGAAGAGAUAAUAAGAUAAAAGGUGAUUGUUUAUUGAUUGCAUGCCUUUCCUCUCGAAACAGUGAGCCUAAAUAGGCCAUUCAAUACAACUGUAAACUAAAUAAUAGGAACUCCAGUAGUGGAGAGCUGAAGACUAGGGAUGCUCUUGCUAAUCCCGUUACUUAUUCUCUAACCCAUUCAAUUACUUAAUUAAACAAUGAAAUAAAUUAAACAAUGAAACAAACAAAACAUAAAGUAAUUCUACGUAGACUCUCUCCAUGCAGUAGUAGCAAGAGAUCCACGUGCCCAAUGCUCUUAUCAAGCUGUUGCUUGUGAUAUUAUUGGAAAACGAAGACGCAGACGAAGACGAUGGUCGAUGGUGAUGGAGGUCUGCACCCAGGAGAUGGGGGUUCUUCCCCUGCGUUUUUCUUGUUGUUGUUCGUCUCUGUGUUUUUUUUUCUGUUCUCUGUUCUGGGUCUCCAGUGGCUUUUCGGUUAUGCCCUCCCCUCUCUUCUGUCUUCUCUCCCCUUUUCCCCCGGUUUUGCUCUUUUUUCCUUUCAUCCUCUUCUGCUCAGUCGUUCUUUGGCUUUUAUAGCCAGAGAAAAUAAUGUCGUUUCUUCCAACCAUAAAGUGUGAUAAUUGCAGAAGUAAUGGCUGUGCGGCGGUGGGCGUCCGUUUCGGUCGGGUGAGGAAGAUGAACAGUAACGGGCAACGGUGCUGUUUUGGUAUUCACAGUUGUAUGCCUUUUGGCCCUUGAAGUUUUGAACGUUUUGUAAUUAAGCCCCUAGUUAAAUUGUAAAUGGACCCCUGAAUUUCGACGCCUUUUACAAGUUAGGCUUUGGACUUUAAUCUGUUGCCAUUGUGCCCCCAAUUAACCCCAAAAUUUGGUAUUUUUUCAAUUAAGUCCCUGAUUUCAUUAAUUAAAUUAAAUCUAAGUCCAAUUAAGUCCCAAACUUAUCAAUUCAUUAAAUAAGCUCUUGAUUUUGUCAAUAAAACUAAUCCAAAGUUUAAUUAAAUCUCAAAACUUCCAAUUUUGUUGCCAUUAACCCAAAAUUUUAAUUCAUUCUUUAUUUUUAUCAUUUCACUCAUUUCAUCAUCAAAUUUUUUAAAUAAAAUAGAGAAGUCAAAAAUUGGGUUAUGAUAAUGAAUAAUUAAAAAAUCUAUUAACUUGUGUUGACCACCCUCCAUUUACUAUAUUUUUCUCUAAAAAAUGCCUUCCUUCCUAAUGAAAUUUCCUCAAAUACAUACUUUUUUUUUUAGGAAAUGUUCCAUUUUCCUCACUUCUAGAAAAAAAAAAUUAAAUGCUUGUGCGCAUGGGCUUGACCUUGCAGAUCCGCACACAAGCCUUUGAUGGGUGGGCCAAGCACUAGGCCUGACUUUCUAGAUCUAACAACGUAUGACCUCAUUUAUUUUUUUUAAUUAUUAUUAAUACCUAUAUAUAUAUAUUUAUUUAUAUAUUUGAAAAUAUUUUUAAAAAUGAUGUUUUUAUUAAUACUCGUUUUCGUUGAUUUUUUUUUUUGCCUUAUUUAGCGUUCAAUUAUUUUUAAUUAUGUUGGGUAUGUUUAGUUUUUUAAGAAGUUACUAUUAUUUAUCUGUAAAAUUUUUUUAUAUAUUUCAGAUAGAUUAAGUAUUUAUUUUUUUAUAAUAUUUUGAAUAAUUAUAGCCUUGCAUGGUAUUUUUUUUCCUUUUAUGCUAUUCAAUAAAUUUUAUAUGUGUAUUGAUUUCUAUUAUAAAUUAAUUUUAGUAAAUAAAUUAAUUAAACAUAACCAGGGUUAUUUAUUUAUUGGUAAUGACUUUUUUUUUCAUUUAUUUAUAUAAUGAUUCAUGAUUUAUUUAAUUCGAUGCGUGCAUAAGUUUUUUAAUUUAUAUUUAUGAUUGUUUUUAAUGUAAGAAAACACGUUCAUAAAUUCUUAUUAUUAUGAUUUCAGUUUAAUCCUAAUUUUUAUGAUUUUUUAUUUUUUUUCCUUAGCCUUUUAUAAAAGUUUUUUUGUUUGUAAUUUCACCCUUUAAUUUAAUAUGAUGGUGUAUUUGUUUUUUUAUUUUUUGCUUCUAUAUAUAUAUAUAUAUAUAUAUAUAUAUAUAUAUAUAUAUUCCCGUCUUUUGUUUUUUCGUUUUAUCAGCUUUUGCAUGUGGAAUAUUGAGUCUUCUACUUUUUCAGCCACAGAAUUGAAUCCUUUAUAUAUUCUUAAAACUAGAUUUGAAUUCUAAUGAACGAAUAAUAAAGAUGGUUGCAUGUACAAAUUCACCUUCAGAAAACAUAUAAUAAAGUCCCAUAUGUUAAUGAAGAUUUAAUUAUUAAGAAUAUAAAUUAAAUUAAAUUAAAUAUUGAAAAAACUAAAUGAAUUCCUUAAUAAAUAAAUAAAUUCUUUCUUUAGAAAGCAUGGAAAUGCCAUGACACUGGCUUUUUAGAGAGAUGAAGAUCUGGAGCACAACAGCCAAGAAAGUUAUCGAUAAAAGGAAGAUGGGAAGAGGGGAAAUGGGUAACGGGAGAGAGAUGAAGAUCUGCGCAUGGCUACCUGUUUUUGAGAGAAUUAUGGAAAGUUAUCCCUCACUCAAAACGGCACCAAUUAUAAGUUCAUUAAAAAAAAUCUGGAGCACAAUAGAUGGAAAAAACUCGAAACAACUUGUCUAGAAUUUAGGCAAGAAGAAUGAGCCAAGAUUUUAAUUGCAAUGAAAUUUAUCUCACUUUGUUAAGUUUUUUAAAAUGAUACAAGAUAUACUACCUAAUGAAACAAAAUGGAAUCAACAACCUUUAAAAGGAGUAGAGAUCACUUAUGUGUCUCUCAUAUUCAAUAGCCUUUUUCCCAUACUGACAUGUGCUUUACACUCACCAACAUUUUUUUUCUUUUUAUUUUAUAAUAUUCAACAUCGGCGAGUGAGAAUUUGAUAGCUAACUUUAUUAGUAGUGUUGGUUGCUGACUUGUCAGACACGUUUUGAGGCCAUAUGUAGUCACCAAGAACAAAUCCAUGAGGGCGAUAAGGCCCCAUAAAGACAAUAUCUGGUAGAUUCAGUCAGGCUAUGACAUAUUCGAUAAUAACUCUUCAAUUAAGUUCUAAAUCUCAUUUCAUCUUUUCAAUUUAAUCCCUAAUUUGACAUCAACUCUUCAAUUAGACCCCAAAGCUUAUCUCACCUGAGGAAAGCCCUCUUCUCUCAAUUUAGCCCCUUAUUAUCUUCAAUUUAAUAUCAAAUUUUAUUUGAUCCAAGCCCAAAAAAGGCUAAGCGAAGAUAGAAUAAAGGAAGGGAAAGAAAAUGAAUAAUUGCCCAACGGAGUUAACGUGUUUUGGUCUUUUCUCCAUGAUUUGGGUUGAACAUUUGACAUAUAUCCUUUUUUCUAUAGUUUUUUAUCCAUGUUCGUUGUGACGCCAUUGGUAUAGAAUGGUUACCAACUGUUAGUUUAAUAUGCCUUGUAGCCAAUCGGUUAGUUACACGAGACAUUAUUAUAUUCAUGUAAAUACAUAUUUAUUAUUAAUAAAGGCUUAAUUUAACUUUAAUAUUCAUAUAAUAUUAGAGUAAUGAAUCUAAAGUAUAAAUAAAGUUUAUGAGACAAAAAUGUUUUGCAAAGGAAAUUAUAAAGUUGUUAUAAUUAUGAGAUUUUUAAUGCAUCAAAGUAUAAUUCAUAAAAUAUUCUUGGUCGAUGCUCUCUUAAAUACUGGAUAUUAAUUAGAGCUAUAAAGACUGAUACAUAUUAUGUUUUUUCCUUUAUGAAAUGAAGCAACUGUUCUCAUAAGUUGAGCUAUAAGGGAUACCUAAAACUAAUAUGUAUAUGCUUGUCAUUAGACAUGUACACUGAAUUGACCGGCAUGAGAAUUCCAUAUGAAGAGAUUAUUUAUGUCUAUGGAAAGACUCACAUGACGGUUGUAUAUGUAAUCCUUAGACUUGAGAUCACUAAGUUAUCUUAUAUAGAGAAUGUUAUGCUUUGAUCCUGUUACAUGUUAUCUUAAUUGAGGUAACAAAAUGAUAGACAUUGGGUAUAUCAUGAACUAUAUGAAGGUACUUGAGUAAUCAAGAGAGGAUUUCAUCACCCUAUGUGAAUUAGAAAAAAUGUUCAAUCUGUUCUCAAAUAAUAUUGACUGAGAAAUCCGUGGCCAAUGUGGAAUGAUAUUUAAAAAGGAUUUCAAAUCUUAUUCAAAUAAUCAAUUGCUAUCAUAUAGAGAAUGACAUGAUUUAACAUGGCAAACAUGCUUCAUGCUUUAAUGUUAAAUAAGAACAUUAGUGAUAAAAUGGUAUUAAUUACAAUGAGAAACUGGUAAUUGAAACCACUAAUAACUUUUCUAAUAUUUAUGGGAUCAUGACACGUUACUAGACAAUGCAUAUGAUCUUCAAAUCUUCAAUUGUAAUUUAUUUAAUUAUAAUUAUAAUUUAUAUUUGGGUUAAUAUAUUAGGAACCUAAUAUGUCAUACACAUUAAGAAUUAAAUUGUGAUGAUUUAAUUAAGUAUAACUUGAUUAAAAAAAAAUUUAGAAAUUAAGGACUACAAUAUAAUUAAUACAAGGAUUAUAUUUUUAGAUCUAGAAAAAUCAAGGACUUGAUUGAGUUAAUUUAUAAAAUUAUCUUAAAUUAAUAUAUGGAUAUUAUUCAAGGGGAAAAUUGAUAUUUUGUCAAUUUAUAGGGUUUUUCAUAUUUCCUUAUAAAUAGUAAGUGUCGCACGUGUGCGGCGUCGUGACAAAAACAUUCACCCUCAAAAUCUUAUCUUAUAAUGUGGCAAAUGUGGGGAGACAAGGAAUUCUUGUUUUUUAUUAGUGGUAAAUUGGAAUGGGAGUCGCCACCUAGUAUUUUGGUCACUAGGAACUCUAGCUGGUCUCAAAGAUCGGGUACGGGGACUGGUUGCGUAAAGGGAAGGUAUUAGCACCCCAAAUACGCCCUACCUAAGGUAAGCUGCAUUGUUUUAUUGUUUGAUAAAAUCUAAGAUCUUGUCGUGUUUUCUCGUUGUUGGUUCGUCUAUGGUUUAAGAAAAGUCCUUCUCGGUAAGGAGAUCCUUAUCUUAUCGGGUAAUUCUGACGUCAACCAAAGAAUUUAAUAUCCGAAAUACGUCUUACGUAUAAGGUCAUAACCCCAGAUAUUAAAAGAAAACAAAAUAAUUUUUUUGGAAUUUUUGAAAUAUUGGCCUAGUUCUCGUGACUUUAAUAAACUGGUUAUUAAAGCCAAAAUGCAUGUUAAUAUAUAUUUUUGAAAUUUUCUUUGUUAUAUGAAAAUACAAUAUGAUUUUUUUUUCUUUUAUUUUUGAGAGACUUGGUCGUAUGCAUGAAAACAAAAUAUUUUUUAUUUUUUAAAUUUUUUUAAUGUCUUGACGAAAACCGGGUAUUUUAAUACCAGAUUUAUAUCUUUACAGUAUAAAAAUACAAACCAAUAUUGAUCAAAAUGAAGUAAAAAAUUUGCAGAAAAUCACAUAUUUUUUUAAAAUUCUUUUUCCGGGCUGGGCCCAGCCCGGCCCAUGUGGCUGGGCUGGACCCAGCAGGUUUCUACCCGCAUGCGUGCGUGAACAAUUCACGCACGCCUGCUACAGUCGCGAUGUAAUUAAUUUUCAUGUGCACAGUGUUUGUGCAUUUUCUGCAAAGUUGGAGAAGUUUACCUGGAAGCAAGACGAAGGCAACAACAGCUUUGGACCUCUAUCUUCACCUUUUCGUUUGUUUUUCUUCUGGUUCCUCUGGUUCUUCCUGUUUUUUUCUGUUUCUGUUUUCCGUUCUUCUUGUGGUUCCUUUCCUUUCGUCUCUGUCUUCUCCUUCCUCCCGGUAUUCUUUGUUUUUUUUGGUUCCCCUCCCCUUUUCUGUUUCUCUCCUCCCUAUCCUCUGCUUCCUUACGCUCUCCCUCUGUCUAUCUCUCUUUUUGUUCUUUUCAAAAGAUUUCCCACCCUCUGUUUCUUUCUCCCUAUGCUGCCCAGUUCUCCUUCCUUCUCGUUCUUUUUCUAUGUUUUCUCCCUGCUCCCUUCUUCUCCCCCUCUUCGGCUCAGUCUUCUUCUGCUGCUUUUAUAGGUCAGAGAAGGCUUUGUGCUGGUAACGGCUGGCUUGGUAACGGUUUGAAGAGGGAUGACAGCCGUGACACAUGCCCUAUAAUUGAAGAGAAUUGGCACUGUUGCUGCAAGAAAACGUCUCUCGGCCUUUAGUGCUGAAACGGCUGGAAGAAGACACUGAAUAGUGUUUCAAGGCAACGGCCCCGUUUUUUGCAAUUUUAAAUGAUAUUUAUGAUUUGGUCCUUGGAUGUUUUUACAAUUUGUAAUCAAGCCCUCGGAUAAAUUAUAAUUGGAUCCCUUGAUUGUAGCACCUUUUCUGUUUUGGUCCUUGGUUUUGAAUUGUUUCAAUUAAGUCCCUAAUUGGCCAUCAAACUUUAAUAACUAUGCAAUUAAGCCCCUGAUUUGACCAAAUCAACUCUUUAAAAUUAUAAUUGGACCCCAGAACUUUAAUUUCUUCCAAUAAAGACCUAAAUUGACUUAAAAAACAAUUUUUCUUGCAAUCAAACCCUCCAUAAAUUCAAUUAAACCUUAGAUAAAAUUUAAUUGAGUCCAUAAACAUCUUAUUUUGAAUAUAUUUUUUCAAAAAUUGAAUUUUCUUUGUCAACAGAACUCUCAUCAGUUAACGAUAAACUGUCAAAUUUCAACCUUUUGCAUUUUUGAACCUCUUCAACCAAUUUUUGGCCAUUUUUCGGCAUUCUAGCAUCCUUUUCUUACUCCUAUUAUUUUUUGGAUUUCUUUCGAAUAUUUUUUGAUAUAUAUUUCUUUUUGUAUUUUCUCAUUUUUUUGUGGGAACCCAAAAAUGGGUAACAACAGUAAGCUAUGCCUUUUAUUUUUUAGGAGUUGUCUGUUAGACAAAAAGACUACGUAUGUCACAUAAUAAAGAGAUAACACUCUAGGCAUAACAAUCCCUCUCUCUUAAAUAGGGACUUGAGAGAUUUUUCACUAGUGGUUCAUGUGAAUUACUAUUGAAGGACAAACAAUUGGACGACUUCUAGUUUACAACAACCCAGUCUUUAAAAAAUUAUUCAAAACCGAAGAUGAUCAAAUCUUUAGGUAAUAAAUCCCUAAACAACUCUAGAUCUGUUUAACAAAAUUCCAGAAAUUCCCGAAUAAUUUUAGGCUGUGUUUGUUUUCCGGAAAGUGGUUUCCGGAAAACCACUUUCCAAACUUUCCUGUGUUUGUUUGUUAUUAGGAAAGUUGGUCAACGGAAAACACUUUUCAGUCAAAGGCAAAAUUUAGCUUGGUUUUUAGAAAAGUGUUUUCCUUUUAUUUUAGGCGGAAAACACUUUCCGGAAGUUGUGCAAAAUUUAGAAAUGUCAUAUUAUUUGCUGAUUAUAUCAAAAUUGGUCCUGAAACUUUUGAUUGCUAUAUAUAUAUAUAUAUAUAUUUUUUGUUUUGAAUAUUUGUUUUUCAAUUUCAUCCCUUGGAAUUUAAUUUUUAUAUUAACUUUACUCCUCAUUUUUAUAAUUGCUAUUUGAUUUUCCCUUAUCAUUUUUUAAUUAAAUUUUUUUAUCUAUCAAAUUUGGUCAUCAUUCUUUUGAUUGUUACUUAUUUUAUUUGAAAUAAUUUAUAAAAUGUUAAUUAUUAUUAUUUUAAUUUCUUCAUCUUUCAAUUUUUUUAUUUUUUAGAUUUGAUCUCUAUUAUUUUGAUUAUUAUUUAUUUUAUUUGAGAUAAUUUAUGAAAUUAUAUUUUUUUUCAAUUUUAUUCUCAUUCAACUUUUUAAUUUGUAAGAUUUAUUCCUCGUUAUUUUAAUAAAUUUGAGAAAAAUAAAAUAUUAAUACGUUAUUUUCCAGCUUAUUUUCCAUGACAUAACAAAACACAGGAAAAUGUUUUCCAACUUAUUUUCCAUGACACUGCAAUUGGAUGACUCAUAUUUGAUUUAUGGAGCUAGCUAUGCUAAGGGAAUCAUGCUUGUAUCACCUAUACUAAUAAUAAUAAUUACAUAUUAACAAGCAUCAUUUGAUUAGUAAGUUUCCAAAUUCUAUCCACAAAUAUUAUAACCUCUUAAUUUAUGCAAGAACUUAGCUACAUUUCAUGCAAGCAAUCCCUAACUCUAGUAUUUUGUCUGUGUUAAAAAUGGAGACUUCUUGGUGUUCGCCGGAGCUUGGGUAUAUACCAUAUUUGAACAAAUAACAAUGUAAAAACAUCUUUUAACGAUAUUAAAAUCAUUUAUUCAUUUAAAGUAUCAAUAUUGUCAUUUAUAGUGAAACAUUUAAUUUUACUACAUUGAAAAUACGUUGACCAAUAGAAUCCCCGCCUUCAGCUAACCCCCAAUAUGUCUUGAAUAGCAAUGGCCAUCCUUUGGCCAUCAUGCCAUAAAAGCCUCAUUUGGAGCCAAUUCCUCUCUUUCUUGCCACUAUUUAGCUUCCGACCAUUCUUCGCGUUUCACUUUUCUUCAAAUGUUUUCACCAAAACAAAGCUUCAACCUUUAAAUUGUUGCUUAUAAAGUCGAGAUCCAAGGGAUUAUUUAAGAUUUUAUGGAAAUUACGUAUUUCAAAUAUUUUAUGUUUAUUUUUCUGAAAUAUCGUUUGAAGCAAAAGGCAAAAAAGAAUUAAAAAUUUUUUUAAAGUGUUUUUAAAACACAAAAACAAACAGAGUUUGUUUUUUAUUUUUUAAAGAAUUGUUUUUAAAAAAUAAUUUUUUGUAUUCUAAAUUAAUUUUUUUAUUAUUUUAAUAUAUUUUAAAUAAAAAAUAUUUUAAAAAACAUCUACUUAAAAAAUAUUAUUUUUCUGAAAUAAUACUUUUCUCUAUAUUUGAGUUUAGUUUAAAAUANNNNNNNNNNNNNNNNNNNNNNNNNNNNNNNNNNNNNNNNNNNNNNNNNNNNNNNNNNNNNNNNNNNNNNNNNNNNNNNNNNNNNNNNNNNNNNNNNNNNAUUUUAAUGUUUUUUCAUGCUCUAGCAAAUGAGGCACGAAAAGAGAACCUGAAAUCACGGCAGCAAAUAAGGAGAGAAAUAGGUGUUUGUUUUUUAUUUUUUAAAGUAUUAUUUUUUAAAAUUAAUUUUUUGUAUUCUAAAUUAAUUUUUUUAUAUUUUUAUAUUAAUAUUAAAAAUAAUUUUUAAAAAAUAAAAAAUAUUAUUUUAAUAUAUUUUUAAAUAAAAAAAUAUUUUAAAAAAGAGCUGCUUAUUCAAACACUUAAAAUAAAAAUCUUAAAAUCACAGCAUGAUAAAAGAAGAAAGAAAGGAAUGGGAUAAAGAAGAAAGAAUAAAAAAAACUCCAAAAAUCACGGCAUGAUCAAAGGAGAAAGAAAAGGAUGGGACAAAGAAGGAAGAAAGUAAGGUCACGUAGGGGCUUGUCUUGUAGAAAAUGUGAGAAUUAGCAUGAAAAGAGGAUAAUAGAGUAGUUGUUAGAAUCAAAAGACAUAAACACGGGAGAGAGGCUGCCCCUUACCUCCUCCUGGGAAGGAAUAUAUGUCAGACUAUACAGCCUUUUUCAAUUCAUUAAUGUCGUUCUCUGUUUGUCUUCUAAAACCUACUCCCAUCAUGUACAUGUAUUAUUUUCUUAAAAUUGCUCUAUGGAAUUGCAGGCCAUGCUCGUUUGAUUUUUUUAAUAACAAAAUUCUUUUCAUGCUCUUGCAAAUAAGGCAGGGAUGGAGGCCUUGAAAUCACGGCAGCGAAUAAGAAGUGAAAAAGAGCCUUUGUUUUUGCUUUUUUAUUUUUUAGUAUUUUUGAAACAAAUUAGAUUUUUUUAUUUUUUUUAUUUUCUAUUAUUUUGAUAUAUUUCUAAACAAAAAAAUAUUUUAAAAAACAACCACUAACACAUUCUUUUUAAGCUAUUAAGUAACCAGUCCCUAUAAUUUUUCAACAUUGCACUUGGGUACCAAACUUCAUUUUUCUCUUUUUCAAGUUUUUUUUUUGGUGGAGAAGACAGAGAGGGUCGCUGAAUUUUAUUUUAGAGAGAGAAAGUUGUUGUUAAGAAAGAUUUUGGCUACCGAAAUCGUUGAUUUUUGUAUCAAAUGGUAACCGCCUAUUUUUUUCAUGUGUUCAUACUUAAAACCUUCUUAAAGAGUUCUUAUCAAUGGUUUUAAAACCUCUCUCUCAAGAUCGAAAGGUUAGAAAUAACUCUCUACCCUCUAAGUCUAAUAAAACCAUCAAGUACUCUUAAAACCAAAACCACAAUUGCAAAAACCAGUUUAGUACAAGAACUUCUAACUAUUAGCUUUUAUCCAUAACCCUCUCACUUUGAUCAAAUGGUUAAACUUUCAUCAAUCUUUGAGGGAAUCCACAAAAAAACCUAGAAAAACAUAUAAUUACUCUUGAAAAUUAGAGCCGGAGAGGAGGAGAAAAAAAGAGGAAAAACAUGGGGAAAUAAUUUGUUAAUAGACUCUAUUAUAAAGGUUCAAGAGCCUAGAAGGUUUAACCAGCUUUAGAAAGAAAAAAAGUGAAAGGAAAAGAAGGAAGGAAAUGAAAAUAAAAAAAUAACAACGUAAUUUUGAACUUAAAGGCCUAAUUUCAGUGAAAGUUAAGAGCAUUAGAGACUAGACCGUGCUUAUACCAAAGACUCUCAUCGUUGAAGGAAUGCAAACAGUUGUUAACGAGACACUUAUGCUGUUCCAACAUUCAAAGAUUGUUGAAUCUAGUACCGGUGCUCAUUCUGGAUCUAGUACCAAAAGGAGAAUAUAGAAAGAGAUAGUAGUGAAUUAAUUAUGUUUCAUUCAGUAGUAAGAAACAAACGGGGGCAAUGCAUUUAUAAUAGCCAGAGAGGGGUUUUUAUAUACAUUCNNNNNNNNNNNNNNNNNNNNNNNNNNNNNNNNNNNNNNNNNNNNNNNNNNNNNNNNNNNNNNNNNNNNNNNNNNNNNNNNNNNNNNNNNNNNNNNNNNNNACUAGAUAUAAAGAAAAAGUACAAAUUCCAACAAAAAAUACAUGUUUGAAGGUUCAACAAAAAUGAUUUGCUAAUUAGCUAUAAGCUUGAGAAAGAUAAAUAAUGAGAGUGUGAGUUCAAAAACUCAGUGAGUAGAUAACGUUCAAUAUACAUACACGAGGUAAUACAACAAUGAGGAAUAUAUAUACAAUUAUGGCUUUAGAUUCUUAUAGGAAGGUUUCUCAAAUAGGCCAUAACAAGGUUAUCAUAAGGUAAAAUUCGUUAGAAAAUCAAAAUGCAAUAACAUGAGGCUCUGUACUAUGGGAUGAUCAGUCCACACAGGUUGAUGACUCUCCCAACCAACUAGGGUUUCAAAUACAAUGUGCACUAAGACUAACACUACCCUGUUAGUAUGAGCAUUCUAACUGGCAUACCAUAAGUUCAUAUCAUAAUCAAACAAACAAAUUCAUAUCUCAAGGCCCAACUCAUGACAUUAAUAAAACAAGAAGCUAUCAAUUCAGAAGUCAAUUUAGAAGUAUAUAUUGGCUUAUAUCAAAAAUUCAAAUUCAACAAUUAAUCAUGUUUUAUCAUAACAAAGAUAAUAAUCAACAUAUAUAUUAUCAAGAAGCACGAUCCAAUUCAUAUUAACAGCUCAAAUAUUUAUACUAUUUCUCAUGCAUAUGGAAAAUUAUACACUCACUUGACUUAAAAGUGAACAGAACUCGAAAGCAAAUACCGAAGAAAAUCCUACUGAUAUUCCGCAUAUAGAAUAUCAAGAUUAUCUAAAUACAAAGAAGACAUAUUAUAAAAUGACUCGAAAAGAACAUACAACCUAUUUAAUACACUUAACUAAGGGUCUAUUUCAUAACCCUAUACAUUUUGUUAAUUCUAAACUAGUUAUUUUUCCCAAAAACCAAAAAAGUAAACGGUUUUUCAGAAAUCUAAUUCAUAAUAAAACAAAUAAUGAGACUUGAUAAUAAUUCACUAAAUAACCAUCAAUUAUUCAUCAAAACAAUCUGAAAAAGCUAAUAUUAAAGCUAGGGACCAAUCUGAAAUUUUAUCAUAUUUUUAGGGGUCAAAUUAUAAUUUUAUCAAAUUGGAAGACCAAACUAAAAAUGUCAUAAAUUCAUGACUAUACUGGAAUUCUGCCCAUAAUUCAUUUUCAAUUCUGCCCAGAAUCUCAAAUUAUGCUCCAGGGACCACUAUAGAAUUUUAUCAAAUUUCUAGGGUUAAAUUGUAAUUUCAUCAAAUUGGAGGACCAAAGUGAAAAUAUCAUAAAUUCAUAACUAUACUGGAAUUCUGCCCAUAGUUUAUCUUUAAUUCUGUCCAGAAUCUCGGAUUAUGCUCCAGGGACCAAUCUCUAAUUUUUCCAAAGUUCAGGGACUAAANNNNNNNNNNNNNNNNNNNNNNNNNNNNNNNNNNNNNNNNNNNNNNNNNNNNNNNNNNNNNNNNNNNNNNNNNNNNNNNNNNNNNNNNNNNNNNNNNNNNCAGACCCACAUGCCUAGGGUCUGCAGACCCGCUUGCGGUUUGCAGACCCUUAUCCCUGGAGUUGCAGAACCCCGCGCCUGGGGUGUGCAGAACCGGGAGCAGGGUCUAGACCCGCUCAUCUGGGUUUGAAGAACCCCACUUCUUCUAUCGUGCCUGGGGUCUGCAGCAUCCUCCCAGGGGUUGUAGACCCACACAACUAGAUCUGCAGACCCCGUAGAGAAAAAUAACAAACUUGAAAAAAAAAAUGAAAACAAAUAUAAUAACUAAUAACAAUUAUUUUUAUCAUUAUUAUUAUUAUCGCUAAUAAAUUUUAUAAAAACAUUAUUACUAUCAAAACUUGGACUAGACAAGUUUAAUAUUAUUAUUACUAUACUAAAUAUUAUUGUUUUCAUUAUAAUUAAAAGUAUUAAUAUUUGUGUUAUAAAUACUAUUAUUUUUAUUAUAAUUAAAAGUAUUAAUAUUAAAAUUAUUAUUAUUUUUCUUAUAAAUAAUAUUAUUUUUAUUAUAAUUAAUAUUGAAAAUACUAUUAUUUGUAUUAUCAAUAUUAUUAUUUUGAGUAUAAUUAAUACUACUAACAUAAUAAUUAAUAAAUUUGAAAAAAAUAUUAUUUAUAUUGAAAAGCAAUAAUAGAUUUAAUUUGAAGGGUAAAAUUAAGAAUUAUUAUUAUUAUUAUUAUUAUUAUUAUUAUUAUUGUUAUUAUUUAUUGUUAUCAUUAGUAAAUUGAAAGAAACAAAAUUAUUAGUUAUUUUUAUCAUUUCAGCUGGGGUUGAAUUUUCUUAUUAGAGCAUGUUUGGUUUUGGUUUUAAAAAUUGCUUUGAAAAGAAUUUUAUUUUUUUUAUUUUUUUCUUUACUUCAAAUUAAUGUUUUUUCCUUUAAUUCAUAUUAAAAUGUUUUUGUAAUAUUUUGACGUGAUUAUAUAUUAAAUAGAUUUAAAAAAAAUUAAACAUUGCAGGAUUCAAAAUAGUCUUGGGUCCAGGUUGGGGCAGGACCCUAGAUCUUACAGGUUGCAGGACCCAAAAUAGCCUUGGGUCCGGCCGUAUGCAUGACCCAAAAUAGCCUUGUACAGUUGAGAACAUCUCAUGCAUGCGACAUCCAAUGCAACAUAAUAUAUAAAUUGCAAUGCAUGUAAUUAAUGGGGGGGAAAUUCAUGAAUGAAUUGAAAGAUAUAUAUCUUAUGGGAUAGAUACAACACGAGAAGAAAAAACCAUUUAGAGAAACAGACAAUCUCGAUUGAUGAUCAUCCUAUUAUUAGCAUGAAAGGUUGAAAAAGAAAGAAUUCAUACAAGGAGGUUGGCCUUGAAUUGGCAUUGCCUUAUUCCAAGCGCUAGCUAGCUUAUAAUAUUAUUCACUAGCUAGCUAGCUCGCUAGCUCCUCUCCCUAGCCUUCCCUGCAUCGAUCUUCUGCUUUGCAACCUCUUCCUGGAGCGACUCGAUGGAGGCAUUGGGGAUUCUUUUCUGGGUCACAACGCGGAAGCCCUUCGUAACUUAAGUAUUUUGGUUUUCUUGUAAUGGUAUCUGCUACAUCUCCUGCAACAAACGUGGUCAUCAGGAGCAUUAAAACACCAAAAGCCAUCAAUCCUUUGGACAUUGACAUUGUUAAACUAUGAUGAGAGCAGACAAUACACAAAUGUUGUUCUUAAAAGAAUAUUGAUUCGGUGACAAUAAAAAGCAAGGUCUGGCAUAUAUAUAUAUAUAUAUAUAUAUAUAUAUAGCAUAUGCAUGGAGUGUUUGCCGUUUAUAGCACAAUUUCUUGUGGAUAUUAAAAUAGUUAAUUCUCUUUGCUUUUUCAGAUUAUAGCCGCACCACUUAUAGCACAAUUUCUUGAAGUUGAUACCCACAUAUAGCUGGGAGCUCAAAUGGCCACAUCUUGCAUUAGACAUUGAGAGCUUAAUUGGAGGUCUUGGUCAGCUAAAUUCUCAGCAUCCCUGAUGAGGAGCACACAUUGCGUGGUUGUGACUUCACUUGAGAAAAGUACAUCCAAGAAACAAGGAGAGAUAUGCUACCAAAGAAAAGAUGUCGUGAGUUCGAGCGUCCAGGUUUGGAUCAUGGGAACGCAUACACAACCACAUGCCCACCCAGCUGCAAGAGCUCCAAGUCUGCAAUAUUGAUCUUGUAUUGUAUGUAAACUUCCAACAAAAGUGAACUAUAUGUUAGAUCAUUAGAGAAGGUUUUCCAUGUAACAUGACAUAACAAUAUUAAACAGCAUCAGGACAAAUAUUGCGAACAUAAUAUGUUUGGUUUAGGUGCGCGCGCCGCCUCUUAAAAAGCAUGUCGAAAUCCAUGCUUUCUGCGAGGUGCACCGCCCGGCGCACCUUACAUACAAACACAUUGUAAUUAGUGUGACCAAAAAGAACUCUUGGUGCGAUUAUCCAAGACCACAAAUCACACUCUGCAACGAGAAGUGUCCCCCAAAGACUAAACAAAAAGAAAAAAUAAAAGCAGCUUCCAAUCGUUUCAUUACUUGACUCACCCAAUAACAAAAGCUCUUCGUCUUCUCAAUAAGGAAAUUAAUACAUGCAAGCUGCCACAAGAUUAAAGCACUUAAUGCAGAGAAAGGAGGAGUCACUGCAAUCUAUUCUACUUCCCAGAUGUUGCAGUCAAACUUAAAAUGUGAAAAUCAAAUAUGGUAAAGGCCACGGCUCUACAUAUAAAGAAAUAGACACCUGGGAUAUGAGAGUUCUUAUUGUUAAAUAAUAUUUAUGUAGUCUUAUUUAUUAAGGGUAGAAUAGUACUUUCAGUUUGACCUAUAUAUACUUUAUUUGUAUUGAGGUUAACACAAAGCAUUCAUAAUAAACAGUCUGAGGGAAGAGAUAUGAGCCUACGUUUAAGUAUUUGAUCUCGAUUACUUUAACAUGGUAUCAGAGCUGGUUUUAUGGCACGAGGUUAAUCCCGUACACAGCUUAUGUCAAGGUAACCGAGCUCGAUAUCUAUCCUCAAUUAUUUUGGUAUUUCGUCUUCCCUUCAGCUUUGCAAUUUUGGUAAUUCCGUUCAGUUUCUGCAAAUUGUUUUGUGUUUUGGAGUAAUCGUAUAGUUUGAGAAGAUAUUUGUUUAGUUUCUGCAAUCUCUGUUCAGUUUCUGCAAUUUGGUAUUUUGUUUUCCGCUGCUUUUGCAUUCUGGUUCUUUGUGAUUGUUGAUUAUGGCUACUGAAAGAGAUGAUUCGCUUCAGUCUGUGAGUGUGAGGUUGGAUGGGAAGAACUAUUCGUAUUGGAGCUAUGUAAUGAGAAAUUUUCUUAAGGGUAAGAAGAUGUGGGGAUAUGUUAGUGGAACUUAUGUGGUACCUAAGAAUACUGAAGAAGGAGAUACUGUCUCGAUAGAUACAUGGGAAGCAAACAAUGCAAAGAUCAUUACUUGGAUCAACAAUUCUGUUGAGCAUUCUAUAAGUACACAGUUGGCAAAGUAUGAGACAGCAAAGGAGGUUUGGGAUCAUCUGCAACGGUUAUUCACGCAAUCAAAUUUUGCAAAACAGUAUCAGUUAGAGAAUGACAUACGAGCUCUUCACCAGAAGAAUAUGAGUAUUCAGGAGUUCUAUUCUGCCAUGACAGAUCUUUGGGAUCAAUUGGCUCUUACAGAAUCGGCAGAAUUAAAAGCAUGUGGUGCUUAUAUUGAACGUAGAGAGCAGCAACGAUUGGUACAAUUUUUAACAGCACUUCGCAGUGAUUUCGAAGGACUUAGAGGUUCAAUUCUGCAUCGUUCUCCACUGCCCUCUGUUGACUCUGUUGUCAGUGAGUUAUUGGCUGAAGAAAUACGUCUUCAGUCUUAUUCUGAAAAGGGAAUUCUUUCUGCUUCGAAUCCUUCUGUACUAGCAGUACCUUCUAAGCCAUUCUCUAAUCAUCAGAACAAGCCUUACACAAGGGUUGGCUUCGAUGAGUGCAGUUUCUGUAAGCAGAAAGGUCAUUGGAAGGCUCAGUGUCCUAAGUUGAGACAGCAGAAUCAAGCUUGGAAGUCUGGCAGUCAGUCACAAUCUAAUGCUCAUCGAUCACCUCAGGGUUAUAAACCACCACACCACAAUACUGCAGCAGUAGCUUCCCCAGGCUCUAUUACCGAUCCUAAUACUUUAGCUGAGCAAUUUCAGAAGUUUCUCUCCUUGCAGCCACAAGCAAUGUCCGCUUCUUCCAUAGGUCAGUUGCCUCAUAGUUCCUCAGGUAUGUCACACUCUGAAUGGGUCUUGGAUUCUGGUGCUUCACAUCAUAUGUCUCCAGAUUCCUCAUCUUUUACCUCAGUGUCCCCUUUGUCCUCCAUUCCUGUUAUGACUGCUGAUGGCACUCCUAUGCCCUUAGCAGGUGUUGGUUCUGUUGUCACACCUCACUUGUCUCUCCCUAAUGUUUAUCUUAUUCCAAAACUCAAAUUGAAUCUUGCGUCUGUUGGUUAAAUAUGUGAUUCUGGUGAUUAUUUAGUCAUGUUUUCUGGUUCUUUUUGUUGUGUACAGGAUCUGCAGUCUCAGAAGCUGAUUGGGACAGGUCGUAGGGAGAAUGGGCUAUAUAUUUUGGAUGAGUUAAAAGUGCCAGUUGCUGCUGCUGCUGCUGCUGCUACUGCUGAUUUGUCUUCCUUUCGUUUGAGUCUUUCAUCUUCUAGUUUUUAUUUAUGGCAUUCCCGUCUAGGUCAUGUUUCGUCUUCUCGUUUGAGAUUUUUGGCAUCCACAGGAGAUUUAGGAAAUUUGAAAACUUGUGACAUUUCUGAUUGUAGUGGAUGUAAACUGGCAAAAUUUUCUGCUUUAUCUUUUAAUCGAAGUAUUUCUGUUUCAUCUUCACCAUUUGAUUUGAUUCAUUCUGAUGUAUGGGGACCUUCUCCUGUUUCCACAAAAGGAGGGUCUCGAUAUUAUGUCUCUUUUAUUGAUGAUCAUACUCGUUAUUGUUGGGUUUAUUUAAUGAAACAUCGUUCUGAAUUCUUUGAGAUAUAUGCAGCUUUUCGAGCUCUUAUCAAAACUCAACAUUCUGCUGUGAUCAAAUGCUUUAGGUGUGAUUUGGGUGGGGAAUACACCUCUAAUAAAUUUUGUCAAAUGCUUGCCUUAGAUGGAACCAUCCACCAAACUUCAUGUACAGAUACUCCUGAACAAAAUGGUGUAGCUGAAAGAAAACAUAGGCAUAUUGUCGAAACUGCUCGUUCUCUCUUGUUGUCUGCUUUUGUUCCUAGUGAAUUUUGGGGAGAAGCUGUUCUUACUGCUGUAAGUUUGAUUAAUACAAUUCCAUCUUCUCAUAGUUCGGGUCUAUCUCCUUUUGAAAAGCUAUAUGGGCAUGUCCCUUAUUAUUCCUCAUUUAGAGUCUUUGGUUGUACUUGUUUUGUUCUUCGUCCUCAUGUAGAACGCAAUAAGCUAUCCUCUCGAUCCGCUAUUUGUGUCUUUCUGGGUUAUGGUGAAGGUAAAAAGGGGUAUCGUUGUUUUGAUCCAAUAACUCAGAAACUUUAUGUGUCUCGUCAUGUUGUCUUCCUUGAGCAUAUACCUUUCUUUUCUAUUCCAUCCACUACUCAUAGCCUGACAAAAUCUGAUCUUAUUCAUAUAGAUCCUUUUUCUGAGGAUUCUGGUAAUGAUACCUCUCCCUAUGUUCGAUCAAUUUGUACUCAUAACUCUGCAGGUACUGGUACUUUACUCUCUGGCACAUCUGAAGCUUCAUUCUCAUCUACAGCCCCUCAAGCUUCAUCUGAGAUUGUGGAUCCACCUCCACGUCAGUCCAUCCGCAUUCGUAAGUCCACAAAACUACCAGAUUUUGCUUAUUCUUGUUAUUCUUCAUCAUUUACUUCCUUUUUAGCUUCUAUUCAUUGUCUCUUUGAGCCCUCUUCCUAUAAAGAGGCAAUUCUUGAUCCGCUUUGGCAGCAAGCUAUGGAUGAGGAACUUUCUGCUUUGCAUAAGACAGAUACUUGGGAUCUGGUUCCUCUACCUCCUGGUAAGAGUGUUGUUGGUUGUCGUUGGGUGUAUAAGAUCAAGACUAAUUCUGAUGGGUCUAUUGAGCGAUACAAAGCUAGGCUGGUUGCAAAAGGAUACUCUCAACAGUAUGGUAUGGACUAUGAGGAGACAUUUGCCCCGGUUGCCAAAAUGACUACUAUUCGUACUCUUAUUGCCGUAGCUUCGAUUCGUCAGUGGCAUAUUUCUCAGCUUGAUGUUAAAAAUGCAUUCUUGAAUGGAGAUCUUCAAGAAGAAGUUUAUAUGGCACCCCCUCCUGGUAUUUCACAUGACUCUGGAUAUGUUUGUAAGCUUAAGAAAGCACUAUAUGGUCUCAAACAAGCACCUCGUGCUUGGUUUGAGAAAUUCUCUAUUGUGAUCUCGUCUCUUGGCUUUGUUUCUAGCAGUCAUGAUUCUACUCUUUUUAUUAAGUGCACUGAUGCAGGUCGUAUCAUUCUGUCUUUAUAUGUUGAUGACAUGAUUAUUACUGGUGAUGAUAUUGAUGGUAUUUCAGUUUUGAAGACAGAGUUGGCUAGACGAUUUGAAAUGAAGGAUUUGGGUUAUCUUCGAUAUUUCCUAGGUAUUGAGGUAGCAUACUCGCCUAGAGGUUACCUUCUUUCUCAGUCAAAAUAUGUUACAGAUAUUCUUGAGCGAGCUAGACUUACUGAUAACAAGACUGUAGAUACUCCUAUUGAGGUCAACGCGAGGUACUCUUCUUCUGAUGGUUUACCUUUGAUAGAUCCUACUUUAUACCGUACUAUUGUUGAGAGUUUGGUAUAUCUCACAAUUACUCGUCCAGAUAUUGCAUAUGUUGUUCAUGUUGUUAGUCAGUUUGUUGCUUCUCCUACUACUGUUCACUGGGCAGCUGUUCUUCGUAUUUUGCGAUAUCUUCGGGGUACAGUUUUUCAAAGUCUGUUACUUUCAUCCACCUCUUCCUUGGAGUUGCGUGCAUACUCUGAUGCUGAUCAUGGUAGUGAUCCCACAGAUUGCAAGUCUGUUACCGGGUUCUGUAUCUUUUUAGGUGAUUCUCUUAUUUCUUGGAAGAGCAAGAAACAAUCUAUUGUUUCUCAAUCAUCCACCGAAGCAGAAUAUCGUGUCAUGGCAUCUACUACCAAAGAGAUUGUUUGGCUACGUUGGUUACUUGCUGAUAUGGGAAUUUCCUUUUCUCAUCCUACUCCUAUGUAUUGUGACAACCAGAGUUCUAUUCAGAUUGCUCAUAACUCGGUUUUUCAUGAGCGCACUAAGCACAUUGAGAUCGAUUGUCAUCUUACUCGUCAUCAUCUCAAACAUGGCACCAUUGCUUUGCCUUUUGUUCCUUCUUCCUUGCAAAUUGCAGAUUUCUUUACCAAGGCGCAUUCCAUCUCUCGUUUUCGUUUUCUGGUUGGCAAACUCUCGAUGCUUGUAGCUGCCGCAUCGUGAGUUUGAGGGGAGAUGUUAAAUAAUAUUUAUGUAGUCUUAUUUAUUAAGGGUAGAAUAGUACUUUCAGUUUGACCUAUAUAUACUUUAUUUGUAUUGAGGUUAACACAAAGCAUUCAUAAUAAACAGAUUAUUCAGAAUUGUAGCCUCCUUUUUGUAUUUGAUCUCAAUUACUUUAACACUUAUACCAUGCCUCAAGGACAAAUGAAGGAGAGCAAAGCAUCUCCCGGAAAAAAAACAUCAAAUCAAGAGUCUUGCAAUCCACAUGCAUUAAAGCUUCUUUCAUAAAGGACAGAAGCUUUGAUUUCCAAAUGAGACAGCAAAAAAGAUAUGUCACUGAUAUCCACUUGUAAUUAAUAACCACUUCAUUUAUUUAUUCUAGGACAAAAAACCAAAACAAUCUUGGAUCACAUAGGAACAGGAAAAGGCCUUAAACUCUGACGAACAAGGCGGAGCUAUUAUACAUAGGAUACUUCAGAUGAACUGUUGAUUUCCAUUAUGCUUCAUGCCAAACGUGAGAACCCAACCUCCUUUCCCACCCAUAUCCACAUCACACAACCCGAUCAUCGUCGCAUAUUAAUUUCAUUACAUAAUAUGACACUAGGAUGCAUGUCAUGAUGAAACAUGGAUGAGAUUAAAACUCAUUGACAUAAAUCUGGUCUUUUAAUACAUGUCUCAGAUAAUUAGACCUGAUGAUUAAGAUUAUAAGUUCAAAAACAUAAAUAUAUAGCCAUACGCAAGAGUCUUAGAUUCUGGAAGCCAACAUUUCCAGCAAUACAUGUCUAGGCAAGACAUUGCAUAUCUGAUUCUGAGAAUCACAGCAAAUAUGCCCACUCUAUCAAACAUACUUGAAUGCAGCCAGUCUUAUUUGACAGGCAACUAAAACUAAACAUGAAAAAAGUUUCAUAUUAAGAAGAAGCAGUGAUCAUCUAUGAUCUACCAUCCUCCUAAAUCCUAGAACCUUUUAAUUUUUAACACAAAAACUAGUGACAGCACCUCAACAUGAUAGAAUUGAGAAGGAGAAGCUUCAACGCAAUGCAUGCAACUCAAAGCCAAUAUAUAUUACCCUUUCACUUAGACUACCAUCACAUUUCUAAGCAUCGAGUUUCAAUCUACUAGUUCAUUCCAGAAACAUUCUUCAACUAAGACAAAAUGCCGAACCUACCUGGAAGGCAGGACCCCCUCAGCAGAAUUCAUGAUGCUCCAGCAACCCAUGAAUGCAAAGAGGAACAAUCUUCUAAAAAUGACUUCCAUUGGAGGAAGUUCGACAAAAUUGAGUAAAUUCUUGACCCAAGGAGGAGACUCCUCCACUUUCUUCUCUAUCCUGGUCUUGAAAUUAAUUUUUGUUUCUUUCCUCUGUCUAAAGCUAGUCAUCAACAAUUUCUCAAAGGCAGCUUCUAUUGAUUCUUCGCUUCUUUCAUGCCCAGCAUAUUGUUUCAGGAGAAAAUUGCGUGAACUCCAGACUUCCUCUUCAGAAGCGUAAGGACUGACACCAAGACGUUUAAAAGGGUCCCAAACAUUCAUGGAAGGGAAUUUCGGGAUGUUACCUGUUGAGUUUGAACACGAUUGUGAUAGGUCCCUGUCACAGCAAGUAAUUAAAGACAAGAAACAAACACAAAUGUAUUCUGCUUUGGGCGAGAAUAAGCCACAAUUGAUAUUAUUGAAUAUUGAAUGAAUGCGUUCUCUGUCUCAUAGCAGAGUUUAAAUACAGGAAUUGAAAUAACAACUUUCCUAAAAUACUGGCAUGACUACAUAAAAUCAGGAUGACUCCUGCUACAUAGCUGGCAUUUAUUUGCUGAAUAAAACUUGACUCCUUCCUCCCGUGCACUAAGGCACUGCAGUGAGAAGACCCCCUUGACUCGUUCCUCCCUUGACUAGCUCUUCACAGCUCAAUAAACCUGCGAUUCUUCUUACGAAUUCUGCAUGAUCUUCUCGGCUCCAGCUGUUGCUCAUCCCGUUGUUGUAGUUCAUCACUUGACUCCUUCAAUUGCUGCUGCUGCUUAUCAAUACCUCCCUCUUUUAAGGGAACCUUGUCCUCAAGGUUCAGAUUCUGAAAUCGCUCCCGUAACGCCACAGCAUCUUCCCACGUGGCAUCAUCAUUCUGCAGAUGUUUCCAUUUGACGAGAAUUGCUUCGACAAACCGAGACCCUUUCUUGAUCCAACGAGUGUCUAGGACAGCCUCAGGUUCAAUCAGCAUCUCUCCCGCAGCAGACAUAGGUGGCAAUUCGAUUGAUUCAACCACCUCAUCUCCAAUUUUCUUUUUGAGCAAGGACACAUGAAAGACUGGAUGAAUUCAAGCCUGUGUAGGCAAUUUUAGCUUAUACGCUACCGCGCCAAUUCUUUCUGCAAUCUGAUAAGGACCAUAAUAGCGGCUAGCCAACUUUUUGCAUACACUCCUGACCACGGAUUGUUGACGGUAAGGGUGAAGUUUAAGAAAAACCCAAUCUCCCACCUGAAAUUCAAUAUCACGUCGCUUAGAAUUAGCAAGUUGUUGCAUGCGAUUACUAGCCGCAUGCAGGUUUGCCUUGAGCAGACUCAACAAUUCGUCCCUAGAGGCGAGUUGCUGAUCCACUUCAUUCACCGGAGACAUGCCAAUGUGGUAAUGGGGAAUUGUAGGUGGUAAACGUCCAUAGAGGGCCUGAAAUGGUGUCAUUCCUGUAGAAGCAUGAUAAGUUGUAUUAUACCAGAAUUCGGCCCAAGGUAGGAGGGAAUUCCAUUUUGCUGGCUGGUGGUGAACAAAGCACCGAAGAUAUUGUUCGACGCAGCGAUUGACCACCUCUGAUUGCCCAUCCGUUUGUGGAUGAUAUGCGGAACUCAUCUUCAACUUGGUACCUGACAAUUUAAAGAACUCACGCCAAAAAUGACUGAUAAAGAUAGGAUCUCUAUCACUGAUAAUGGACCGCGGCAUACCAUGUAGCUUCACUACCCCGUCAACGAAUUUCUCGGCCACAAUUUUGGUCGUAUAAGGAUGAGCCAAUGCCAAGAAAUGUGCUGACUUACUUAGGUGAUUAACCACAACGAAAAUUGUGUUCUUGCCACCCGAUGUCGGGAGACCUUCAAUAAAAUCCAUCGUAAUAUCAUCCCAAACCUGACAGGGAACAGGUAAUGGUUGUAAUAAACCCGCCGGUGAUAGUGUGUCUGAUUUUACCCGUUGACAUACGUCACAGGAUGCGACAUAUUCCUUCACUAUGCGAGCCAUUGAUGGCCAAUAGAACUGGUGUGCCAACCGUUUGUAAGUGCGCAACACACCCGAAUGCCCUCCAAUAGGUGAAUCAUGGAAUUCACGUAAUAGUUGUUGAAUGAUGUCCGAGUUGGGGGCAACUACUACUCAAUUUUUAUAGUGGAGCAACCCAUUCCGCCGUGUAUAUGGGCUGCCCGAAUUUUCAGCAGCGAGCUUGCCAAUUUUCUUCAUGUAAGGAAGAGAAACAGCUUCGGCCUUAAGCUGAUCCCAUACGGUACUUUGUGGAACAGAUAAGUGCGAAAGGCAAGGGCUUCCCGUCAUUCGUGAUAAAGCAUCCGCAGCUGAAUUCUCCUUUCCUGGCUUAUACACAAUUUCAUAAUCAUAGCCGAGUAAUUUCGAUACCCAUUUCUGCUGUUCUGGGGUAGUAAUACGCUGCUCCAAGAGGUACUUCAAGCUGCGUUGAUCGGUUUGGAUCACAAACUUACGGCCUAACAAGUAUGGUCUCCACAGCUGGACAGCCACCACAAUAGCCAGCAUCUCCCUCGCAUAAGUUGACCAUGCACGCUUGGAUAGCCCCAAAACGCGACUCAUGAAAGCUAUUGGCCGCCUUGUUGGGUCAGAACAGCGCCGAUGCCAUCACCGGAAGCAUCAGACUCAAUCACGAAAACUUCAGCAAAAUUAGGCAUGGCAAGUGUUGGGGUGGACGUCAUUGCGGUCUUUAAUGCCUCAAAAGCUGCCUCGGCUUCAUCAUUCCAGCCAAAUUGACCUUUGGUAACAAGGAUGUCAACGGUCGAGCAAGAAUUCCAUAAUUGCGGACAAAUUUCUUGUAAUAACCUGUAAGACCUAAAAAUCCACGAAGCUCAGAUAUAUUAGUAGGUCUUGACCAGGAUAGCAUAGCCUGGAUUUUUGCUUGAUCAACCUUAACCCCCAUUGGAGUAAUAAUAUGCCCCAAGUACUCCAGUUCUUGUUGACCAAAAGCACAUUUCUUCAAUUUCGCAAAGAAUUGGUACUGCCUUAGAAUUUCGAAAGCCUUGCGAACAUGUUCAAGAUGCAUGGUCCAAUUGGGACUAUAGAUCAAUAUGUCAUCAAAAAAGACUAAUACAAAUUUGCGAAGGUAUGGUCGAAAUAUGGCAUUCAUAAGGGCUUGAAAAGUAGAGGGUGCGUUACACAAACCAAAUGGCAUGACUAAGUAUUCGUAAUGACCAUUAUGAGUGCGAAAAGCAGUUUUAUGAAUAUCAUUUGGUGCUACCCUAACCUGAUGGUAACCAGCUGUCAAAUCUAGUUUGGUAAAAUAAACAGCCCCAUGCAAUUCGUCUAACAUGUCAUCUACUGUAGGAAUAGGAAAUCGGUCUUUAAUAGUUACUGCGUUAAGUGCUCUAUAAUCGGUGCAAAAACGCCAUGUGCCAUCUUUCUUUUUGACUAACAAAACAGGUGAUGAAAAAGGGCUAGUGCUUGAUCUUAUAAAUCCCAAUUUUAACAUGUCUUGAACCUGUUUUUCAAUUUCAGCUUUUUGAAAAUAGGCAUACCUGUAGGGUCUGACAUUGACCGGUUCUGUCCCUUCUUUGACAGUGAUGGUGUGGUCGAUCUCCCGGACCGGUGGCAAUUGAGCUGGAGUUUGAAAAAUAUCUCCAAAUUCCUCCAACAUCUGCUGCAUUUCAGACUCAACUUUGCUAACAGGCAUCUCGACUUCGGUUUGUAGACAGAUAGCAAACAUCGUUUUGCUUUGGCGCAGCUCCUUCGAUAAAUCCUUGAGAGACGCGGGUUGAAUGUGUUGGCUGUCAAUUCCCUGUAAUUUUUGCAUCUGAUUCUUCCACAUAAAUUCCAUGGUCAUUUUCUUCCAAUCACAGGCUACUGUUCCCAAUUGUUCAAGCCACUGCACUCCCAAAACCAAAUCUAACCCACAUAAAGGUAUGGCAUAUAAAGUCAGCAUAAAUGGGAUACCUUGAAGUAGGACGUGUAUGUUUUCAAAUAUGCCUUGACACUUCAAUGGAUUCCCAUUUGCCACCUUUACGUUGAAGGGCUGUGUGGGUAUCACUGGUAGGUGUAGCCAAUUAGCAAUCCGCUCGCUAAUGAAAUUGUGGGUGGAGCCACUAUCAAUGAGGACAGUCAAUUCGUGAUUUCCAAUUCUUGCCAUGAUGCGCAUUGUUUUGGCAGUCGACCAGCCAGUAAGAGCAUGUAGUGAAAUUUGUGGUUCAUCAUCUUCGAAGUCUUCGUCAUCUUGCAGAUGUGUCUUUUCGUCUCCUUCCAGUAGCAACAAACGGGGUCUUUGACACUUAUGGCCAGGAGUGAAUUUUUCGUCACAAUUGAAGCAGAGACCUUGCGAUCGGCGCUUCUGCAUCUCGUCCCACGCCAGGCGUUUCAUGGGCAUAACUGCUGCUGGUGAUUUUGUGGGUGAAAAAGAAGCAAUUGGAUUCUGACUAAUGGAAAAUGGCUUACGUCGUUGGCGAAGUAAUUGCUCAUCUCUCAUUCUGGCAAGGCUAAUUGCCUCUUUCAAGGAUUUGGGUUUAAACAUCCUAAUCCCUUCUGCAAUGUCAGGUUUCAAGCCUCCCAUAAAAGUUCCCACCAAUGCCUUCUGCGUCCAGCCUUGCACACGGUUACCCAGCCUUUCGAAUUCUUUUUGGUACUCCCGUAGUGAGCCCCCUUGUCUCACCCUUGACAGUGCUUCAUCGAAAUCUUCACAUUCUGGUGGUCCAAACCUUGCCCAUAAUUCCUCCUCAAAAAUUGGCCAUGUCAUCUCCUUGUCUUCCUCUUUGUAAGCACGUCGCAGCCACUGCCACCACUGGUUCGCCUCCCCUUGAAGAUGAAAAGAUGCCAAUGACACCUUUUGUGUUUCCACAGUACCUUGGUAUUCGAAGAAUUGAUCAACUCUGUUGAACCAUUCAGUGGGGUCGUUGCCCGAGUAUAUGGGGAACUCAAGCUUCGCCAGUUUUGAAGAGAACAUCUGUCUGUUCCCCUCAGCUCGUUCUGCAAUGUCUUCACGUUGAUAGCGCGGGCGUCCAUUGCGCUCAAUGGAUUGGCUGCUGGAUCCUUCUUUGUUGGACAGUAACGCCUCUGUCAGCUUAUUGAUGUUGACUUCCAUCUGCUGCAUUCUGUCAACAAGAGUAAUUUCCAUUCGGCUCAUUCCAUCUUGCAGACCUCCCAAUCCGAUUUCCAAAUUUUCUAUCCGCUCCUUGUUUGUUGUCAUUGUUAACCUGGCUCUGAUACCAAUUGAUAGGUCCCUGUCACAGCAAGUAAUUAAAGACAAGAAACAAACACAAAUGUAUUCUGCUUUGGGCGAGAAUAAGCCACAAUUGAUAUUAUUGAAUAUUGAAUGAAUGCGUUCUCUGUCUCAUAGCAGAGUUUAAAUACAGGAAUUGAAUAACAACUUUUCUAAAAUACUGGCACGACUACAUAAAAUCAGGAUGACUCCUGCUACAUAGCUGGCAUUUAUUUGCUGAAUAAAACUUGACUCCUUCCUCCCGUGCACUAAGGCACUGCAGUGAGAAGACCCCCUUGACCCGUUCCUCCCUUGACUGGCUCUUCACAACUCAAUAAACCUGCGAUUCUUCUUAGGAAUUCUGCAUGAUCUUCUCGGCUCCAGCUGUUGCUCAUCCCGUUGUUGUAGUUCAUCACUUGACUCCUUCAAUUGCUGCUGCUGCUUAUCAACUGCAUUGGCAUCCAAUAAGUGAGGACAAUCUUGUAUCUUCCAAGUGGCAGUAGAAUUUAAUUAUAACUACCAUUAUUCUUAUCUUUAGUUAGUAAUAUAACUCUAUUUAUUGUUUCUAGUACGUAGGACAUGUUGUAAUGAAAACCUGUUAGUUAUUUGGUGUGAUUCCAAGGAGUGAUUCCUUUGAAUGAUAUCAGGCUCUACUUAUUUUCCUCUAUCAAUACUUUCUUGCUAUCUUUUAUACCAUGUUCAUUAGUUUACAUAAAUUGUUCCCUUAAUAUCCUUUGGUAUUAAUAUUAAUUGAUAUCAGAACAAGUUUUGAAUUUUUGAUCUGCUAUGCCUGGAACCGCAGUGGAAAUUCUUAUAAUCCCACCAAUCAAAGAUUACAAGACCCUAGUCCUUCCCUAACCAAUUUGAACUCCCCGUAGAAAACAUCUCCAAACCGAUUCUGAACCCCCCACAACAAGCAUCUCCACAACCUAUUCCGAACCCCCCACAACAAGCAUCUCUACAACAUGAUUUACUUCCUUGUUAAACCAGUUAGAAGAUGCUCUCAGAAUGGUAAGCUUCGAAGAGCUGCAGGAUGCAAGCGUGUGCUGAAGAAGCAAGAGGACAAUUGCCCACAUAAAUGGCAAAGGGGGUGAUUGUUGGAAUAUUGCCAAUUAUGUGGCUGCCAUUGUCAAAGAAGAUGGCUGCAAUGGUGGGUUGUUGGUGGCAGCCAACAACCAUUGUCUAAUGUCAAAGUUUGGUAAGUUUGGCAGCCACCAUUGUUGACAAAAGAGUUGGAGGAGCUGCCAUGAAUGCCUAUAAAUAGAGGCCUACAUUAGAGAAGCAAAGUGAGAGAAGAAAGGAGAGAAAACGUGAGUGUGAGUUGAGAGAAAGAGAGAGCUGCAAUGGCAGCAGCCUUGCUGCCAUUGCAGCAGCUGCAACAGCUGUGUGUGAGAGCUGGGAGUAGAGUAGAGUGAAUGUAAUCCUCCUCCUCCAUAUAUAUUGUAAUCCUUUCUCUAUAUAUCUCAAUAAUAUAGACUCUCCCGUGGAUGUAGGCGGUUUUGCCGAACCACGUAAAAUAUUGUGCCAGUGUGCUAUCCCUCCUUUGAGCAAUUAUCAGUACACCCCCGGUCGGAAAUCCCCAACACAGAGUUGAUCAAGGAGGAGAUGUGGCUAUAGAUGAAGAAGAAGUAGGAGAACAUUAGCUCAAUUCAGUCUACAGUGACAGGGAGGUCAAAAUUGAAAGAUAUCACUAUUUUCAUUAAUUUUAUUAAAGCUUAUAAUAAAAGGUUGUGUUUUUAAUUGGAUUUAUUUUUAUAUGGCGUGGCUUCUUUUUUUAAAAUGCAAUCUGCUUCCCUUUAUAAUACAGAAAUCCAGUUUUGAGUUUAUGUAACUAUAUUAACAAAACGAUUAAAUGCUUUCGUGUCCGUUUAAUUAUUUAUAUAAAUAAUAAACCCAGUUAAUAUAUUUUGCAAUCAGUUUAUGGUUUAUUUAUCUCAUAGUUGAGUUAGUUAAUGUAUGUUUUUUCAAAUUAGUAGCAAAGGCGUGUGGGCUUGUCUCAGGCUCACAUGCUAGUGCCUGAGUUGUACUGUAAUAGACCCUAUCAUAUUAGGCCACAUAAGCCCGAGUGGUUGGAAUUUUUUUUAUUGGUCAUUUUUUAUUUUUUUAAUAUAAUUUUUUAAUUUUAUAUUUUAUUGUUGAGUUUUUUUAUUAAGUUUUAUUUGUCAAUAUUGAAUUAAUUAUAAAUUAAUUUUUAUAUUUUUUAUUAUAUAUAAACCGAGUAAAGUAUUUGGUGGGUUAGCUAUAAACCUGAACUUUUUAUUUUUUUAUUUUUUGGACUAGUAAAAGACAAAUUAAAAAAACAAAGUAAUCUUAUUUGAUAUGUUGUAAAUUUUUUUUUUAUCUAAUAAUUUAAAUUGAAAUCUCAUUUAAUAAUUUAAAUUAUUAAAUUGAAAUAAAUUUUUAAUACAAUGAUUUAAGAUGUACCAAGAUAUGGUUGUAGUUUUUAUUUUUUUGCCUUUUUCUUUAAAAAUGUUAUCUCCUUGGUAAGGAAUCCUUGGUUCCCAACGGCAACUGUAGCAACGUAAAAACAAAUCUCUAAACUCCACCGAAAGUGGUAGAGCAUUAGAAUUUUUAAAAGACAAAACGGGGCGCGACAUUCAUAAUUUAUAAACAGAUGCGAUAAAAUAAGUCAUACUGCAUGUUUUCAUUUGGCAUUUAAUUCCAUGAACAUGGCUUUUUUAGAUUAAUAUAGUGUUUGGACUAGCUUGUAUAUCUCGAAUAAUCUCAAGAGAUCUUGAAGUUAACAACGUACCAUAUAAGGCUUUAAUAGCAAUGAGAUUUGUAGGAUUCGAACUAGUGAUAUUUAGAAAACAAACUUAGUGACUAACUAGUUGAGCUACACCCCUUAAAAUUCCAUGAACAUGAUCUUACUUUUCGAUCAAAUUAAUGUGACCAUAUUAUACUUGUAAUCAAACCAUUAAUUGACUGUUCUUGACUAGCUAUUGUUUCUCAUUGGCAAGAGUCAUUGCCAAUGAUCAUAACAUGUUAGUGAUCUAUUGCAACUAGUUCUAGUAUCGACAGAGUUGUUAUUUAACCAUUAAAUCAAUUUAUAAAACAUUAUUGACUAGCUAUCUAACACUAACAACUAAUCACAGAUAAUAUUUAUGCAAAACUUGUAGCUUAAUACGAACUCUCAGACAUGUGGGUGGGGCAACUCAAAGUAGGAGAGUGGUAACCUCUGAUACAUAACAGAGAAAAUUAUAGAGUAAAGCAGGACGGAAUUUUCUUAAAUUAACAACAGAAAUCUAGAUACUUCAAUAAAUUAACACACUGACUAAUAAAUCCCCCCCACCAUCAUCCAGUUAUCACAGGUGCAUCUACAAUGAACAGUUCUCGAGAAGAAACUCAAGAAACGCAUAUAAAGCUACAUGAUGACAUAAUAGGAACCUGCAUUGCCUCCAUUCCAUGAUGAAAGUUCAAGAAAUUCUACUUCGAAACUCAAGACAAAGUCUCUCAGACUACAUAUUAGUGGGAUUUCUAUAAACAACUGAUUGUAUUGCAAAGCAACAUUAUGAAAAACUGAAUAUUUCACACAUAGUCUAACAAAAGUAGGUUCCAUUGUCAAUUCCUUAACAUUUUCCGAACAAAUCACAGUUGCUCCUCGUUUGAUACUUUCUUGAAGGUUUCUUUUCUCUUAUUACCAAUUUCUGUGAGUUUGUGAUUUUUUAUCUGUACCGUAUCAUCCGAACAAUUACUAGAACCACACAACUAAUAUGUAAAUUCACAAAUUCCCUACAGUUCAUAUUGCCAACAAACUCCUCUUGCCAUUCCCUAAUUGCAUUGAGCCAGCUAAUCUGGAUGAAAGAAAGGACUUCGACCUUGAAAUUAGCAUCAUAGUCAUGGAACCUUAAAGCAGGCCCAACUUUGUAGCUCAUUACCAGCUACGUAAAAGUUAUCAAUAGCUGUGUGGAUCAUUGAAACUGCCACAAAAGCAACCCAAAUUAGUUAUGAAUUGGAUUCGAUAAAGGAAAGAGGGGAAGAGGGGAGAAGACAGAUGAAGAUCUGCGCAGGGCUACCUGUUUUGAGAAUUAUGGAUUUUUAUCCCUAACUCAAAACGGCACCAAUUAUAAGUUCAAUAAAAAAAAAUAUGUAACAGAACAGAUGGAAAAAACUCGAAACAACUCGGCUAGAAUUUAGGAAAGAAAUUCAGAAUGAGCCAAGAUUUUAAGUGAGAUGAAACUUUGUUCUUUGAAAAAAAUAAUUAAUAUGAGAUAUACUUUUCAUUUUAGUGAACCUUAAAGCAGACCCAACAGUUAAGUAAAAGUUAUCAAUAGCUGUGUAAACCAUUGAAACUGUUACUGUAGGUGCACACUCAAUUACACCAUGGAUUCACAUAGUGCAAUUGUUAAUUUUUUUUUUAAAUUCCAUGUUAUUUUUUUAUUUGAACCUUUUUUUGUCAACAUGUUUCGCAAUUGGCCUUGGUAUUUUGUUUUCAUUUUCUCUAUGUUUCCUUCUUCUGUAGAUAAAAAACAUCAGGUCUUUGGGCUCGUACUUGAUAGUGCAAAAUUAAUGACACAAUAAUCAAAUAACACAAAAAUUUUUAUAAGCGAAAGGAAUUGGAGAUGUAAACCUAAAAUUCGCAAGUUUAUUUUUUCUAAAAUAAUAAUAAUAAUAAUAAUAAUAAUAAAGUCUACAUUCUUAGAAGGUUUACAAACCUUUAAAUGGGUCAAGAACCCUACCCCCAACUAGGAAGCAAAAAUAAAAAUUCAAAAUUACAAAGAAAAGAAGCAUAAAAUCCAAAAUAAACAAGAAAUCUAAAAAUAAUAAGGAAAAUCACAAAAAUUACCAAAACUAGAGGCCUCAAUGAGAUUUUUGAUAUCUAAAGAUCCGACGGUCCGCAUUAAAAUUUGAGCACAAUCUAACAAUUGAAUAAAAAAUUAUGACUCUUUUGAGUUGUUAUUCUGGUUUAGCGUGACCAAACCUUCUCUUGGGCUUAGACCUGUUUCAUUGGUCCAUAAAUACAUUUGCUAAGCUAUCAACAUAAUUUAUCUAGGGAAAAUCUUCAUCUAGUUAUGGCAGAUUCACACCUGACUGCUUAGAAUCACUAAUUAUUAUAGGAUUGACUACAUCAAAAUUGGUCGGUUUUUUUUGUUUUCAAAGAGAUUUAAACUUGAUGCAGAUGAAAGCUAAAAACACAAUAAUCAAAGAACACCAAAAAAUAUAUGAGCGAAAGAGAAUAUAGAUGUGAACUCUCAAAUUCCCAAGUUUAUUUUCUCUAAAAUAAUAAUAAUAAAGUUUGUCUUCUUAAGACGUUUACAAAGCCUUAAAUAUGUUAGGAACCUUACCUUAACUAGGAAACAAAAACAUAAACCCAAAAUUACAAAGGAAAGAAACAUAAAAUCCAAAACAAGUAAGAAAUAAAAAAAUAACAAGGAAAAUCACAAAAACUACCAAAACUAGAGGCCUAAACAAGAUUUUUUAUAUAUAAAGAUUCGAUGGUUCACGUGAAAAUUUGAGCAUGAUCAAAUAAUCAGAUAAAAAAUUAUAACUUUUUGAGCUUUUAUUCUGGUCUGACACGACCAAACUUCUUCUUGCUAAACUUGUUUCAUUGGUCCCUAAAUACAUCUCCAUAACCUUUUUUUUUUGUUUCACUAUAGAUAGAGUUUGACCAUUAUUAUAUAUGGUUUGACUUAGCCGUAUCGGUUUUCAAUUAGAUCAACUUUAUAUAUUAUGGGUUUACAUUUACUAUUUUUUAAAAAGUGCUCACAAGUCCAUUUUUCACACCUCAAACUCGUAACUGCAACGAUUCGUAGGCAACGAAACUAGUUAAAGACUAGAGAGUAAACAUGCUACUAAAGUUUGCAGGUGAGGGUUUAGAUUAGAUUAUUUGUUGUCUUGUUUCAAAUAUUAGAUCAGUCUCAACUCAUUAAAUAAACAAGUGGUGCAUUGAUCCUUGGACUCAAAUCAUAUAUACACGGCGAGCUCAUUUGUGUUUUUAUUAUUUGUCCCUCCCUGUACUUGUAGCAGAAGAGAAGCUGCUCUCAUCUUUGAAGGAAUGCAAACAAUUGUUAAUAUGAAACAUAUUAUGUACAAAUUAUAAUAUUUGUAAGAAGCCGUUUUGCUGCCCACCGGCGGCCAUCUGAUCAGAGAACAGUAUUAUAUUUUUUAAACCCUUCACUCUCAUAAAAACAAUUUAUAUGAUUAUAAAUAGGAAAACAUAAAAAAAAAUAGGAUUACAUAUUUUUAGAGAUUACAUAUUAUUGUUUUAGUUCUUUUUCUUGAUUAGAGAUAAGUUGAAUAAAAGUAGUAAUAAUUUAUUUUUGUGAAAAAAGUUUACUACAACUCCUAAUAAUUAGUUUCAUGUAAAAAAUAAAAAUAAAAAUAGUAACUAAAAUUUAUUUUAGUUAUGUUAAUAAAAUUUUAAAGAUAUUUUAAUUGAAUUAAGUAAUUCAACACAAAAUUUAUGUUCGCAUACAGUUGUUGUAACCCAUUUUUGGGUCCCCACACAAAAUACAAAAAAAAUAUAUCAAAAUAAAAAAAAUAUUAUAGAAAAAUAAUAGCAGUGAAAAGAGGAUGUCGGAGCGCCCAGAAAAUGAUCAAAAAUUGGUUGAGGAGGUUUCAAAAUAUAAGGAUUGAAGUUUGACAGUAUAUCAUUGACUGGGGCUUAAUUGCAUACAUAUUGAAGUCUGGUGGCCAAUUAAGGACUUGAUUUAAGAAAUCCAAAACCAAGGACCAUAGUGAAAAAAGCGCGCAAAUUGAAGGGCUAAUCUGAAAUUGGACCCAUUUUGGCACCAGUUUUUGUUUAAAUGAAAUGGCACGUUUUGAUAAAAAACAACGCCGUUUCAUGCAUUGCACAAAAAAAAGAGAGCAAACGGUGCCGUUUUGAACGGCACCAUAAGCCUUCUUCUUCCCCUGUUGAGAACAGGGGAAGAAAAAGCAUUUUUGAUGUAACUAUAUUAUUUGAUAGUUUCACCCACAUUUAACUAGUGUUUAGCCUAUGUUAUAUAUAUAAAAUGCCUUGAUAUUCUUUGUUUUAUGUUUUGAAGGCACCUUUAGAUGAAAGAUGCAAAAAGGAGUAAAUUGAAGAUAAUUGGCAGAUUUGAUGUUCAGUCGAUGUUUUGUGCAGAGCAUGAGCUCUAAAAGUCAAAACGAAGUGAUUCUAGUGGCAUUAGAAAUCUAACAUCCAUACCUUUCUGUAAAUAUAAGUCAAGAAAAAUAAAAAUACAACGAGCAUGGAAAUCACAUCCUUCAAAGUCAAAACUCGCAUUCUGCCAGUGUUGACCUUUGUCCAUUCAAAAUUCAAUAUCUGGAGCUGUAGAUAUCCAAUUGAUGUAAACUCAAUUGUUUUGGAUUCCUGACUCAAAGGUGUCUAUAAACGCUCCAAAUUUCAGCCACAAAUGAUGUCAUAUGAGGGAGAUAUGAGUUUUCAAAGAUGACAACUGAAUUCUGCCAGCAAACAGGUUUCGUGAAGAAACGAAUCCAAAUUACAUCCCGAAGCAUCAAAACCGACAUCCAAGUUUUAAUUUCAUCAAUUUAGCUCCUCAAGUAAAUCAAUCCAGAAGGUCAAGGAAGGCAGCCACCAACCUCAAGCCACCAACCUCAAACCACCAACCACAAACCAGCUGCCAGCCACUAGCCGCCUUCACACUACCACCAUCUCUUGAUGUUCACACUUGAACUUUGAUUUUUCUUACUUACAAUUUAUGUAUAAAUAGGCAGCUAAGUUUAUGCUAUUGAGUGAGCCAAGAGGGAAGGAAAGAGAGCCAAGAGGGAAGGAAAGAGAGCCAAGAGAGAGGGAGAGGGAGUGCAGUAGAAUAAAGAAAGAGGGGUGGCAGCCAUAAGAGAAGAAACACAAACUCUCCCCUCAACAAAUCAGAAAUCAUGUAUUCUUUUAUCUUUAGGAGUAGUUUUUCAAUAGAUAUGCAAGGCUAAGCUCGUUUUCUUGGUUGCAAGGACGCAAAAACCUUCAGAUUUAAAGAACCGUGAGAUUUAUUCUUCCAUUUAUUUUCAGUUUGUAUUAUGAAUGAGUAUGUUUGUUUUCCUAUGCAUAUUUUCUAUGAUUGUUUAUCUUAAUUGCUAGAGCGGACUCUAAGUUAUUAUUGUGAAUAAUCUAUUGCUAAGUUUGAUAUCAAAACCGGAGUUGUGGUAUAUAAACGUGUGAAGCAAGUAAGCUUGAUAAUUGUAGCGGAACUACAUUAUUAAACUUAGGGAGAACAUUCGAUCAAAGCAACACAAGCUGACAACUUGGUUGUUAAGAUUAAUGAAUUUAUCUAGAUCUUAAGGCUGCCAUUGGAUUAAACCAUUAGUGCGGACACUGUGAUUGUUUGUUGGUUAGGGUUAGUUAUACGGCGGAUCCGUUAAUUAACCAACAUUAAGAAAAGAUAAAAAAUUCAGAAUAUAAACUGAAGUUUCGUUUCAAGGAUCGGUUCUGAUUUCUGUAGGUGGAUGUGUGCUUGCGACCAAGGUUUGUUUUCUUGAUAUAUUUCAGUUUCAAUUGAUUUUGUUUGUUAGUGUAAUUUCUACCAUAGUUUAGAUCAUUGCAAAUCAAACCCCCCCAAUUAUAUAAUGUAUAGCAUAAAAAUCUGAACUAAACCUUCCUCGUGGGAUCGACCCCUUGCUUGCUCUAUACUAUCUUGUGUGUUUUAAGCUAGGGUAAUUAAUUUAUGCGACCGCGACAUCGCAACAAUUUCCCCCCCAUUUUUUUCUCCUCUCUCUCCCAAAACCCAAAAAACCAACGACGACCCGACUUGUCCUUUCACUGACACCACCACGCCCUCAUGCCGAAAGACCCAUACCCUACAGAGGUAGGGGCGGCUGUGCAGUAGCUGCCCCCAUGCCACCAUGCCCUGCACCAUGGCACAGGACAGGGCAUGGUGGCCCUCUCUCCCUCUACCUAUAAAUAUAAAGGGAGUGCGGGAGAGAAGAGGGGGGAAAAAGAUUUUUUGAAAGAGAAAGGGAGGAGAAACCGAGAGAGAGACCGACUGUUUUUUAAGGAGGAAAAGAGAGACCGAAAGAGGGGAAACAACAGUUUUUUUAGAGAGAAAGGAGUGAAGAGAAGCAGACCGAAACACUAGAAAUUAAAGGGGAGAAAAGAAAAAGGAGGGAGACCGAGAGAGAAGACAGAGGAGAGAAAGGGAAGCCAUAAAAGAAGCGGGGAAGAACAGGAAGUGACAGGGGAAGAAAAAAAUACUGGAGAAGAAGAACAACCACAGCUGCCACCGUGCUUCCUCUCCACCGACAUAGCGCACCACCUGACCGUAGCUGACAGCCCCGAAGAGACAGAGGAGAAAAGGAGAAGAUAACGGGAAAAAAAACACAGAGAUGAGGGGGCUGAGAAGAGAAACAGAGGAGAGGAGAGAAGGAAGGAAAACGCCGCCGCUGUCACCGCCGCUUUCCACCACCGCUGACGACCACAACCGUUCUUUCCCGCUCCAGGUAACUUUCUCCCCUUCCCUUGUCGUUUUUAGUUGUUCAUCUUCAUUUUGCAUGCAGACGUGAGCAAUUCACGUUCUGCAGCAAAAUGUAGAUUAAUUAGCUAGUUACUAUGUUAGGCACAGUAACUAGCUAAUUAUAUUUUGCUGGUUACUGUGUGCAGCACAGUAACCAACCCUUUGAUUGCUUAUGGGCUAGAACAUCAGCCCAGCCCACGCGGCUGGGCUGAGUCCAGCCCACAGUAUAUGGGCCGGGUCAGGCCCAGCCCAGGAUGGUUGGGCCAGAUCCGGCCCAAGUUUUUUUUUGGUUAAAAGAAAAUUUCAAAAAUAUUUUUUCAGAAUUUUAUAAUUUCCCCGCAUAUUUUUAUGUCAUUUUGAUUAAAAGCAAUAUUUUUUAUGUUGCUAAAAAUACAAAAUCCGAUAUUAAAAUACCUGGUUUUCGUCAAAACUUUCAAAAUACAAAACAAAAACUUUGUUUUGAAAAAAAGGAAAAUGUUUUUGUGCAUACGGCCAAGUAUCUCAAGGCUAAAAAAUCAUAUGGUGUUUUUCAUACACAAAAAAAAAACAAUGUUUUUGCAUGCAUUUUGGCUUUGAUAACCAGUUUAUUAGAGUCAAGAGAACAUUGGCCAAAAUUUCAAAAACUACAAAUUUUUUUUUUUUUUUGUCUUUUAGUAUCCGGGGUACGAUAUUACAUGUAAUACAUAUUCCAUAUAUUAAAUGUUUUUCCAACGUUAGAACGGUUAGGUUCUACCCCAUUAAAGAUAAGAACCUCCUUAUUGAGUAGGGCUUUUCUUGAGUCUUAGAUAGACAGGACCAAUAAGUAGAAAACACGACCAAACCUUAGAUUUUGAUAAGACAAAUAAAACAAUGCAGCUUACCUUAGGUAUGGCGUAUUUGGGGUGCUAAUACCUUCCCUUUACGCAACCAGUCUCCGUACCUGAUCUCUGAGACCAGUUAGGGUUCCUAGUGAUCAUAAUACUAGGUGGCGACUCCCAUUCUAUUUUUUUCACCGCUAAGAGACAAAGAAUUCCUUGUCUCCCCACAUUUACCAGAUAUAUAUCCAUACAUUGAGGGUGGACGAUCGCCGCGACGCCGCACACGUGCGACAGAAUGGCGACUCCACUGGGGACCUUGUGGACUAAGCAUUGUUUUGUCUGAUUUUUUGUUGGUUUUGUCCCUGUUUUGUUAUUAAGAUGCUUAUUUUAUUUACACGCUUUAAUUUUUGUACAUAUUUGUUCAUACAUUGUAUAGAACUGUUUCACGCAUCAUUCUUUUUAUGUGAGAGUUUAUAUGAGAAAACUUUAAGUUAAGUAGGGGACUAGCAGCUUACCUUAUGACUUUUAGUCAAGGUUUAAGUUUGUGUAAACCCCAACUCUUCGCUGAGUGCUCAGACUGGUAAUGAUUGGUCCAUAUGCCAUCCCAUUACCUACUGAGCCCCCAUAUUGCCUUCACGAGGGCGAUCACUGGGACAACAAGAGACCCUUUUAGAGACAGAAUAGCCAACCUACCCUUGUCAAGCAUAAAAGAAUUAGAACCGGCCUUUAGGGUGUAUGCUCCACUGUACAUGUUUUGCAUAAUACAUUAAACCUAACCAUAAAGCAUAUUGGUUUUCAGGUCUUUUUAACGAUAAGAUGGCCAUCAUUACCAAAGUUACUACUGUGGAAUAUGGGCAAAAUUCUGAAUUGUCACAACUAUCAGAGGGAGACGGCUCUAGAUGUAAUGCAAGGAAGCUUCCAAUAGUCAAAGACCUGAAUUGUAUGGUAAAUGAGAUGAAGAGAAUAUUGGUUCAUAGUCAGAACAUUGAUGAGGCGGCAUUUUCCGUGAAGUAUGGGCGAUUGUUAGAAAUUACGAAGAUAGAAGUAUUGAACCCAGCAAUCAAAGCCUUGAUUAACUUUUGGGAUCCUGAUUAUAGAUGUUUUUCCUUUGGAAAUGUGGAUUUGUGUCCCACUGUAGAGGAGUAUGGAAUGUUGAUGGAGUUUCCCAAGCACCUGCACAAGGUUUAUUUCCCUUUGAGAAGUGACAAAGUAAUUCCCGAAUUGUCAAAAUUGCUGAAAAUUCCAUAUCUGAGCAGAUUUUUAGAGAAGAAUGCCAGCGGUUUAAAGUGGAAAUUCCUGGAGAUUGAACUAGAAAGGAAAAAAUCACAAUAUGGAUCGAUGCUAGAAAGAGACAGGUUAAUCGCUCUGGGGAUAUAUGGUCCUGUAUUAUUUCCAAGCUUAACAGGGGUUAUAAGCCUAGAAGCUGCUGCUGCAUUUGUGGAAUAUGAAAAUACUCAUGUCAACCCUAUAACUGCCAUAUUAGCUGAGACCUUCCUGACCCUCAACCAUUUCAGGAAGACUGGGAAAGGCGCAAUGAGAUGUUGUACUAAGUUAUUAUACAUCUGGAUGGUAAGCCAUAUUGAAACCAAAAAGCCGAUCUUUAAUAAUUUUUGGUGGUUUAACCAAAAACCUUUGAAGUUAGUAGAAGAAGAAGAAUGGGGAAGCUUGGGCGAUCAGGGUUGGAUGAAAAAACUGCAAGAGUUACCAAGUAGCAACUUUAGUUGGAAAGCCCCUUGGGUCAAAUCGGUUGAUAUCCUAGUAAGUUGCGGACAAAAAUGUUGGGUACCUUUAGUUGGGAUCAUAGGUUAUGUCAGCUAUGCUCCGGCCUUGGUGAUAAGACAAUUAGGCGGCAUACAACACAUCCCAAGAACUGUGGGACUCGCUGAAUUUUCCAGGUUUUUCAAGGAUCAAUCCGCGCUAGAAGAUUGGAGCCAUUUGACUUUAAUGUGAAAGGAAUCUGAAAGGUUAAGAGACCCCAGCUCAAGUGAAGGAUAUGAAAAGUGGAGGAAUUUGACCCCGACUGCCGCUCCUAGAAUGCCAUGUUCUGAAGACGGGCCUUCACGAAUUAUAGAAGGGUCAUUCAAAAGAAAAAAGGUCAGUAAUGAGGAGGACCUUAUGGGGCAAUUGGAAAGGCUCCAAAUAGAAUUGGGAAAGAGUAAGGUAGAUAAAACAGCAUUAGAAAUGAUGAUGAUAGAGGGAGACAAAAGCCGAGUAUUUCUAAACGUACAGCUCGAAUCUAGAGAUGUAAAAAUAAUGAUGUUGGAGCUGCAACUGAGCAAAGGAAAAGUUGUAAUGGAAGAGUCCGAGAAAGAGAGGGGAACGCUGAUUUUGGAUUGGAUGCAGAGCAGCUCUGAAUUGGAAGCAUUAAAAGCCAACUUCAAUGACUAUCAGAUGCUGAAUAAAAUCAGGAUAAAUUUUUGCACGUUCAAGCGGAGUUAAUGGACCGAAUCGAGAAGUAUGAUGAGUUAAACAAGAAAUGUGUGAUGGUAAAAAGUCGGCUAGCCGAAUUGCAAGAGUUCGAAAGAAAGGGGAAGGAAGAGGAGGUUGUUAAAGCAGAUUUGGCAACUAAGAAAAAUGAAAUUAGGAUGCUGAAAGCGAAACUUGAUAGAGAGCGGGAAAAGGUAAGACAGUUGACCGAAAAGUUGGAAGCUUCAAAAAAACAUAAAGAACAGAUCGACACCAACAACAAUACCUUGAAUCAGAACAACAUGUUGCUUAUGGAGAAGAUGGCCAAAGUAGAUGAGCAAAUGGAUGAAGCUGCCAUUCAUGCACGGAUUAUUAGAACCAAUGCCCGAAGGGUGGGGAGGGACAUCUUUUGUUAUCGACAAAGCUUGGCUGAGACUGAUGCCUUCUUAGAAAAGAUUGAGAAUUGAGGCCUUGCUUUCCUACCAGUGGCUAGAAAUAUGGAUGAAGAGGAAGAUUGAUGUAUUUUUUUUCUUUUUUUGUAUCCUCUUUUCUUUUUGUAUCCUCUUUUCAAGAGAUGUAUUAGCCAAUAUUAUUAAUGAAAAGGGGCCUUGACCCAUCUUUUGUGAAAUAUCUCUUAUAGAGUAAGGUUAAGUCUACCAAAGCAACAACUUGAGCAAAACUACCCCUGAUAAGGAACGUGACAAAGGAGUCCAUACCCAUUACGCAAGCGAAAUGUUGGCCAUCGAUCGUUUUUGAAAAACAAGCUCACAUUACAUAUGCAUCAUGCAUUGUUCAUUAUCAUACAUUCAUUUACAUUUUUCCAUCCGCUCCAGAUCGUGAAACAUAGGUCCCCCACCCAAGGUCCACCACACUAGGCUAAGAUCAAGAAUGGAGAACGAAGAGAGGGCCAUUCUAGAAUCCCGCUACCAAAGUGAAUUGGAAUCCGUGAGAAAUGAAGUUUCCCGGAUGACCAAUCUGCUUGAGCAACUUCUAAGAGCCAAGAAUGGGGAGGGAACGUCUACCCAACCACCCAUAGGAGCACCACCAACUCAUGUCCCUGGGGUAUCUCAGAACUUGAGGGCAGAUUCAGUAACGGAACAACACUUUACACUAGCCAUUCCCAUCCAGCCCACUCAAUCUCACAUCACUGUAGAUUUAACAGCGAAUGGGCCUUCCGAUAAUAGGUCCACUGGUUUUAUGAACGACGACAAGAUAUCCGCUUUGGAAGAAAGGUUAAGAGCAGUUGAGGGAAAUGAUUGGUUUGACCCCAUGCGAGCUUCUGAAGUAUGCUUGGUACCAAACAUCAUGGUACCAAAAGAUUUUAGGAUACCAGAGUUUAUAAAGUACACUGGGUUGGAAUGCCCACACACUCACCUUCAAGAGACUUGUCGACUUUGGUUUUUGUAUUUUUUUUACAACAUGCAAGAAAAUUUACAAGCAUUUAUAUAUAAAAAAAUAUCAAAAAUACCAGUUGAAACCCAAAAAAUUACCUGAGUGUCACUGUAUAGGUAAAAUACUGAAAUACCCUGGAAGUUCUCCAAAAAUUACGAAAAUGCCACUGGCGGCGCGUGUGGCACACGCGCGGCUACUGUUGGCUGCGGCGAAAUUUUCUGGCGAGAUUUCUGGCCAACAAAUGGUUGAUUCUGGCAGAUCUGAGGGCGAGGAUUCUGAUGGUGGUGGUUGUGAAGGUCUUUGAUGGCUGAUGAGUGAGAAUCGACGACUUGAAGCUUCUGUGGCAGCCGACGAUCGCGACCCUUUUCCGACCAAAUGGGGCGGAGACAACGCUGAAAUCGGCCAGGGUUUUGCUUUAUAUGAGGAUAGAGACCUUUCUGUGGUGGUUUGGAAGCUUGAUAUGGCCGGAGAUGGGAGAUCGGAAGAGAGAGAGGGAGUUGCCGGCGAGAGGAGAGAGAGAGUCCGAGAUUACGCUACGGUGUGAACGCGUGUAUGGUAAACAGGUACCUCUGAACACUGUGCGCCGUUGGAUCUCGGAUGAAACGAUCGGAUGGCUGUGAUUGGCCUGAUCUGCAGGUUGAUCGGACGGUCCGGAUGAACAGAGGUAGGAUCUGGUGUGGCGCGGUGUACCGAGAGAUUGGUACACCGGGUGACGUGGCGAAACUGGAUCUAAGCUUAGAUUAUUUCAAGGGCUGAGAUGUGUCUGGGUUUUAAUCUAGUGUGGUAAGCCCUAUUGUAUCCUAUUAAAUCAACGGUUCAGAUCUAAACACUAUUAGAUCUAACGGUUAGGAUAUAUUUGGUAUUUUUCAUAUUGUAUUUUUAAAAAAUCAAUAUCCACUCUCAUGAAGAAAUAGUGAAAAACUUAAAUAGUAACCUUGAUAUUCGUUUCUUUUCUUUCUUUUUCUUACCUCUCCCCCUUUGUUCGUUUUUCUCACCGGCUAUUUAUAGCCAAUCAACAGGGGACAUCAAAAUCUCAACAUUAUCUACUUGCAAGAAAAAAAUCGUCGAUACAACUGCCCCGCCUGCUGUGACAAAAAAAGUUUGCAUUAUUGAUUUUUUUAUUUUGUUUUAUUAUAUAUAAUAAUAAAUAUUUAUAUGGAUAAAACUAAAACUCAAAUUAGUAUUAGAAAAGCCCGUUUCAACCGCUAAAAAUCAAUUUUAAUGACCGAAAAUAAUAGUUUUGACCCAAAAUAACCUGAAACUCAUUUUUUACCCCGAUCGACAUGGUUGGACCCGUAUGGACUCGGUGGACUCGGUUUUGACCGAAUAUGACGGUUUUGACCCAAAACGGCCCGACACUUAUUUUUUACCCUGGUCGACAUGGUUUGACCCGUAUUGACUCGGUGGACUCGGUUUUGACCCGAAACGGCCUGAAACUCAUUUUUUACCCUGGUCGACAUGGUUUGACCCGUAUUGACUCGGUGGACUCGGUUUUGACCGAAAAUGACGAUUUUGACCCAAAACGGCCUGAAACUCAUUUUUUACCCUGGUCGACAUGGUUUGACCUAUAUUGACUCGAUGGACUCGGUUUUGAUCGAAAGAUGCGGUUGACUCGAGAAAAAUAUAUUUUUAAAUUUUCCUUUUUCUUAAUUGUUUUGGAUUUUUAUAAAUAAUAAUAGAAAUAAAAUAACAUUCAAGAAAAUCUUGGUGAAUCCAAAAUUGGGUUACAACAGUUGCACCCUCUUUACAAUGCUUACGGUGCAAAGGCAUUGGAAAAUUCAUUUUCUUUUGACUUUGCAUAGUAAGUUUUGUAAAGAAAAACGAUGGAAGUGUUGAAAAAUGCACAGAUUUUUCGGUUGGUCUAAUUGUUAUGGGCGACCUGCCCAAGUGAAAAACAUGAAAGUGUUUUCAAUAUUGGUUUUGUGAAAUACAUGAAAGUGAUUUCAGCAAUGGUUUUGUGAAAUACAUGAAAGUGAUUUCAACAAUGGUCCUAUUUUCCAGAUGACCACCCCGAUGAUAAAAUGCGAGGAAACUCGCAAGUGGUUUAAUUGUUCCAGGCGACCUGCCCGAUGAUAAAAUGCGAAGAAACUCGCAAGUGGUCUAAUUGUUCUAGGCGACCUGCCCAAUAGUGAAAUGCGAGGAAACUCGUAAGUGGUCUAAUUGUUCCAGGCGACCUGCCCGAUGAUAAAAUGCGAGGAAACUCGCAAGUGGUCUAAUUGUUCCAGGCGACCUGCCCGAUGAUAAAAAAUGCGAGGAAACUCGCAAGUGGUCUAAUUGUUCCAGGCGACCUACCCGACAAUGAAAAUGCGAGGAAACUCGUAAGUAGUCUAAUUGUUCCAGGCGACCUGCCCGAUGAUAAAAAAAUGCGAGGAAACUUGCAAGUGGUCUAAUUGUUCCAAUCUAAUUGUUCCAGGCGACCUGCCCGAUGAUAAAAAAUGCGAGGAAACUCGCAAGUGGUCUAAUUGUUCCAAGCGACCUGCCCGAUGAUAAAAUGCGAAGAAACUCGCAAGUGGUCUAAUUGUUCCAGGCGACCUGCCCGACAAUGAAAAUGCGAGGAAACUCGCAAGUGGUCUAAUUGUUCCAGGCGACCUGCCCGAUAGUGAAAUACUUGAAAGUGAUUUCAAUAUAUUUUUGUGAAAUACAUGAAUGUGAUUUCAGCAAUGGUUUUACGAACCGACCCUUCUGUGAAAUACAUGAAAGUGAUUUCAACAUUUUUGUUUUGUGUGAAAUUCAUGAAAGUAAUUUCAACAUUGGUCCUAUUUUCCACGUGACCACCCCGAUGAUAAAAUGCGAGGAAACUCGCAAGUGGUCUAAUUGUUCCAGGCGACCUGCCCGAUAAUGAAAAUACGAGGAAACUCGCAAGUGGUUAAUUGUUCCAGGCGACCUGCCCGAUGAUAAAAUGCGAGGAAACUUGUAAGUGGUCUAAUAGUUCCAGGCGACCUGCUCGAUGAUGAAAAUGUGACGAAACUCGCAAGUGGUCUAAUAGUUCCAGGCGACCUGCCCGAUGAUAAAAUGCGAGGAAACUCGCAAGUGGUCUAAUUGUUCAAGGUGACCUGCCCGAUAGUAAAAUGCGAGGAAACUCGCAAGUGGUCUAAUUGUUCUAGGCGACCUGCCCGAUGAUAAAAUGCGAGGAAACUCGCAAGUGGUCUAAUUGUUCCAGGCGACCUGCCCAAUAGUGAAAUACUUGAAAGUGAUUUCAAUAUAGUCUUGUGAAACACAUGAAUGUGAUUUCAGCAGUGAGCUUUAGGGUUGAUUGAAAACUUCUAAAGGAAGUCAUACCUGUAUGGUUGAGAUCUGAUUUGUAAAUCGAUCUCCGAGAUGAUGAAAUCUUCUCAAGAAAGUCUUAUGUCUACGGUCGAGAUCUGAUCUUCUGUACAUCGAUCCCAAAAGAUGAUGAAAGCUUCUCAAGGAAGUCCUGUAUGUACGGUUGGGAUUUGAUUUGUAAAUGGAUCCCAAAGAUGAGGAAGGCUUCUCAAGGAAGUCCUGUAUGUACGGUUGGGAUUUGAUUUGUGGAUCCUAAAAAUGAGGAAAGCUUCUCAAGGAAGUCAUGUAUGUAUGGUUGGGAUUCGAUUUGUGGAUCCCAAAAAUGAGGAAAACUUCUCAAGGAAGUCUCGAUUUCAAAGAUGAUGAAAGCUUCUUAAGAAAGUCUUAUAUGUACGGCUGAAAUCUGAUUUGUAAAUCGAUCUCAAAGAUGAUGAAAGCUUCUCAAGAAAGUCUUAUAUGUACGGCUGAGAUUUGAGCUGCCGUUCAAAACGAUGGUAGGAGUAAAUUCCUUAUAAAUCACACAGUAUUUGGCAAAAGACAUCAUCAACUUCUUGCAUUUUCAAUACUCUCAAAGUUCUUAACUUUUGAAGCUUUAACCAUGUCUUCUUCUUCUUCCAAUGCUAACCCAAACCCUGUUCCUGCAGUAGAGCCUGCAGUUUGGCGUACUACCUUUGAAGUGAAUGGUCGUCCAGUUACAAUAGAGGAUACUGUAAUGGACAAUGAAGAUAUUGCUGUAGCCGUGGCUAGAGAUAUGAUCCUUCCUCGUGAUGAAAUAAUGCUGGCAGCCAGGACCGAUAUUGAAGUAGUGAAUCAGUCACUUGCUCUCAGUAUCAGAGCUACUUCGUCUUUGGUGAACGUUGCAGAGCGUCUUCAUGCUAGAAGACUUGAGUUGAAUACUCAGGUUCUUGAUCUCCAUCAUCAGAUUGAGAAUUUAAGGAAUAGACUCCGUGAUGAGAGACGUCACAGAAACAACUUGGAGAGGAGAAACCAAGAGCUAAAUACACGUGUUGACUUUUGGAGGGAUUAUGUUAACACACGACACCUCGAGUUCGAGGAAGAGAUGGAGCGCAUGCAUAAGCAAUUUGAGGAAUUCCGAGGCAUGAUUAACCAUCAAGAUGAAAAUAUCCCUGAUCGUCCUCGCACUGUUUAACAUUUGUACUUGUAAACCCCUUUUUCCAUGAAUAAAAAUCCAUAUUUCUUGUCUUCAUUUAUGAAUUUUGCUUUUGUGGAAUUGCCAUCUUUGAUGUGAUUUAAAAGAACUUCAAUUCAUGUGAGUCUCGUUGGAUCCCAGUGGGGAUAUUGUUUCAUAAAAUAUCUGCAAAACAAUUAUGCAAUGCAUGUGAAGUUAGAUGAUAUGCAAUGCAUCUUACCUGUUUUUGAAACAUAGGUCCCCCCUUUUUGAUGCUUCAUCGUCAUAGGGUGGCUUUGUUUGCAUUCCAAAACCUUCUUUGUUUUUCGAUGCAUUGGCUCAUUCAUGUGCUAGCCAUCCGCUCAGUUGUAAAUGCAGUGCCCAUCUUGGGUUGUCCGUGAUGAUUACUGCUCUCGCUGUUUAUCAAGCUUGACAAUGCCCCCAAGUGUAGUGUUGCUUGAUUUAUCAUUAAGAAGCUUAACAAAUCGUUCAUCUCCUGGAUUCUUUCAAGAAUUGUUCUCUGAUUGAUUGUGUGCAUCGUGCCAACACCUAUCAAGAUUGUCAAUCAGUUAUGAACUCACCUCCAGUUGAAACAUACCCUUCAAGGAUAUGCGGUCAUCCACUUUCAUGGAACUGUCAUGUCAUUCAGACCUGCAUUUCAUACUUUGCAGUACAAAGCUCAUCGUUGUAUGCUCAGCUUCUUUCUCAAUAGGUUCUUCUCAACUCAUUUAACCAGAUUGUGAAAAGAAGUGUCUCAGCCUCUUCAAUGAUGUUGCUUUUAUCACCCAUACUCAUGUGGUGCAAUGCGCAUUUGAGCUUCCAAUCAGAUGGCCCCACGGUCAGUCUAGGUGGGUGCGGUGUAUCCUUCCAACAUUCAUUCAAAAGCAAUCAUGUGAUAACAUCUUUCGAUAGUCAUAGCCAUAUUGGAGACGAUAAACCAAGAUGAAGAUAUGAAGAUGUCCUUCAGGUACAUCUUUGCUCUCAAUUGUUGUCGAGGUUUACUGGAUCAUAAACUGUUCUUGAACAUCAUUGCCCUUAAUUGAUAUGAAUGUGCUCAUUCACUGAUUAUCUUUCUUUGAACCAUAUUAUCCUCAGUUCAUUGAUUCAUCAUUUGAUCAUCUCUACCCCCCAGCUGAUUUAAAAACUGUUUGUUUUCCUUCUCAGAGGUCCAUUGUAUUGCCCCCAGAAGUGUCGAGAAGAAUUGAUGUCAUUUCUGUCAGGAAUUUGCAAACUCCGUCGAUGUUCUUAUUUGAAAAUCUUUCUUAUUUUGGAAUCAAAUCUCACAUUUCAAAGAUCAUGUCAAGCAAAUCUGAUUGUUGAAAUGAAAUCAGAGAGAUGUCAAUUUUGAAAGUAUUUUUGGAAAUCAAGCUUUGUUGGUCAAAGAUCCAACACACGCUAUUCAAUAUAGUCCUUUGAUUGUCUUGUAUUUUGAGAGAAAAGAAAUUGACUCGUUGUAAGAUUAAAAUGGCUUUUUUCAUGGUUUUUUGUAUCGAUUUUAAACUCUAAUUUUGGGUAUAUCUUUUGAUUAUCUGUGAUGAGGUGACCUUUUAUGAAUUUCAAGAAAAAUAAGGUACCCGAGGCAAAACUUGAGGCUUAAUCAAGAAAGAUGGUUUCUUUUUCUUAGCACCAAUUUUAUCAGCAUGCAUAAUAAUCAGUAGCUUGAUUCAUGAAGUCACGACCUGUAUGAAACAACUCUUCAAGUUUUGAGAUCGCCAUUUAUCGGUUCAGAUUGCUUACUUGAUUAAAAAGGACUUUCUAAAGCAUGUAAUGUAGGCUAUGGUUCCUGGCUAUGAAAGAAAGGAAUUUCACAAGCUCAAAAGGUGUUUGAGGGUUUCAUGAACCUAGGAUCACCAUCAAUUACUCAUCAAUCUCUUUUCCUCACGUUGUCUUUGUAGAGACGGUGACAUAUAACCUUGUUAAUCUCUAAGAUUAAAAUUCGUUUAACAUAGGUCAUAACGCAAAUCCAACUUUUCUUUAAUGAAUAGCCAAUCUAAACUUUUGAAGAUCAUAGAGGCUUUACCAUAGACACACCAAAAGACAUAACACUUGAUUUUUCGUGUUAACUUUUGGUAUUUGUUGUGUCUUUAUCAAUCUUUGGCUUUCUUCUUUUAGCCCUUUCUCAAUCAUUGGACUUUUGUUCUAAGCCUUCCCUUUGUCCAUCGACUCUAACAUUGUCUUCGUCUUUUCUAGGAAAAGACUCUCAUUGCCCCUAGUGUGGGGUGUGAUCCUAGUCAAGGUUUUUUAUGAAAGAAAUAUUCUAUCAGCUCAAAAUGGGACUGCAAGGGAUAUAUAUUUCAAGAAUUGUGAAAGGAUGAAACAAAAAUGGCCUUUUCUCAUCUCAAGUAAGGUCGGUUAGAACCGAUAAAUUUUGACCUCAUCCAAUAUAAUGAUUUAGACUUGUAAGAAUCAUAAUUCACGAGUCCAUAACUACUGAAUCCACUACGUUUCAUUAUGCAUACUGCUAAAACUUAGCUAUAUAGUAUGUGGUUCAAUUUCAUGUGUGAGUUCAAAAGUUUCUUGGUCACCUCAUGUCAUUUCAACAAGCUUCGAGUCAUUCAAGCAAAAUAAUUUUAAUCUUCAAGAUUGACUAAUCUUAAACGCAUGUUGGAGCUUGAUCAAAAUAUUUUGUCAAAAUAACCUUUGAAAGAAACAUCUCAUGCUUUCAGAACAACAAAGGGACAAAGAAAAGACAUGUUUUGUUAAAAGAUGAGAUAUGAUCCCAAAAUAAAAUGCAGAAUGACAAAACUCAUAACAAAAAGGAUCGACAGUUUAACACUCUUCUUGGAUCAGCUUUUCUGGUGAUAUCUGUGUUUUGUCAAGCAUUUCAAUCACUUGUCAUUAUGGGGAUGUUGUAGUGACAAUAUGGCCGAUGAUGUCAUUUUCACAAACUCAACUCGAUUCUUGAAAUUCUUGCAACUUUCAAAUGAAUGGCACAAAAUCCCCCAAUGAUAUUCAAAUCUCUUUUCUGGAUUAUACCACCUAGAAAAUGAUGGUUGUAUGGGAUUUGGCGGAGUCAUGGCAAUAAAUCCGGAGUCUAAUAGAUGCUGGUAGACAAACUCGAGUGGUCGAGGUAUGUCAAUCUUGGCAAAAAUAUUUGAGCAGUUGAUACAUAAUUAAAGCUUCCCAUCGUUAGAGUCAUCCUUUGAUUCAUCUCUCAUUAUUGUUCUACAAUCCUUGGCAGAAACUUCAAUAUUUCCCCUCUUCGUAGCUUGUUCAAUUCUUUCGAAAAUCCUCACAACAUCAAUAUCAAUCUUUCCAAUGUUGUUAUGGUUAUUUGUGGAUUGGUAUAAACUUUCCAAUAGCCAGGUAAUCUUGGUAGCGCACAGAAACAUUCAGCACCACCAUUGCCAACGUGUGGAAUCAUGCGUUGUCUCAACUGGAAGAGAAAAUGAUGAAUCUGAAAAUGAUGAAUCUGAAACCCUUUUGUCUCCUCUUCAAUUCCUCACUGGCAGUGCAGCAAACAAACACCUAUAGUGGGAAUUCUGCUUUGUUAAAGUUGCAAUGUUUGCUCUUUUUUUUCUCAGAGCAGCAUCCGAUACUGCAAUGUCUGCUUUGUUAAAGUUGAGAACAAGGGUUGUCAUUAGUUGAUGACUGAAGGCAUUGUUGUCAUUGUUCAUGACUAAAAAGGAGAGGUACAACUUCAAUGGAACGUGGACAAGUAGUGUUCUCAGCAAGAGCCUGUACAGACGUUCCCUUUCCACUUUUGAAGCUCAACAUUUAUUCAAACAGAUUUAUGAGUCGAGCCACUUCACCUUUACUGCUCUCAACUUCCUUUUGAUAAUAAACCUAUGUCUAACCCCUGUCUUUAUUUUCCAUCUUCAUCAGUCCAGUAGACCUCAGGUGGGGGAACUUAUGUUUCAACCGUGUGCAAGCUUGAUAAAUGAAUGAAAUGCGCAAAUGGAUGCAAAAUGCCAUAUGGACUAUGCAUGCUUGUUAUUUGUUUCAAGUUUUCCUUUAGCUUAUGACGAGGAAUAGACCAGAUCAGAUUCUCUUAAGAAAGUUCUCAAUGAGGACUCCAAACCUACAGGAACUUGAACCGAUUUAGGGGAGAAAUUUGAUUUUUAUUGGAUAUUCUUCAGUUGUUUUUCCCUCUACUCUCUUAGCAGAAGUAACCCUACCGGGAUGUUUCCAUGCCUUUUUCACUAACUCUAAUAAUUUCUUCGAGGUCUUGAAAUCUUCAUAAAAUGUUGGCAGUUUGGUAGUCAUUGGAAUAAACUGCUCAUGUAAGAUCCCACAUCGAAAGCGAGCGUCCAACGCCAAGGCCUUAUAAAUGCAUGUUCAUCUUAACUAGUAAGACGCGUUUAAAACCCUGAGGGGGACCUGGGUGGAAGCCCUGGAAAUGGGUAGACCGGGGGGCCUAGAAGGGACAGUAUCUGACAGGGUGAGUGUGCUGCUCUACUCUGAAAGACGCGUUUUGAGGCCAUGCGUGGCUGCCAAGAACAAACCCGUCAGGAGACUUGGGUGGAAGCCCUGGACAUGGGUGAACUAGGAGGCCCAAAGCGGACAAUAUUUUGCUAGUGAGGUAGGAUGUUACAGCUCAAAUCCAAAUUGUUGUAAAAUCAUGUUAGGACAAUAACUAAUACAGCAGCAGGCUCCUAUCACAACGGGACCCAUGGAUACUCACCAUAAUAUGCCAGAUAAGAUUUGAAGUAAGAGUAUCGACUCCUCCAAUGAAAUUGAGAUUUACUUAGAUUUAGAAACAUUGAUUCCCAUGUGGUUCUUGCUACUUCAUGCAAGUGUUUUUCAGCAAAAUUCUCCAGCUUAGAAUAAAGAUGCCAUGGGGUACCAACCAAACCUGAAAUCUUCCCCUCGAUCAUAUGACUCACAGUCCAGACAAACAAUAACUGCAAGCAACAUCUUAAACGACCCCUUCCAGCUUUUCUACAAUAAUUCAAGGAUGAGAAAGUUUCUGCCAAUAUUGCUGUAGCCGGGUUAAUUUUAAGGGUCACCACAUUUUUAAAUACAUUGACAGCCUCAAAAUCGAUCAUUCCCUCUGUAGAUGGGAAAAGAACCAAACCAUAUAUGCCUAAGGCCAAAAUUCUCAAUCGAAUUUCAUUGCUUUUAUCGUGUAAUCUCCUCUUGAAUAUGGCUUCUAGUUCAUUCCAAAACCAACCUUGGCUAUUUCCUCGUUUAGUUGCAUGAGAUUUUGCUAGUUGACAUUCUAUCUGGGUAAUCCAAGCAAAGUUAGAAAGUGCAUGCUCUAUAGGUGUGUAAAAGUAUACCUUUUCUGACUUGGGACAAUUUAGCAGGGAUUCAUACUCCUCAAUAGUAGGAGUCAUAUCCACAGUAUCAAAAGUGAAGCACCGAUAUUCUGGAUCCCAAAACCCUAUCAUGGCCUUAAAACAAGCAUGUUGGACCCUAAUUUUCAGUAAAUGUGAUAGAUCCCCAUAUUGUUUCUGAAAAGUGAUUUGAUCAUGAGAGGAUAACCUUUCCCAACAGUCUAGCAGCUGUCUUGUACCAAGUGGUCUGUCAUCUAAUUUAACAUGCUCUGGCAACUGAGACUCAAAUUCUGAUGGCAAACAAUCCCCUUCAUCAUGUUGGCUCAAUUCUGAUCUGGUAAAAAAUUCCUCAAUAGUAAUGGGUUUUUCCAUCUCACACUUCUUGUAAGGAUCGGUGGAGAUUUAAUGAGCACAUGAAAUGUAUAUGAACAUGUAUGUUCAUGCAUUGACAUUUGUUCGUGUCCUAAUGGGUAUAUCUUACUUGAUAGGAUCUAGCUCAUAAGGUUUGGUUCAGUUUAAUCUAUCCUUAAAGAUAUUUUUUGGUUCUUAGAUUGCCCGAAUUACCCAUGGAGUAAUCGGCCUCUUAACCUUAUACAACAUGAGUAUGGGAAACAAUUUCCACAAUACCCGUUGCAUAGGGUGAGUUACAAUCCAAGCGAAAGUCCAAAUGAGCAUCAGUGGACAUAAGUCACACUUGCCACCUGAAUCUCUCUUUUCUAAUCUUAAACAGGACGAGCUCGGGUCCAGAGCUUUUAUGGGUUCACCGUGAAGUGUGUGAAUACACAAAUAAAUAACAUGCAUGUAUGUGGCAAUAUGGAAAAUUGAAAAGAAUCACAGUAGAUAUUGCAUAAAAUAAAUAAUGCAAAUAAGAUAAAUGCCUAAAAAUAAAUAGCGAUAAGAAAGAACAAAUGAAAAGCAAAUACAAGCAGUUGGCUCAACCCUAAGUCCCCAGUGGAGUCGCCAUUCUGUCGAUACACGACGUCGGGCGACUGCUUCCGCUUUUUUUGUUUAUUUAACAAAAAGGGUUUUUUUUUAAUUGGGGGAAACAAAGAUUUUAUUGGAGUCGCCAUCUAGUAAUUUGAGGGAACUAGAAAUCCCAAAUUAGACACUGGUCCCAGAGAUUCAGGUACGGGGUUAGUUAUGAUUAAGGGAAGGUAGACACCACCCUUAAAACAUCCUUUCAAAGAAAGGUUACCCUUACUUGUGUGUUUUUUGUUUGAUUCAAAUGCGAUUAUAUUUUGGGCUUAUUUGUAAUUAUUUUAAAUGAUUAAUGUCGGUCCCUAAAAAUAGGAGACACGUUAAAAAUGACAUCAGUCCCUAAAAUUUAGGAGACUCGUCUAGAAUAUUAACGUUUAUUCCUAAAAAGGAGAGUUACGUCUGGGUUACCAAAAGAAAUAAUGGAUAUAAUCCAUUAUAUUUUGGGUUUAUUGGUAACUUGUUUUUUUUUAAAAUGGUUAACGUCGGUCCCUAAAAAUAGGAGACGCGUUAAAAAUGACAUCAGUCCCUAAAAAUUAGGAGACUUGUCUAAAAUAUGACGUUUUAACCCUAAAAAGGUGAGAUACGUCUGGGUUACCAAAAAAAAAAUAAUGGACAUAAUCCAUAUUUGGUAUUUGCAUUUUUGACAUCGGUCCUUUUUUUUAAAAAAAAAAGAGAAGUGUUGACUUUGGUUUUUGUAUUUUUUUUACAACAUGCAAGAAAAUUUACAAGCAUUUAUAUAUAAAAAAAUAUCAAAAAUACUAGUUGAAACCCAAAAAAUUACCUGAGUGUCACUGUAUAGGUAAAAUACUGAAAUACCCUCGAAGUUCUCCGAAAAUUACGAAAAUGCCACUGGCUAGAUUUCUGGCCAACAAAUGGUUGAUUCUGGCAGAUCUGAGGGCGAGGAUUCUGACGGUGGUGGUUGUGACGGUCUUUGAUGGCUGAUGAGUGAGAAUCGACGACUUGAAGCUUCGGUGUGAACGCGUGUAUGGUAAACCGGUACCUCUGAACACUGUGCGCCGUUGGAUCUCGGAUGAAAUGAUUGGAUGGCUGUGAUUGGCCCGAUCUGCAGGUUGAUCGGACGGUCCGGAUGAACAGAGGUGGGAUCUGGUGUGGAGCGGUGUACCGUGAGAUUGGUACACCGGGUGACGUGGCGAAACUGGAUCUAAGCUUAGAUUAUUUCAAGGGCUGAGAUGCGUCUGGGUUUUAAUCUAGUGUGGUAAGCCCUAUUGUAUCCUAUUAAAUCAACGGUUCAGAUCUAAACACUAUUAGAUCUAACGGUUAUGAUAUAUUUGGUAUUUUUCAUAUUGUAUUUUUAAAAAAUCAAUAUCCACUCUCAUGAAGAAAUAGUGAAAAACUUAAAUAGUAACCUUGAUAUUCGUUUCUUUUCUUUCUUUUUCUUACCUCUCCCCCUUUGUUCGUUUUUCUCACCGGCUAUUUAUAGCCAAUCAACAGGGGACAUCAAAAUCUCAACAUUAUCUACUUGCAAGAAAAAAAUCGUCGAUACAACUGCCCCACCUGCUGUGACAAAAAAAGUUUGCAUUAUUGAUUUUUUUAUUUUGUUUUAUUAUAUAUAAUAAUAAAUAUUUAUAUGGAUAAAACUAAAACUCAAAUUAGUAUUAGAAAAGCCCGUUUCAACCGCUAAAAAUCAAUUUUAAUGACCGAAAAUAAUAGUUUUGAUCCAAAAUAACCUGAAACUCAUUUUUUACCUCGGUCGACAUGGUUGGACCCGUAUGGACUCGGUGGACUCGGUUUUGACUGAAUAUGACGGUUUUGACCCAAAACGGCCCGACACUUAUUUUUUACCCUGGUCGACAUGGUUUGACCCGUAUUGACUCGGUGGACUCGGUUUUGACCGAAAAUGACGGUUUUGACCCGAAACGGCCUGAAACUCAUUUUUUACCCUGGUCGACAUGGUUUGACCCGUAUUGACUCGGUGGACUCGGUUUUGACCGAAAAUGACGGUUUUGACCCGAAACGGCCUGAAACUCAUUUUUUACCCUGGUCGACAUGGUUUGACCCAUAUUGACUCGGUGGACUCGGUUUUGAUCGAAAGAUGCGGUUGACUCGAGAAAAAUAUAUUUUUGAAUUUUCCUUUUUCUUAAUUUUUUUGGAUUUUUAUAAAUAAUAAUAGAAAUAAAAUAACAUUCAAGAAAAUCUUGGUGAAUCCAAAAUUGGGUUACAACAAUGUCAAUGGAAAAGAGAAGCCAAGAGUUAGUAAGGGCUUAUGCGCAAAGAUGGAGGGAUGAGGCAACACAUGUGCAACCCCCUUUGAUAGAGACGGAGAUGGUGACUUUGUUCCAAACUGAGAUCAGUGGGUUAACUCGGAGUGGCCGGUGCUUCACGCCCGAGGAGUUGAAGAAAGCAAAAGGCAAAGAAGUGGUAGAUCUUGACAAAGCACUAGAAGUUAAUAAGCCAAUAACUGAAGAGGAGUCAAAUGAAUUUUUAAAGUUGAUAAAGCAUAGCGAAUAUUGCAUAGUAGAUCUACUAAAAAAGACUCCAGCAAGGAUUUCCCUUAUGUCCUUGAUACUAAGCUCUAAGCCGCAUCGAAAUGCUUUGCAAAAGGUAUUGAAUGAGGCGUAUGUGCCCCAAGACAUUGAACAGAAAACCAUGGAGCAUCUGGUGGGGAGAAUCCAUGCAACUAAUUACCUGUACUUCACAGCUGAUGAGCUUGAUGCUGAAGGUAUCGGACAUAACAAGCCCUUAUACAUUACUGUUAGGUGCAAGGAUUGCCUCAUAGGAAAGUGCUCGUCGAUAAUGGCUCAGCUCUUAACGUGUUGCCAAAGCACAUGCUGAAGAAAUGCCAAUUGAUGAUUCUCAUAUGAAGUCGAGUACUGUGAUGGCCAGAGCAUAUGAUGGCUCACUUGGGCCAAUAAUUGGGACUGUAGAAGUGGAGCUAUAUGUGGGGCCACAAAUGUUCUUGGUGACCUUUCAAAUUAUGGACAUCCACCCUUCCUAUAGUAUGUUGUUAGGAAGACCUUGGAUUCAUGUGGCUGGGGCGGUAACUUCAUCAUUACACCAAUGCUUGAAGUAUAUCAUGAAUGGGAUGUUGGUAACUGUCAAAGCUGAGGAGACAAUAUCCAUGAUGAAGAAUGUGGCCAUACCUUUCAUUGAGGCAGAGGAUCGCAAGGAUAACAAUAUCCACUCUUUUGAGAUUGUGAACACUGACUUGGUACCUAAGAACACAGUACUAAGAAGGCCAAGGAUCUCAGAAGCAGCAAGGAUGGCAGCUCAAUGCUUCUUGGAACGCGGGAUCCCAUUUCAAUAUAACCCUAUCACUAGGGUACCAGAAAGGGUUAAUCCGAUAAAGAUGAAAGGUGUUGAUCAAAGAUUUGGGCUGGGGUAUAAACCUAAAAAAGUGGAUCAUCGGUGGGCUGCUGGUCGAAGAAGGGAAAGAAGAAUGGCUAGGAUUGAAGGAAGAGAGCUUGAAGAAGAAAAGCUGGAAAUCCCUCCCCUUAGAGUGUCGUUCCCAAAAGCUGCAUAUGUAAUGCAACCCGAUGAAGGAGCAGAAAGCCUUGGUCAAGAACUGUCAAAUAUGAGCAUAAACACCUUGGAGGAGAAUAAGGUGGAAGGAGGUGGCAUGAAGACGGUAGCGGGAAAGAAAGAUGAAGCACUACCACAACUAACUAUCCACACUUUGGAAGAAGUCUCUGCUAAGACCUUUGUACGAAAGCUGGCUGAAGGUGAGAAGUUUCAAAACUAGGUGACUCAAUAAGCCCUAGUAGUAUUUAAAAUGUAAACCAACUUUGUUUGCCUUAACAUGCUUUUGUCAUUGCUUUUGUUUGCUUUAUUUUCCCUGGUUGACAAUCGAGGCUCAUGAUGUCAAUCAGAUUUUGUCGUUGUCAUUGAGCCCACCUUUGUUUUAAAUAAUGAGAUCAUGCGUUUUCCAAAUUUAUCUCUUUAUUCAUGCAUUUACACCAAACACUUUCCGCUUUCAGGAACUCUGAAAGUGGAUCUUCCACAACAUCAUAUACACUUAGCAUCAAGAAUGAAUGGCCAAACUUUAACGAACAUGUGAUCACUAUGGAAGAAGAAGAAUGGGAUGAAAGCAAUAUUAGGGAAUUUACAAAGUUAGUAGAGCAACAUGAACAAACCUGGGAACCAACUACAUAAGAACUAGAAACCGUAAACGUGGGUAGCGAUCAGAUUAAAAAAGAGUUAAAAAUAGGGACCUUAAUCACUCCUAAGGAAAGAGUAGAGGUAAUUGCCCUACUACGAGAAUACGCAGAUGUUUUUGCUUGGUCUUACGAGGAUAUGCCUGGUUUGGAUAGAAAUAUUGUCGUACAUAAGAUACUGCAGGAGGAAGGUUGUAAACUAGUCAAACAGAAGUUGAGGAGAGCCCACCCGGAUAUUUGGAUCAAAGUUAAGGCAGAACUCGAAAAAUAGUGGAAUGCAGGCUUUCUAGAAGUAGUUAAAUAUCCACAAUGGGUAUCCAACAUUGUUGUCGUACCAAAGAAAGAAGGAAAGAUUAGAGUUUGUGUGGACUUCCAAAAUUUGAACAAAGCUAGCCCCAAGGAUGAUUUUCCUCUGCCACAUAUAGAUGUUUUGGUCGACAAUGCUGCACGUAGUUCCACAUAUUCCUUUAUGGAUGGUUUCUCGGGAUACAACCAGAUAAAGAUGGCUUUAGAAGAUAAGGCGAAAAUAACUUUUGUUACACCAUGGGGAACCUAUUGUUACAAGGUUAUGCCAUUUGGUCUGAAGAAUGCAGGAGCCACCUAUCAGAGGGCCAUGGUGACUCUUUUCCAUGAUAUGAUGCACAAGGAAAUUGAGGUGUAUGUAGAUGAUAUGAUUGCCAAGUCCAAGAAGGGAGAAGAUUAUGUAAAGGUUCUGAGGAAGUUAUUUGAGCGUUUGAGGAAGUAUGAACUAAAGCUCAACCCGGCAAAAUGUUCGUUUGGAGUUAAGUCUGGAAAGUUGCUAGGAUUUGUGGUAAGUGACAAAGGUAUAGAGGUGGAUCCUGAUAAAGUGAAGGCCAUCCAAUCCAUGCCAUCCCCAAAGACAGAGAAGGAGGUGAGGGGAUUCUUGGGAAGAUUAAACUAUAUUGCCAGACUUAUAGCUCAACUAACCACAACAUGUGAACCUGUCUUCCGGCUACUGAGGAAAAAGAAUCCUGGGAUUUGGAAUGAGGAGUGUGAGGAAGCAUUCAAUAAAAUCAAGCAAUACUUACAAAGUCCGCCUUUGCUUGUUCCUCCUAUAUCAGGAAGGCCUUUAAUAUUGUAUUUGACAAUAACUGAAACAGCUAUGGGAUGUGUAUUGGGUCAGCAUGAUGAAACCGGAAGGAAAGAAAGGGCUAUUUAUUACCUGAGUAAGAAGUUCACCGAAUGUGAGUCUAGAUACACGGUGAUAUAAAAACUCUGUUGUGCAUUGGUAUGGGCGACAAAAAGAUUACGACAUUACAUGUUGUAUCACACCACUUUGUUGAUUUCAAAAGUGGAUCCACUAAGGUACAUCUGUGACAAGCCCUAUCUCUCAAGCCGAAUUGCAAGGUGGCAGGUUUUGUUGUCAGAAUAUAACAUAGUAUAUAUGACAAGGAAAGCCGUGAAGGGGAGCGCGAUUGUCGACCACCUGGCUGAUAAUGCUGUUGAAGAUUAUGAGCCAUUGGAUUUUGACUUCCCUGAUGAAAAUGUAUUAUCAAUAGUGGGAGAAGAAGAGAAGAAAGAUUGGUGGACCAUGUUUUUUGAUGGGGCAGUGAAUGUUUAUGGUAAUGGGGUCGGCGCGGUGAUAAUCUCUCCUGACCAGAAGCAGUAUCCGGUUUCAGUUAAAUUGUAUUUUGAAUGCACCAAUAAUACAGCUGAAUAUGAGGCUUAUAUCCUGGGUUUAGAAGUUGUGUUAGAGCUGAAGAUCAGAAAGAUAGAUGUAUAUGGUGACUCAAUGUUGAUUAUCUGUCAAGUGAAAGGAGAAUGGCAAACCAAGGAAGAAAAGUUGAGGCCAUACCAGGAAUAUUUAUCAGCACUGUCAGAAGAAUUCGAAGAGAUAAGAUUCACCCAUCUAGGAAGAGAAGGGAACCAUUUUGCGGAUGCUUUGGCCACGUUGGCUGCUAUGGCUACGAUUGAUCUCGGGCAUAAGGUACAUCCUGUACACAUAAACAUCAGAAAUAACCCAGCUUACUGUUGCUCGAUUGAAGGAGAGGUAGAUGGAAAGCCUUGGUAUACGAUAUCAAGAAUUUUGUGCAAAAUCAGGAAUAUCCAGUGGGAGCUUCGAAGAUGGAUAAGAAAACCCUAAGAAGGUUGGCCAUGGAUUUCUACCUCGACGGAGAGAUUCUGUACAAAAGAUCAUUUGACAGAACCUUGCUAAGGUGUUUGAAUGAGACAGAUGCUAAAAAUGCUUUACGGGAGGUACAUGAAGGGGUUUGCUCAACUCAUGCUAACGGGCAUAUGGUAGCAAGGAAAAUACAAAGGGCUGGUUAUUUCUGGAUGACACUAGAGAAAGACUACAUCGACUAUGUCAGGAAAUGUCACAAAUGUCAAGUGCAUAGUGAUAAGGUCAAUGCGCCUCCGACUCCUCUGAUUAAUCUAGCAUCUCCCUGGCCAUUUGCAAUGUGGGGGAUUGAUGUGAUUGGACCUGUUAACCCAAAAGCUAGCAAUGGGCAUAGAUUCAUACUCGUAGCUAUUGACUAAUUCAUGAAAUGGGUAGAAGUUAGUUCAUACGCCCAUGUAACACAGAAAGUGGUGAAAAGGUUUAUAGAAAAAGACUUGAUUUGUCGUUAUGGUCCACCAGAAAAGAUAGUGACCGAUAAUGCACAGAAUUUCAACGGCAAAAUGAUCAUGGAGCUCUGUACCAAAUGGAAAAUCAAGCAUUCAAAUUCCUCACCAUACAGGCCCAAGAUGAAUGGUGCCGUAGAAGCAGCCAACAAAAACAUCAAGAAAAUUAUCCAGAAAAUGGUAGUCACUUACAAGGAUUGGCAUGAGAUGUUGCUGUUCGCUCUCCACGUAUAUCGCACUGCAGUAAGGACCUCAACAGGAACUACUCCAUAUGCUCUGGUAUAUGGAAUGGAGGCGGUGAUGCCUUUGGUAGUAGAAAUCCCUUCGUUGAGGGUGUUGAUGGAUUUAGAAUUAGAAGAGACUGAAUGGGCCAAAGUAAGAUAUGAACAGUUAAACCUGAUCAGUGAAAAGAGGUUGGCUGCAAUCUGUCAUCAUCAACUCUACUAGAAAAGGAUGGCCAAGACAUAUGACAAGAAGGUUAGACCUCGCAUGUUCCAAGAAGGAGAUCUAGUGCUGAAGAAACUAUUGUCUUUACCAGGAGAAGAUCAAAGCAAAUGGGCCCCAAAUUAUGAAGGUCCUUAUGUAGUGAAGAAGGCUUUCUCAGGAGGAGCUCUGAAGUUGUCUAGAAUGGAUGGAGAAGAUCUAGCUAGACCUGUGAAUUCUGACUCUGUAAAGAGAUAUUACGUCUAAUGUGUUCAGUUUUCUCCCAAAAUGAAUAAAGUGAAGUUUGGCUAUGAUUUCUUUGUGUAAAGAACCCUUUUUUUUCAUUUGCAUUGAUCUCACAACACUUAAUUUGUUUAUUUUCAAAAAAAAUCUUGGAAAGAUUUGGCUUUGUGCAUGAUUAUAAGGAAUGUAUCAUAAAAUGCUCAAAGAUGAAGUUUAAGCAUUUCCCGUUAAGAGGUGACCAAACCAAACAAACCCAACGCUGAGAUAAAACCUUGCCCCUAAUAGCAUUUUGAAUUGUAUGGAUAAAUGGUUAGGUAAUCAUCAUUGUAAUCACUCGGAUGUUUUUCUUUCGAGAUAAGAACAAGGUUUAUCAAUCCUAACAAUGUGCGUCUUGAAAUGAGGAAAGGCCAUCUUUGUCAUCCCUUCACUUUCUAAAGAUUUCAUCCUUUGUAGUCCCCAUUUGAGCCGGAUUGAGUUUAUUCUUUAUGAAAACCUGACUAAGACCACACCCCGCACUGGGGGCAAUGAGAAAUCUUUUGUUAGGAAAGAUAAAGAUAAUUGUAGAAAAAAAGGGUAAAGAAUGGAAGCCUAACAUUUAAGAAGAGAAUAAGAAGAAAAGGGAGAAGGAAUUUGAGCAAAUUACAAAAAAAAAAAAAGAAGAAGAAGAAGAAGAAGAAGACUUGGAUCUUUGAAAGUCCGAACCCAAAACUUGGGGGCAUAAAAAAAAAAGAAGGGGGGAAAAGGAAUAAAGAAAGAAGAUGAUGGUUUGAUAAUGCUUUAAGACUGAGAUGAGGAUCCUUAAGCAAGCUUCUCCAAAUGCAACCUAUGAGACAAUUUCACAAAAAACAAAAGAUAGAAGAAGAGUGGUCUUAAGUCUUUAAACCCUCAAACACUAUUGAGCCUUAAAGCAUCCUUUUCUUUCAUAGCCCGUAGAUGUAACCUACAUUACAAGCCUUUAAAAGUCCUUUCUGAUCAAGCGCACAUAACUUGGGUUAAUAAACGAUGGUCUUAUAACUCAUAGGACUUAACAAAUGAGAGAUAAUCCGCUUUUGUCCAUGCAAGAAAAAGGCUAAUAUGAGACAUUUCCCUUUUUCUACACAGCCUUUUCAAAUAAUUACUUAAAACCUGUUGAAAAGAUUAAACAGAAGAGCCUUUGAAAAGAAAAAAAAAACCUAAAGACAAACCGCAAACCGAUAAAACCCUCAUUGGGAAUCGCUUAAAAGAGUUUUCAAUAUGUAUGUUGAAAGUUUCAGUUGUCAUGAACAAAUUCAAGUCUUUUAAAGAUUCUUUUUGAGGAAGGAAUUUUUUGUGCUGGAACGAAAACCAAAAAACCCUUAAUUUGAGAAAGACAAAUUAAAGCAUUGACAAGAGCAUGAUAAAAAGCAAUGGCAAAUCAUGCAUUUUUGGAAAAGGUUCACCUAACGGAAAAGGUCAGGGAUUUCUUCCCUAAAAAGUGAUGGGUAGAAGAAACAUCAUAGGAAAUGGAUCCAGCAUGCCAUUUCGAGCACGUGAACAAGAUCGUAUUAAGAGAGAGUUUCAGAAAAUUGAAGGAAGCGAUGGGACCUAUGUUUCCAAACCAGGUAAGGAUGCAUACAUAAGCAUUGCAUCAAACAUUUUUGUUGAUUUGUUACAGGAAAAAUCCUCAAUAUAGUCCGGCAAGAUUAGAGACAAAGAAAGAAUCUUUGAGUUGAUGAACAACGAAGAAUCAUGCUUUGGACCCUGGAACGGGAGAAAGAUGAGAUAAACCCUAACAUUAGGGAAAUCUCAAAGAAAUAAGAGUCUUCAAUUCAAACCCUAUCAUCUUGAAGAAGAAACAUUUUUUGGUUAAAGAGGAUUGCCAAAAGGGAUCUCAGUUUAACCACCACAUGAAGAUUUUAGCUUUGGUUGAAGGGAGUCGCCAGAUGGGAUUCCAGGUUGACCGAGCUACACACAGGCUUUGGUUCUGGUUAAAGGGGAUCGGCGAAAGGGAUCUUAGUUUACCCUAACCACACAGAGACUUUGGUUCUGGUUAAAGGGGAUCGACGAAAGGAUCUCAGUUUAGCCUAACUGCACAGGAGUUUUGGUUCUGGUUAGAGGGGAUUGGCGAAAGGAAUCUCAGUCUAUCCUAACCAUACAGGUUUUUUGGUUAUGGUUAAAGGGGAUCGGCGAAGGGAUCUCAGUUUAGCCUAACCACACAAAGACUUUGGUUCUGGUUAAAGGGGAUCGGCGAAGGGAUCUCAGUUUAGCCUAACUGCAAAGGAUUUUGGUUUUGGUUAGAGGGGAUUAGCGAAAGGAAUCUCAGUCUAUCCUAACCACAUAGGAGUUUUGGUUCUGGUUAGAGGGGAUUGGCGAAAGGAAUCUCAGUCUAUCCUAACCACACAUGUUUUUUGGUUCUGGUUAAAGGGGAUCAGCGAAGGAUCUCAGUUUAGCCUAACCACACACAGAUUUUGGUUCUGGUUAGAGGGAAUUGGCAAAAGGAAUCUCAGUCUAUCCUAACUACAUAGGAGUUUCGGUUCUGGUUAGAGGGGAUUGGCGAAAGGAAUCUCAGUCUAUCCUAACCGCACACAGGAGUUUUGGUUCUGGUUAGAGGGGAUUGGCGAAAGGAAUCUCAGUCUAUCCUAACCACACAAUUUUUUAGUUCUGGUUAAAGGGGAUCGGCGAAGGGAUCUCAGUUUACCCUAAAUACAAAGGAUUUUGGUUCUGGUUAAAGGGGAUCGACGAAGGGAUCUCAGUUUAUGUUAACCACACACAGAUUUUGGUUCUGGUUAGAGGGGAUUAGCGAAAGGAAUCUCAGUCUAUCCUAACCACACAUGAGUUUUGGUUCUGGUUAGAGGGGAUUGGCGAAAGGAAUCUCAGUCUAUCCUAACCACACAGGAGUUUCGGUUCUGGUUAGAGGGGAUUGGCAAAAGGAAUCUCAGUCUAUCCUAACUGCACACAAGAGUUUUGGUUCUGGUUAGAGGGGAUUGGCGAAAGGAAUCUCAGUCUAUCCUAACCACACACACGAGUUUUGGUUCUAGUUACAGGGUAUUGGCGAAAGGAAUCUCAGUUUAGCCCAACCACACAACAGGACUUGGGGUCCGGUUGAAGUUUUAGGUCAACCAAAUUUUGGGAAGACCAGUUUCGGAAGACCAAUUUUGUUUAUCUUUACAACACUUACUACGCAAAAUCUUUGCUCCGUAAGCAUUGUAAAGAGGGGGCAUCUGUUGUAACCCAUUUUUGGGUCCCCGCACAAAAUACAAAAAAAAUUAUAUCAAAAUAAACAAAAUAUUAUAGAAAAAUAAUAGUAGUGAAAAGAGGAUGUCGGAGCGCCCAGAAAAUGGUCAAAAAUUGGUUGAGGAGGUUUAAAAAUACAAGGAUUGAAGUUUGACAGUAUAUCAUUGACUGGGGCUUAAUUGCAUACAUAUUAAAGUCUGGUGGGCAAUUAGGGACUUGAUUGAAGAAAUCCAAAACCAAGGACCAUAGUGAAAAAAGCGCGCAAAUUGAAGGGCUAAUCUGAAAUUGGACCCAUUUUGGCGCCAAUUUUCGUUUAAAUGAAACGGCGCGUUUUGAUAAAAAACGAUGUUCGUUUCAUGUAUUUCACGAAGAAAAAGAGCAAACGGUGCCGUUUUGAACGGCACCAUAAGCCUUCUUCUUCCCUUAUUGAGAAUAGGGGAAGAAGAAGCAUUUUCCCCCCAUUUUUUUCUCCUCUCUCUCUCUCCCAAAACCCAAAUAACCAACGACGACCCAACUUGUCCCUUCACUGACACCACCACGCCCUCAUGCCGAAAGACCCAUACCCUAUAGAGGUAGGGGCGGCUGUGCAGUAGCCGCCCCCAUGCCACCAUGCCCUGCACCAUGGCACAGGACAGGGCAUGGUGGCCCUCUCUCCCUCUGCCUAUAAAUACAGAGGGAGUGCGGGAGAGAAGAGGGGGGAAAAAAGAUUUUUUGAAAGAGAAAGGGAGGAGAAACCGAGAGAGAGACCGACUGUUUUUUAAGGAGGAAAAGAGAGACGGAAAAAGGGGAAACAACAUUUUUUUUAUUGCUUAUGGGCUGGAACAUCAGCCCAGCCCACGCGGCUGAGCUGAGUCCAGCCCACAGUAUAUGGGCCAGGUCAGGCCCAACCUAGGAUGGGUGGGCCAGAUCCGGCCCAAGUUUUUUUUGGUUAAAAGAAAAUUUCAAAAAAUAUUUUUUAGGAAUUUUAUAAUUUCCCCGCAUAUUUUUCUGUCAUUUUGAUUAAAAGCAAUAUUUUUUAUGUUGCUAAAAAUACAAAAUCCGAUAUUAAAAUACCUGGUUUUCGUCAAAACUUCCAAAAUACAAAAAAAAAACUUGUUUGUUUUGAAAAAAAGAAAAAUGUUUUUGUGCAUACGGCCAAGUAUCUCAAAGCUAAAAAAUCAUAUGGUGUUUUUAUACAUAAAAAAAAAAAACAAUGUUUUUGCAUGCAUUUUGGCUUUAAUAACCAGUUUAUUAGAGUCAAGAGAACAUUGGCCAAAAUUUCAAAAACUACAAAAAUUUUAUUUUGUUUGUCUUUUAAUAUCCGUGGUACGAUAUUACAUGUAAUACAUAUUCCGGAUAUUAAAUGUUUUUCCAACGUUAGAACGGUUAGGUUCUACCCCAUUAAAGAUAAUAACCUCCUUAUUGAGGAGGACUUUUCUUGAGUCUUAGAUAGACAGGACCAACAAGUAGAAAACACAACCAAACCUUAGAUUUUGAUCAGACAAAUAAAACAAUGCAGCUUACCUUAGGUAGGGCGUAUUUGGGGUGCUAAUACCUUCCCUUUACGUAACCAGUCUCCGUACCUGAUCUCUGAGACCAGUUAGGGUUCCUAGUGAUCAUAAUACUAGGUGGCAACUCCCAUUCUAUAUUUUUCACCGCUAAGAGACAAAGAAUUCCUUGUCUCCCCACAUUUACCAGAUAUAUAUCCAUACAUUGAGGGUGGACGAUCGCCGCGACGCCGCACGUGCGACAACAGUUAUAUAUUAAUUCUAAUAAAAAAUAUAUAUGGUUUCUAUGUUUAAAUUUUGGUAUUAAUAACGCAUACAACAAUGAGGCAGUUAAGUUUCUUUGAUAAAAUAAAAUCAUUUAAAAAAUAAAAAUAAGCUAGUAUGUUUGUUACAUAACUAAAAAAAAAAUUGAUUUUUUUUAAAUUAAUUUUUAAAAUCAUUUUAAUAGACUGAUAUUAAAAAUAAAUUUUAAAAAAUAAAAAAUAUAUUAUUUUGAUAUAUUUUUAAGAAAAAAACAUUAUGAAAAGAAAUUGUUAAUAUUGUUAAAAAUAUAUUAAUAUUUUAAGGAAAAAAUAAAAGAAUUUUUUUUUUUCAAAUUAAUUUUUUUCUUUUUUGUAUAUUUUUGUGGUUACCAUAUCAGACAAAGUAGAGGUUGAUUUCAACAUGCUUCCUGCAAGCAUGAUAAACCAAAUUCAUUAUGAGAUAUAUAGCCUCAAGAUUAUCACAUCAUAAAGAAGAGUAGAGGUUCAAAUCCCUAAAUCUAUAAAUAAAUAAAAAAUGAACUAAGCAAUUUUAUCUCGAAACAACAAUGACACUAACUUAAUGCUCAGCCUUGGUACAAAUUAUGUCAGCACUUCCAUGCCUUGUGAUCUUGACAAAAAUAUUUUUGGUCCUUUUAGUUUAGAAAUGAAACUUUUCAGUACAAAACUUUAUUUUACCUAUAUAUAUAGUUCUUGAGUUUGAGAAAAAAAAGAAAGAUUUGUUGAAAAACUACAAAGGAGAGAUAAAAUUAGUCUAUUUAGAUUUGGAUUGAUUUUCUAAUUUUAAAUCAAUUAAAUGUUUAUUUAAAAUCAUGAAUGGAUUUAUUGAAGUCACUUCUUACAUAUAGCACAAUAUUUAUGAAGAUGACACGAGUUAAAAUAAUUGUUUAAACACACACUAUAUAUUGUAAUGUUGUCUGCAUAUAACUGUCAUGUAAGGGCUUCCAAUUCGCCUCUCCGUAUUACAGCACUUUACAAAUUAUUAGAUCAUUUGAUACUACACACAACAUUUGAUAUUUUUAACCAUUCACAUACAUGAAAUAAAACCCAUGGAAACAUGACACAAACGUCGACUGCAACUGCAACAUUAUACUAAUGAGUGUAUUUUCUAAAGUCGAAAGAGUGCUACCCAAUCUAGGUUCAAGUGGGAUGAUGAAUUGAAGAGCAGUUGUUAUUUGACACUGCAAUUAGAUGUCUCAUAUUUGAUUUAUGGAGCUAUGAUAAGGGAAUCGUGCUUGUAUAUUUACAUAGUAACAAGCAUUAUUAAAGAUGGUACACUAGUAAGUUUCCAAAUGCUAUCAGCAAAUAUUAUAACCUCUUAAUUUAUACAAGGAUUGAGCUAAAUUGCUUUAUCAAAUAUUUUAUGUUUUUUUUUUUUUGAAAUAUUGUUAUAGACAUAGAAUCAACAAGUUUAUGUGACAUUCUAUAUUGAUUUUGUUAUAUUUUAAUCACUAAAAGUAUGGGUUUCAGAAAAAUAAAAACCAAACAAAAAAAUUGAAAAAAUUAAAAAUUUUCAAACCAACCCAAUCCAACAAAUUUGAUCAUUUUUCGUCUGGUUUAGUUCGGAUAUUUUUUAGUUGAAACAAUUACUAACCAUUUUCAAAAGAUAAAUAUUGACAAGCCUUUCACCAAAACCAUGUUCAUUUAUGCUGAAUCAGGCCAAAUCAGGUUCAGGUUGCUAACUCAAACUAACGCAAUCCAAAAUUAAAUGCAUAUAGACUCUGGGUUGGUUUAGUUUAUUGAUUAUUAGAAAUGUCAAACUGAAACCGAACCGAAAUAAAUGAAUAUUUCUAACUGAGACGCCCUAAAAUACUGAAAAAAAUGGUUGGUUUUGUUUAGUUUGGUUUGGUUAUAGCAGAUACCCUGACAAUUUACUUUUUCACUCGACCUCAAACAAUAAGCACUAUUAUUAUGUCUUUAAUUGAAUUACUAUAAAGUAUAAAAAUAUAUGUGGAUAAUUGAAAAUUUGCUUAGAGUUGCUAAUAAUUCACAACUGCAACAACCAUCACGACCAGGUAAUGCUUGGGAAUGGGAUCAUGUAAUUGUGGAGAUUUGUCUAGAUUUUCUAGAUAAUAAUUUCAACCACCCUCUCCUUUCCUCAACCACUAUCACUCACCUUUCAACCACCAUCAACUACCCUCUCCUUUUGUCAACCAUCAACACUUCUCAACCAAGCUGCCAAGGCUCUCAUUCCUUCUAUAAAUGAAGACAAAGAGAGAGCAAGAUAAAGUGUAGUGCAGAGACAGUGCAAGUGAGUGCAGAGGAGAGGAAGUGUGGAGAGUGCAAGUGCAACUUUGAGAGUUGUGAGCAGAUUUGAGAGAAACACCAAGUGUAAGAGUGAAACACUGGGAUUUUGGGAUUGUACUAGGGUUGAGUUGAGUGUUUGUAUCAUUCCUCUAAUAAUAUAUGAUUGUGCAUCAAAAGUAUCAUUAAGUCUCCUAUUUUACAUAUAUAUUUAUUAUUUUUAUUUGGGUUUUUUAUAAUAAUUGAUGUGCUUUUUAGUAAUGAAGUUUUUUUUAAUGUUUCGAUAGGAUUUUGGAGCUUAAAUGAAUUAUUUCAGAAAAUUCAACGUCGGAAUUCGGAACAAAGAAUCGAAGAGAAAUUUAGUUGAAGAUUGAAGCAAGUCUUGGUUCAAAUAAGUGCUCCAAAUUUUCCCCAAAAAUCAAUUCUAUUCCAAUUCUAGAAAAGAAUAUCAUAUGAUCUAUUUCAAGCCCAAACAUGCCUUAUGUUGUGUGCAAACUUCAACCAUCAAACACUCAAGGUUUCAAUGUCAAUCUUAGCCCAAAUAAUAGGUACAUUUCUAUCCUUAUUUGAUGCUUAAAUCAGCCCCAAAUCAGCCUCCAAAUCAGCCGAAGCACAAUCCAUGAUCUUACAUGCCCACACAACAAAUAACAUUUGAUUUAUUUUGGGUAAUUCAUUGAUCCAAGAGGGAAAGAACAUGGAUGGAAAGCUGGAGGGGACAUUGUGACAUUAUUUUGGGUCAAAAGAAGAAAGAGACAGCUCAUAAAGGAGGAAGAAAAACGUGCACCAAAGUGUUCUCCAAGCUGGCCUGGUUUGAUUUUCCAGAACACCUUUCGGUGUUUCGCCCAUAACUUUUGACUCAGAUGUCCAAAUGAGCUGUUCUUUAAUGAUGUGAAAAUAUAACAGAAUGGCCUAUAAAUAUGUCUCCAAUAGCCAUUUCCAGGGGAGGCUUCAAAAAGGGUCUAAUUUCUGUCCAAAGUUAGAGUCAAAUUUGUGUCCGAAUUUUUACUGAAAUUGUGUUGUGUGCUUCUUUAUAGAUUUUGGUUCUUUAGCUUGUAAAAAUCAUUAUUUCAGUUUGAUUCAAGUUAUUUCAUGUUUAUUAAAGUGUUAUUAUAUAUAAUCAUGGUUCGCUAAUCUCUUUCUUGGAUCCAAAUCAAGGAUGAUGGUGGUUGAGGUGAGUUUUUUAAGAUAUGAAUGAAUCUUAAUGUCUAUCUUUUCAUUUUCUUUAUAAAUGUUUUAUUAUUGCAAAGAAAUUUUAGAAAUCAUUUAGGUAAUGUUAUAAUCUUGAAUUUUUAUGCACAAACCUUAGUUUUGGUAUAGAGAUUGCUUGAUUCAAUGUCUUACUUAAUAUGAAAAUACUUGUUCAUUCUUAAGCAAUAAUCAAUCUUCAUCUUUUUAAACUUCAUUGUAAUAUCUUCUGAUCUAAUAUCACCAUCGUUGAUAUUAGGUUGAGUUAUCUUAUAUAUGUUUGAAGGAAUCACCAAUACAUCACCAUUAAAAUUGAUUUGGACCAAGACUUACUUUUUCUUGUCAUUUAAAAUCUAUUUACACUUUUUCAUCUUUGAAAACAAAUUCAUCAAUCAUUUUCAACCAAGUUAUUGUUAAUUUAAUUUCUCUUGAGUUUUUUUGUUACCUAGCUUAAUUUCCAGAUCUAGCUCUCUGUGGAUAUGACCUCAAUCUUACUGAGUUAAUUGCUACAUCGCACACUCGUGCACUUGCGAGUUAAAACAAGCCGAACAUAAAAAGCGGUCAAGCAAUUUUUGGCGCCGUUGCCGGGGAGCUAGCAAGCAAAGGUAACAAAUUUAUAUUUGAUUAUUGAAAAAUAAAAAAAAAUACAUAUAAAUAAUAAAUCAAAUGGCUGGUUUUACCGCCUAAAAAAAAAUUGACCUCAACUUUUCGGAUAUUGGACUGUGGACUAAACUAUUAAUUAUUGGAUUUUGGUUGGUUCAACCAUUUUUCUUUUAUUUUCUAUUCUAAUUAGUUUCUAAUAUUUAUUGUUUAUAUUAUAAGGCUGGUUUUACCGCCUCUUGUUUAUUUUAUUUUAUUUUGUUGUUAUUAUUUUUCUUAUAUUUAUUGUCUGAAGUGCUUAGCCGGUAUUACCGCCUCUUGUUCAUUUUAUUUUAUUUUGUUGUUUUGUUGUGAUUAUUUUUCUUAUAUUUAUUGUUUGAAGUACUUGGCCGGUAUUACCGCCUUUUUAUUCAUGCUUGUUAUAAUUAUCUUUUAAUUUUUAUUGUUGUUAUUAUUGCUUAUUAGUUGGAGUGUGAAUUUCUUAAUUUGUUAAAUUUUUAUUUUUGUGCUAUUACUUUAUCUUUUACAUUUCAUUUACUUUUAUUUGCAAUCUUCUUUUUCUUUUUCUUUUUUUUUUCCUUUCCUUUUGUAUUCAUAUAAUUGUUAUAUUAUUAGCUUUUUUUAUCAUGGCUAAUGUUGAAGAUGUAGAGGGUGAAGGGAGUGUUCAAGGUAAUGGACCUCCACAAUUCAAUGAUCAACCUAAUUUUCGAGUACACCUUCGUGUAUUAUCUUUCCUCUUAACCAACAAGCUUUCAAUUUGAAACCGGGCAUGAUUCAACUUCUUCCCACAUUUCACGGUAUGGAUUCUGAAAAUCCAUACAUACAUAUUGUCAUAACCCAAUUUUUGACCAUUUUAUUUUAAUUAUUAUUAUUAUUUUAUUUACUGAAAAGGAUAAAAAAAUAUGAUGAUGAUGAUAAAAAAAAAAUAAUGAUAAAAAAACAAGUAAAAUGAGAUAAAUGAAGAAUGAAUUAAAAUUUGGGUUAAGGGCAACAUGAUUAGAAGUUUUAGGGUUUAAUUAAACUUUGAAAUUAAUCUAAUUAAGCUUGGAAUUAAUUUAAUUAAUCUGAUUAAGGGUUUAAUUGGAGAAUUGAUAAGUUUUGAGACUUAAUUGAGCUUGGAAUUAAUUUAAUUAAUCCAAUCAAGGGUUUAAUUGGAGAAUUGAUAAAUUUUUAGACUUAAUUAAGCUUGAAAUUAAUUUAAUUCAUCCAAUCAAGGGUUUAAUUGGAGAAUUGAUAAGUUUUGAGACUUAAUUAAGCUUGGAAUUAAUUUAAUUAAUCCAAUCAGGGGUUUAAUUGGAGAAUUGAUAAGUUUUAGACUUAAUUGGACUUUGGAUUUAAUUAAAUUAAUGAAAUCAGGGACUUAAUUGAAAAAAUAGCAAAGUUUGGGGUUAAUUAGGGAUACGAUUGCAGCAGAUUAAAGUCCAAGGACUAACUUGUAAAAGGCACCGAAAUGCAGGGGCAAUUACAGUUUAAACCAGGGGCUUAAUUAUAAAAUUCGGCGUCGUUUGAAAGAGCACUAUUCAUCUUCUUCACCCGAAAACAAGAAGAAAACGCAUGCCUUUAUUGCAUUAAAAUCCAUGCAAAACGCAUGCCUUUAUUGCAUUAAAAUCCAUGCAACCGCAUGGCAUUCUCUGGUUAUAAAAACCAGAGAAGGAGAACCGGCAAAGAAAAAAAGGAUGGCAUAACCGAAAAGCCACUAGAGAAACACAGAACCGGGGAAAGAAUAGAAAAAAAAACUUUCGUUCCUCUGUUUCUUCUCAAAGAAACAGAGGAGGCCACGAGCAGCGGAGGAAGAAAGCAACUAGCCCACCAGUCCUCCAUCACGUCUCCGUUUCCCUGCUUACACAGAGGAAGUAACACCGGGAACACAACAAGACGCAAGAACAGAAACUGUACAGAGGGGAGCAAGUUUUCUGCCCCUGUUUCUUCUCUAAGAAACAAAGGCGUUCGUGCCUCACGAUCGUGAGGCACGAACGCGUGAAGAAAGGCCAUUCUCUGGCUUUAUAAGCAAGAGAAGGCCGCAGAGAAGGAAGAAAAACUGAGGAGAAACAUGAAAAAGAGAGGACAGAACCGGUGGACGAGAAGAACAAACACAGACGGCCGCGGACGAGCGGGGAAGACGACUAGCAGGGGAACAAACCGAAACAAAAAAGAAGAAGACGACAGAACAAGGAAAGCUAAAACAGAGGAGUAGACAGAAAGCAGUAACAGAGAGGAGUAACGCUGGUCAGUUGUCAUCCCCGUCUUCCAGUGCAGCAACAGGUAAGUUGCGUUGCCCCUCCCUGCAUUUUAAUUGCAUGUUGCUGUAACAGGCGUGCGUGAGCGGUUCACGCACGCCUGCGGGUAAAAAAAUAGAAAAAUGGCCAGCCGGGUCAAGCCUUUGACCCGGCUAGGCCUGCUGAGUCCAGCCCAGCCCAUGUGGGCUGAGCUGGGCCCAGCCCAAAAAAAUAAAAAAAUAAAAAAAACAGAAAAGUAAAAAAGGGUAGAAAAAAUAAAAAAAAUGUGUAUGCAUGAAUAAAAAUAAUGUAAAUUUACUGGUUUAUUCACUGACGCCAGAGUCAGGAAUAAAAAUACUGGUUUAAAUUUAUAUUAUUUUUAUUCGGUGUAUUUUAUUUUAUUUAGCUAGAAAAAUAAAAAAUAUGUGCAUGCAUAAAAAAUCAAUUUUUUUUAAUUUAUUCACUGGCGCUAGAGUAGGGAAUAAAAAAUAUUGAUCUAAUUUUUCGUAGCUACGAAUUUUUACCAACGCCAGAGUUGGAAUUAUUCGAGCUCGAAUAUUCACUGGCGCCAGAGUCAGGAAUAUUAUAAACAAAUCAUUAUAGCAUAAGCGAAUAAAUGUUUAGCAAUUGAAGACAAAACCAACAAUGCAGUUUGCCUUAGGCAGAACGUUUAAGGGGUGAUAAUAUCUUCCCUUUUACGUAACCAAUCCCGAGCCAUAGAAUCUCUGUUGACCAGUUAGGGUUUCUAGUGACCAUAAUACUAGGUGGCGACUCCUUAAACAAGAUCUUUUCCCCUAAAAGAACAAGAUGCCAGAUAUCUGUUCUUUUUCCAUAAAUCUAGAAUUAUUUUGUGGGCCGCUGCGAUGUCGGGUGCGACACAUAUUAAGGACUUUGAAGAGGUAUGUAAUACUUUUAUUGAUAGAACAUGCACCGAGGAAACCAUUCGGCUUAAAUUGUUCCCAUUCUCUCUAAAGGAUAAAGCCAAGCUUUGGCUAAACUCCUUGCGUCCUAGGUCUAUAGGUACAUGGAGAGAAAUGCAAGCUGAAUUUUUGAAAAAAUACUUCCCCACUCAUAGGACGACAACCUUACAACAUCAAAUGAUGAAUUUUUCUUGUAGUCCAAAUGAGUCAUUUCACCAAGCUUGGGAAAGGUUCAAAGACUUGUUAAAUGCAUACCCCCACCAUGGUUUUGAGAUGUGGAGGUUAGUGAGUUUCUUCUACGACUCUCUUACCGCAGAUUUUAAAAAGCUAGUGUCAACCAUGUGUAAUGGUGAGUUUUAUGACAAAGAACCAAGUGAAGCCUUUAAUUUCUUUGAUCAAUUGGCUGAAAACACAAAGCAAUGGGAGACUUCUCUCCUACUUCAUGUUGAGUCUAGAAACACCAUUUCUCAUUCAAGUGGGAAGUUCCAAUUGAAAGAGAUUGAUGACCUCAAUGCUAGAUUAGCCUCAUUGGCUAGGAAAGUAGAGUCUCUUGAGAUUAAAAAAGUGCAUGUCAUGAGUGAACAACAAGAGGAAAGUUGUGUUGUUUGUGAGAGCAAAGGGCAUAGGACAACUGAGUGUCCUACCAUUCCAGCCUUCAAGGAAGUGCUAUAUAGCCAAACUUCUGAUUCAAGUAAUGUUAGAAAGCCAUUUUCAAACCAAGUAGGCAAUCCCUACUCUGAGACCUAUAAUCCUGGAUGGAGGAACCAUCCAAAUUUUGGAUGGAGAAAUGAGGGCCCUUCAGUACCUCAAACAUUUCAACCUCCACCCCAACCAUUUCAUGCUACCACACAUAACACGUACCAAUCACCUCAUAAGAGAUCCCUAGAGGAUACUCCAACAAUUCAUGCAAACGCAAGGAGGAAUCAAUAACCAAGCUUACAAAUUUCAAGACCAGACUAAUAGGACCUUAGAUGACAUUCAAAGUCAACUAACCAAGUUGACUCAAUCAUUAAGCAUUCAAGAGAAGGGAAAGAUCCCAGCUCAACCAAUGUCAAAUCCUAGAGGUUAGGUACACAUGAGUGAAUCCUCAUUUAGUGAACCUUCAAACCAUGAACAAGUCCAAGCCAUCACUACCCUUAGAAGUGGAAAGAUUAUUGACAAAGCUAUAGGUUUUGGGAUUCCUAGAGGUAUUGUGGAGGAGAAAUCUAGGGAAAGUGAAGAGGGAAUCAAAACACAAGUGACAAAUGAGAGCUUGAGUGACAAAGAAGGUGAGAUAAAUGAGAAAGAAAUGAGUGAGAAAGGAGAUGAUUCAAGAAAAAUUGGAGUCAAAGUGAGUGAUUUAGAAUUUGUUCCUAGAGCACCAUUUCCACAAAGGUUAGGGAAGCCUAAACAUGAUCUUAUGAACUCGGAAAUCUAUGAAUUGUUCAAACAAGUGAAAGUCAACAUUCCACUCAUUGAUGCAAUUAAACAAGUCCCCUCUUAUGCAAAGUUCUUCAAGGACUUAUGCACAGUCAAAAGGAGAUUGAAUGUGAAAGAAAGAGCCUUUCUAACUGAACAUGCUAGUGCCAUCAUCCAGUUUAAGACUCCUCCCAAAUACAAAGAUCCUGGUUGUCCUACUAUUUCAUGCAUUAUUGGAAGUCAUAAAAUAGACCAAGCUUUGUUGGAUUUAGGAGCAAGUGUGAAUUUGAUACCCUACACUGUUUACGAACAGUUAGGUUUAGGAGAAAUCAAGCCUACUCAAAUCACCCUUCAAUUAGUUGAUAGGUCAAUCAAGAUUCCCAGGGGUAUUGUUGAGGAUGUGUUGGUCCAAGUAGACAAAUUCUACUUUCCUGUUGAUUUUGUAGUGUUAGACACCGCACCUAUUCAAGGUUCUAAUGCUCCCAUCCCAGUCAUCUUAGGUAGACCUUUCCUAGCUACAUCCAAUGCUUUAAUUAACUGUAGGAAUGGGGUGAUGAAAUUGUCUUUUGGGAACAUGACUGUGGAGAUGAACAUAUUCAAUGUCUCGAAACAAAUUGGUGAACAUGAGGACAUUAGAGAGGUAGAUUUGAUCCAAACAGUUUGUCAAGAACACUUUGAGAGAGAGUGGUUCAAAGAUCCAUUGGAGAGAACUUUAAUUCAUGAUGAAAGAUUUUGUUCUUUGGAAUGUGUUGAUGAGGAAGUAAGAGAACUCAAGACUUAUCUAGAUCCAAUGCCUAUUAUGUCAAUAGGUCAAUGGACCCCAUCGUUUGAGCCUUCGAUUUCACCCCAAAUGAAAGUUGAGGCAUCUCUUGUCCAACCUUAUAAACUAGAAAGGAAGCCUUUACCGAGUGAUCUUAAGUAUGCAUUUCUAGGGGAAGAUGAAUCAUAUCCUAUUGUGAUUUCAUCAAAACUUAGCAUAGAGCAGGAACAAGAACUUUUGAGAGUGGUGAGAAAACACAAAAAAAGCAAUUGGGUGGACUAUUACUGACUUGAAAGGAAUUAGCCCUCUUUUAUGUACACAUAGAAUCUAUCUUGAAGAAGAGGCUAAAUCUGUGAGGCAAAUGCAAAGACGACUGAACCCAAACAUGAAGGAAGUAGUAAGAGGUGAAGUGCUUAAGCUACUUGAUGCAGGUAUCAUUUACCCCUUGCAAACUCAAAAUGGGUUAGUCCAACCCAAGUUGUCCCUAAAAAAUCUGGAGUCACGGUAGUGAAGAAUGAAAAUAAUGAGCUAGUACCAACUAGAAUCCAAACUGGAUGGCGUCUGUGCAUUGAUUAUCUUAAGUUGAACAUGGUGACCAGGAAGGACCAUUUUCCGCUUCCAUUUUUAGACCAAGUGCUUGAAAGAGUAGCCGGAAGAGCUUUCUAUUGUUUUCUUGAUGGAUACUCAGGUUACAACCAAAUUGAGAUUUCUUUAGAAGACCAAGAAAAAAUCACUUUCACUUGUCCUUUUGGUACCUAUGCUUAUAGAAGAAUGCCUUUUGGCUUGUGUAAUGCACCAACCACUUUUCAAAGGUGUAUGAUGAGUAUCUUUAGUGACAUGGUGGAAAUUUUUUUUGGAAGUUUUCAUGGAUGAUUUUUCAGUUUAUGGGGAUUCUUAUGAGUUGUGUCUAAUGCAUUUAGAAAAAGUUCUUGAAAGAUGUGAAGAGAGCAAUCUUGUACUUAAUUGGGAGAAGUGUCAUUUUAUGGUGACACAUGGCAUUGUCUUAGGUCACAUUGUCUCUUCAAAAGGGAUAGAGGUAGAUAAGUCAAAAGUUGAAGUCAUUCAAAAAUUACCUAGCCCUAGGACUGUGAAAGAUGUGAGAUCGUUUUUAGGACACGCUGGUUUUUACCGAAGAUUCAUUCAUUCUUUUAGUACCAUUCCCAAACCAUUGUGUAACUUGUUGUCACAAGAUGUUCAAUUUGAUUGGACAUCAAAAUGUCAAGAAGCUUUUGAAAAGCUUAAAGGGUUGUUGACCACUACACCAAUCAUGCAAGCUCCUGAUUGGUCUUUACCAUUUGAACUGAUGUGUGAUGCUAGUGAUUUUGCAGUAGGGGCUGUUUUAGGGCAAAGAAAAGAUAAGAAGCCUCAUGUCAUUUAUUAUGCUAGCAAGACUUUGAAUGAUGCUCAAUUGAAUUACACUACAACUGAAAAAGAACUCUUAGACAAGUUUAGGUCUUAUUUGGUUGGAUCUCUUGUUAUUGUUUUCACUGAUCAUGCAGCAUUGAAAUACUUGCUCACAAAACAAGAUGCCAAGCCAUGUUUGAUUCGAUGGAUCCUUAUAUUCCAAGAGUUUAACCUUGAAAUUCGAGAUAAAAAAGGAGUAGAGAAUGUAGUGGCUGAUCAUUUGUCCCGUCUUUCAAGCUAUGAGACCAUAAUUGAUGAAUCUCCAAUAAAUGAAUUCUUUGCUGAUGAAAAUUUAUUUUGUGCAGGUAUUGUUUCCUACAUUGGCUCUCCAUGGUAUGCUGACAUAGCAAAUUACCUAGCCACAAGUCAGAUUCCUUCUCAUUGGUUUAAACUUGACAAACAAAAAUUCUUGCGCAACGUGCGUACCUUUUUUUGGGAUGACCCCUACCUAUUUAAAUACUGCCCUGACCAAAUUGUUAGGCGGUGCAUCCCUGAUCAUGAAAUUCCAAGUGUCAUUAAUUUUUAUCAUGCAUUAGCCUGUGGUGGGCAUUUCUCUUCCAAGAAAACCACUGCCAAGAUCUUGCAGUGUGGUUUUUAUUGGCCCACCAUGUUCAAAGAUGUCCAUGCCUUCUGUGUUGCAUGUGACCGAUGCCAACGACUAGGUAACCUCACUAGGCGUAACAUGAUGCCCCUAAACCCCAUUCUUGUUUUGGAAAUAUUUGAUUGUUGGGGGAUUGAUUUCAUGGGACCUUUCCCAAGUUCAUUUGGUAACCAAUUCAUCCUUGUAGCUGUUGAUUAUGUGUCUAAAUGGGUGGAGGCCAUUGCAUCUCGAACCAAUGACCAUCGAGUUGUGGUCAAAUUCUUGGAAGAAAAUAUUUUCUCUCGUUUUGGCAUGCCCCGGGCUAUGAUUAAUGAUGGGGGAAAACAUUUUUGUAACAAGCCCAUUGGGAUUUUGAUGAGAAAAUAUGGUGUAAUUCACAAGGUCAAUACCCCCUAUCAUCCACAGACUAGUGGCCAAGCUGAGUUGACAAAUUGGGAGAUCAAGAACAUUUUAGAGAAAACAGUCAAUCCAAACCGUAAAGAUUGGUCCCUACGACUAGUUGAUGCUUUGUGGGCAUAUCGCACUGCUUACAAGACCUCUUUAGGAAUGUCUCCUUAUAGGCUAGUUUAUGGAAAGCCUUGUCAUCUCCCUGUUGAGAUUGAGCACCGUGCAUAUUGGGCCAUCCGGCAAUUCAAUGACAAUGAAAACGAGGUUGGAAAAAAUAGAAAGCUUCAAUUGGAUGAAUUAGAUGAGCUGAUAAAUGAUGCAUUUGAAAAUGCAAAAAUUUCAAAACAUAAGAUGAAAACCUUGCAUGAUAAACAUAUUCUUAGAAAAUCCUUUCAUCUUGGUCAAAAGGUUCUCUUGUAUAAUUCACGAUUACAUCUCUUUCCUGGGAAGUUGAGGACAAAAUGGAUUGGUCCAUUUGUGAUUAAAUCCAUCUCUGAGCAUGGUGCAUUUGAGGUAGAAAAUCCUAAGAAUGGAAAUGUUUUCAAAGUAAAUGGUCAUCGAUUGAAACCUUAUCUUGAAAAUUUUGUGGCUGAAGUUGAGACAUUGGAUCUUGAAGAUCCAAUACCAUUGUAGUAUCAGAAGUAAUGAGCUUUUUAUUUUUAUUUUUAUUUUUUUAUUCAUUUUUAUUUUUCUGUUUUUCAUUUUUUUUCUUUCUUCCAUCGCUUAUAUUUUCUUGUUCAUGCAUUAGGGACAAUGCAUUAUUUUAAGUUGGGGGGUGUGAGGUUCUUUAUUUUUCAAAAAAAAAAUCAAUGUUUUCUUUUAGUUGUGAUAUGCAGGUAAAAAAAAUCAAGCAAGAAGUCAGCUCAUGUCCAAUUCAAUCAGACAUUCAUCCUUGAAAACAAAAGGGGAGUAAUAGUUUUCUAAUCUUUAUACUUUUCUUCUCUUUUUUUUUUACAUUGAGGAUAAUGUAAAACUUAAUUUUAGAUAUUUGAUUAUGUUGAAUGCUUGAGAUGACCAUGCAUGUUAAAAAAAAAAACUUGCAUUCGUAUAUGAAUGAGACUUGUUUAGGAUCAACAUUACAUUUUUGGAUUCAUUAUUGUGUUGAACAUUGCAUGCUUUAAUUUGGGAUAGAUAAUAUCUUAUAAAGCAAGAUAUAGCAUACUUUUUUUUAAGAUUAUUGAAGUACAUCUUUCCUUGUAAAAGUUGUGUGAGUUGUGUGAUUAUGCAUGAAAGAUGAGUGUGAUGCUUUACUUGUGAUCAUCCCUUUUGAUCUAGUCCUAAACAAGGUUUAAGUAAAUAGAGUAAUCAUUAUUACACAAAUGUGUACAAAGUUCUAUCUACUCCAAUGUUUUGAGUUGCUCAGUAACUAGGGGUAUUCAUCAUAAAUGUUUAUCUUUACGUCAAACGGCAGCUUGAAAUAUGAGUAUGCAAAGCACUUUAAGUUUGUGACUUUGUGAGUAACCGGGUGCAUUCAUCACAAAUGUUUGUAUUCGCGUCAAAAGGGAAGUGACCACUUAAAGAAAAAAAAUAAAUAAUAUCUUCAAAAAAAAAGAGAAAAAAAAGAAAAGAAAAAAAAUAUAUAUAUAUAUAUAUAUAUAUAUAUAUAUAUAUAUAUAGAUAUUUCUCUAGUUUGCUACCUUGUUUGUAGUAGUGAGAAGGGAAGAUUACAAGUUGAGUUUUCGCGUGAAUCAAUUAUGUUGGUUGCAUGAUAAAUACAAUUCUAGAAAAGAAUAUCAUAUGAUCUAUUUCCAGCCCAAACAUGCCUUAUGUUGUGUGCAAACUUCAACCAUCAAACACUCAAGGUUUCAAUGUCAAUCUUAGCCCAAAUAAUAGGUACAUUUGUAUCCUUAUUUGAUGCUUAAAUUCAGCCCCAAAUCAGCCUCCAAAUCAGCCCAAGCACAAUCCAUGAUCUUACAUGCUCACACAACAAAUAACAUUUGAUUUAUUUUGGGUAAUUCAUUGAUCCAAGAGGGCAAGCACAUGGAUGGAAAGCUGGAGGGGACAUUGUGACAUUAUUUUGGGUCAAAAGAAGAAAGAGACAGCUCAUAAAAGAGGAAGAAAAACGUGCACCAAAGUGUUCUCCAAGCUGGCCUGGUUUGAUUUUCCAGAACACCUUUCGGUGUUUCGCCCAUAACUUUUGACUCAGAUGUCCAAAUGAGAUGUUCUUUAAUGAUGUGGAAAUCAAACAGAAUGGCCUAUAAAUAUGUCUCUAAUAGCUAUCUCCAGGGGAGGCUUCAAAAAAGGGUCGAAUUGCUGUCCAAAGUUAGAGUCAAAUUUGUGUCCGAUUUUUUACUGAAAUUGUGUUGUGUUCUUCUUUAUAGAUUUUGGUUCUUUAGCUUGUAAAAAUCAUUAUUUCAGUUUGAUUCAAGUUAUUUCAUGUUUAUUAAAGUGUUAUUAUAUAUAAUCAUGGUUCGCUAAUCUCCUUCUUGGAUCCAAAUCAAGGAUGAUGGUGGUUGAGGUGAGUUUUUUAAGAUAUGAAUGAAUCUUAAUGUCUAUCUUUUCAUUUUCUUUAUAAAUGUUUUAUUAUUGCAAAGAAAUUUUAGAAAUCAUUUAGGUAAUGUUAUAAUCUUGAAUUUUUAUGCACAAACCUUAGUUUUGGUAUAGAGAUUGCUUGAUUCAAUGUCUUACUUAAUAUGAAAAUACUUGUUCAUUCUUAAGCAAUAAUCAAUCUUCAUCUUUUUAAACUUCAUUGUAAUAUCUUCUGAUCUAAUAUCACUAUCGUUGAUAUUAGGUUGAGUUAUCUUAUAUAUGUUGAAGGAAUCACCAAUACAUCACCAUUAAAAUUAAUUUGGACCAAGACUUACUUUUUCUUGUCAUUUAAAAUCUAUUUACAGUUUUUCAUCUUUGAAAACAAAUCCAUCAAUCAUUUUCAACCAAGUUAUUGUUAAUUUAAUUUCUCUUGAGUUUUUUUGUUACCUAGCUUAAUUUUCAAAUCUAGCUCUCUGUGGAUAUUACCUCGAUCUUACUGAGUUAAUUGCUACAUCGCACACUCGUGCACUUGCGAGUUAAAACAAGUCGAACAUAAAAAGCGGUCAAGCAAUAUACAAUCUGCUGCCUCCGUGGACGUACCCGGUUUUGGGGAACCACGUAAAUCUGCUUGUGUUGUGUUUUAUUUGUGUUUGCUUUCGGUCCAGUAUGCACAACAAAUUGGUAUCAGAGCAUUAGGGAAGCUUAAACACAGAAAAACACAUUUUUCAGCUCUCUGUUCAAAGUUGCAGAAUUUUCAAAUUUCUCAGAUCUUGAUUUUGAUCAGCUGCGGAGAUUCCUCUCGUUGAUACAAGUCCGGAGAUAUAAAGAUCAUCGAAAUCGGAGUUGAAACGAGCCCUGUAGAGCUCGUCGAAGUUUCGCCUGAAAUCUGCUGGAAAAACCAAACAGUGCCGGAAUUCUCGCCUUAGAAGACAGCCACGUCAUCCGACACGUAAGCGAUGAGUCAUCAUCCACAUCAUCAACAGGGGUCCACAUCGCCCUGUCAUCAGCCACAUCAUCUAACAGUGACAGAAUAUUCUCUUGACAUAGUAAGAAUAUUCCGUUAACAGUAAGAGAAUAUUCCCGUGACAAAAUAUUCUUUAUCAGAGACAGAAUAUUCCUUUCCUAAGUCAACUCGGUCAGAUUGGUUUUUUGGCCAACUCAGUGAUUUUUUAGCCUGUUUUUGGCCGAGUCAAGCUGGUUCCUAGCAUUUUCAACCAUUCCGGACGCGACCGUGGUGUCCGUUUUGUGAAACAGUACACAUCGAAGUUACUAUUUUGGCUCUUUUGAGCAUAAAAGUGCAUGUUUUAACAAUUUCAGGAGUCCAUUUGUAAUCCAAAGACGUUCUAAUGGCUGAUAUUCCAGAAGAAAAAUCAGCGGGGAAUGCUAGUAUACCUCCAUAAUACAUCCCGGUAUCAAGUACCAAAUUUGAGGUGGAGAAGUUUGAUGGGAAAGGUAAUUUUGGCAUGUGGAAAUGUGAAGUCAUGGAUAUGCUUGUCCAAAUGAAUUUGGAUUUCACUCUAGAAGAUAAACCGGAGGAUUUGGAUGAUAAAAGCUGGGAAAGGAUAAAUCGGUUGGCUUGUAGUUCCAUCCGACUUUGUCUUGUAAAGGAUCAGAAGUAUGCCUUUCCAGAACAAAACUCUGCAAAGGAAUUAUGGCAAGCACUGGAGGACAAGUUUAUGAAUAAGAGUAUAGAGAAUCGUCUCUACAUGAAGAAAAGGAUCUUCCGUUUUCAGCACAAGAAAGGUACUUCCAUGAAUGAGCAUCUGAAUGAUUUCAAUAAAAUGAUAGCUGAUUUGAAGAAUUUAGAUGUGGAAAUUGAUGAUGAAGAUAAAGCUCUGUUGUUAUUGAAUUCACUGCCUGACACAUAUGAACAUCUCGUCACCACUUUACUGNNNNNNNNNNNNNNNNNNNNNNNNNNNNNNNNNNNNNNNNNNNNNNNNNNNNNNNNNNNNNNNNNNNNNNNNNNNNNNNNNNNNNNNNNNNNNNNNNNNNAGAUUGUUCACAAGGAGUCAACGUCAGAAGCAUUGACAGUUAGAGGCAGAACAAACCCCAGAAGAUUUCGAGGACGAGGGAGAUCUCGCUCAAAAUCCAGAGGAGAAUCAUCAAACAGACGAUAUCUUGCAAAAGAUUAGUGUGCCUUUUGUCACAAAAAGGGCACUGGAAGAAAGAUUGUCCAAUCAAGGGCAGUAAGGAAAAAGAUGAACCAACUGUGAACGUUGCACGAGAUGAGGAUGAACAAGACUCUGCAUUCAUGGUCUCAUCACCAGAAAACCAUUCUGGUGAAUGGAUUCUUGAUUCUGCAUGUUCCUAUCACAUAUGCCCUAACAAGCACUUAAACUUGUCCUCCUCGUGCAUACAUACUUGUGCCUAUUUUUAGAGAAUGGGGUGUGAUCAGUCACGGUUCCUGUUAUUACUUCAGUUUCAGAACUUUUUUUUUCCUUCUCGUGCAUACAUACUUGUGCCUAUUUUUAGAGAAUGAUGGGUCAAGCCUGUUCAGGCCUCAAGUUUAAAUUGGUGUGUCCAAUCUUGUUUAUUUGAGAUGAACUGUUUCAAGCUUCUUGUGAAUUCUGGAAUAGACGGUUAUGCUUUGGUUUUAUUAAUCGUGAUGUUUGUGUUUAAUCAUGUUGUUCGUGUUUUGACAAAAUAUAAAAAAUGUUUUCUUGUGUGUUGCAUAUGUUUAAUACCCUAAUAUGUUUUUAAUGUUUUAUUUAUAUAAAAAAACAAAUAUUUGAAGUUUCAAAAAUAUGUUUUCGCAUGGAUUUCUUAAACACAACACAAAAAUUAUUUUCUUGCAUCUUGGAUUUUACAACAUGUUUGUAAAUUCCAAAGGGUGUUGGCCAAUAUUCCAAAAAUAUAAAAAUCUUAUUUUUGGGAAUUCGUUUUUAUUCACUAUUAAUAUUUGGAUAAAGAAAUCCCAAAAAGGAUAAAUAUCCAAAAUAUUAUUAUGAAUAAUUUGUUAUUCAUUAGUAAUGUUUGGAUAAAGAAAUUCCAAAGGGGUUAAUAUCCAAAAUAUUAUUAUGAAUAAUUUAUUAUUAUUCACCAUAAAUGUUUGGAUAAAGAAACCCCAAAAAGGGGUUAAUAAUCAAAAUAUUAUUGGGAAUAAUUCAUCAUUGUUCACUGAAUAUUUAGAUAAAGAAACCCCAAGUAGUAAAUAUCAAAAAUAUUUUUUUCUAGGAAUAACAAGUCAUUAUCCCUCAAUAAUAUAAGGGCAAAUAAACCUAUAAAAGGUAAAUGUCCAAAAUAUUUUUAAUAGGAAUACAACUUGUUUAGUUUUAACAUAAGGGCAGAUUUAUGCCUGAAAUUUUAUUUAGAACCAUUUAAUCGCACCUCUGAUUAGUACUUAAAAGUGCAUUUUUAUCAAGGUUUUAUAUCAUCAUUUUGCACUUGAAGUAUCAAUAACUCCUUAACUAAAGCAUGUUUUAUAAUAACAUAUCUAAUUAUAUAAGACACCUUUAAUUUAUGGUAAAUGUUCAUCUUAAAUGCAGGCCUAUCACAUAAAUGAAAGAAUUGAUUGAUGAGUUGAAAUACUGAAAUUGAAAGGACAAAGAGAUGGCCAAACUUAGAAAAGAGAUGCUAGUGCAGUCCAAACUGGAACACUGUUCGAUAAUUGGGUCAUAUCUGGAGCUGUAGAUCUUGUAUUUAGGUCCAUUUUAUAUGGAUGGAAAGAUAAGACAUAGGCCUAUAACUUUCAUGUGGAGCCCAAGAUUUAACAAGGCCGUUUUCAAGUCCAAAUUGUAGCAACAAAAAAGAAGUCUGAAUCUGUUCUACAGCCCAGACACUGUUCAGUGUUCAGCCCAUAUCUCAAGUUCUAGAAGUCCAAAUGAUCUCAAAUGUUUACCCUGGAAAGAUGAGACAAUUUCCUAGAACUUUCAUGAUUUAAGUUUGUUCAAAUUAUGACGUCAUAAAUGACGUUUUUGGCAGACAAGAAGAUAAGAAUUGUCACCAAGUCAAGAUGUGGCCACCCACUCAUCAAUUAGUCAGCAAAUCAAUAGUUCUGAAUUUUGGCCUAUAAAAUGAGGCAUUUGCCAUGUAUUUAGGCAUCUUGGUUUUCAGAUCAAGAUCAUGCUCUUGCUCUCUCUUUAUAUUUUGUAAUGCUUAAGUUUUGCUUAUAUUAAUCUCUUGCUUAUGCUUUUCAUUUCCUUUCCUUGUUUAUUUAUGUUUCUCUCUUUCAUUAUGUUUAACUAAGUUAAUUAUGUCAAGGUGAAAAGGGUACACUAAUGGUGUAAGAAUAAGUAUAAUAUAAACUUAACAUGGACCUUAAUGUUGGAUACUAACAUGCUUUAUAUUUGUUAUCUUGUUCACUUUUAACACUUUGCUUGUUAAAUGGUUAAUCUAGAUUUAUGUUGUAUAACACUUGGUACAACAAAUACUUGGCACUUUCAUAGCCCAUACUGUAUGGUAUAACCGACACCUGAGCUAUGAAAGGAACUUGAUUUGUUGUUAACAUAAGUUAUAAUAAUGAAUGCCUGAAAACAUUUACAAGUAUUAGCAUUAUUCGAAUAAGAUAACUAAUGUAAUCAUUUUAACAAUUUAUAAUCCGAUUGGAACCUCCUUUGUGUGUGGUUUCCAGUUGAGUAGAGUUUAUACUAUACUUGUUUGAAAUACCAUUAGUGGAUCCUCUAACCUUGACAUUUGUUGUUAUCAUUGUUUAAUCCUUACGUUAAUCUUCCAUCUCAAAAGUUCUCAUCAAUUUCUUCCUCUUCUUCUUCACUAUUAUUAUUAUCACUGUUAUUAUUAUUGUUGUUGUUGUUGUUGUUGUUGUUGUUGUUGUUGUUACUUUUGUUUUAUUGUUAUCUAUAAUUUAUACAAUUAACCUCCUUGUGGUUCGACCCCGGUCUUGCCGGGUUAUUUAUUACUUCGACACUUCUGCACUUGGGAGAAGACAUCAAUCUUUUGGUCGUGUCAAGUUUUUGGCGCCGUUCCCGAGGAGGUAAAUUCUUGUACAAAUUAUAGUAUUUAUUUUAUUUUACUUUUUUACUUUUCUUGUAUUUAACUUUGUUUCUUUGGUGUUGUUUCUUUUUCUUUUGUUUUCUUCUUCCUUUUAUUCUCUUUUUACACGUGCAUGAGAGUGUGGUCACGUACAUUAAGUGGUAGACUUUGUAGGGUAUCCUCAUCAUUUUCAGAAAAUAUGGCUGAAGAAGAUAACCAAUCGCUUCAUAAUGAGAAUAAUGAGAAUAUUCGGGUUAGAACUCUUAGAGACCACAUGAAUCCCACAAGAACAAGUGCACCCUCAUGCAUAGUUUUUCCUCCUGAUGCAUCUCAUUUUAAUUUUAAGACAGACAUUAUUCAACUUUUACCAUCUUUUCAUGGCUUAGAUUUAGAAAAUCCAUACUUGCAUUUAAGGGAAUUUGAGGAGGUUUGCAACACGUAUAAUGACUCAAAUUGUAGCAUGAACACCAUUAGAUUGAAGCUUUUUCCUUUUUCAUUAAAAGAUAAAGCUAAAACAUGGCUACAAAAUUUGAGACCUGGAUCCAUUCGUGCUUGGGAUGAAAUGCAACAACAAUUUUUUAAGAAGUUUUUUCCAUCCCACAGAACAAACUCUUUCAAAAGACAAAUCAUUACUUUCUCUCAAAAACCAAGAGAAACAUUUUACCAAUGUUGGGAUAGGUAUCGAGAAUUGCUUAAUACUUGCCCCCAUCACGGUUUUGAAACAUGGAGAUUAGUUUCACAUUUUUAUGAAGGGUUAACUCCUAGAGAUAGGCAAAUGGUUGAAUUGAUGUGCAAUGGAACUUUUGAGGAUAAAGACCCUAAUGAAGCAAUGGAGUACUUAGAUUUGCUAGCUGAAAAUGCACAAAAUUGGGACACCACAGGUACUUAUGAGGCACCAAGUAAAACCCAACCUCAUACAUCUAGUGGGGGUAUGUACAACCUUAGGGAAGAUCAUGACCUCCAAGCCAAGUUUGCAUCUUUAGCUAAAAAAGUCGAAGCGCUAGAAUUGAAAAAGAGUGGUCAAUUAAAAUCUGUUCAAGACAUUGCAUGUCAAAUCUGUGAAACCAACGAACAUUCAACCAAUGACUGUCCAACCUUGCCUUCUUUUAAAGAAUGUCUCCAUGAACAAGCCCAUGCAUUAAACAGUUUUCAACGGCCCAACCAUAACCCAUAUUCGCAAACAUAUAACCCUGGUUGGAGAAAUCAUCCAAAUUUCAGUUGGAAGAGUGAGAACAAUAAUGCUCAAACUUCACAGCCACCGUUUCAAGCACAUCAUAAUUUCCAAAAUUCUCAUAGAUAUGCACCUCCUUAUGCUCCACCUCCUAGAAGAAAUCUUGAGGAAACAUUGCAUGCAUUUAUGGAAAAGCAAGAGGCAAUUAACACUCAACUUGCUCAAAGCAUGACAGAUUUUAAAGAUACUCUGGCAAAAUUGACAUCUGCUCUCAGUUUCCAAGAGAAAGGUAAGUUUCCAUCUCAACCACAACAAAAUCCAAAGGGGCAAUACAAUGUGAAUGCAAGUAGUUCGGGAAGCCAACACAUGGAUCACGUAAAAUCAGUCAUCACUCUUCGCAGUGGUAAGGUUAUUAAAAAACCCAUUCUUGAACCUUGUGAGAAUGAUGAUGAGUCAAUCUCUCUGAGGGUAAGGAAGGGGUUGAAUCUGAUCAUUGCAAAGAAAAGACUGAUUCUCCGCCAGCACUUCCAUUUCCUCAUGCCAUGACGAAACAAAGGAAAGUCAAUCACAACUCUGAAAUUUUUGAAACCUUCAAACAGGUAAGGAUCAAUAUACCUUUGCUGGAUGCUAUUAAACAGGUUCCUUCUUAUGCUAAAUUUUUGAAAGAUCUGUGCACUGUGAAGAGAAAACUGAAUGUGAAAAAGAAAGCCUUUUUAGCCGAACAAGUAAGUGCCAUUCUUCAGAACAAUAAUGCAUUGAAAUAUAAAGACCCUGGUUGUCCUACAAUUUCAUGCUUUAUUGGAGAACAUAAAAUUGAAAGAGCUUUACUUGAUCUUGGAGCUAGUGUGAAUUUACUUCCAUAUUCAGUUUUUCAAAGUCUCAAUCUAGGUGAGUUAAACCAACUUCUAUAACUCUUUUACUUGCCGAUAGAUCUGUAAAAGUGCCUAGAGGAAUAGUUGAAGAUGUGUUAGUACAAGUUGAUAAAUUCAUUUAUCCUGUGGAUUUUAUUGUCUUGGACACACAACCUAUUGAAGCAUGUAAUUCAUUUCCUGUUAUUUUAGGGCGUCCAUUUCUUGCAACUUCUAAUGCAUUGAUUAAUUGUAGGAAUGGACUGAUGAAGCUAUCAUUUGGGAACAUGACAUUAGAGAUGAAUAUUUUCAACAUUUGCAAGCAACCUCGAGAUGAUAAUGAUUUACAAGAAGUAGAUUUUAUUGAAGAAUUGGUUUAUGAUCAAUUUGAAUCUACUUUGAGUAAUACUGAGUUUGAUGAAUUUGAAGAUUUGCAAAUGACUUAUUCUCAGGAAGAAAUCACGGAUGAAAAAGGCAUUGAAAAUGUUGAUGCGAAUCUUUUGUCAAGAGUGACAACAGAUUCGAUAUCUGACAUCACACCAACCGAUGAUUACUUUCCUGACAAAUCCUUACUUUCUCUUAGUUCAAUGCCUUGGUUUCCUAAAAAUAUCAAUUUCCUUGCCUCAGGAGAUUUGCCAACUCAUUGGAGUACCGAAGACAAAGGUAAGUUUUUGAACGAAGUGAAGAAAUUUUAUUGGGAUGACCCUAACUUAUUCAAACAUUGUCCUGAUCAAAUAUUUCAAAUAUGCAUUGCGGACAAUGAGGUAAGUAGUGUCAUUAAAUUUUGUCAUUUUGAAGCAUGUGGGAGUCAUUUCUCGUCAAAAAAGGCCAUUGCAAAAAUCUUUCAAACUGGAUUUUAUUGGCCCACCAUGUUCAAGGACACACAUGCAUUCUGCAAAACUUGUGAAAAUUGUCAAAAAGUUGAUACUGGUCAAAAAGUUUUGCUUUAUAAUUCUCAACUCCAUUUAUUUCCUGGAAAGUUAAGAUCAAGAUGGAGCGGUCCAUUUAUUGAGAAACAUGUGUAUCCUUAUGGGGUCUGUGAUAUCGCGAAUCCAAAAAAUAGCAAUGUUUUCAAGGUAAAUGGACAUCGUUUGAAAGUCUACUUUGAUAAUUUUUCAGUUGAAAAUGACUCUAUUGAAUUGAGUGAUCCUGUAUAUAAAGAUUGAUUCGUUUUAUCACAUUGUUUUGUGUUUCAUUUUGCUAGUUUCUCUCACCCCGGUCAAAAGGCGGAUAACGGUACUCCGUGACUUAAGUCGGUUCUUUCAGUUUCUCAUAAUAACUGAUAUUUGUAUAUAUUUGUGCAAUUCUUUGCUCUUUCUCCAUUCUUUGACUCUGUUCUCCAAUUCUCAUUUGAAAAUGGACACCACUCUUGAAAAAUUGAAAAAGUAUUUUCCCGCUCUGCCUCAGAAUGCGAUUACAAAAAUUUACCGUGCUAGGUGUGCAAGAUUGAAGUUGUUGAUGAAUCAUGGAAUUCCUGAAGAUAUUCGCUGGCUGAUUGAAGCAAAGGUCCGAUUAUUAGGUGAGUCCUCCAAUUCUUUCAUUUCACACAUGCCUGGAACAGGUAAAAGCACUUUUGCAAAGAAACGUCGUGCAAAACGACUGAAAGUCUGUCACAAAUGUGCCAGAUGGACUUGCAAUGCAACAUGUCGUUCUUUAGGAAUGGUAUCUAUAAACCGUGAAGAUAAAAUACAAUUCAUUAAGGAUGGCCUGAGUAAGGGGUCUUUAGAUAAUCUUUUGUUGACCCUUGAGACGCAUCCUAGUGGAGAUGUGCAUCGUGCAAUUCAUGAUUUAUAGCCCCAUUUUCAUAAAGAACAUGAUAGACUCAGUCUUGGGAAUCUGACUAAAAAAGACCUUGUUUGCCACUUUUUAAGAAAACUGGAUGGGAAGCCUCUCCCCGACCCAUAGAGGGCGUUUAAGCCGUUCUUGGACAUAAAACCAAGGGAAGAUGUGAGCCACAAUCACAACUACCUGUACAUACACAUUCUUUUUCAAAAUAAAUAAAUAAAAUAUAAAGAGAGAGCAAGAGCAUGAUCUUGAUCUGAAAACCAAGAUGCCUAAAUACAUGGCAAAUGCCUCCUUUUAUAGGCCAAAAUUCGGAACUAUUGAUUUGCGGACUAAUUGAUGAGUGGGUGGCCACAUCUUGACUUGGUGACAAUUCUUAUCUUCUAGUCUGCCAAAAACGUCAUUGAUGACGUCAUAAUUUGAACAAACUUAAAUCAUGAAAGUUCUAGGAAAUUGUCUCAUCUUUCCAGGGUAAACAUUUGAGAUCAUUUGGACUUCUAGAACUUGAGAUAUGGGCUGAACACUGAACAGUGUCUGGGCUGCAGGACAGAUUCGGACUUCUUCUUUGUUGCUACAAUUUGGACUUGAAAACGGCCUUUUUAAAUCUUGGGCUCCACAUGAAAGUUGUAGACCUAUGUCUUAUCUUUCCAUCCAUAUAAAAUGGACCUAAAUACAAGAUCUACAGCUCCAGAUAUGACCCAAUUACCGAACAGUGUUCCAGUUUGGACUGCACCAGCAUCUCUUUUCUAAGUUUGGCCAUCUCUUUGUCCUUUCAAUUUCAGUAUUUCAACUCAUCAAUCAAUUCUUUCAUUUAUGUGAUAGGCCUGCAUUUAAGAUGAACAUUUACCAUAAAUUAAAGGUAUCUUAUAUAAUUAGAUAUGUUAUUAUAAAACAUGCUUUAGUUAAGGAGUUAUUGAUACUUCAAGUGCAAAAUGAUGAUAUAAAACCUUGAUAAAAAUGCACUUUUAAGUACUAAUCAACCUCCUUGGAAGAAGCCUCAAUUAUAAUUAGGGACAUUUCAAAUUUUGAUUCCACAAUUUAUGACCCAUGGAAAAUAUUAAUUGCUAAGGCAAAAAUGGGCUUUUAAAGUACCUUGAAUUUCCUUAGAUUUUGAACUUAGUUUUUUUUCUCUUCCUUGCGAUUUAUGAGUUGCGAACACUUGAAAUAUUAAGGGGAAAAUGAGCUCUUAAGCACAUCGAAUCUCCUUAGAUUUCUAUAUUAGCUGUCUCUAAAUUCAUAAAUUCUGAAUUUAUUUCAAAUCAAACAUAGACUUCGAGAGAUCUACCUCUUUGGCACUCUACAAACAUAUCUAAAGGUAUGAUCCGUAUUGGCCAAGGGUUCUUUCCCUUCGACUUUGAACCCAAGUUCGUCGUCAAAACAGACUUAUCCUAGGAAACUGAUGGGAUUAGAGAACAUCAACACCAUAGCAAUUAUAGGGCAAACCAAACACCAAGCAGCUUAUCUUAGGUAGGGCGUACUAGGGGUGCUAAAACUUUUCCUUUACGCAACCAGUCUCUUGCCUUAGAAUCUUUGAAAGACCAGUUAGGUUUCCUAGUGACCAUAAUACUAGGUGACGACUCCCUUUUUUUACAAAACAAAGACCCCAACAUUAAUCCCUGCUAUCAGGAAGGGUCGCCUCAACAUCGAGCUCUCUUGAGGGUACGACAAUAAUAAUCAUAAUGUUGAUUCUUUUAUCUCCUACUUAAUGCAAGUGUCCAUCGUGUGCUGAAAUUGAUUGUUUACCAUAACAUUUCUUUUAAAGGUAGAGAUUUCUUGGUUGACAAUGGAAAAAAGUAAUCGCAUGGUUAUUUUCCAUAACAUUCCUUUGAGUAAAUAUUCUCUAUUGGAGGUCAAUUUCAUCGAAGCAAUUACCUCAAUGAACACGUCCUAAUUACCAACCUCUAAGUAGUCAUCUCCCUUAUCCUAACUUUUUAUUUCCUUAUAAAAUCUCACGGUUUUUCAUCAUUUUCAGAGGAAAAGUUGACCUUGCAAAUGGUGCUCUAAGGAACCAAGUCAUCCUAGAACUAAUCAUCCACCUAAUCUCGUCAACUCCUUGUUGCACAAACAGCCUGUCUCACUUAAAGGGGAUUUUAAUGAUGAACAAACACAAAUUCCUUGUUGCUCAAAUACAUAUGCUCAUUUAAACACAGGAUGCUUGACCUCAUUAAAGACAAACUGACGACAUCCGUCCGUAACAUAAAUUAUCUUCCUUGCCCCAAAGUCAGCACAGAAAAACCUUGUUCACUAUAAAGGUUCUGAAUGUUUUUCCUAAAUUUCAUGAUAUGGCAUUCAGCAUUCUUAAGCAAACUACAACUGCAGAAGGCUUGUACAUGUAGGGGAGACGUAGGAAGAACUGCAAAAGUUGUCGCAUCUAUUGUUAUGCUGUUCAGAGUUUCUAUCUCAUCAUCCAAUCUGCCUAAAAUAUAAAAGAUCAUGUGCAUGAAUUUGAUCUCAAAGGGGUACCACCUCAUAUGCGUACAGGACAUACAUGACCAGUGAUGGUUGUUCUAUCCACAAAAUUAGCUAACAUACGACUAUUUUAUUCAACUACCAUUUCAGGAUAUGAGUUCUCCUAGCCACACUCAAAAGCCCUAGCCGCUAUAUGAACAAAGCACCUAAAAAAUUAAUCACCUGCCUAAUCUAAUUCACCCACACACACACACACACCCACCUGAUCAUAGACAGGAAACGAGUUAUUUGAAUGCAUAGACAGGAAAUUCAGGUAAACACGCGCGCGCGCACACACACACCUGAUCAUAAAUUUCCUAAAGAAAUUCUGAAUUGUAACAUUGGUAAACAAAGUGUGACAAUAUCAUCACAUUAAAAAUGCAUUUCACUCAAAACAAAUACUAGCUCAAGAAAAAAAAAUGCAAGAAGCCAAGAGAGAAUAAAUUAAGCAGUCCAUAAACAAGAGACAGAGAGGCAUUGUUCCAAUGAGAAAAGUAAUUAAAACCCAACAACUAAAGAAAGAAUCAAACCAGUGAGUAACUAAUCCUUUUAAAGCAUUCCAAGAAUGGCAACCAAAUGUAACAUAAUCAACCUGCAAAAACAAACACAAAAAGAAUUAGAAGAAGAAACCCCAGACCUCCACCACCAAAUCCACCUCCACCAAAUCCACCUCCACCACCAAGCCCGCCACCUCAUUCAUCCUCAAAAGAACCCUUUCUAGAACCGGAUUCUGUAACGCAUUGUCUUCAUUCUGACAGGAGGGGAUAUCAGUCACAAUUUGGAAAUCUAAUAGUUUGAAGGUUUCUGAAAACCGUCCUCAGACCUGUCAGCGUCGCUGGCCAAUUUCUCAUUCUUCCACCGUUGGAUUAACACGAAUUUUGGGUAAGUUGUGUGUCACUAUAGUUCCCACAUCCUGACCAGAGCGAUCGUUCAUAUUUGAAUCCACUAGAUAAAUCUUACCGUUUGAAGAUUUCUGGGCAAAUCACUCUCGGAACAGUCAGAAUCGCCGGCUUAUUUCUUCUUUUUCUACCGUUGGAUCCAUCUGAAUUUUGGAUAUGUGAUGCGUAUGGUCGUAUUACACAUUCGGAACGGUGGAGAUGACAUGAAUCGUUUCCAGAAAAGAGUUAUGCACGCUCAACAGUGGUCCAUCAAUCUCAGGUCAGUUUUGGUCUAACUCCGAUCUAGGGAGAUCCAACCGUUAACUGGAGCUGAUAUUUGGAUAUGUUCUGCAUAAGAUGUGUUUUUACCUUGUCACCGUUGCGAUUUGUUAUUUGUUGAAUUGUUGGUGAGUAAUUGUUGUUUGAAGCUCUGCACAGAAUCUAUCAUGGCUUCCAAUCCGAAACUUCAAACCCUCAAAGCUAACACCACCCACUCAAUCACUAAACAACCCACAAACCAUCACCAAAACAUCCAAAAUACAGCCUCCUCAACGUAGGUUAGGUUUCUAAAAUCCCACGAAUCAACAAACAAUCAAAAAUCCCUUUCCAAUAGUCACCUCCGCCUUGACUCAAGACAACAACCACCCCCUAAACACAUUCACAAUAUUCCUAGCCCAAAAACCCAGAAUAACCAUUCCUUUAACAUUUCAGUGCCACAAAUUUACUUUGAAGGUUUCCCAAUAUGGGCUGAUUACCAUCGCAUAAAGGCUUCUUUUAACAAGUUUGGCUAUGUACUCAAACUUUAUGUAUCCAGGCGUGUCAACAAAUCAGGGAGUCUUUUUGGUUUUGUAACAAUAGCAUCAAAAUUUUCUGAUAAAGUUUUGCUAGAGAGUGUGAAUGAUAUUUGGUUUGAAUAUCACAGACUAAAGGCCAAUUUCACUAGACACUAUAAAAAGAUUCCAAGAGAGAACAAAGCUCCUGACAGAUCAAAACCCAAAACAACUUUAAGAGUGCCUAUUAGUGAAAGAGAUGACAGAAGUUACAAAGAGGUACUCAGUGAAGGAAAAGUGGAACAAAUACUUCUGCCUGUGGCUUCUGGACCAAAGGAUUACUUUGAAAAACUCUUCAUUGAUAUUGAAGAAGAGGAUUAUGCUUGGCUAAAGAGAUGUCUUCUGGGAAAAAUAAAAAAAGGAUCCAAUUACUCUUCUAUACGUUUUGGACUGAUCCAACAUGAUAUAGAUUUUGUUGGACUGCGCUUUCUUGGGGCAUCUCAGGUCCUUGUGAUUUUUUAUAAUAGAGACAUAUUAAUGGAAUCAUGGAGGAAGAAUAAUAAAUGUUGGGAUGUAUUUUUUGAGGAAGUUCGCCCCUGGGUUGAGACUGACACAACUUUGAAUCGGAUGGCCUGGAUAACAAUAACAAAUCUACCCAUUAUAGGGUGGAAUUGCAGAUGCCUCACAAAGAUUUUAGAAAGAUCUGGUCAGAUGAUAGGUUAUGAUAAAACUACUCUCAAGCUUUUUGAACUAUCACAGUUACGGAUCCUCAUUGGUACACAACUGGAUAAGGUGAAUAAGGUGAUUGUUUUGCAACUCAAUAAUCAAACAUAUCAGGUUAAGAUAGAGGAGAUGGACCAGUUACAUUACCCAAUUGCUGGCUCUAUUUCAUACACCAUGGAUGACUUUCUGACAUCCCUAGAGCAAGGGGAUGAUGAUGAUGAGGAAGACUCGGUUGAUGUGGGUGAUGGCGUAGACACAGAUGAGGACAGAGCAGGUGUGGCUCCAUCAGUCACCAGGACUCUUGGGGGCGGCACCAACGGGUGGGAAAAUUCAGAUCUGGCACAGGAUGGAGACAUGCUAUCAACUUCUGACGAUAGCUCUCUUAUCAUAUUUAAUGCUCUUCAUCUGGAUGUGGUGCAAGAUCAACAUGCUGCCUCAUCUUUAGAGAGAUUUCCAGAAAUUAUGGCAUACAAUCUUUCUUUUUCUGACAGCAGCUAUAUAAAAGCAGCCCCAUUCCCAAUGCUCUUACCCUAUAUACGGGACAUGGCACUCCUAUUUUGAGAGAAGAUGCUAGAAACCCUGCAGCUGCCUUGGACCUUGACUCCCUUGUAUUGGCCCAGAUUGAAAGCCCAGUUUAUGGCAGUGGAUCUCAAAGCCCAUCUGACGUUCUCUCUAUUUCAUUUGGAUCAAACAAUGAUUUAGCCCUUCAAUCAACAUACAAUCAUCAAGCCAUAGUAAUUCUGGAACCGCAACACAUGAAUCACCCAGUUAUUUUACACUCUAAUGCAAACACAAAAGAGAGUGCAAUUGCCCUAUCUGCAAAAACAAGAAGGAAGUUGCGACGUACAAAGAUGAUUACAGCUGAUGGAAGUUUGAAUGAAACAGUUAAUAUGAGUGAGAUGGAUACUAAGGACUCAACAAUACAGAGGUGUAACAGGAGGAACUUGCUAGCUCAUGACGAAAACAAUAAGCCUUCUGAGGGUGAUGAGGUUUGUUUAAUGCUGGAAAUAGGAGAGGUUUUGCAGAUUGAAAAACCUCACAAUUUAGAUGACUUCACAUCCUAUAUAAAUCAGCAAAGGCGUAAAGAGAAGGCUGAUUGGGAAGCAUCCCAGUGAGUAGAUGUUCCUCUUUGUUCUGUAAGGAUUUUAAAUCUCUUUUCUUAUGCAGAUUCUUUCAUGGAAUUCUUGUGGUUUGGGGUUAGCUAGAAAGAAGAGGACAGUUUCAAAGUUAAUCAGGGAUUUUGAUAUAGAGGUUUGUUUUUUGUUUGAAACUAAGUUACAAAGUUACUCAGACAAAUUGGUUUUUCAAUUAUGGAGCGUCAGUAAUGUUUCUUGGUUUGGUAAUGAGGCUGAAGGUACUAAAGGGGGCAUUCUGGCUAUGUGGGAUAACUCUAAGUUUGCGGUAUCAUCAGUGGAGUAUGGUCAUGGUUGGAUCGGGUUAUUUGGGCAGAAUGUCUUGACAGGCUUCUCAAGGGCGGUGGUAGGUGUUUAUGCCCUUUGCAAUCAAGCUGACAGACUUCUUCUUUGGAAGGACCUUCGUAUUCUGAAGGCUGCUUUUGAGUGUCCUUGGUUUUUAGCAGGUGACUUCAAUGAAACUAUGUUGCGAAGUGACAGAAGCAGUGGCUUCAUUAACAAGGUGGGUUCAACGGCUUUUAGACUUUUUAUUGAUGAUUGCAACCUAAUCGAGUACAACAUGUCAGAGGGUCUGUACACCUGGUUUCGUGGGGGGUCCAUGAGUAAACUAGACCGUAUUUUUUCUAGUCCUUGUUGUCAUUUGCAAUUCCCCCUUUUGUCUCUUCGACGGCUUCCAAGAGGGUUCUCUGAUCAUUGCCCUUUAAUCCUAGGGGUUUCACCUGCAGAAAAAGGUUGGAUUCCUUUCAAAUUCAUGGAUUGUUGGCUCCAUCAUCCAAAUUUUAAAGAUAUCGUAAAGGGUAUAUGGGAUGAAGCUUGCAAUGAAUUUUCAGGUCAGUUCAAGCUCAUUAAGAAGCUCAGCUUUAUGGCAACUUGGCUCAGACAGUGGAAUAGGGUUGGUUUUGGGCAUCAGGAGACUGCUUUGUCAUUGAUCCAAAGCAAUAUUUCAGCUAUAGAAAAGAAAUCAGAGUAUGGGCAAUUAUCUACUGCAUAGCAGAACUCGCUUGAUUCAUUGAUUAAGAAGUAGUGGCAAUGUAACUUGCAUAUAGAAAGCAUGUGGCGUCAAAAGUCUCGCCAAAUUUGGUGUCGCCUGGGCGAUCGCAACACGCGUUUCUUCCAUCUAGUUGCUAACUUCAGGAGGGCUAAAAACCAUCUCCUGAAAGUGGUUCAUAAUGGUUCUGUUGUUGAAGGUUUACCGGUCAUAAAAGAUGCGGCAGUUAACUUCUUCUCCAACUUAUUCAGAAGUUUUGAUAGAUUCCGAAUUGGUUUAGGGCCUGUUGGUUUUAAAACACUAUCGGCUUCUUCUUCAGCUAGCUUGGAGCGAGAUAUCACUUUGGAAGAAUUAAAGCAGAGUGUUUGGGAUUUUGAUGGGAGCAAGAGUCCGGGUCCAGAUGGUUUCAAUUUCAAAUUCUACAGGCUUGCUUGGAAUUUCAUUGCAGAUGAUUUGUUAGACCUGGCCAAGAAUUUCUUCAAAACAGGUAGGCUUCCAAAAGGAGUCAAUCAUGCUUAUGUUCAUCUAAUUCCGAAGAUAGCUUCCCCAAUUGGCUUCAAAGAUUUCAGGCCUCUUAGUUUGAUUCAUGGCAUUUACAAGAUAAUGGCUAAGGUUCUUUCUAGCCGUCUGAAAGCGGUUAUGCAUGACCUUAUCAGUGAGAAUCAAACAGCUUUCUUGGCAGGGAGGCAAAUAAUUGAUGGGUUUGUGGUUGCCAAUGAAGCAGUUCAUUCCUUGAAAAGACACAGAGUGUCGAGCCUUAUCUUUAAGGUGGAUUUUCACAAGGCUUUCGAUAGUGUGCAGUGGGAUUAUUUAGAGCAGGUUAUGAGGCAUAUGGGUUUUGGUGAAAAAUGGAUUAAUUGGAUCAACACUUGCAUCUCCACUGCAAAAUUAUCAGUGCUGAUUAAUGGAUCUCCUUCUAAGGAAUUCUUGAUGGGUCGUGGGAUUCGCCAAGGUGACCCCCUUUCUCCAUUCCUUUUUCUAAUAGCAGCAGAGGGAUUAUCUGUUUUGUUUCAAAGAGCAGCUUCAAAUGAUCUUUUCAAAGGUAUCCCUUUUGGAGACAGCUUUUGCCUUAGUCACCUACAAUAUGCAGACGACACUUUGAUCUUCAUGCCUGCUAAUCUUCAUAUGGUCAAAACGGUUAAAAGGAUCCUGUUAUGGUUCGCUAUUUGUUCAGGUUUGCACAUUAACUUCCAUAAAAGCUCUUUAAUUGGCAUAAAUGUUGGGGAAGAUACUUGUGCUAGUAUGACAUAUUCAGUCUUUUGCAGAUUUGAUUCCUUGCCUUGCUCUUAUCUAGGCAUGCCUUUAGGAUCCAAUCCUAAAAGAUUGUCUACAUGGAAGCCUAUUAUUGAGAAUUUCAGACGGAAGUUGAGCAUGUGGAGAGGUCGUAUGCUUAGUAUGGCAGGACGUAUUUGCCUAAUCAAAAGUGUCUUGAGUUCAUUGCCAGUAUAUUAUAUGUCUUCUUUUCUUAUGCCGAAAGGUGUCUGUAAUAUACUACCAUCUAUUCAACGAAGAUUCUUGGGUCUGAGUGGCGAAGCAAAAGAAAAUCUGCAAGGUACAAUGGCGUAUUGUUGUGAAAGCUAGAAAAGAAGGAGGCCUCGGGUUGGGUUCUUUAAUGUCAAAAAAUAUAUCCAUGCUUUUCAAAUGGAUAUGGAGGCUAAACUUACCAGACCAUGCCUUAUGGAAACAGGUAACAACCCAUUUUUACUCCCCAACUUUCGAGAAUGGAAUCCCAAAAUUGCAUGGUCAUAUUUCCCCAUUUUGGAAAGACAUUUUGUCAAUCUUGGAUCCAAACAGUGUCAUCGGCUUAGUAUUGCGUGAAAACAUUAAAUUCAAGAUUGGAGAUGGAUCCUCCAUCCUUUUCUGGUCUGACGUGUGGAUAGGAUCAAAUGCUUUACGUUGCAUUUUCCCUAAGCUUUACCAAAUUUCUACUUUUCGGAAUGGUUUGGUUAAUGAGAUGGGUCAAUGGGUGAAUGAUCAAUGGCGAUGGAAUUUGGUUUGGCGUAGGAAGCUCUUAUCUUAUAAAGAGCAACAAUAUCAUCAUUUGCUCUCAAUGCUGGAGCCAACGAUAAUUCGGCAAGGAAAAGAUGACAAACUUAUAUGGCCAUGCAAUUCUGAUGGAAGCUUCUCAGUUAAAUCGUGUUGCACCCUGAUUGACAAUACCUCCUCUGCGACUGAUAGAGUCUUUGAAGCCAAUGUUUGGAUUAAAGGGGCCCCUCUGAAAGUUCAGGUGUUUCUCUGGUUGGCAGUACAAGACAAAGUUAGUACAAGAGCUUUUCUCCAUCAACGGACUAUUUUGUCUGCCACACAAGCUUCAUGUGUCUUUUGCAGCUCAAAUUUGGAAACCUCAGAGCAUCUUUUUAUACAUUGUAACUUUUCUAUGAGUGUUUGGAUGAAAGUUUUGGAUUGGUGGGGUAUCCAAUGUUGUUUACCGAGAACACUUGACUUGCUGCUUCUGCAGUGGCCCGAAAUGGUACAAGGCAAAUUCCAAAGAUCAGCUUGGAGAUUAAUUUCAAGUAGUACUAUUUGGGGUAUAUGGUUACUGAGGAACAAAAUUGUUUUUGAGGAGGGAACUAUAAACUUGUUUGAUUGUUUCUCCACCAUCCUUCAUCGGGUUGCUAUUUGGUUGCAUACUCAUGAUUCAAACUUCAAUUAUACAGGCAAUGACCUCUUAAGAUCUUCUGAUGGCAUCAAAUUAUGGUGUAAUAAGAAAUCUUAGGUAGUCUUCUUGUUGUUUGCUGUAGUAGAUCAGUUUUUUUCUUUUUUCUUUUUUUCUUUUUUAUAUCCCUUGUAUUUCUCUUUGGCUAUUCGCUUUAUGGCCUUCUCAAUAUACUCUCGAUGAUUAUAAAAAAAAAGAAGAAGAAACCCCAUUAGUUAAUAAGUUAAAACAGCAGCAGCAGCAAAAAGACUCAAAUUUUAGUUAUUUGGACUUGAGAAAAAGCAUUGAACCCUCUGUGAAAAUGCCAUGAAAGGGGUGCUUAGAAACCUGGAAAAUAAAAACUUUUAAAAGGGUGUUUUUACAAAGCAAGAAAGAAGCUUGGAAGCAAGGAAGCAAGCCAGCCUACCCUCACGAACUCUGUUUGUUAAUUGUUUUUUCUCCUUUAAAGUGAAAACAAAAAAAUAAAAAACAAAAACAAAGAGCACCCAGAAAAUCUAGUCAGAAAUAUUUUAUGUUGCUGUCUUGGAGAGACGCAUUAUAUUACAUAACAAAAUGAUAAAUUCAUUCAUUACAAAAAGAUACCCAACAAAAUAUAAGAAAACUAAUCUACUGUUCAACCCGAUAGGGGGAUGUACCUGAAAAUUGAUUUAAUACAAUAAUUCAAUUAGACAGAUGAAAAAAAGAUAUCCAUAAAAUUCUUUCUACUUUCUUUCUUUCUUCCUUUUUUUUUUUUUUGAAAAUUUAGUCAAAAGAUCAUUAAAUUAACUUGCUCAUCUAGUAUUGUAUAUAUAUAUCAAUUAAAUUUCAGAAUAAUCUAUGAGUUUGUUUUCUUUUUCUUUUUUCUUUUUUAAUAUCAACCAAAAAUAUAAUUAUUUCUAUCGCUCAAUUAACCCGGCAUUACUUUCACUAAUAGAUGAUUAAUUUUCCACCAGUCCAUUCAACAAACACUAUUGUCAUCAAUUCAAAAAUUAGUUUAAUGUUUCAUCCAUUCAUCAGGUAAAAAUCUCAUUAACCAGGGAAAUUAAUUCUUCAUCUUGCCCAUUUGUCAAGGCACUAAUUCCAUUAAAUCAGGAAUUAGUUCAAUGAUUUACCUAUUCACCAGGUUACUAAUCCCAUUAACCAGAGACUUAAUUCCUCAUCAUGCCUAUUCACCAGGACAUUAAUCCCAUUAAUUCAGGAAUUAGUUCAACGAUUUGCCCAUUCACCAGGGCAUCAUAAUUUCUUAUCACGCCCAUUCACCAGGGCAUUAAUUUCUUAUCACGCCCAUUCACUAGGGCAUUAAUCCCAUUAGUUCAAGAAUUAAUUCAUCACAUCGCAUAUCUUAUUUUCUAAAGUAAACAAUAUAAUAAUUUCAUAUUUAUCAACCACAAUUAAUCAAAUAAAAAUACAUAUUGACCAAUAAUAAAUUCGAGUACCGUGUAAUUACCUGAUGACUAAGCUCGAGUUGAAAUUUCCUGCUGUGGUGUCGGCCUGGCAGCCUCUCUUGAAUUGAAAAGUAUAUCACAUCAUUAUUCUACUUUCCAUAUUGAAACACUCAAUAAAUAAAAUCAUUCCAAUUAUCCUUUUAUUUGCCAAAAUAAAAUCAUUUCGUAAGUUUCCUUCCCUAUCUUUCAAUUUCCACAUUGUAACACAAUUCAUUUUAUCAUUCAAAUCAAUAUAUAUANNNNNNNNNNNNNNNNNNNNNNNNNNNNNNNNNNNNNNNNNNNNNNNNNNNNNNNNNNNNNNNNNNNNNNNNNNNNNNNNNNNNNNNNNNNNNNNNNNNNCUUUAAAUUCAUUUAUUUAAUUUUUACCAUAAUUUAAAUCAAAGAAAAACAUAAAACAAUUUCAUGAUCUAUUCACUCUUUAACAUUAAUAUCAUGCUCUUUCUUACACAAUCUCAUCAUCUUAUCAAAACUCUUAAAUUUUUAUUUUUCUUAUUAUUAUUUUUCCAAAAAUCCCUUCUUCAAGAACACCUAAAAUUUUGCUUUAAUUACCAUAAUUUCUUACUUUUUCUACUCAUUUCAAUAAUCUUAACACAAUUUCACAAUCAAUUGUAAUUUUCUCUAAAAUUUAUCAUGAACCCUAAUUCCUCAUUUCACAAAGUUCAAUCAAUUUAAAGCAUAAAUUCUUCAAGAAUCUUAUUUAAAAGUUUGAGUACAUCUUACCAAGCAAUAACCAAAGUUUUAACACUUUUAAAUUGAGAAAUUUUCCUUGCUUGAAUUUGUUUUUUCUCUCCUGGCCGAUUGCUUCCUUCUCUUUGAAAAAACAAGUUUGUUUUUUUUUUUUUUUUGUUUACUUAUAGCACACACUCACUUGCACUCAUAUAUAUAUAUAUAUAUAUAUAUAUAUAUAUAUAUAUAUAUAUUAACUCUCUUUUUUAAAUACCUUCCACGUCCCUCAAUUUGUUUCUUCCCCAUACACACAUAUAAUUACUUAACUUUUUAAAAAUACCUUCUAUAUUCCUCAAUAGUAAAUUUUAUGAUUUUUGGGUAAAAUUUCAUGAAUCCUAACACCUGUUUAUACCAAAUUUUAUCCAGAUUAUUUCAAAUUUCACUCAGUUACUCGUUAGUACUUUCAGUUUCAUGAAAUUCAUUUCCAUCAAAAUUUUAUUCACAUUUUCAUGUUUAUUUAUUUAUAUUUAUUUUUUAUAUAUAUUUUAACACCCGAACAAAACAUUUCAAUUCAGAUUCUCGAAUAUAUCAUCAUUCUUAUAAUUUAAUUUAUCACUUUCCCUCAUUUUUCGUAAUCUUGACUUUUAUUAAUAUUAAUAAUAUUACCCGGGGUUUUACAGUCUCAGUUGACACUGAUUUUCGCCAUAAAAAAUGGUCGAUUUUUGUUUUAAUGAGUUUCAUUUGAUGAAGAGAGUUCCAUUGAAAUGUUUUUUGCUCUUGAAAUUGCCAAAACAUUUAUAGUUUUUGGGCUGUUUUAUUGGUUUAUUACAUCAUAAAAACGAUUUUUAGGUGUUUUGGUGUGAACUUUGUUUAAAUUUGCAUUUUUUGGUCAAAAACCACCAUGCUUAAUUUUCUAGUCACCUCUCCAAUGGCCAAGAACUGAAAAGUCUCGGUAGGUGACAUGUCGCUUUUCUUUAUUUUUUUUUCAAAAACAUUUGGAGGAUUUUCAAAUAAAAAAGGCCCAUACGUACCAACCCUUUUUAAAAUGGGCUUGAUGUGUAGGCCCGACUUACUAGGCCCAAAAGCACUUGAUCUAUUUCUAUUUUUUUUUCUAAUUUUGUUUUCUUAAUUGAUAUUUUUUAUGUAUUUUUAAUGAAUUUUUGAAUUUAUAUUUAAAUUAAUACUUUUCUCUCUAAAUAUUUAGAUUGUUUAUUUAGUUUUUUCUAAAUAAUGGAUAUCUUUUACUUAUCUUUUAUGUAUUUAAUAUCUAGAAAAAAUUAUUUCAAUUCAUCUAUAUGUUUUUUUAUAUAUUUUAUAUAAAUAAACUUUAUUUUCAUGACGUGUUUAUAAAAAUAAGAAUUAUUUGUUCUUGGUAAGAAAAAGUGACCUUUAAGAUAAAAAAGAAGAAGAAGGAGAAAAGUGUGCAUGAAGAUGAAAGUUAAGGUUAAGUAUCAUAUUUAUGUAUCUUUUACUUUUAUGAAAAUGAUUAUCAUUUUAUUUUAUAAUUUGAUUGGCAUUAACAACUCUUUAUUAGUUUAUUAGUUCAUAUUUUUGUAAGAUUGUUUUUUACAUUUCUUAAUUAAGAGAAUCAUAAUACAAUGAAAUGCACUUGAAACAAUGUCCCAUUUUUCUACUACAUUAAAAAUUAACUUAAGAUCCUAUAUGUGGCACGAUGCGUUAACAACUAUUUUUUAUAUUUAUGAACACUUAUGGUCCUUACUUUAUUUUUAUUAUAUGUAAAUAUCAACUUUUUUAUUUACAAUUAUAAUUUUCUCUUGAUUUUUAAAAAUACGUUAACAACAUUUAUAUAUAUUUUUUUUUGCGUUCAAAAAAUUAUCUAACUCGUAGCAAAGUGAAUUAAAUAAAUGCAUCAACACUUUUUUUUUUGUAUUUAUGAUUAGGAUUUGUUUUUGUUAAAAAUGCAAUUGAAAAGCAUACAAAUUUAUUUUUUGCUAAAAACAAUUUUGUGAUCCAUACCGAAGUGCGAGUUAAAUAACUACGUAUAUGGCUAUAGUAAGUCUUUUAGUAUAUGUGGAUGUAGGAAGCAAUGCGUUAUAUUAUUAGUUAGAUAUAACUUACCUAUUCAUUAUUAAAAAAAACAUAAAAUAAAUAAAUAUAUUAAUAGAAACCUAAAAGAGGUCGGCUGAAAUAUAAUAUUUUUGUCCUUUUUUUUAUUUUGUUUCACAUUUCUCAAUUAAGAGAAUCAUGAUACAAUAAAAUGCAUUUGAAACACCAUCCUAUUUUUCUAUUAAAUUAAAAAUUAACUUCCUGAUGCAACCAUAUUAUUCGAUAGUUUCACCCACAUUUAACUAGUGUUUUGCCUAUGUUUUAUAUAUAAAAUGCCUUGAUAUUCUUUGUUUUAUGUUUUGAAGGCACUUUUGGAUGAAAGAUGCAAAAAGGAGUAAAUUGGAGAUAAUUGGCAGAUUUGACCUUCAGUCGAUGUUUUGUGCAGAGCGUGAGCUCUAGAGGUUGAAAUGAAGUGAUUCCAGUGGCAUUAAAAAGCUAACAUCCAUACCUUUCUGGAAAUCUAAGGCAAGAAAAUAAAAUAAGGAAGAGCAUGGAAAUCACAGCCUUCAAAGUCAAAACAGAUUUGCUUUCUUUUUCCCUUAUCUUUUAUUUUUCGCAUUUUACUUUAUUUUUGUCAUUCUUCAAUAUUCCUUUUCUUUUAUUUCAACAUUGAGGACAAUGUUGUGUUUUAAGUGUGGGGGUAUUGGGAGAAUGUUGGUUUUCUAAUUUUGGUUUUCUUUGUUAUUUUUCAAAAUAAAAAAAAAUUAUGUUUGAUCUUUUGAACUCCCAUUGGUUUUUGAGAAUAUGAGUAUUAUGUAUGAGAAUUAGUUGAGAUAGAUGAAGAUAUAAAUAAAAUGAAUGAGUGUGCAUGCAAGUUUUAAGGUUUAAUUGGUUUAGGGAUUGACUUUGAGAAUCUGUCAUGUUGACUUUAUAGUGUUAUACCAAUGCAAGCUUUUGAGCCUUCAACAUUAUAUUCUUUUAUUGUGCCUUCUUUCAAUGAUAUGUAUCUUUAGAACUUGUUUCAUAUCUUGUUGAGAUUACAUUCAUAUUACAUAUAUACAUGAAGAUAAUAAAGGCAUUAGGAAUUUUAACCACUUGAGCCAAAAAGCCAACCUAAAGCAUAUUAUCCUUAGUGAGCCCCUUUUGAGCUUGUUUAUCUUUUCUUUGCUUUAUCCAUGUAUAAGCCUUAACUUUUUAUAUGUUUUCCUUUUCCCCUGGCCAAGGAUUAGUAGAGCAUAUACUUAUGAUAUCUCAUGGAAUUAUGGUUGGAAAUUAUGCGAAAAGAAAGAAGAAGUGAUGCUUGAUGAAAAGAUGGGCAAAGUUGCCGAAGGUCAAAAAAAAAAAAGGAAAAAAAAAGAAAAAAAAGAAAAGAAAAAGAAAAAGAAAAAAGUGUUCCUUUAUGUUCUUAAUAUUUUAUAUUGAAAAAGCUUGAAAUCAAAAGAAGUUAAGCAUUGGUGAUUAAAGAUGGAAAAUUUAUGUGCUUUGAUGGAAUAUCUUGUUUGAAAUAUCAUUUUUCAGAAUGCUCUACUUUCUUUGGUUUGAACCUUUUGUUUUACUCUCUUUUACCUCACCUUAACCUUAGCCCCAUUACAACCAGAAAAUAAGACCUUUUGAUUCAUGCAUUGUUUGUAAUAUGUUAUUAAUGGGGAUGAGAUUGAAGAGCAAGCUUAUGGUAGAACAUAUUCAUUGAUUGAAUUUGAGAGAUUUAAACACAUAAGCCCUAAACACGUGAGUGUUGGAGUAUAUAUCAAUGAGAGGACCUAUCACUUUGGCAUGGCAUAGAUUUCAUUUAAAUCUCGACGAUUAAUUGACUUUUGAAGUUUGCAUGUAAAUAAAUUCAUGAAAAUUUAUACUCUUUAUCCUUCUUAAUUGUGUUCUUGUUUAUAAUGCAUAUAUUCUUGGAUAUUGAUGGGAGAUUAGAAGAUUAGUCAUAGUGAUUUCAUUUAAUUUAACUUCAAUUUGAUUUUACCUAUCCUUUCUCGAGGACGAGCAAGAGCUAAGUGUGGGGGUAUUUGAUGCAACCAUAUUAUUCUAUAGUUUCACCCACAUUUAACUAGUGUUUUGCCUAUGUUUUAUAUAUAAAAUGCCUUGAUAUUCUUUGUUUUAUGUUUUGAAGGCACUUUUGGAUGAAAGAUGCAAAAAGGAGUAAAUUGGAGAUAAUUGGCAGAUUUGACCUUCAGUCGAUGUUUUGUGCAGAGCGUGAGCUCUAGAGGUUGAAAUGAAGUGAUUCCAGUGGCAUUAAAAAGCUAACAUCCAUACCUUUCUGGACAUCUAAGGCAAGAAAAUAAAAUAAGGAAGAGCAUGGAAAUCGCAGCCUUCAAAGUCAAAUCUCGCAAUCUGCCAGUGUUGACCUUCGGCCAUUCCGACUUGAAUAUCUGGAGCUACAGAAGUCCAAUUGAUGCAAACUCAAUUGUUUUGGAUUCAUGUCUCAAAGGUCUAUAAACGCUCCACAUUUCAGCCCAAACCGAUUUCAUAUGAGGGAGAUAUGAUUUUUCAAAGAUGACAACUGAAUUCUGCCAGCAAACAGGUUUCGUGAAGAAACGAGUCCAAAUUACGUUCCGAAGCAUCUAAACCGAUAUCCAAGUUUGUAUUUCAGCAAUUUAGCUCCUCUAAGUCAAAGCUUGAAGAUUUCAUGCAAGGCUAUUUCUCCUUUUUUAGGAAAAUAGUUAUUGAAGUACUUAAAUGUAAACAGUCUACUUAAUGGAGGACUAUUUUGUAAAAUAGAGACCUAGGGUUUCCUAGGAUAUAAAAAGAAUGAGAGAAGAGAAGGGGGGAGGCAGCCAAGAAGAGAAAAACGCCCCCUUCCUCUAAGAAACCCUAAAUUAUGCAUUCUUCCUUCUUUUUGAUUAGUUGUUCAACAAACAUGCAAGGCUAAACACUUUUUCUUGGUUGCAAGAACACGGAAACCUUCGGAUUUCAAGAACUGUGAGAUUUAUUUUACCUUUUCUUUUCAGUUUAUAUGAUGAAUAUGUUUGUUCUCCUAUGCUUAUUUUUCCUAUGAUUGUUUAUUUUAAUUGCUAGAGCGGACUCUAAGUUAUUAUUGUAGACAAUCUAUUGUUAAUUUUGAUAUCAAAACCGGAGUUGUGGUAUAUGAACUUGUGAAGCAACUGAGUUUAAUAAUUGUGGCGGAUCUACGUUAUUAAUCUUAGGGAGAACAUUCAAUCAAAUCAAACAUAGACUGCGGACAGUUAUGUUUUCUUGAUUAAUCAACUUAUCUAGUUCUUAAGGCUGCCAUUGAAUUAAAUUACUAGUGCGGACACUGUGGUUGUUUGAUGGUUAGGGCUAGUUAUACGGCGGAUCCGUUAACUAACCAAUGUUAAGAAGAGAUAAAUAUUCAGAAUAUAAAUUGAUGUUUCGUUUCCAUGAUCAGUUCUGAUUUUUGUAGGUGGAUGUGUGCUUCUGACCAAGGUUUGUUCUCUUGAUAAUUUUCUGAUUUUAUUAAAUUUAGUUUGAUAGUUUUCUGUUUUCUUUUGCUUUAGCCUAGAUAAUGUCCAAACCCCCCCAAAUUGCAUAUCAUCUAGCAUAAAAAUCUGACUUGAAUCUUCCUCGUGGGAUCGACCCCUUGCUUGCUCUAUACUAUCUUGUGUGUUGUGUUUGAAGCUAGGGUAAUUAAUUUGUGCGACCGCGACAUCGCAACACUUCCUACAUGGGGUGCGUUGCGUUAACAAUUGUUUUUGUAUUUAUUAACAUAUAUGAUCCUCAAUUGAUUUUAUUAUAUGUAAACAUCAACUUUUUUUAUUCACAAUUAUAUUUUUUUCUCUCGAUAUCUAAAAAUACAUCAACAACACAUAUACAUCCAUUCUUUUGUGUUGGAAAAUAUUAUCUGACCCAUAGCGAAGCGAGUUAAAUAAACACGUCAAUACCUUUUUUUUGUAUUUAUUAUUAGGGUUUUUUUUUGUUAAAAAUACAUUUGAAAAGCAUUCAUAUUUAUUUAUUUUGCUAAAAAACAUUUCUGAUCUAUAGUAAAGUGCGAGUCAAAUAACUACUAAUAUGGCUAUAGUGAGUGUUUUUUUAGUAUAUGUGGAUGUAGGUAGCAAUGUGUUAUAUUAUUAGUUAGAUAUAACUUACCUAUUCAUUAUAAAAAUAAAUAAAUAAAUAUGCUGAAACAAUAUAGUCCCCGAGAGGAAAUAUUGUGAAUUCACACAAUGUUUACUUUCUCUUUUUUUGUCCUUUUUUUAUUUAGUGAUCUUUGAUGAUGAAUUGAUUAAGAUUUGAGAUGGGUACUGUAUUUUUAUUUACCUUUUUUAUAGUUAUCUUGCUCUCAAUAAAACAUCUUGAUAUUAGAACAAUGCUCAAUUUCACAAAAAAAAAAUUAAUGUUUGUAAGAAAUUGAAAAUGAAAAGAUCAAAAUUGAAACAAAUAAAAAACUAUUUAAAAAAAAAAUGGUGUCAACUUUGCCUUUUGUUUUUUGCUUUUGAUCAUCUACUUUUUUUAUAAAAAAAAAAUUAAUAUUUCAAUGCUGUGUUAAUUGGAAUUUGAAGUUGGUAAUUUGAUAUAAGUUGGUAAUUUUAUAUGAGCAUCUAGAACUAAAUAAAAAGCCGCACCAUUGGUUUGGUGCUCGACUUUACAAAAAAAAAAUCGAUUAUAUUGUUUGAGAAAAAAUAAAAAAUAAAAAAUAAAAAUUAAAACAUGAAAAAAAAAAUAAGGGGCCUUAAAAAAACAAAUUGUGUCAACGCCUCCAUGCCUUGUAAUUUUAAUAAAUCUUCUUUUUGGUAAUGAAACUUUUUGAUACAAAACUUUAUUUUACUUGUAUUUUAAUUCUUGAGGUUGAGAAAGAAAAAAGAAAUUCAUCAAAAAAUUAGAAAGAAAAGAGAAAAUUAGCGAAAGCCAGCAAGGUAUCUGCUCGAAAAAACCAUUCAACAUAAGAUUGCUCUGCUAGGAAAACAUGAUAUCAGUAUCAAACUUUUGAACAAAGAGUUCAGCAUCAAGUCUCAGUCAUCUUGAGAUUUGAAUUGCUCAUACAACAACAUUUUUAAUAAUGCAUUAGAAACAGAACAUCAAACAAAGAGUUCAGCAUCAAGGAGAACGCAUGAAAGUCCACACAUUAAACCAAAAGAAACACAAAUGGCCAAGCAAACAUACGCCCUUACUUCUGGAGGCUUGUACGAUAAUGGGCAAGCAUCAUUGUUUUUUUUACUAUUAACCAUCACCAUCACCAUCACCAUCUUCUUCUUCUUAUACUUCUUUCCACCCUUUAUUUCUGGUCCACUCUCUAUUAAUGCUUGAAUCUUCAGCUACUUCAGAUACCUGUAAACCAAUCCAAGCAUGGCAUGCUCAUUUAACUUGUAAAUCUUAUUAUUGAGAGAAACAAGAAACAAACACACUAAAAGAGAGGCAAGAAAUAAAGUUAAAUCAUCAGCAGCACCUCUGAGCGAGCACUCAUUGAACCAUCUGGUGUAGUAGCAAAUUUUGUGGUCAGCUUUGGACAUUGAUGGACCUUCAACUUCUCCAAACGAGGGAAUAAGAAAUAAUCACACCAUCCGAAACUAAAACAGACAAUACUUGAUAAUUGUUGUAGCGACAACUCCUUUAGAUUAGGAAGCACUAUCUCCUUCUCAACGUUGAUAGGUGAAGCUUGAUCAUCCUGCCCAGGAGACUCUGGAAUUAUUUCCCUUUUACCAUCCUCUUCUCUGAUUAUAUGCUUCAAUUGACCGCAUUUACUUAUGGAAAGCCUUUCUAGCUUUGGCAGACUUUGUGUGAGGGACGGUGUGAAGAUAAAUGGCAGUUUGUCGAGAGAAUCCAAACUCAGAAUAUUAAGACUUUGGAGGCUGACAUGUCCGGUGGGCCCCUUCCAUAUGCAUUUGACCUCAGGUAACCUUCGCAGCUCUAACUUUGUUAAAGAUGACAGCAGCUCCUUCUCCUCACUGCUUCCUUCAUCAGCCUCACCUAAUUCAAAUACCUCUUCCAAUGAUUUGCAGCCGCCAACAAUCACCUCCUUUAGAUUGUUCAAAGCUCGCAGCAAUUUUGCUGGAAACGGAGCGCGAACAUCCCCACAAUCGUCCACUUGUACAAUUUCUAAUCUUUGUACGGAGCCGUUUUGCUGCACAUGGCCGGCCAUCUUAUCAGAGAACAAUAUUAUAUUUUUUCACUCUCAUAAAAACAAUUUAUAUGAUGUAUAAAUAGGAGAAAAAAGAAGAAAAAACAGGAUUACAUACUUUUUAGAGGUUACAUAUUAUUGUUUCAGUUUUUUUCUUAAUUAGAGAUAAGUUAAAUAAUAAUUAGAUUUUUUGCGAAAAAAGGUUACUACAACUCCUAAUAAUUAGUUUCAUGUAAAAAAUAAAAAUAAAAAUAGUAACUAAUAUUUUUACUUUAGUUAAAAAGUUAAUAAAUUUUUAAAGAUAUUUUAACUGAAUUAAAUAUUUGAACACAAAAUAAGCUAAUAAUAAUUAGUUUCAUGAGGCAGUUAAAUCUAACAGAUAAUAUGUUCUUUCAUAUGAUUAAUUUUUAAUAACGCAGACAACAAUGAGGCAGUUAAGUUCUUAUAUUUAUAUAUGUUUAGAUAAAAAUAAAAAUGAGCAUUUAUCAAUUACUUUACUUUUAGAAAUUGGGAGGAAGAGAGAAUAAAUUAUCGCAAUUGACAAUUUAAAUUAAGUGGAGAAAUAUAAAUUACGUACUUGUAGCUGUGCCAACCAAUUACCCACUCCUUCGUGGCCUCCAAUGGUUAAGUCUUGCAAAGGCAAUUGAGCAUCAAAAUUCCUUGGACCUAAAAAGCUGUAAUUUGAUCUGAGCCGAAGAGACACUUGUCUUAGGUGAGGGAACUUGAUGAUGCCAUCUCUGUUACGAGACAAAGAGACUGGGAAGACAUAUUCCAGUUUACCACAGUGAGAUAUGAAGAGAGUUUUUAAUAGUGGGAAGCAAGGAGACUCUGGAAUUAUUUCCCUUUCACCAUCCUCUUCUCUGAUAAUAUGCUUCAAUUUACCGCAUUCAUUUAUGUAAAGCCUUUCUAGCUUUGGCAGACUUCGAGCGAGGGACGGUGUGAAGAUAAAUGUCAGUUUGUUAAGAUUCCAAACAAGUAGACGAGCAAGAUUUUGGAGGCUGACAUGUCCGGUGGGCCCCUUCCAUAUGCAUUUGAGCUCAGGUAACAUUUCCAGCUGUAACUCUGUUAAAGAUGACAGCAGCUCCUUCUCCUCAGUGCUUCCUUCAUCAGCCUCACCCAAUUCAAAUACCUCUUCCAAUGAUUUGCAGUUGUAAAUGUCCACCUCCUUUAGAUUUUUUAAACCUUGCCGCAAUUUUGCUGGAAACAGAGUGAAAACAUCCCCACAACUGCUCACUUGUACAGAUUCUAAUUUAUGUAAAAACAAUUGCUCAAAUGUCUUCGCAUUUAAGGAUGUACCAACCAAAUUUAAUCUUGUCGAGGUUGGGUAUCCAUAAUUGGGCAGAAUCCGAUUCCCAAAUAUUAUAUGAUAUUUGCGCAAACUAACUGGAAAAACAAAAUCUCUGGGAAUGCAUUCAACCUUCGGUAUCCACAAUGAUAAUACGGCUAACUGAGACAACGAAUUUAGUUCUGUUAGGCUUGCAUUCAUUCCUCCUGUGCUGUCACAUCCACCAACAACAUCCCAUCCCUGAAAGCUUUCAUCCCCGAUCAACAGCUCUUCUAACUUCUUCAACCUUCCAAUCAAAUUCACAGGGAUCCUUCUUAGCAUUUCACAACCUGUCACAUCCAACAACCUUAACUCCUUGAGCUCUCCUAUUUCAUCAGGUAAUUCUUCAAUGGAUAAGCACCACGUAAGAACAAGAAUCUUAAGUCUCUGCAGCUUUCUCAACCAAAUGAGGUCCUUGCAUCCACACCUGAUCAACACCAACGAUUGAAGUUUCGUUGAGAGUUCAAGUGAUUGCAAUGACAAACACCCUCCCUUCAGAGACAAAACUUCAAUUUCUUUCAUCCCUUCGAAAAACUUCUCUGGAACAUUCAUACCAUCAU